AUGAGGUCAGAAAUGAGGAGAGCUGGCGAAGAUUCCAACUCAUGGAUGGUAGAUGGACAUACGGAUGAAAAGUCAAAACAGCUUUUUAUGGAGUUGCUUCACCAGAGGCCUGGCCAUCAACCUCUCGAAUCACCAAGCAUGAAUCGUGGGGAACCCUAUGACAGGAUGGCUGCUUCAGGCUUCGGCUUUGCAGACCAUGGUGGUAGGCAAAACGCUUCAUCUUCUUUUGGGUCGCACGCAUCUUCUGAUGAACAUGUAAACGGAUUACCAGGAGAUGGGAACUAUAUGGGAUCGUUGCAGCGUGAUAAUUCAUUACUUUCUGGAAGUACCGAUGGUGGAAGAAAAAAUGAAACUAAAGACUUCAGUAAUAUGCUUGGUAUGAGCAAAGACGUGAAUGACAUCAGAACGUGGAACAAUGCACCACCGAAAAAGGAAGGAGCGGGGUUGAUGUCAUUUGAAGCACAAGACAGAAUGGGAAAGCAAGCAGUAAUGGAUUCCUUGGUUCAAGGGGAGGUUCCUGUUGCUACGCUUGGCAGACAGUCUUCUUCCAGUAUCUCUGGUAUGUAUCUUCCAGAGUUUAGAUUUCCUUUUCCCUGAAUAUAUCAUGUUUUUUUUUGUUAUGGGGGCUUAUGUUGAUAUUUUCUUUCUGCAGAGUCAUACAGUGACAACUUGGUUGGAGAAGUUAGAAAGGAUAGGUAAUUUUGUACUCUUAACGUUUAGCAACCGUAGAUUAGGUUAGUAGUAAAUCGCCAUGUGAGCUCUUAUUUGAUGAAAUGUUUUUAUUGUUAUAGGUUGGUAGUUCCAUCACACGGGCAGGUAUCAGUUUUGUUAAAAAGGCCUCCCUCAUCGCAUGAGGGAUUGCUCGAGCAGAUGUCCGAUGCAACUAACAGAACAGCAGUGGGAAAUAAAGGGUCAAAGGCGUCGUUCAGUGAGAUGUUGAAGAAUAGUAGUAGCAAUAGCAGCAUGAAGAAAGUGGCAGCAGAGCCAUCUUCUGAUCCAAACGAAGGAAACAAAGGCGGUGGUGGGAAGAAGAAAGGCAAGAAAGGGAGGCAGCUUGAUCCAGCUCUUCUCGGUUUCAAAGUCACUAGCAAUCGCAUUCUUAUGGGUGAAAUUCACCGCGCUGAUGACUUUUAGUCAAUUCUGAUACCCUGAGAUCCAUUCAAGCGUUUCUUCUUCUCCGGCGUAAUCAUGGUAUAAUUCGAUCUUUGCUUAUAAGUAAACCCUUCUUAUGUUUUUGUUUCUCUUUGAUUUUUGAUGGUCAAUGAUUUUCUCUUUGUUUGAAAUAUGAAUCACGUGAACAUUGUUUCAAUUAGCUAGAUGAGUCCUAAUAAUAUCUUUACAAAAUCACAUAUUUUUCGAAAUUUGAAUUGGAUUAACUUCCUUAUAUCUGCAUUAUUGUGGAUUGUUUACUUGAUUUGUUUUUGUUGAGUGUGAAUGAAUACUUGAUCCGGGAUGAACCAUUACUAACUACGAUCAUGGUGGAUCCGGGAUAUGAUAUUGAUUGAUUCUGUGUUGAUUUUGUUAUUGCAGAAAACUUACAAAGCUGACUCGCAGACAGGAAAGUGGAGAAGUUUGACAACGUUUAUAAAGAGAGGUUUUGUUCCUGAGACCACUACGUGUACGUUUAUGUGUAUCUCUUUAAGAUAACCUGUAAGGAACCAUGGUCUGGAAUAUGAAUCAUUCCUGUAUACAAUGUGUAUGUUACAGCUCUCUUCCAGAUCAUGAGGACUGCAGCUAGCGGAGAUACGGCUUAAACCGAAUCACAUUCAAGCUAGAAGAAUCAAGUUUAGAAAUGAAUCAUUCUUCUGUUUUUCUCUUCUUUUACCGUAGAAUGCAACUUUAUGUUUACUUGUGCAUGCUAAUGUAAUAAAUAGUAUUUUCUACAAGUUAUCAUAUCUUCAAGUUAGUUCACUUGGUACGACCCACACGCAGUUGAAACUCUCUGUAUACAAGGAGCAAGUGUAGUUUCCACUAGAUCUCGUCAAGUCUUAUGAGGUUGAUUACUCACAGGUUUAAGGAGUUCUGACCAGGUACAGAGAGAUUAAAGGGAAGCAUGUGCGCACGUGGCAUGAUACUCGGGAUCGUUAGCCGAGAAAUCAGAUACGAUUUUUGUUCGAUUUUUUAGUAUAUCCUUUUUCCGAAUUUUAAAAUAAUAAAAACUUUAAAUAACUAUUGCUCAACAACCUUAGAAAAUUGAGCUUGUUCUUAUAUAAAAAUCUCCACUUUGCCAUUAUUACAUUUUUUCGGGCUUUACACUGUACGAAGCCCAAGUCAUUCUCUUCACACAUUAACUAAAGCCCAAUAGCAUUUAAUUGGCCCAAUAAGAAUAACAAAUUUCGAUCCACUUUUCUAGGUUUGCGAAGGUAAAGUUGAAACGAGGACGACCAUAAAAACCAACUCGAAAGGCAAUUAAAAACAAAAUAAUAGAAAUUUUCUUCAAGAUCGCGAUCUUCAAUCCCGAAUCCCUAAUCCAUUCAAGCUUCUCCUCUCUUCUCCGGCGUAAUCAUGGUAUACUUCCUCUAAAGUCAACCCUUCCCUUUUUGUUAAAUCUGUGCAGCUUCUUCUUCUUCUCUCUGUAACUCCGAUCUCCCAGAUCUGAUUCACGAGCUUAACUAUCAAUGUUUGAAUCACGCGAAGUUUGUUUUCAAUUAGCUAAAUUGAGAUCCUAAUUUCGAAUCGGAUUAGCUGAAUUUAUUCCACUCUUUGUUUUGUGGUUGUUAGGACGUUCGAUCUCCUGCUCCCGUUCCCGUUGGAUCUCGGCGGCGUGAUAACAAGUGGUCAUCUCGUUGGGGUCCUGACGAUAAAGAGAAAGAGAAAGAAACCAAGGUUGACUACAACAACAAGGAGGAGGUUCAAAGUGAGACUCAAUCUGUGAUUGGGAGCCUCCGUGACUCUGAGACUCGUGAUAAAUGGAGGCCACGUCAUCGGAUGGAGCAGGUCCAGAGUGGUGGACCAGCUUCUUACCGUGCUGCGCCUGGGUUUGGACUUGAUAAAGGACGAAGUGAGGGACGAAGUGAGGGUCCAAACAUAGGGUUCACCGUUGGUCGGGGUAGGGCGAGGGGUACUUGGUCUGCUUUCUUUGGCGCUGGAGGGUUCUUGAGAAACGAAAGCGUUCCUGGUAAACCUGCGCCUACGUGUCGGUAUGUGAGGGGGAAGUUGCUUGACUUGUAUAGAAACCAGAAGCCUGAUAGGAUGCCUAUUGAUAUGGAGGAGGUUGAUUCUGUAACUCAAGUGGCUUUGAUUGAACCUCUUGCUUUUAUUGCCCCUGGUGUUGAAGAAGAGGUAUGAUCCUUACUUGAGGACUUGCUUUUUUCCUUUCUCAUGAGUGUGUCAUUGUUUUGUAACUAAUUUUCAUGUGUUUGUGGUCUGGGUGUUAUAUAUUUAUUUCAGGAAAGCCUUAAGGGUAUAUGGAAGGGAAGGAUCACUAGUAGCGAAGCUCACACUUCACCUGGGGAAGAAUCUUUAGCUGAGGAGAGUAUGGGUAUGUGUAAUCUUGUUUUUUCGUUGCUUUGCUUCUAUCUUUCCAACUAGCUUGGAUAAUGAAUGCUUCUGUGACUUGAUUCAGGUGAGACGAAAGUGGAUGGUGCUUUGCUAGGGGUUAUGAGUGGUGACAGUGUUUCCAUGCAUAAUAGUAAUUCAGGUAUGUGAAUAAUAGGUGCUAUACGGGUAUUCAAAUUCAUGAGUAUUAAAGCUUAAGUCCAUUGUUAUGAGUUUGAUGGUAUUUUAGUGUUCUAUUAUAUAUUCUGACCCAUAUCCAAACAACUGUUGCUGUAGGAGUACUUGGUAGUCAUAAUGGAGGCUUGUGGGGUGCUUCUGAAAGUGAUCAAGUUUCUCGUGGAAGUCCUGAAGCAGUUAGAUCUGCUUUUGAUAAAUCUUCUGUGUUGGAUGCGGAUGAACCCAUUGUUACGGGAAAGCUGCAGCAACCUGAUAUUGAAGUGAAUCACUCCGAAGGGACUCUGCCACCUGAGGAGUUUAUGUUCUCGUACAUUGAUCCUCAAGGAGUAAUACAGGGACCGUUCAUUGGAUCUGACAUUAUUUCAUGGUUUGAGCAAGGGUUUUUUGGGACUGAUCUACAGGUCCGCUUGGCAACUGCUCCAGAAGGGACUCCUUUUCAAGAUCUAGGCAGUGUCAUGUCGUAUUUAAAGACGGAAAGUAUGCAAGCCCACAUCAAUGAUCAAAUCAUCGAGCUAGAACAGACCAGUAGAAAAGCAAAUUCGGAGAUUGGUUUAUCAUUUGCACCCGUACAAGAAUCUAAUGGUUCAGCCUUAGGUCACGAUAAUGUUCAAAUACAGUCUAAAUCAGAAGCUUAUGUGAAACCACCACAUGUUGAUGACCGAAGUUUCUUGGACUUCUCUGCUCAAGAUGAAGGUUUGUUAUUCUACUGACAUUUUCUCACUUGUGUGCAUUUGUGUGGGUUUUUGUAUACUAAACAUACUUUUUGUAUUUUUUUCUUAAUCAGAAAUCGUAUUCCCAGGAAGAGCUAGAGUUUCUGGUUAUGGAUCGGCAAAAUCCUCUACAAGUAUGCAUGAUGCUUUAAUGGGAGUUUCUGGCCACCCUGCUAUUCCUGUUGAAUCAGCGAAGGUUGCUACUCAAAAUCAGAAUGAGAACAAGCUGCAUCCAUUUGGUGUGUUGUGGUCUGAGCUAGAGAGCAGUAGUACACCAGUUGAUCUUUUGCCUAACAGAUCGUAUGAUGACCAGAAGUAUCUUGAUCAAGCUCAGGAUUUGGAUCAUUUAACUCUCCAAUUGCAGCAGCAGCAGCAACAAAAGAUUCAGUUGCAACAGCAGCAGCAACAGAAGAUUCAGUUGCAACAGCAGCAGAAGAUUCAGCUACAACAACGUCAACUAGAACAAGAGUACCAAUUACAACAGAAGCUCUUACAGGAGCAACAACAGUCCCAUGCUCGGAAUUUACAUUUUCAACAGAUUCUUCAAGGACAGACUCCUGAUUCGAGACUUGGGCAGUCACAUGACUUCCAUCGACUCAACAAUGUUGAUCAGAUGUUAUUAGAGCAGCAACUAAUGGAUGAAUUGCAGAGUUCUGGCCAUAGAUCACAAAAUUUUACACCAUACAUGGAGCAGCUUGCCGCUGGAAAUUUUGGGCAGUUACAACAUGAAGGUCAUCAAAAAGAGCUACUUGAACAGCUACUUUCCGAACAAAUGCAAUCUCAAUACAGACAGAUGCAUUCUCAACAUGGCCACAUGCAAUCUGAACCAAUACGGUCUUUGGAGUACCAGCUACUACAACAAGAGCAGCUCAUGCGAUUGGCAAAUGGAGGGAGGCAAAAUACACUAUUGGAGGAACUGAGACAUAUUGACCCUCAACAUGGACAAAUGCAGUCUGAACCAAUACGGUCUCUGGAGUACCAAAUAAUGCAGCAAGAGCAGCUCAUGCAAUUGGCAGAUAGAGCGAGGCACAAUACGCUAUUGGAGGAACAUAGACAUAUUGAUCCUCUAUGGCCAUCCAACCGUAAUGAUCAGCUUCUAGGAGCUCAUCCUGGGAUCCACCGUUCACACUCUUCUGCGGGAUUUAGACCAGUAGACUUUCAUCAACAGCAGCAGAGGCCACCCUUUGAGGAUCACUUUAGUCAUCUUGAGCGGAACCUUUCAUAUCAGCAACAACUUAAUCAGGAAUUAUUCGAGCAAGGUCUACCCUUUGAGCGAUCUACAUCGGGGCUGAAUCUGGAUGCAGUAAAAGGUCUUAACCUCUCUGAGUUGCGGGAUGCCCAGAUGCAAUCUUCUGGUAGAUUAGGAAAUUCUACUCCGGGUUUCAGUCAUCAGAAUCCCCAUAUACAAUUAGGUGAACCUCAUUUUUCAGAAAUGGAACCAAGGAAAGAACGCUGGCAUGGAGCAGAUACACAGCUAGCUGGUGGCUGGCCUGAAACUCAAUUUCAUAGAUCAAAUACUGAAGCUGACCAUCAUAAAAUGAGGUCAGAAAUGAGGAGAGUGGGCGAAGAUUCCAACUCAUGGAUGGUAGAUGGACAUACAGAUGAAAAGUCAAAACAGCUUUUUAUGGAGUUGCUUCACCAGAGGCCUGGUCAUCAACCUCUCGAGUCACCAAGCAUGAAUCGUGGGGAACCCUAUGACAGGAUGGCUGCUUCAGGCUUCGGCUUUGCAGACCAUGGUGGUAGGCAAAACGCUUCAUCUUCUUUUGGGUCGCACGCAUCUUCUGAUGAACAUGUAAACGGAUUACCAGGAGAUGGGAACUAUAUGGGAUCGUUGCAGCGUAAUAAUUCAUUACUUUCUGGAAGUAUCGAUGGUGGAAGAAAAAAUGAAACUAAAGACUUCAGUAAUAUGCUUGGUAUGAGCAAAGACGUGAAUGACAUCAGAACGUGGAACAAUGCACCACCGAAAAAGGAAGGAGCGGGGUUGAUGUCAUUUGAAGCACAAGACAGAAUGGGAAAGCAAGCAGUAAUGGAUUCCUUGGUUCAAGGGGAGGUUCCUGUUGCUACGCUUGGCAGACAGUCUUCUUCCAGUAUCUCUGGUAUGUAUCUUCCCGAGUUUAGAUUUCGUUUUCCCUGAAUAUAUCAUGUUUUUUUUUGUUAUGGGGGGCUUAUGUUGAUAUUUUCUUUCUGCAGAGUCAUACAGUGACAACUUGGUUGGAGAAGUUAGAAAGGAUAGGUAAUUUUGUACUCUUAACGUUUAGCAACCGUAGAUUAGGUAAGUAGUAAAUCGCCAUGUGAGGUCUCAUAAUUGAUUAAGUGUUCUUUUAUUGUUGUAGGUUGGUAGUUCCAUCACACGGGCAGGUAUCAGUUUUGUUAAAAAGGCCUCCCUCAUCGCACUCGUCAUCACCGCACGAGGGAUUGCUCGAGCAGAUGUCCGAUGCAGCUAACAGAACAGCAGUGGGAAACAAAGGGUCAAAGGCGUCGUUCAGUGAGAUGUUGAAGAAUAGUAGUAGCAGUAGCAGCAUGAAGAAAGUGGCAGCAGAGCCAUCUUCUGAUCCAAAUGAAGGAAACAAAGGCGGUGGUGGGAAGAAGAAAGGCAAGAAAGGGAGGCAGCUUGAUCCAGCUCUUCUCGGUUUCAAAGUCACUAGCAAUCGUCUUAUGGGUGAAAUUCACCGCGCUGAUGACUUUUAGUCAUUUCUGAUACCCUGAGAUCCAUUCAAGCGUUUCUUCUUCUCCGGCGUAAUUAUGGUAUAAUUCGAUCUUCCUAUGCUUUUGUUUGGUUAUGAUUUGAUGGUUAAUGGUGACCUCUUUGUUUGAAAUAUGAAUCACGUGAAUAACAGAAUGGCAUCUAUUUUUCGAAAUUCGAAUUGGAUUAGCCGACUUCUUAUCUGCAAUAUUGUGGAUUGUGUACUUGGUUUUAGAUGCAUGGGUAAAUUUCUUUACCUGCCAUUGCAUUAUUAUGAAUUGUGCAAGUCGGUGUGAAGCUUUUUAUCCGGGAUGAACCAUUACUAUCUAAAGUCACACAUAAUGGGAGAUAUGAUUAUUGAUCGAUUCUGUGUUGGUUUGGUAAUUGCAGAAAACUUCAAAGCUUACUCGCAGACAGGAAAGUGGAGAAGUUUGACAAAAACGUUACAAAGAGAGGUUUUGUACCUGAGACCACCACCUGUAAGUUUAUCUCUUUUAGAUAACCUGUAAGGAACCAUGGUCUGGAAUCUGAAUCAUUUCAGUAUACUGUGUAGGUACAGCAGCUCUCUUCCAGAUCAUGAGGACUGCAACUAGCGGAGAUACACAUUCAAGCUUGAAGAAUCAAGUUUAGAAAUGAAUCUUUCUUCUUCUGUCUUGACUCAUUUUCUCUCCUUAGAAUCCAACUUUCCGUUUACUUGUGCAUAUUAAUGUAAUGAAGAGUCUUUUCUUCAAGCUAUAUGUCCUUGUUGUUAUGCUUUUGUUCACUUGGUACGACCCACACGCAGUUGAUACUAAAUACAAGGAGUAAGUAGUAGAUAGAGUAUACAGCAACCUCUAAGAAAGUGAACCAAAGAGAAGAUAUGUUCAAGCACUAGCCGUAGGGGAGGGAUGAAAAGCUGUUCCGCAAGCGAUCCAAAGUCUUUUUCUCCGAAGCAAGGUACAGAGAGGGACCUUGGUCCAUUCCUUUGUAAUAAAAUCAAUCAGCCGGCGUAGUUAUAGAAUGAAGAGUCUUUCCUUCAAGCUAUCUGUCUGUGGACCCCAAGGACAACAAUAUGUUGCCUAGACGAUUCAUCCUAAAUUCCUAAUGUACUUUCCGUAAAACUAGCGCAAUAUGUUUGCAUUCUGUCAACCUCCUCUACAACAUUGUCAUCUUCUUCUGAAGCUCCAAUAUGCUAAUUCACGUUGCAGCGUUUAUAGUCAGAUGCACUGCUUCCAUUUCCCAUUAGACCAUUUCGUAGGACAAUGUCUAUUUUGGGGUCCAUUAACAUAAAGUAAAGCGUGCUAUGGAUAGUCAUCCGCUGUGACUUAAGGUUAAGCAAUACAGGGAGUUUUUGUUGGACGGGAUGGUCCAUGCAUUUCUCAAGGAACCAUAGACUUCAUACUCUCCACAUCCAACCCACAAGACCUUAUACCCGUCAAUGGUGGGUUGUUGUCAUCACAUCAAAUAUUAUGCUUUGCUCAAAUCAUGUCACUUCCAUUUAUCCAUAGCAAUUACCAUUAUAAUUUUUAAAUAAUGAGAACCCAUGAUGAUACCUCUUAUUAGUGUUUUACUUCUUUUUUUCCAAUAAUAUUCUUACAUGUAUAGAAUAUUCGGUCCAAUUGAUAAAGCGGUAAAACAAGAUUACAAAAGCAUGACAACAACAACGGCAACUAACUUCAAGACAACAUUAAAAGGUUUGAUAAUUUUAUAUAGAAAAGACUCUCAAAAUUCUUCACAACAUGUAGUAAAGUACACAGAAAGCUAAAGCAUUCUACAAUAAGAUUAAGGGAGAAGUGAGACAAGAAAGAAGAAGUGGUUUCGUUUAUGCCAUGCCUCCGCUAGUUGCAGUCCUGAUGAUCUGGAAGAGAGCUGUAACAAAGCGCAUACAAAAGUUAAUCAACAUAUACUAGUGUAACACACAAUAUAUUAUUAUAUAACCAAAUAAUCCAUAUUCAAGACCAUGUUCGUUAUUUGGAAACCAGGAGUCAACACUAAGAUGCUUUCCAACAUAAUCAAAGCUAAAAGAGAUUUAGGAAUACUCACAUGAACCAAUGACGACGAAGACAAAGAAGCCGAGGAGGAUGGGUCCGACAGGGUAGUCCUUACCCUUCUUGGUGGUGGUCUCAGGAACAAAACCUCUUUUAGUAAUGUUCUUGUCAAACUUCUCUAUCUUCCUGUCUGCUAGCCUCUUUGAAGUUGUCUGUAAAUGAUCAAAAUCAACACACACAGAGUCAAUCAUUAAUCACAGCCGACACCAAUGGUUAUUUCUGGUUCAAGCAUUUUCUAGUCAGAAUAUAAUUAUGAACAAAAACAUCUAAAUCAAGCAACACCAUAAAUGCAGACAAGAACUCAGCUAAUUUCUAACACAAAAAAAUGAUCAAAUUUUAUAAUGAUAUUCGAUUUUUUUUAUGAUUUCAGACACAACAUAAAAUCCUUGUUAUAUAAAUAAGCUCAUGAAAUCCUCAAAUAAUGUGAGAAUCAUGAGUUAUAAAGAAAAUGUUUUUUAGCCGAUUCAAAAAAACUAUUUUAGUCAAAGAUUGAGAUCGAUGGAUGUACCAUUAUUACGCCGGAGAAGAAACACUAAGAAGGGAUGAGUGAAUCGGAAUUGACGUUCGCCGUGUCGGAGAGAAACUUGUCUUUGUCUUAAAGAGAGUUCUGUUUCUCCUGCCUGUCACCAACUUAUUAAAAAAGAGUAUCGGCGAACGUCGUCACAGCUCUCUCUGAUUGGAUACUGAGACGCGAGAGGUCUACGUGGCGGUCAAUGAUUGGUGCUUGCGAAAGCCUUAUGGUCACGUGGACUAAAAUGAAAACUUUCAGUUAUAUCUCUCUCAGGCUUUUUAAAGGCCCAAUAAAAAGUAAAUCGAGAGGCCCGUUUAGCAUCUGUUAGUCUCUUGGUGGCUCUCUAUUGAAACAUUUCAGUUGUAUCUCUCAGGCUCUUUAAAGGCCCAAUAAAAAGUAUAUUGAGAGGCCCGUUUAGAAUCUGUUUAGUCUCUUGGUGGUUCUCUAUUGAAACUUUUCAGUUAUAUCUCUCGCAGCCUCUCUGGUCUCUCUCUCUCUCUUUCUCUCUCUCUCUCCAUAUCAACGAUAGAGAGAUGGAUCCAGACGCAGUAGCCAAGGCUUUCGUGGAGCACUACUACACCACCUUCGACGCGAAUCGCGCGGGCUUGGUGUCUCUCUACCAGGAAGGAUCCAUGCUGACCUUCGAAGGGCAGAAGAUCCAGGGCUCUCAGAACAUCGUCGCCAAGCUCACCAGCCUCCCUUUCCAGCAGUGCAAACACAACAUCACCACCGUCGAUUGCCAGCCCUCUGGUCCCGCCGGCGGUAUGCUCGUCUUCGUCUCCGGUAAUCUCCAGCUCGCUGGCGAGCAGCACGCUCUCAAGUUCAGCCAGGUCUCCUUUCCCCCCCUCCCUCGAUUGAUAUGUGAUUAGGGCACUUUGAAGUUUGAUUGAUUUGGAAUUGAAACGAAAUCUCGGACCCUUGUUGAUUGAUAGAUCCGUGAUUAGGUUGUGUAGAUGUGAUCGUUGUUAUCUAGGUUUGGCAUUUAGAUUGUCACUUAAGAGUAUAGCAUCGGAUUGCUAGGAACCAUAUGGUUCUUCUUGGUUAUGUCAACUAUGCUACGUUAGCUACGAUAUGCUGCUGCAUUCGAUUAGAUUGUCUCAGCUCUGUAAGUGUUCCUUGUGUGUGUAUCAUCAUCUGCUGUUAGAGUCUUUUGUUUCUCUUUUUUGAUAUUGGAGACUCUUAACUUGAUUCGUCACAUGGGAAGAAGUAUCAUAUAUCUUUGUUAUAAGUUUUGUGUAAACAUGGUAGAUAUGUACUAAGCCAAGUGGGAUGCACUCAUGUCAAUUUUGACCUACUCACAGUGAGCUACAUUUGCAUCUCUCAUGUUGUGAUCUUAGAUACUGUAACAUAUAGAUCUGAUGACUGCCGUGUUGUUCUCAUUUUGCUGGUACGUAAUGCUAUCUUCCUGACAUACCUGACUUUUGUGCCACAGAUGUUCCAUUUGGUGUCGAAUCAGGGAAACUACUACGUGUUCAACGACAUAUUCAGGUUGAACUAUGCUUGAGGAAUGUAUUGACAAUGGUAUUGGCACGGGUAUUAUAUGAACCAUUCUUACAAAAGCCAAAAGAGACUCAUGGAAGUUUGGGGGUUAGUUCAUGUUGGAUUUUAGUAGAUUUGAGAACAUAAGCUUGUUUAUGGUGUUUUUGAAGUCUGUUUUUAUUUUAAUCAAUGGAAGGUCUUUUGUUACUUUGGUUCAGAUGACUCUGUGUUCACAUGAUUCAGUAAGUGCUUAUUGUUAAGGAUAAAACAAAAAGCUUAUUUGAAAGAUGGUUCUCUGUUGGAACCCUUUUCAUGUUAAAACAAACUAUUCUUUAGCAAUUUCUUCUGUACUCUCCUUCCAGAUGUCUCCACACCCUUGUGUUUUUCUUUGGAUGGUGAACAAUCUGGCGACGAAUCUUCUUCUUUGGUAGUUUCAACUGUUUUUUGGAGGGUGUUUGGUGUGUGUAUAAGCAAAAAAUUAGCAUCAGCUCUCAAGUCCUAUACCACCAAUACAGACGGUUCUGGCCAUCAAACAACAACCUGUCAAAACACACUUUACUUUAUGAGAAUUGACUUAAUUUUGUCUAAUCACACAAUAAUAAUAAUUUGAAAAGAUAAGCUCAUUGUUACAUCAAAGACCCAAGUUGUUCUAAUGAGUAUAAGAAAGACACUGACAAAAUAAAAAUCCUGUUCAUUUACUUUUUUCGAGUAAUCCAACCCCACAACUAAUUGGAGCUUUGUUUUGCUACCAAAAGUGUGAUAAUUGACAGACGACCAAACAGCUUGUUAUUGUUCGAUUCAUGAACAAGCGGAUUUCACCAACUCAAAUCACUCAUUACACAGAGGUAUUUAGUUUUCUUUUCACAAAGUUGAUUUACUCAAACAUCAUAUUAAAUCUUGUACCUAGAAGAAAAAUUUGAUUGUGGGGCAACAGUAGAUUAAUCAAUUUAAACCAAACAUAGAAGGAAUGGAAAAAGCUCAUCGUUCUCGUCUUCGAUGAAAGGAGUCAGCAACACAAGCAGCAGCUUCUCUAUUCCUCUUUUCAUCAAGAAGUUUCUCGUUGGCUCUGCUCAGAACCUCUACAUCUUCACUUGACUACAUUCCACACACGACCUCUUUUCUCCAACUUCUCUCCGCCGCUUGAAAGAUGUUUAUUGCUUACACUUGUAUUAUUACUUUAUUCUUUUAAUUAGCUCAAGUCUUUGUUGGUAAUGGACGUAACUAAGUCAUGACUAGACACGUAACAUCUAUUGACCGACCGCUUCUUGAAUAAGUCACGGUACCUCUUCCACCAUUUUUUCUUUUUUUAUCUCUAAGAGAAGCUAUAAUACAAUUUUGAACCACCAAAUCAUUUCGGUUUAAUUUCUGAGUGCGAAGCUUCAUCCCAUACUUGACAAUUCGAGGUUGCCCAUGAUCUGCACCUGACACCUUUUUAUCAAACUAUUAACCAAUAAUAGUUGACUGCUACUCCAAGAUACAAACAAAUCGAGACAGAUUGUAGUCGAAAUCCUAUAACUUUUUUUCCUAAAUAAAUUAUGUUACAUAAUAAUAAUAAUAAAACCAUCCACGGAAAAAAGCACAAACUCAGAACGCUUUCUCCAUUUCUCUAACAGUAAAAUAUAAAAAUCUUUUUUUUUUCUUGAAAAAGUAAAAAAAAAUAUAAAAAAACUCCCAAAUAUCCACAUAAAUUUCCCCCAAAAUACAGAUAAAAGAACAUAUAUAGAAAAUCUCUAAUCUGGAUUGCGUUGUUAUAUACUCAAUCCAUCUUCUUUGUCCCGCUUUUCCGGAUGAUAAUUGAGGUUUUCGUCGCUUCACAACAGCUUCCAUUCUGGGAAUAUAGAAACAACAAUUGAAUUAGCUUCAAACCCAAAAAAAACAACAGCUUUUAAUUAAUUUCAGAAGUCAUCCACAAAAUAAUGAAAAAGUAAAUGUGAAAAAUGAAUAUAGACUAAUCUGAAUUUGUGGUGCACAAAACAAAAGACUAAUCUGAUUUCGCAUUUGUUGCCGUCACGUUACGUUUGAUUAAUCCGUAAUUAAUCUCAAACACCCAUCUCUAACAAGAUCUUCAUCAAACUACUAAACCUCACGAAAAAUUUAACAAAUAUAAAGCCUAAAAGAUUCAAUAAAAUUACCAGAAAUGUCCUUCCUCGAUGAAAAAGAAGGUGGCGGCGUCAAGACGUAAGAGAGGAUCGACCUCCCAGCCAUGGAAAUGGCGGAGACGAUCCCAGCAACAUAAAGAACCACGAUGAGAGCCAGAACCCAAGGCAACAAGAGGAAGCCGAUGAAGAAAGUCACGGAUCCACACAGCAUCAGAGCCACGGAGAUACCGAGCAGCAGCGACGCGAACCCCGAGGGAGAUAUAUGAGCCAUCGAAGGCGACCGAGUCCUCAUCAUCGGCGAAUCCGGGAAGUGAUCGGGGAGAGAAAUCGGCAUCGGCGGAGAGCGGAGGAGGCUCAGGACAAGAGCCGAGAGGUCGUAGAAAGCCCUGGAGUCUUGAUCUCGUUGGCUUCUCAUCGUUCACAAAAUAAUAUUCUCAAGAAAGGUUUAAUGGCAGGAGUAAUGGAGAGGAUGAUGAUUGCCGUUCAGACAGAACCGAAACACAGACGAGCAAAAUGAAACUGACUUUUUAUAUAAAUCUUUCUCUAUGAACAGAAGAAUCGUGUGUGUCUAGAUAACGAGAAAAAGCAACCAUAAAGAAACAAGACACGCGUGUGAACACGCGAGGGUGAGGCGAGUAUGGACAUGCUGGAUUCGGACCAAUUUGGGGGGGGGNNNNNNNNNNNNNNNNNNNNNNNNNNNNNNNNNNNNNNNNNNNNNNNNNNNNNNNNNNNNNNNNNNNNNNNNNNNNNNNNNNNNNNNNNNNNNNNNNNNNNNNNNNNNNNNNNNNNNNNNNNNNNNNNNNNNNNNNNNNNNNNNNNNNNNNNNNNNNNNNNNNNNNNNNNNNNNNNNNNNNNNNNNNNNNNNNNNNNNNNNNNNNNNNNNNNNNNNNNNNNNNNNNNNNNNNNNNNNNNNNNNNNNNNNNNNNNNNNNNNNNNNNNNNNNNNNNNNNNNNNNNNNNNNNNNNNNNNNNNNNNNNNNNNNNNNNNNNNNNNNNNNNNNNNNNNNNNNNNNNNNNNNNNNNNNNNNNNNNNNNNNNNNNNNNNNNNNNNNNNNNNNNNNNNNNNNNNNNNNNNNNNNNNNNNNNNNNNNNNNNNNNNNNNNNNNNNNNNNNNNNNNNNNNNNNNNNNNNNAACAUAAAUUGAUUAAAUAUUCUAAUUAUUCAAAAUUUUGUUAUUUAGAGAACCGAAUCUUAUCCGAACCGAAGUAUUUGUGUAUCCGAAUUUAUCUAAAAAUAGAUUUAUAUACUUAUAUAUAUUAAUUAUUUUUAGAUUUAACGUAUAUAAAACAUCAAAAAUGAUACUUUUAAAUUGGUUUAAAUACUUGAAAAUAUAUAUAGAUAGUCAAAAGUAAAUAUCUGAAAUAGUUAAAGUAUACUCAAAUCACCAAAAAUACUUAAAAUAAUUAUUGAUUUCGUAUCCAAAAUUUUAAAUCAAGCCAAUUGAUAUGUUAAGCUUAAGUAUUAUGACAUAUGUUAUUCAAAUUUAUACGUAAUAUAUUAUUUUAUUUAUACAUUUUGAGAAAUUUAAAAUAUAUAAUGAUUUAAGACUUUAAAAAUAAUUUAAAUUAGUUAUCCAAACCCAAACCAAACCCGCAAAGAUCCAAAUCGAACUCAAACCAAAAUUUAGAAACAUUCUAAUAAGGCUGAAAUCUUUGACCCCGAAAACCCAAAAUACAAACCGAUCAGAACUAAACCCGUAUGGGUAUCCAAAAGCCCAUCCCUAGUCAUUAUUAUAUAUCGUAUUUUAUCAUCAUAUAAUUAAUCGUAUUUUAUAUGUACCAUCAUAUAAGUAAUCAUAUAAUUAAUAGUAUUUUAUACAUACCAUCAUAUAAAUAAUUACAUAUAUUAUAUUUUUAAAACUUAAUAUGAAAUAUGAAAACCAUAAUUUGAGUUGGUAUUUCAAAUUGGGCUUUGUAUUAUAUUUUUCUUAUAUAUAUUGACAAUAUUUUUUUAUAAUGGUUAUUGAAAAAUAGUUUAGUAAAAAUCCAUUUUUGAAUAUAUGUAUAUUUUUGAAUCAAUUUUUGAUAUAAAUCAAAUUUGAAUUAUUAUUUUGAUUUGAAAUAUGUAUAUAAAGUUUAAAUUUUGUUUUAUGGUUAGUUUAGAAAAAAAAAUUUUAGGGAAUUAGAUUGACCCAUUUUGGUAUAUUUUAAAAGUGGCCUAGAUAACUUUCAAUUUUAAAAAAAAAAAAUAAGUCCAUUACUUUUUUUCUUAAUACUACUAUCCUUGUUUUCAAACAAAAAUAUUUUUUUUUAAAAGACUGCAAUCCAUGUUUCCAAACACUCCAAAUUUUUAAAAGUCCUAUUCAAAUCUCCAAACAUUCCAAUUUUGUACUUGAGUUUUAAUAAGAUAGAUAAUAACAAUAAAUAAUAAUUUGUGAAACAAUAAUAUUGGAGUUUAAGUGACUAAUAAUAUUGUAAGGACCUAACCUAGACAAAAAAAUAUUUAUUCACCAAUAAACUAGCAAUGGAAUUGUUGCAUGUCCCUCGCACAUGUGCUGGUUAAUUCUCUGAGAAGUUUUUUUUCUAAUGAUUUUCUUUUGUAUCUGAUUUUAGUUUACCUUAGGUCGUUCAGUGAAAAUGUUGACAAAUUCGUGGAAUUUGGGCUUUUGAUAGGCCCUUUGAAGUAUUUAGAUAGCCCAAAAUAAUAUUAGAGGGGGGCCUAGAGACACAUGUUGGUGGUAUGCAUAACUACACGAGGCUCUGGAAUCCACUAUACUUAGGAGGUGUUAGGGGGUGUUAGUGGGGAUGAGAUUUAUAAUGAAUCUUAGAAUUUCUAAGUCUAGUGUUAUUGGUUUAUAGAUUCUCAUUGAAAUCUAUUGUUAUUGGUUUGAUGAUUCUAUAACUACAUACAAAAUCAUUUGUUAUUCAAAAAGUUUAAAUUUUAAUGAUUCUACAAAUCUAUUAAAGUAAAUGUUAUUGGGAGUUGAAUUCUUAGAAUCAUUACAUUACUUUAUUUUCAUAGAUUUUCACAAUAUACAAAAUUCUCUACAUCUCUUUCCAAAUUUAACAAAUCUCUUAACUUUUAAAAUCAACAAAUUCUAUAGAAAUCUAAGUCCCACUAACACCCUCUUAACUUAUAAUUUAUUCAAAGCCAUGAAUUGGAGCUAAAAAACGAUUUUGAAACUGGAAGCAUAUACUGUACUUACAAACUUGAAUUACACAGGGGCAUGUAUAUAGAUAUAUAUAUAUUGUCCUCAAGAUCUUAGUGUCACAGUGUACGAGGAAUGCCUGGCUAAAUUAUAUGCGGAGUAUAAUUUUGUUGAAAAUAUCAUAAUAAAACAUUACACACACAUGCACACAAGACAGUAAUGUAGAGAGAGGUAAUCAUCAUGUAGCCUAAGAGGAAAGCUAGGAGAAAGUUUCGAUUUUAAAAUGUCAAAAAAACAAAUAUGAAGAAAGUUUCAAAUAGAGUUGGUUAAGGUAACCAACCCAACAUGUAAUUAUUCGCACUUGGCCCUGCUCCCAUUCCAUGAUCUUGCUGUUGCCCCUGAUGAUACCUGUUCCAGCGUUACCAAGAAAAAACAUCCAAUUAAGAUAUCAAAAAUGUAAUAUCUCAAAAUUGGUUAGUAAUUAUAUAUAAAGUAUUAAGUUACCCCAUUUGAAAAAUGGGCUCGUAUUCCAAAGGCUGGAAGAAAGCUUGUUGUUGCGGUUGAUGAUGCCCGUAGUCAACAUGUACCUCUUCUUGGUUCGGGUUGAGUUGGAAUGGCAUCUGAUACCCAUCAGCUAACUGCCACGUAGUACACUUGUUAAUUAGUGGAUCCAUACUUAAAAAUAAUAACCAAAUUAAUUCGUUAAUAUAUAUUGUGAACGAUGAUAACGUAAGAAGUUACCCUUAGCCGUAGAGUUUUGUUUGUAUCAGAAAGCAUGCGCUCCUGUUCCAAAUUAGUAUUCAUAGGAGAGUGAGUAUUAUUAGUGUAUACAUAUAUGUAUGUCAUUUGCUUCAUCAUUCAAAUUUGUCGUUACCUUGCUCUGGAGAUCAUUGAGCUGGUCAAGCAUGAACUGUGUCUGCAAGUUUGAUAAAGCGUAUUACUUUAUAUGGACAUCAUAGUGUAGCAUAUAUGAUGAAAGAAAUAGAAGAAGUAUAGUACCCGGAGACCUCUGAUCUGCUUCAAAGAAGAAUCAAGCUGUCUCUCAAGUGACUCAAGCUCCUUCGUACUAAGUGGUCCAAGAUCUUCUCCCAAUAGAUUCCUGUAAUAUUUCAAGACAAACAAAAAUACCAUCAUGAUUAAAUUCUAAGUGUAAUUAAAAAAAAAACUCUCUCUGGCUAGCAGUACUAGCUAGCUUCAUUAUUAGUCAAUUAGUUUAACCUUUGGGUUCUCUGUAAAGCGUCGUAACGCUGCUUAAGCUUGAGAUACUCCUGCUGGCUACUAAGUUCCUGCUUUGCCAAAAAACAUUAUUGGAUUUGAAUUAAUAAAAGCAUAUUAGGAAAAAAUAAAAAUCAAGGGUAAAAGAAUAAGAAAGAGAAGGAGGGAGUACAACUGCUAAGGCCUCUCUUGAAGGCACAUUGGGCUCUGGAGGUCCAUAGUUGCACUUUUGGUACCUCUCCAGUGUCUUAAGCAUGCUGCUUCACAACAAAAAAUGGUCCGUACUAAGUAGUCAUGUAUCAAAAUUUUACCUCAGUAAUUAAUAUGAAAAAAUAAGUUUCAAAUCAACAAAGGUAAAUCUUGUUAAAACGUUUUAUAGCUAUGGUUUACAGAAUAAUCUGGGAGUCUUUUCAGAGAUCCAAUGGAUAUAAUAAGAUGAAAUUGACAUUAGCAUCAUAAUCAAACAAAAAUAGGGCGGGUGACAAAAGUGGGUAGCCAAUAAGCUCUAGUUAGUUGAAUCACUCCCAAGAGCUUCUGAAUUUAACAGCAAAGUGCUGACUGAUUUGAUCGGAUUGGGUAAAAUGGUAUAGAAAACUCUUUUAUAUGUAAAUUGGUUAUUCAUGAGAGACCCCUUAUUAAUAAUAUUAUGUUAGAUCAGAUGGCUUCUCAUAAUUCCUACGUCAUCGUCAUCUUAAUUAAGCAGAAAUACUAAGGGAACACAAAAAAAAAGCUAAAAGUUUAAUUAGGACGACACUGCAACAAAACUUUGAAAAGAAAACAAAAAUAUAUUGAAAGAAAAACAAAUGAGAGAAAUCAAAACAGAAAUGGAAAUCAUCGGAAACUCAAAAACAUAUAUAAAGGUUAUAAAUCAUUUUAGUUUCCUCUUUGCUUUCUUUUAAAGGAUGAAAGAAAAAACGUACGACACAAACAACACAUAAGAAAGACCCAUACAACACAUUUCUUUUACUUAUCAAAACAAUAGACAAAAAUGGAUAUAAAUGAAUACCUGGAAUUACUGCAAAACUCGAACAGUUUUCCUCUAUUAGAGAAGAUGAUGAGAGCAACCUCUGCAUCACAUAGAACGGAAAGCUCGUAUGCUUUCUUCAAAACACCACCCCUUCUCUUUGCAAACGUCACUUGCCUAUUGAUCGUGUUCUCUAUCCUCUUCAGCUCUACUCUCCCUCUUCCCAUUUUUUUCUUUCUCUCUUACUCUUCUCUCUCUCCCUUCUUCUAUAUAUAUACGAAUAAGCCCCUCUCUCUAAUUUUUUUUCUUUUCUUUCUGUUUUCUAGUGUGAACAUACAUUCAUUUGUACAAAUAUAUAUAUACACAUGUAUCUCACAUCACUUCUCUAAAGUACAUUAACUUGUCAGCUUCAUUAUUCUCUUUUUAUAUACCCUUCAAUUAUUGUACGUGUGCUAUUUACAGUUGUUACAAACCACCACAUAGGAUUUAUGCAAAUGUUGCAAACAUAAAAUGUUAACUACUCCAUCGAUGCUUAGAUAUUUUCAAACCUAGAAAAAUUGGGUCUUUUUUUUGUUUAUACAAAAUCGGUAAGAGAAGAGAAAUUAAGAUCUUCCCAUUAUUCUCACCAAACACUAGAAGUGGUUUCAGUUUCAAUCUUUCGUUUAAACAAAUGUGGAUGUGACCCUGUUAAAGAAAGUUAGUUCCUUCUUUUACUUUGAUUAUGGAGGAUUAAUUGGAAUUCCAACAUUAAACCCUAACAUUUAAAACCAUUAAAUUAAAGCUUUAGUUUAAUAUGGUGAUAGAGACAGAGAUAUUGGAAAAUGAAAGAUUAGUUCAUUCAACGGUGGAGAAUCGAUGAUAAGAGUAUGUGGGAUGAUGAAUGAUGGCAACCCUAAACUGAGAAGGGUAGGGCAAUGAAUGAGUUUUGACACGUGUCGCAGUCUGGAUGGUAGGGUCUGCUAAACCCACCUGAUUUUAUAUUUAUUUUUUAACUCUUGUAAUCGAUUUCAGGGAAUCAUGUGACCUAACCUUAACUAGGUGAAACCCUGUACGGUCUUUUAACUUACAGAACUACCCUUGUGCUUGGUGUAAAAAUGUAAAGUAAAUCACACUCUUAUUUGUGAUUCGUUUAUGUUGUGCUGAUAUCUAAAUUCUUACUGCUAGAUUCGUUUCUUUUUACAAUGCGCUAGAUAUUUUUGUUUUUUUGGUCUAACUAGAUAUUUUUGUUACUGAUCUCAUAAUAAAAUAUAAAUGUCUGUUUAUUAGUUUAUGAAACACUCCCAUGUUGAUAACUUUAUUUUGGUAUGCGAAUCUGAGACACAAAUACAUACAAAGUUGAUGUAAAACAUAAAUGGAUAGAAUAAACAGAGUUUUGAAUAUAGGUUAUAGUUUAAUUUGGUUAUCUUAGGGUUCGUCCGAUGUUAGAGAUCAUGUCCGACCAAAACUCUUAGUGCUCUAUUUUGACCGGUAAGUAGGUGAUGGACACAAAGGGAUGAUUCAAUUAGAAAAACUAAACAUAGCAUUAUUAUUCUGUCUGGUUAAAUAAGCUUAUUUUCUCUGAUUUGAAAGUUGAUUCUCUAGCUUGAUCGUCUAAGCAUUUCUAGCAAAUUUGUAUGCGUUCUAAUAUUUUUAUAUCCCUAAUUAAGACAUUUUACUUUCUUUUAUUAAUGUAAGAAAUAACUAAAAAAUUAAAUUACUGGUUUAUAUACAAUCAAAAUUAGUUAGAAGAGGGUAUGAUGAGAAAAGUAGUCAAGUACGUAUUCUCUUCUUAUCAGCUGUGGUCAUAUUUUUCAAUGUAAGAUGACGACAAUUGAUAAAGAUGUUGUGCAUUAAACUACAAGAGAAACUAAAGUACAUUCAACUAUUUAUUAUUGAUGUGUCAUUGAUACCAAUGAUCUUCUGUUUUUUUCCUUCUCUUGUUGUACUAUAUCUUCUUCGACCUUUUUUUAAUGCCGAGAAACUUCAAAUAAUCCUCAUGUAUCAUAUAUGUGGUCGAUCUACAUGGUCUAAGACCAAAACAAGGACACUAUUUUUAGUUUUAAACAUUUCAAGAAACCAAAGACAUUCUUGAAGUCUCCGUAAGGCAUUUUUAUCCUAAGGAAAACAAAAAUUCUGUAAGGCAUAUACUAUAUUUUAAUGAUAAGACGUGAGAUAUUGUAAGAUAUAUAAAUACUUCGUAAGUGGAUAUCGUCGAAUAUAAAUAAAAAGGGCUUAUAUGAAAGAAAGAAAGAAGGAAGCACUACUCUUUUUCUCUGUGGGAUCUUAUGCCCUGAAGCACACACAGGACCUACCAAGAAUAAAAAUCCAUCGAUGAGAUCCGACGGUUACGAUGAGUUCUCAAAAUCAAACAUGAUAUAUUACACAUAGGAAAGAUAGAAUCUUGAUGCUAAAGAAACGGUGAUGAACGGUGGUGGAGACCACCACACAUCAACUUUCAAGUUGCACUACAAAUAAAUGCCACGUGAAAUCCUUCCUACAGGACAGCUAUGUUGCGGAGUACUGGUGAUGUGGUCCAUUGGCUGUGAGAUUGAAUCGGACGGUUAUCAGACGAUGUCGUGGAGGAUUGACUGAGAUAUGAGAACCGUCGGAUUAAGCUGCUAAAUAUAGAUAGACAGGGUCCAUGUCAAGACGUAAUGGGAAGGGGACCUCAUUGCCAAAAAUAGAAAGAUGGGGGCUAUCUUCGAAUAAGUCACGUCUCGGGUUUAUUGAGUGGGGUUUUAAGCUUUGGGGACCAGCCUCUCUUUAUUUUUCUUUUUUCACCAACAGGCUGCGAUAUAUAGUAAGUUACUGUAGUCCUCGACUCAUAGUCAUCAUGCAUCAAAUAAAAGGUUUCAGCUUCCAAGAAAAAUGGUUCACACUAAUGUACAUGUUAUUCACAAUCUCAUAUCACAUUAUCACUAACAAAGUUAUAUUAACGAAUGAAUAUUGAUUUCUCUUUUUUAUAUUGCUUUGUUUCUUGCAUCCACUAUUAAGUUUCAGAUUAAAAAAUCCCAUUAAACAUGUUGGCAUUAAUGUAGUGAUUAAAGACAUCGAAGAUAUAAUUCAUCGAUCCUUGUGAAACCUAAGAAACUCUACAAGCUUGUCUUUGUAUUAUACGAGGAGGAUAUGAAGUCACGUAUGAAUGCAAGACAUGUGAGUAUUUCGGCUGACAGAAAAAAACAUACUAAAUAUUUCCCAAGAAAAAUAAACAUACUAAAUAUUUUCCCAAUUAUUAGUACUUAUUAGAACUGGUCUUUGGCUAAAGCUGAUCAAACAAUAUUUAAACGAAGUAAUAUAUUAAAGUCUAUUAACUAAUAAUUUAGAUGUCAUACCUUUGAUGUUGAUUACUAUAAGUCAAUGGCUACAGCUUAGAGGCUUUCGAGUUCUCAGUCUUGUGCUCAAUCAUCUACUUCCAACGUGUUCAAUGCUGUAUAUAGCUACGGAUGUGGCUAACGGUUUUGUCAUGGAAGUGACUAUGAAAAGUCCGUAGCCACAAAAAAAAAAGGAUUUACGAUUUAGCGACGUCGACAGACAUAAAACCAAUCAUUAUCGUCAUUCCGUGACAAAUGACUAUCCAGUACGUCGCUAUGUGACAAUUUCACUCCAUGAUGAUGGAUGGUAACUUUUUUUUUUGGAUGGCAACAUAAACAUAUAUAGAAUUGGGUUAUAAUAAGUGUCCACGAAACGAUUGAAUCCGAUCCGUAACUAUCCUGCGGUAAGUUGGUUACCGCAUGUUGACAAACUCAGGUAUUUUUACAUGUAUUCCAAAGACAUCUCGUAUUUUAAUAGAAACUGGACACCAAAUAUGCUUGGUUUGAACAUCUCCACACUUUGUUAUAUUUAUUUAAUUAUUUUCGGAGCUACAUCAUACAUGGUCUAUUUGUAGGCAUUGGAUGUUAGAUAUAUAUAUAUAUAUAUAUAUAUAUAUAUAUCACUGAGAUGUGAUGCUUAGUUUCACCUCCUAGGGUGAAUGGUUAAAUUCACCUCACUUUUUAUAAUCAACCAAAUUGCCAUAUAGAACUAGUUUAAAAAAUAAUAAAAUUAAAAAAUAAAUGACUGAAAAAAAUAACACUGUUUGCCAUCUGCAAAAUCCAAAACUCUAAAAAUCUAAACCUUAAACUUUAAACCCCAAAUCCUAAAUCCUAAAUUCUAAACUCUAAAUCAUAAAUUCAAAAUUUAAACCGUAAACUCUAAAUCCUAAACUCUAAUCGCUAAAUCCUAAUUUCUAAACCCAAAACCAUCAAUCACAAGCCAUAAAUUCUAAACUUUAAACUUUAUUAGAACAAUUCUAAAAUAUUCUAAAAUUAUUAGAAUUUUAAAAUUAUUAGAAUAAUUCUAGAUGCUGACAAAAAAAAAUUAGAAUAAUUCUAGAAUUCACAAUUUAAAAUAUUUUCAAUAGUUUAAAAUAGUUUAUCAAAUAGAAAAUUUAAUAAUAUUUGAUUUUAAAAUAAUUUUAAUAUUUCUAUUUAAAUAAUGAUGAAUCUAAUUGUUAUUAUACUACAAAACAUCUUUUGUUUCUAAAAGAAUACAAAUCAUCUUUUUAACUCUCAAGUUAAUACACUUUUUUACGUUUUAUUGUAUUAAGUAUUGGCUUUCAUUUGGAUCAGUCACAUGGUUCACUUCAGCACACUCAAUCAUUACUUCAUUAGAGUAUAUAAUCAAAACUCUAUUUUAAUUACUCUUAGUUUACAUAAUUGACUAUACUUGUACAUAAAAUGUAAAUGUGUGUGUUUUUAUACAAGUAUAGUCAACUAUGUAAACGGAGUUUUGAUUACUCUAGUAUCAAUCUAUCUAGUUCCAAGACAUAGAAAGAUCACGAUUAACGAGCCAAAACAAAUAGAAAAUAGAAAACGAUAUCAAAAUCUAAAUAAUAGUAACUCAAUGAGAACAUAUAAAAAACGGGCGAACACACUUGGGGCACAAAACUGCGUAAUUGGGAUCACUAUGAGUGUGAUUGGAAACAGUUCAGAAUAAUUAGGUGAAAAAUCAAUUGACUAAAAGAGAGGAAAAUAAAAAGUGGAAACUAGAGUAGUAAAACGAACACAUUCAAAUAAGAGGGUGAACAGUUUUGCUUCCAAACCAUAAGAAAACAAAAAAAAAAUUGGAGUAAAAUGGAAUGACUACUUUUUUCUUGUUUUCACCUGAUUGGUAGAAAAAAAAAUGAGAAUAAAACACUUUUACUCUAUUAAUUUUAUUAUAAAAAGUCUAUACAAUUACAUCCUAUAUUUUUUACAGCCAAAAAUGAUUUAAAUCAUAAUUUAAAUAACGGCUUAUAUUAUUAUAUUAUAAUUUGGUUCGGAUUUAAUUUGUUGUUCAGUUAUGACAUUUUGGUUCAGAUCGAGAAUUUUUUGGUGGUUAAAGCAUCUCCUGCUAGAAACAAAUUUAAACAAAAGUGGUACCCCUUUGCUUAGUUGCUCAGCAUUUACACAAAAUAAUGAUCUCAUAUCUUCCUAGUUACUUUGCUUGUUGCCGAGGAUGAUCAUUUAUCUGACACUGAGUUAAUCAAAGAAAACAUACAAGUGUCAUUAGAAAUUGCAGUGCUGGGAUCAUCAGUUAAACUUUGGUAGGUAUAAUAAAAGUAUUUGACAAAUGGACCAGCCUUUUGUUUCAAUACAAAAAGGAAAAAAGGAUGAGAGGGCCAGACAAAACCACUGUCGACCGCUAAUAUAGACUGAUUACAAAAGGGCAGAGCAGCAACCAAACUGAUUAAUUGUGACAAUAUAUUCCAAUUAAAUAUAAGCUGCAUCCCCUACAAAAUUUAUGCACCUUCUGUCCACUAAGCAAGGGAUCGAGCAUAAACACAGCAAAAUGUAUAUUCUCUACCAGCACUUAAUCCUGGUUUAUUGAUUUCUUUAUAUCUGAAUGAUCAAACUCUCUUCAGUAUUGACAAGCCACACACUAUUGGGCUCCAGUCAAGUUUGCAGGCACUGCGUUCACCGCACUACGAGUCCUCCCUAUUCUUGGCAUUGAGAACAUACUAAACAGGCCUGAACUCGUGUUUCCAAUGGCUUCUCCAGAAGAUGUUCCAUUAGAGCUUUCGUUUAUAUCCUUCAAACCAGACAUAGACUGAGUGUGCUGAAGUGGACCAUUUGACUGUCCACGAAAAAAAAAAAAAAAAAAUCAGCACUCUGUACAAUGAAAUUCAGUUUCUAAUGGACAGACAAUGGUUUGCGAUACAACAUACCUGUUGAGCUCCAUUAGGGGUUGACGGCAACUGGGAUUCACGAGGAGAAGCAGGAGGCAAAGACAGAGACUGCUAACAUUCAAACACCAGGGGAGAAGUAAGCAAUAUAGAACAGAACAACUCUCAAUAACUUGAUGAAUGUUUUCUCGUUUACCCUUAGUGAUGGUGUCACAGGAGCUGGCUCAAGGGCUGGCACAGAGGAAGUCGAUGGCAAAGCCUAACCAAAAAAAAAAACAAGUCUGUGUAAAUAAAGAGAAAAUUCAGAUAAAAUGAAGUGCAUACUGAAGAAGGUUCAUGCUUUAUUGGACUCUUGAAGUCUUUUGUGCUCCCGGCACUGAGCAUGCAGAGCUCCAACUCCUUUAAGCGUCAGAUCCUUCAUGGACAGCAAAGAAAAUUCAAAUUCAAUCAACACAACGCCUGAUGAACAAACAAACAAUUCUCCAACUACAACUGUGACAAAAUGUUACCUGAUUUCCCUCAAUGCGAUAGACUUUGCUUGCCUGAAAUUAUUAAGAUCUUAAAAUCAUCUCUUUGUUUUAGGAGGAACGAAUUGGUUAACAUAUAUGCAAUUACUAAAAUUAUUCUCACCAAAGUUUCAACAGCCUCGAAAACAGACCUAACGUCAUCCUUCAUAUUUGCUGUACCAUCACGUAGUUCAUUCACCUAACAGUUUUGAUACAUCGUCAGGAAAUCAUCUGAAAGCUUUGCCAACGCAGUGAGUACAUUCAAUCUAACAUACCUCUCUUCCUGUUUCUUUAAUAAUAAUUGUACUUUCAUCCAAACUACGAUCCAUCCUGUCAAUUUCUGAACCUAACUCCCGCUUUGUACCCUGCCAUCACAUGUAAACAGAACCAAAUGAGACAAAAUAUUAAUGCUCUGCAACUCAAUCAAAAUCACAAAAUGUACUAAAUCUGUUGGAUAGAUUAGCUCACAAAAGGAAGCAUCAUAACUGAUCAAAAUAUAGUUCAAUGGUCAUGUCAAGAAAAUAUGGGAAGUAAGAACUUACCGAGAGGGAUUCAUAAAACCCAUCGAUCUGGCUGCCAACGUUAUUACACGCAUCUGAUAAGCUGCGCCUUGUCGCAAACAUAAAAUCAGGAAGUUUCCAGCCCUGAGAAUGUUGCAGAAUAAAUCAGUGCGCCAGUCAUAGAAAAAUAAACUACAAACAAAUGAGGCCAGGUCAAAGUAAUAGGCAAGGAGAACCAAAUGAGUUGUUUUCCAAAAAUACAAAACUUUUGAGUAGCAAACAGCAAUUCAAAUGAGCAAGUAACUAUCUCAGGUAGAUCAAUUAUGUGUGAAGUAUUGUUUACCUUCCACCAUACAUAUCCGUAGCCUAUCACCCCAAUGAUAAUGAUCCAACCAUACUUCUUACCACCUGGAAAUUAAAGGAAACUGUCAACUAUUUGAUUUUAAGCUAAAAUUAACAGUAAGCAAAAAAUGAUUCCACAUUAAUGAAAUGACACUGAUCAGACAUAAGUCUGCCUUCUUUGAUGCCAAAAAGUAGCAAGAGAAGAAAAAAAAAGCCUGAAAAUGGAUCUCAUAAGCUAUGGACAGACAAAAUAAAAGAUUGAGAAAGAUUCUACUGUCCUGUUUCAUAUCAAUAUAAUAACCGAACCAAAUUGCUCAUUUUAAACAGAUUUUUAAUGCAGAAAAUUUCAGAGCAGAGAGGAACUCAAAGCUUCAACAGAGAAAUUAUAAAGGACCUGAUCCUCCUGUCGAAAUUAUAGUAAUCGGUCUGUUUGAAGCCAGCAACUGCAGUUCAUGCCGAAGACUGUUAACCUGCAAGAAAAUUAGAGAUCAUACAAGUAAAUCUAACUCCCCCUCCACAAGUCUUUCUAAUACUCGCCACUAACUUAGAUUCAUUUCAAACUAACCUGGGCUGUAAGUGUAUCAUUGCGAGGCCUGCUGCCUGACUUGGCAGGUUCAUCUUGUUUCAGCUGCCUAAGUACAAUCUAUCAAGAGAAAACAAACCAUUACCCUCAUUAUUCCAAACAGUACCAUACACUUUUGGCACCAAAAACUUCGUUGAAUAUUGAAAAAGGAUAAAACUUUUUCAUGUCAGAGGAUGGGUGAGAAAAUAACAGAAGCUUAGGUAACCUUAAAAGCACCAGAGACGAAAUGGGAUACAUCAGGUAAGCUCCCUUCUUUUGCAAGCACUGACCCAACAAGACCUAUAGUAGUAAAGACGCGAGUUAGACAAGCAUUAAGCUCAGUGAACACACACUAAAAGAUCAAAAGCUUCAAACUUUGUGCCCAAAGAUGAUUCAUUGAUUGAUUUAAAAGUGAUAAUUCUACAGGAAUCAAAGGGUUUAUGAAAAGCCCUAAUUUUCUAAUCCUCCAAUUGCGAUGUCCCAAUCAAAAAGCAAUUGUUCAGUAAUACAAUAGAAGACCCAAUUCAUGAACGGACCUGCACCGAUGAGGAUGGUGAGCUUCCCGAGCGGAAGAGCCAUAUACGAUUGAUGCCCAGAGACGAAAGACUCUGCCUUGCGAGCUUGUUACGGCAAAGGAUUAAGGUGGCAGAGGAAGACGCAUCAGAAGAUCGAAGAGAGAAUUGGUAGAGAAGAGAGCUUCGGAGAGGUGGAAUCGGCGAGAAAGAUACGCUCUUGCGACGACUACAGAGGGAGGGAGGCGGAGAGAGAGAGAAGAGAGACAAAAGAAAAAUUGGAGGCGACAGUGUUGUGUUGUGUUCCUCAAGUGACUUGAGAAACAAUAUUUUCUCUAUUUUUUUAAUAUUUUUUGUGGGCCGAAAUAAAUUCAAAAUUGUGAUGAAAAGGCCUUAGAAUAUGCUCUGAAAAGAUGCCCACGAGUUUAGUUUUUAUAUUUGUUUUAAUUGGAAAAAAAAAAAUCAUAGUAGCCUUUUCUAUGCUAAUGAGUCAUGAGGCUGGGCUCAAGAAAGGCGUCUGUUUCAGGCAUACGUGUGUUUCUUUUGGAUACAUAGAUCAGAGCAGGACGAAAUGUAAUUUGGAAACAGAUACCACAUUACAAUAUAUAGGCGCUUUUGUGCCUGCUAUAGAGUUGUACUUGUCCUAGUAAUGAUAAGUUAUGUGUCAGUCAAAUUCCAUAUAUGCGUCAUCUGGACCAAAAUGAAAAAGCUCUGCAAUAUCAAAUCUAACAUGAUUGAAAAAGGGGCUUCCAACAAUUAAAUCUAAUAAUCUCAAAAUGGGAUAUGAAAAAAAGAAAGAAAAGAAACAAACUAUAGAUACGAUAUAAUGAUCAACAACCCAGAAAUUGUCAAGUACUAGUAGAUGAGUUGAAUACUUUAUGCUCGAUACCUAGCUUAGUUGCUAGAAAGAUCUAUAUGAGAAUCUCUCUUUCUUUCUUUCUUUAACAUCUGCUUAAAUCAAACAAAAGAUAGAUUUGCUGUGGCCCACCUUCUGAAACUAUGUACCUAUUACAUUAACUUUGUUACUAAGCAAACAUAUAGAUAUGAUUUUUCUAAAAAUGUUGUUGUAACUCUAAAACUAGAGAGUGAGGGUGUUACCACACAAACCUACUGGGAGAAAGAAUCUGCAAACCAUGAAGAGAAUCAUUAUACAGUUUCAACACAACUAGGUAAAGACUUGUAUCAAUAUUUCAUAUUAUUAUAAGCAUUUAGCUUUGUUUAAUGGAUUCCAAGAACAAAGCAUUUGUUUAGAAAUUUCGAAAGGAGCUUUUUAUUUUUGAAGCGAGAUGCCUCACGCAUUCGGAUUCCAAAGCCUCCAAAAACGCCAAUUGAAUAAACCCAGCACGUCCGGUAACACCUUCCUCGCCAAGCCCCUGUGCCUAGUCCCCGCAGUCACCGGAAACCUCAACAUUUCCGGUGACUCCUCAGGCUUAACUUCAUCUACAGGCUCCACCGGUUCUUCGGGUCGCUCCACGACCCGGCGACUACGUGAUUUCUCCUUCUUUUUUCCUCCUCUGCCGCUUGACUUCUCGCUCUUGGCUAGAUGGUCUUCGUAGGCUUCGAUGAUCUGGUGGAUGAGCUCACGGUUAGGCGAGGAGUCCCACCUGAACCAGUAGCUCGUGUAGCAUUCGAAACAUUCACAGUCGAAAACCGGAGCUUUACGAUGAGUCCUAGCUUUCUUGUUCUUCGAACCAGAAGAGCUUCUUCUUCUCCCGGAGGAUACGGCGGGGGUGGUGGUGGUGGUGGUUUUGAGUGAACGGGUGAUUAAGUAAGCAAGGACUUGCUUGUCUUCGGGAGAGAGAGAGGAGAGGAGAAGGAGAAUCACAGCAGGGAGAAGCUUCAGGACAGAGAGACAGUUGUCUACUUUGGAUGAAGAAGAAGGAAAUGAAGGAAGAGGAGGAGAUGGGUGGACUUGACCUUUCUUCUUUAUUUUCAUGGCUGAUGAAUGAACGAUGCAAGCUUUACAGAGAGAAGAGUUUCUUUUGGUGCGUUUAAUUAUAUUAUAUAUAGUUUUAUUAAAAGAGAAUUUGUACUUCCUACACACCACUUUUUCCUUAUUUGCACUUCAUACUCUAUAUCCCUCCAAUUUUCUUCCCCCCAACAUUACCAUUUCCCCCCAUUCAAUGAUAUCCCACCUUUGUUAGUAUAUUUAGCUAAUUUACUCUUUUUUUAAUAGGUUAAGCAGAAAAGGAAGGAACACAGAGUAACGUGGUGUUCUUUUUCAUGUUUGUUUAUUCUCUACUCUUAUUAUUCCCUUAUUUUAUUAAGAACAAUAGUAAUUUUUCCCUUUUUUCUGACGGCAAAUCUCAAAAAAAAAUAUUCUCUUUCGCUAAAUUCCUUUAUUUCUUUUCAGUUUCAGUAAACUCCAAUAAAAUACCCACAAUUUUUGUGUGGUUUUCUCUAAAUUUCAUAAAACUUUUUAUGGUAAAAAAUAUGGAAUUAGAAGUUAAUGUUCAAAAGAGAGAGUCAAUGAACCAAAUUUCCUGAAAGUCCGAAUGCCGACAACCGGAAUAAUUGCGGACGGUCCAAAUAGAAAAAAAAACGUAUAUAUUUUUGGUAUUAUUAACUGCGGUGUAGUUUUUUCCGUUACUAUUCACACUUAAAAACAAAUACCAUAAAUAGCUUAGAUAUAUAAUUUAUGAUUUUACUGUUUUUUACGAAUGCUAGAAUAUUAUUGGCUUAUGGAUCGGACUAUCCAAAUUGUAUCUAGAUGCUCAGUUGGUGUGAGGUGAUGUUGAUAAGGAUUACUUGGUGAGGGAACUUGAUAUAACAUGACAAUUCUGCUAGAAAUAUUAGGGUGUUACAACUUUGGCGGUGAUAGCAUUUAUUAAUAAAUGUUAGUAUAACGUUCCGACCGCUCAAUGAGCAAUCUAUGUCCGUUCAAUCGGUCUGCGAGCUCCAUCACGUUUGACGGGCGGUGCGUUAAUUUUUUGGAAGGCUUGAAAGUCUUGUUUACUGAUUCUUGUAAUUACCACAUGACUUUUUCCGUGUUUUGACUUCAUUUGUACGAUAUUACGUAUCACUUUUCAUUUAGUCAUAUAAUUUUUUACUGUUUUAGCUCAAACAUGCUUAACUCUAAAAUUCUAAAUAGAUGUGUGUGCCAGAAAAAAUAAACAUAUUUUGAUGAAAUAGAUAAUUAAAUCAGUUAUCUUAAGCCUUUUAACAUAUACCACAGACCUAGAGAUAUUAGAGUUAGUUUGAAUUCUUUUGGACUCCGAGAUGCCUGAAAUGAUAGCGAAAGCUUUGAAGAUCAAGUUGUUUCGGUCAUCGGGUCCUUUUGCACAAAGUUUUGGCCUAUGCCGUUAUUUAUAUUUUCAUCGUUUACAUUGAACUCAGGUGGUAUAAACCUUAAUAACUAGUUUGAACCAAAAAAAAACCUUAAUAACUAGUUACCAUAUACUAUUUGUUCAAAAAGAAAAAACUAGUUACCAUAUACUCAAUGAACACAAUAACUAUAUCCUUUCUGUUUCAUCCAUCAAGUCAUUUUCACAAAGCUCUCUCUCAGCGGAUAAUUAUUAUAUUUGUUUCAAAAUAUAAGAUAUUUUAGGAAAAAUGCAAAUAUUAAGAAGUAUAUUUUUACCUAUGAUAUUUUUCAAAAGUAAUACUAGAAAUAUAAAUUUAAAUUAGUUUAACCAAUUAUAAAAUAAGCUAUAAGCUGUACAAUGUUGCAUACUUUCUAAGAAAAGAAAAACAAAAUUACAUAGAAAGUUGAAAACACGAAGCAUAACAGUAUAUUCUGAAACAGAGGGGAAUAUUGUCAAAGAAAAAUUAUAUAGCAUCAGCUAAUCACAUGAGAUGAUUAGGUUAAGAGUCCACUUGUAAUUUCGUUGAACCGAAUAAUCAAAAACACUUUUGGUUAAACAGAGGGAAUAGCCUUUCGCUGAACCAUACCAACAAAAGCACCAACUUGGCAAAGGCCUAACCUUUGGCAUCCGUCAAAAGGCUCAAACAUUUCGAACAAUUUGUCCUUAAACACUCUUCUUAAGCGCAAUUAUCAGAUUAACAUCAAAACCAAACCCAUCUUACUAACUUGUCUUAAAUCAAUUCGAAGAUGUCAUCGUCUCUCUCCCGCCCUUCCUAUUCUUCCUCCUCCCGCACCUCGUCUCCUUUCUUCCCGAAUCACUCUUCCCUCAUCAAUGGCGGCACACGAAGCUCACUCUCAUUCCUCUCCGCCUCUCCUCAGGAGCUAUGUCUUAGAUCGAAGAGGAAGUCCGUUCAGAGCUCUGUUGUAUUGCAAGAUGGUAACUUUACUUGGAUUCUCUCUGCCCUUUUUAGGUUUUCCUCUCUGUGCCUUUGGGUUGCUGGUAUAGCGUAAAGGUUGAAACUUUGGAUUGUAUACAAUUGGUUUCAGGGGCAGUAGUAGUCACGAACUCGAGCCCAAUUGAGAAACUUAAAGACGGACUUUUAUCGGUUCCGUCACAAGAAGUUGUGGCAGAGCUUGGUGGCGGCGAACAUGAGUCAACAGUUAGUAUCACGGUGGUUGGAGCCUCUGGUGAUCUUGCCAAGAAGAAAAUCUUCCCAGCUCUUUUCGCACUUUACUAUGAAGGCUGUCUUCCUGAGGUAAGAGAUCUCUUCAUGUCUUUACUGUCUGAUGAGUCUAGUAAUAAAUUGAAUCUAGUAAGCUAUUUUGUUGUUGUUGUGGUUGCAGACUAAUUGGUUUUAUUUUGUUUCUUAGCAUUUUACAAUAUACGGCUAUGCAAGGAGUAAGAUGACAGAUGGUGAACUUAGGCACAUGGUCAGCAAAACACUGACUUGUAGAAUUGACAAGAGGUGAAUAAUAACUGUAGAUAUGUGUGAUUAUGGUGUCUUUUCAGUUUGGUACUUUGCUUGAGAUGAUUGAGAUUUUAAACUGUGACUGUUCAAUUAUAUUUAUCAGGGCAAACUGCAAUGAAAAGAUGGAAGAGUUUCUCAAGAGAUGUUUUUACCAUACGGGUCAGUAUGAUUCUCAGGAACAUUUUGUUGCGUUGGACAAGAAGCUCAAGGAGCAUGAGGUACUUACUUGCUGUUAUCCCCUACUAAUUAACAUCUUCAUGAUUUCCUUCCAACGAUAUUGCAUCAUUGCCUCAUUCUUCUGAAGAGUAUUUGUUGUUUCUGUGAAACUAGAAAAGUUUGGUCUUCUUACUUCUGUGUACUUAAUCAUCACAUAACUAUUUACAGGGUGGAAGACUAUCAAACCGCCUUUUUUACCUCUCAAUCCCUCCAAACAUCUUUGUCGACGCGGUGAAAUGUGCUAGCUCAUCUGCUUCAUCUCUCAGUGGGUGGACUAGGGUCAUCGUCGAGAAGCCUUUUGGCCGAGACUCCAAAACCUCAGCUGCUUUAACAAACUCCCUUAAGCACUACCUGGAGGAAGACCAAAUAUUCAGGUGGGAGAUCUUGUCCUUAUACUUACAUUGUAGUAAAAGUCUAAUCAGUGCUAAUAUGGAGAGUAAUAUUUCUUUUUACAGGAUAGACCAUUACUUAGGAAAGGAGCUAGUUGAGAACUUAUCAGUACUCCGAUUCUCAAAUCUCAUAUUCGAACCGCUAUGGUCAAGACAGUACAUACAGAACGUGCAGUUCAUAUUCUCUGAGGACUUCGGCACCGAAGGACGCGGAGGUUACUUUGACCAUUACGGAAUAAUAAGAGACAUAAUGCAGAAUCACCUCCUUCAGAUACUAGCUCUCUUCGCCAUGGAGACGCCUGUUAGUUUGGACGCAGAGGAUAUCAGAAACGAAAAGGUGAAAGUUCUGCGUUCGAUGAGGCCGAUACAGCUCGAAGACGUGGUGAUAGGACAGUACAAGGGGACUACCACCAAAGGAGGAGUCACUUAUCCAAGCUACACCGAUGACAAAACUGUGCCUAAAGAUAGCUUGACGCCGACGUUUGCUGCUGCUGCGCUCUUUAUAGAUAAUGCGAGAUGGGACGGUGUGCCUUUUCUGAUGAAAGCUGGGAAAGCAUUGCACACUCGGAGGUAACCAAAAACUUUUUUGGAAUGUUUUGUUUUUUUUCUUCUAAUAAGUAAUAUUAUUUAUGCUUAAAUUGUUAACAGUGCGGAGAUAAGGGUGCAGUUUAGGCAUGUGCCUGGGAAUUUAUAUAACCGGAACUCUGGUGGUACUAAUCUUGACCGGACUACAAAUGAGCUUGUGAUCCGUGUUCAACCAGAUGAAGGCAUUUAUUUGAAAAUCAACAACAAGGUUCCUGGUUUGGGAAUGAGAUUAGACCAGAGUCAUUUGAAUCUUCUCUAUUCAGCACGGUGAGUUGAGAAACAGUCAAGGAAAAGCUUUUGGUUUUCUUAUGAUAACAUAUUUGUAUAUCUUCUUUCUUUGUUGUUGAAGGUAUUCAAAGGAGAUACCAGAUGCAUAUGAGAGGCUGCUGCUGGAUGCAAUAGAAGGUGAACGAAGGUUGUUUAUUAGAAGCGAUGAACUUGACGCUGCUUGGGCGCUUUUCACUCCGUUGCUCAAAGAGAUUGAGGAAAAGAAGAUGAUUCCAGAGUUGUAUCCUUACGGAAGUCGUGGUCCAGUUGGUGCUCAUUAUCUAGCCGCUAAACAUAAUGUUCAAUGGGGAGACUUUUAGUCUCGACCAGUGAAAGUGUGUAAGAGUUAGUUAAUCAACUUCUUUUUUUGUUCCGUAGAUCCACGUUUGAGUAUUCUCACUGAUUUGUGUUGGGGACAGAAAAUAUUUUUGAAUAAGAAGGGUUCCGAGGGACUGUAUCUUGAAUAAUAAGUAAAAGGGUUUCUCUUGGUAUGUUAUUGUUUCCACAAUUUUAAUUGAAUUUAGUUGCCCACCAUAAAAAAAAAGAAGUUGAGUUUGGUCUAAUUAGUAUUUUCUUCGGUUCUACAAAGAUGACAUUUUUAAAAGUCCGAAACACUUUAAAUAAUUUAAUGAUACCAAAAAUAAUAUAUUUAUAAUAUUAUAGUUUUAACAAAUUAAUAUUCUGCAUAUUAAUUAAUACAAGUAAAAUAGGUAAAUACACAAAAAUGUUUGCUAAAAACAUAAAUAAUUUUAUUUUUAUGAAACAAAUAGAAAAGUAUCAACAAUUCACAUAUUUAUUUUAAUUGUAAUACAUCACACGUAUCAGUUUAUCUAUAUAUAUAUAUAUUUAGUUCACUUUGUAUGUUUUUUUAUUUGAUAAUAGAAGUUUAGUUGACAAAAGGAAAAUCUAAAAAAUUACCACUAUGGAGGGAAUAUGUUUAGUUUAACAAGAGGGUGAUUUUAAACUCGGUAACACUUGGUCAAUCAAUCUUAUCAAGUCAUUGAUUACUCAAAGUCAUUUUUUUCUUUUUUUUAUCAAACUCAAAGUCAUUUUUUAUUUAUGUUAACCAUUACCAAUGGUUGCAAUGAGCGGUUAAUCAAAAUCGUUUAAGGACAAUUAAAAAAUUAAAAUGGAGUCGUCGUCACCGUCGUCGUUAAUACCCGGCUUGACGGACGACGUGGCGGAGCUCUGCCUCUCGCGAAUCCCGCGCUGUGACUUUCGGAUCAUUUCUCAGGUCUGCCGGAGAUGGAGGACGUUCCUCAAAAGCAAGCAUUUCUCAGCCGUUCGAAAGUUGACCGGACCGGUGGAGGAGUUCAUGUGUGUUCUGAUGAAAAGCAAGUCCCCAGAAGACGGCAGCAGGUGGGUAGAAUACUUGUACGGGGAAGUUUACGACGCCUCCGGAAACAAUCUGGGACAGAUCCCCAGCGUCCCUGGGCCUUUGAAGUCCCAAUUCGGCGUCGCGGUGCUCGGCGGCGGAAAGAUCGUGCUCGUCGGUGGAUACGCGGAGGUUGAAGGAUUUCCGAUCGAUGGGACCACCCGUAUCUCUGCUUCUGCCGAUGUUUACGAGUUCGAUCCUGCGUCUAACAGGUCUUCUUCAAUCUCAAUCUCAAUCUCAAGAUUAUCUAGCUUAAUGUGGUAUUAAGCUUUUUUGGAUUGCAAAUGUUGUAAUACUCUAUGGUUUCCAUCAAACUUGUAACAAACUAAUAUUAGUCUAAACGCUAUAUCAGUUACUUUUAUUUUAAUGCAUCAAAUUAGUUCAAAAAAAAAAAAAAAAGAAACCGAACUGAUUCUCUUUUAUCUGAAUUCCGACCAAAAGUGAAGAGGUUUUGUUUCUGAUUUUUCUUGUCGGAAUGAUAUUAACAGCUGGAGGAAACUGGCGGGUAUGAACGUGCCACGUCGCGAGUUUGCGUUUGCUGUAGUGGGCGGCCUUUUGUAUGUGAUACGAGGCUUUUCCUCGGAUGGUGAAUGCCUUCAAAGCUCGGAAGUGUACGACCCGGAAACUAACCAUUGGAGCCUCAUGGAUGAUUGUCCAGACCGCCCCGACUUUCAUCGUGCAUUCGCAUUCUCCUUCAAGUCCAAACUCUUCGUUGUAGGUGGGAAUAUAAAGAGCUAUGGACAUGGGAAACUAAGUUUUUUCUUACAUAAUUUAAUGAUGAUGACUUUUUUUUUCAGGCAAUGAAUCGAGGUUCAUUGACAUAUAUAACCCCAAAACUGAGACAUGGGAAGAGUUAGACUCGGGGCAAUCACUUUCGGUGUACUCCUACACUGUUGUUAGGAACAAAGUGUAUUUCUUUGACCAUAACAGUGACUAUAACAAGCCGGAACUACGAGUGUUUGAUCCAGAGGAGAAUUCUUGGAGCUCAGUGUCUGUGCCUCGGUCCCCGGGUGCUUACUGGUGUAAAGUAGGGGAAUGGAACAAUAAGGUUAUACUGGUUUCACCGCUCGGGGGACGUACCUUAAUUCGCGACCUUGAUAAAGAGAACGCGUCCAAGUGGAGAGACACACACAUUAAACCAUCUGGUUCUAACCCGACCAUCGUUCUCAUCAACUUCUGAUGUCCCCAUUUGGCUUCAUUUGUGCUUUGGCCCUCAACUUCGUCAAUGGUUUCUACAUUUAUAGUGUCUAUGCCUACUAAACUUGUGUAAACAUGUUUUCACAGAUUGUUUUGCAUGGCUUUGUUUCUGAAGCAGAGGGAGAAAAUUUUAAAAACCCAUUUAUGAUGUUUAUUAAUCAUCUUUUGUAUGUUCCUGAAAAAAAAAUCUGCCGUAUGUUCAAGAAAGUAUCUUGUUGUGAAAGCCUGAAUACUUCAUUCUUUUUAGUGUUGUUAUCUCCUUUAACUUUGUCAGAUAAGUUGUGACAUGCCCAUGAAUUGUGAAUAAUCUAUAUCAGUUUUUGACAAUCUGUUUCAAAGAGACAUGUUAAGUAGUUUUUUUUUUUUUUUUGUGCACUAUGACAUGUUAAGUAGUAGAACAUACAUUUCAUUCAUGAGAAUGCUUCAAGUUCAGUAUAUAUUGGAGAUAAUAAAGCGUAGCUUCUACAAAGACUUGAACAGCAUGAUUCUCUCCACAUUUCAUUAGCUUGGUUGGAGUGUUUCUCACGUGUAGAGGGAUGCCUUCAUUCCGUCCAAAGCUUCUAUUGCUUUGGUAGACAUCAAUGGAUUUAGGAGACAAGUGCCAAGUAAGCGUGCAUUGAGAAAGAACUACAUGCAUACUAACCCCGGAGAUUUGACCUGAACCGAACCAAAAUUUUUUGGUUUUCUGUUUAGGUCCGGUUUAGAGUUGGGUUCAAUUAGGAAAUUUAGAAAACAAUCAGUUAUGGGUUUGGUUCGACAACGGUUAGUUCGUUUUAGAAAAAAAAAUAAACCAAAUCAUAACGACUUUAACCAAAUUAUGAACCAAACUAAUCAAAAAUUUGACUCAAGCUAACCAGAAUCUCGACGAACCAAAAUAACCAGAAUUAUUCGAAUCUUUUUUAUCAAAAAUAAACCAAAAAUCUAAUUGAAGCUGAAAAUUUUGGUUAGUUUCAGGGAAUUUUCACAAAUUAAUCGAACCCAAACCAUAUUUGUUUUCGGUUGUGUUAAGCACAACUUUAACCGAAAUAACCAUAAACCGGACUAUCCAAAUCGAAUUAUCCGAAUGAACCAAACCUGCAGGCCAAAGGCAUACCCAAGAAAUGCGAAGCUUUGAUAGCACGCAACCACCUGAAUAAGAGCUGAAUAUGCUCGCUUUGAAAAUUGAACAGUUUAAUUAAGAUGUUUUAGUUAAUGAAGAUGGAUUACUCGUCAAUUUAUUUAUAUCAACCAUAACUAACGAUUUAAAACGCGGAAACACUUGGUCAAUCUAAUGUUAUCAAGUGAUUUGAUUACUCAAAAGUCAAUCAGGCAUAACUAAAUGAUGCAAUGAGCGAUUAGUCGAAAUCGUGGAGAUCAAGUAAAAUGGAGUCGUCACAGUCGUCGUUAAUCCCCGGCUUGACCGACGACGUAGCCGAGCUAUGCCUCUCGCGAAUCCCUCACUCUGGCUUUCGGAUCAUUGCUCAGGUCUGCCGGCGAUGGAGGACGUUCCUCAGGAGCGAGCAUUUCUCAGCCGUUAGAAAGUUGACCGGAUCGGUGGAGGAGUUCACGUGCGUUCUGAUGGAAAGCCAGUUCGUAAGAGACGGCCGGUUCGUGAAAUACUUGUUCGGGGAAGUCUUCGACGUCUCCGGGAACUGUCUGGGGAGGAUUCCUACCUUCCCUGGGCCUUUCGUGAGCGGUUUCGGCGUCGCGGUGCUCCGUGGCAGAAAGAUCGUGUUCUUCGGUGGGUAUACGAGGGACGAAAGGUUUGCGAUCAAAGGCACCACUAUCUAUGCUUCUGCCCAUGUUCACGAGUUCGAUCCUGCUACUAACAGGUCUUCUUCAACCUGAAUCUCUCUUUCCUUUGAAACAUAACAUCUUUCUCUAAAAAGCUGUUUUGUCUGAAUUUCUUUUUUUCCUUCUACUAACAGGUCUUCUUUAACCUGAAUUUCUCCUUCCUUAGAAACAUAACAUCUUUUGUCUGAAUUUCUUUUUUUUUUUUGCAAGAACGUUAAUUAAUUCAAACAAAAAAGCUGUUUUACACUUUUGUCUGAAUUUCGACCAAUGUGGAGAGGUUUUCAUCUGAAUUCUUCUUUUAUAUCUUGUCGGAAUGAUAUUAACAGCUGGAGGAAACUGGCGAAUAUGAACGUGCCACGUCACAACUUUGCAUAUGCUGUAGUGAACGGGCUUUUGUAUGUGAUCCGAGGCUUUUCCUCAUUUGGUGAUAGCCUUCUCAGCACGGAAGUGUACAACCCGAAAACUAACCAAUGGAGCCUCAUGGAUUGUCCAUACCGCCCGGUCUGGCGUGGCUUCGCAUUCUCCUUCAAGUCCAAACUCUUCGUAGUAAGUGAGUAUAAGAGCUAUAGACAUGGCCAUAUAUAGAUUUCGAAUAAGUCUGGAGGUUGAAGAAACUAAGUUUUUUCUUACAUAAUUUGAUGAUGAUUUUUUUUUUCAGGCAAUGAAUCGAGGUUCAUUGACAUAUAUGACCCGAAAACGGAGACAUGGAAAGAGUUAGACUCGGGGCAAUCACUGUCGGUCUACUCCUACACUGUUAUUAGAAACAAAGUGUAUUUCUUUGACAGGAAAAUGCCGGGACUGGGAGUGUUUGAUCCAGAGGAGAAUUCUUGGAGCUGGGUGGGUGUGCCGAGGUCCCCGGGUGGUUACUGGUUCAGACUAGGGGAAUGGAACAAUAAGGUUAUUCUGAUUGCACGGCUCAGGGGAUGUAAGGCCUUAACUGGUGACCUUGAUAAAGAUGACGCGUCCAAGUGGAGAGCCACACACAUUAAACCAUCUGGUUCUAACGCGACCGUCGUUCUCAUUAACUUCUGAUUUCCCCAUUUGGCUUCAUUCUUUUGCAAAAAAAAAUGUGUGUAGUAAUUUGGGGCUGUUAACUUUGUGAGUUUGGCCCUCAACUUUGUCAAUGAUUCUUAUAUUUGUGGUGUGUAUGCCUGCUAAGUUUGUGUAUAUAUGUUUUACGAUUGUUUUGUAUGGCUUUGUUACUGAAGCAGAGCGAGAAAUUUUUUAAAAAACCCAAUUUAUGAUGUAUUCCUCUUUUGUAAUGCGCCUGAAAAAAGAUAGAACUAUCUAUACGCCCAAGGAGAAGUUUGAGAAGCUCUUGUUCAUCUUAUCUACAUGUAAAAUGUUUUGUACAAAAGAAAAGUUCGGCGCGGGCAAAUGUGGCUGGGUAUAAUUUUAUUUAUUUAUUUGAGGAUCAUUUGGAUAAAAUUUUGAAUUGAAACGACUCAAUGAGGCAGGUAAAAUGGAGAGGAUUUGACUUUCCAACAUUAAUUAUGGAGGGAAUAUAUGAUUAGUUCAGCAAGAGGGUGAUUUUAUACUCGGAAACACUCGGUCAAUCAAUGUUAUCAAGUCAUUGAUUACUCAAGUCAAUUUAUUUAUGUUAACCAUUACAUAAUGAUGCAAUGAGCGAUUAAUCAAACUCGUUCAAGGACAAUUUUAACAUGGCGGAGUCUUCACCGUCGUCGUUAAUACCCGGCUUGACGGACGACGUAGCGGAGCGCUGCCUCUCGCGAAUCCCGCGAUAUGACUUUCGAAUCAUUUCUCAGGUCUGCCGGGGAUGGAGGAUGUUCAUCAAGAGCAAGCAUUUCGCAGACGUUCGAAAGUUGACCGGACCGGUGGAGGAGUUCAUGUGUGUUAUGAUGGAUGGUCGGUUCAUAAGAGAUCGCCAGUUCGUAAAUUAUUUGUACGGGGAAGUUUUCGACGCCUCGGGAAACAAUCUGGGACAGAUCCCUCGCGUCCCUGGGCCUUUCAAGAGCCGUUUCGGCGUCGCGGUGCUCGGUGGCGGAAAGAUCGUGAUCAUAGGUGGAUAUGCGGAGGUUGAAGGGUUUCCGGUCGAUGGGAACCGUAUCUCUGCUUCGGCCGAUGUUUACGAGUUUGAUCCUGCCUUUAACAGGUCUUCUUCACUCUGAAUCUCUCCCUCCUUUACAAAGUGAAGAGGUUUUCAUUUGAUUUCUUCUUUUAUAUCUUGUCGGGAUGAUACUCAACAGCUGGAGAAAUCUAGCGCCCAUGAACAUACCACGUUACAGCUUUGCAUUUGCUGUAGCGGACGGCCUUUUGUAUGUGAUCCGAGGCCGUUCCUCAGAUGGUAAACACCUUCUCAGCUCGGAAAUAUACAACCCGGAAACUAACCAGUGGAGCCUCAUGGAUUGUCCACACCGCCCCAACUUUCGAUGUGCCUUCGCAUUCUCCUUCAAUUCCAAACUCUACGUUGUAGGUGGGAAUAAGAGCUAGACAUGGACAUAUAUAGGUUCCGAGGUAGUCUUGUUGAAACUAAGUUUUUCCUUACAUAAUUAUUGAUGAUGAUUUUUUCAGACGAUAAAUCGAGGUUCAUCGAGAUAUAUGACCCCAAAACGGAGACAUGGGAAGAGUUAGACUCGGGACAAUCACUGUCGGUCUACUCCUACACUGUUAUUAGGAACAAAGUGUAUUUCUUUGAACAUAACAAGCCGGGACUGGGAGUGUUUGAUCCAGAGGAGAAUUCUUGGAGCUCGGUGUUUGUGCCUUGGGCCCCAGGUGCUUACUGGUUCAGACUAGGGGAAUGGAACAAUAAGGUUAUUCUGAUUGCACGGAUGGGGGGAUGUAAUGCCUUAACUGGUGACCUUGAUAAAGCGAACUCGUCCAAGUGGACAGCCACGCAGAUUAAACCAUCUGGUUCUUACCCGACCAUCGUUCUCAUCAACUUCUGACACCCCCCCCCUUUUUUGGCUACAUUGUCUUUGAAAAUGUGUGUAAUGUUUUGGGGCUGUGAGCUUUGUGUGUUUGACCCUCAACUUUGUCAAUGAUUCAUAUAUUUGUAGUGCGUAUGCCUACUAAACUUGUGUAAAUAUGUUUUCACAAUUAUUUUGCAUGGCUUUGUUUCUGAAGCAGAGGGAGAGAAUUUCAAAAACCCAUUCAUGAAAAGAUUUAGAACCUUGGUUAGUGAAUCUACCGCAGCAUUUUAAUGUUCAAGGAAGAAUCCAGUUGUGAAAGCCUCUUCGUUUUCGUGUUGCUACCUCCUUUAAGUAGGCAUGGACAUUCGGGACCAUCGGUUUCGGUUCGGUUGAUUUGGAUUUUCGGUUUUUGAUAUUAUGCACAUAAGUUUCAUUCGAGUUUUACUAAUUAUUGGAUCUUCAGACUGUAACCAAUAUCUGAAAUUGUCCAAAAUAUUUUUUUUUAAAUCUGAAAAACUGACCCAACAAAUUCAAAAUAUAUAAAUUAUUCAUAAAUCUAACUAAAAUUUAAUUAAACUAUCAACACUAAUUAAAAAUAUUCAAAAUAACAAAUAAUCUUUAGAAUACUAUAAAAUAUGUAAGUUACUUACUUUAACGUAUAUAAAAACAUUAAUAUAUUUAACUAAUUUCAGAUAUAUUCAUAAUCUAGUUCGGAUUUCAGUUGGUUGAGUUAUACCCAAGCUGCAAAGUACUAAGCUCAUAAAUUCCGUUCGGAUAUUUUUAUAUAACACUUUGGAUCCGGUUUCAGUUUUUUCGGUUUAGGUUUAGGUAUGUAUUUAGGUUUGGGUAAAAACGUCCAAACCUACUUUUAACUUUGUAACAGUUGUGCCACCCUUUUUUUUUUGUUACUGGUGCCACCCAUACGCAUGGAUUGUGAGUCAUUUUUAUCAGUUUUUGACAAUAUGUUUCAAAGCGUCGACAUGUUGAGUAGUAGAACAUAUACUUUUUUUCAUUCGUUCAUAAGAAUCCUCCAACUUCAGUGUAUAUUGGAGACAGCUUCCUCCUCCAGUUUUUGACGUCUAGAAUUUAAUAUAUUUUACCUGAUGCAUUUUUCCAAAUCCAAUCAUAUAUAGCUGGUAAAAUGUAAAUUUUAACGCCACGUAUCAUCUCAUCAACCAUACAAAUAUUUUGAAAGUUUAUGGUUUUUAGUUUUUUACGAUUGAAGAUUUAUUGAUUCCAAAAGUACAUUAAAAUCAUUAAUUUGUAUCGAAUGAUAAAUAGUUGGACGAAAAGGCAAAAAAUGAACAAAAUCCAACAAAACCCUAAAAGCUCACGACUGACGGAAGCCAAGGCUGGGAAUAUCGUCGAACACUUGGGCUGCGUUUUUAAGUUUUCAUAAUCGCGCCUUUUGCCUAAAACCUUUACCUUCUCUCUCCCUCCCUCUAUCUUCUUCACUCAGAUCUAACCUCUCUCGUAUCCCCAUGUUCGGCACUCCGUCCUCCUCGCCGGCGUUCGGCACUCCGUCGUCCACGCCGAUGUUCGGUUCCUCCUCAACCUCCGCCUUCGGCACUCCUUCUUCCACCCCGGCCUUCGGUACGCCGUCAUCCACUCCCGCCUUCGGAACGCCCUCAGCAACGCCUGCCUUCGGCACGCCUUCAUCCACGCCGGCGUUCGGAACGCCGUCGACAUCUUCCUUCGCCUCUGGAGGAUUUGGAAACUCGCUCUUCUCCACUCCGUUCUCAUCUCAGCAGCCACAGCAACAACAGCAGCAGCAGCAGCAGAACUCGCCGUUUCAGCAACCGGCGUCUUCUGGUUUCGGUUUUCAGUCGCCGUUCAACACGGCGCAGCAGCAGACGCCUUUCCAAACUACGCAAUUGACUACUCAGAUGGCUCCCGUUGCUCCGAUUCCUUUCUCCCUCGCCGAUCGAGAUAUUCAGGUUUGCGAUUAGCUUCUCCUCAAUCAAAAUCUUUUGGUUUCUUGCAAGUCUAGAUCUGAAAUUCACUAACUCGCUUUUUGAUUUAGGCCAUCGUUGAAGCGUAUAAGGAAGAUCCGACGAAUCCUAAGUAUGCGUUUAAGGUUAGUUUCUGUGUAAAAUUCAGAGUUCUGUGGUUGCAUCUGUUUAAGUUUAACAUUGUUGUUUACAUUUGCUUGCAGCAUCUUUUGUUCAGUGUGACUGAACAGCAGUACCGUGUGAAGCCUGCUGCUGUAUCAGAUGUGAGAAUCUUCUUGAAUCAUGUCAUGGAAAUGUGUAGCUUUCUCGUGUGUAUUGUUAUUGAUUCCUCUUCGUGGGUAGAUAAUGUGGGCAGAGGCUAUGAGCAAACUUGAAGGCAUGGAUUCAUCAGAAAGGGAGCGCCUUUGGCCUCAGCUUGUGCAAGGCUUUAAAGAUCUUUCUCAGCGACUUAAGGUAGAUUUUUAUCAACUGCCAAGUUUCUUAAAUUUUUUUUUGUUCAGUGGGUUUAGUUUCUUUUUCUAUAUGUGAGCAAGUUUGUUUAUGAGGGGGAUUAAGCACUUACUGUUGUUUGACAUCCAUUGAUAUGUAAAAAGUUAAUUCAUUCAUUGAUACUCUUUUUGUUUGGCACCUGCAGCUUCAAGAUGAAGUUCUCGUAUCAGAUAGGGAAAGNNNNNNNNNNNNNNNNNNNNNNNNNNNNNNNNNNNNNNNNNNNNNNNNNNNNNNNNNNNNNNNNNNNNNNNNNNNNNNNNGAAAGAAUAAAAACGACUCAGAGCAACGUUAAAAUGGUGAUGUGUCGUUUCUCCACUGUCUCUCUCUCGUAUUUUUUUACUGGAUGCUCAUGUUAUAAGAAAUUGUUUGAUUUUAUUGUUACAGCUUCAGAGACAUUUGCAAGCACACACCUUUCCAUCUAUUGAAAGAUUGAGACAGAAGGAGCAGAAUCUUCAAAGACGCAUGUUGAGGGUGAGAGAAAUCGUCACACUGAAAAUCUGACCUCGUUUAUGUCAGUCCAUAUUAUAGUCGAAGUUAUAUUUACUCUUGUGUGCUUGAAGGUGAUGAGGAUAGUAGAGGGCUUAGAGGGGAAGGGUUUCCGGUUACCCUUAACAAAAGGAGAGGCCGAACUGUCUGAGAAGCUAACUGGAAUAACAAGACAGGUCUGUGUCAUUUCUAUCAGAUUCAACUUUUUGAGGUUUGCACAGUUUGAUGCAGAACAAGAACAUGGAUAUAUUCUCAGGUGAAAGGUCCUGGAGCAGAGCUUUCUAGGAGAGUCCAAAGUCUGCAGACAAUAUGUCGCGCCCAAGCAAAUUCAUUUUCUGCUGGUAGCUCCAUUUAUCUCCCGGGGUCAACUAAAAUAGACGAGCAGAGCCUGAUUGAUAUGCAGGAGGUAUGAGACGCGACAUCUUUAGUCUUUGCUUGCUUUCUUUAAACCAAUUCAUUGUAAAACUGUUUGGGACUUUGUAAAACAGGUAUUGCAACAGGAGACGGAGGCAAUAGGAAGGCUUGGGAACGUAUUGAAGCGAGACAUGAGGGAUAUGGAAAUCAUGGUGGCUGAAGAUACAGAGAUGACCGAGGACACAUAGAUGUCUAUUGUUUCUAAUGUCUCAUUUCCUUUACUAUUGGAUUCGCACAAGGCUUUGGACUUUUGACAUGUACUUUAGUAGCUGAGCUAUAAAAAUUCUCAAUGUAUUGUGUGAUUUCUUUUUCAUCAAUGUAUGCAGUUUACUAAAAUAGAGGGUCCUCUUCGGAAAUGAUUCAGAGGAUUAGUACACCGUUUCAAGUUCCUUUUGUUUUAACGUAUUGUUCCCAGAUAUAUCUAGUCUGGUCAUAGUUUCUAACCACGUUCCUGCAUAAACCACACAAGGUACGUAAGGCUACAUAUACUACAGUGCCUUUUAACAGGUUUGUGAAGAAGCCUUUUUGUGGAUCCGGUACGUUUAUAUAUCUGCAAUGUUCAAAUUAUUUUUCCCCUUGUCGGUUUUGUUUUGGUGUUGUUGCGGCUUUAAUGCCACACGUGUGUUAUUAUUAUUUUCCUCUUCCAGCUUUUUUUUUGGUUUUGUCGUUAUUGUGGCAAAAAAAUUCGCGUCAGGUUCGUGUUUCAAUAGUGGUCGUAGAAAUUGCUGGUUUUGUGGAGCUGACACUUCCUUUCUUUCUCAUCAAACCCCACUUUUUUCGCCGAGGCUCUACCGUUCCGUUAUGCUCCUAACAUUUACUUCCCUUUCUUUCUGUUUUUUUAUUUUUUUUUCUUGGUGAUAACAAAUAUUUCAGAGUAUUCUUGGUAAUUUUUCAAGAAUCGAAAUUUCCAUAAAAUUUGGAAAAAAAGGCCAAAACUUUGUUAUAGGGAUAUUCAUGAUUCUUGCUUAUGUUGUUUCUUUUUGGGAAAAACAAGAUUGUUUUCAGGUUUGUAUAAAGCUGUGGCUUAGGUGAUUUUUGGAACAUGGAUGUAAGCGAGCUAGAGGAGAAUUUGUUCGCUGCUAGCGAUGCCAAGGUAUAUUCUCUUUUAUUUAAAAUGUUUAAAUUAUCUCAUUCUUUCACAAAAAUCCCUGUCGGUGGCUGUUGGAAUCAUAUAGAACAGGAAAAUGGGGAUUUUCUUUGUAUGUUAUGUAUUUUUAUUACGUUAUAGCAAUGUGAUUUGCGUCUAGCUGCCUUUAGCCUGAUCAAUGGUAGCCAAAGGCAACACAUUGCUCUACCAUAACGUAAAAAAAUUCAUCUCUAUGUUAUCAUCUCAUGUUCAACAGUUAUCGUUCUGUUUUUCUUAUGUUUAUAGCAAAUAAGUUAUAUUGAGUCUAGUAGCUGCCUUUGAUACAUUUUUUUUCCCAUUGGUCUUUGUUAAUUGUAACCAAAUGUUGGGUUGAUAGAUGUAAUUUGAUGGGUUUUGUUCUCUCUAUGCAAAACUAAAGUUGUGUGAUAAUGGCUCAAUUACUGAAAAUGCAGUUACACAGAGAUAUGUGCAAGGAACUAUCUGCUGUUUAUUGCAAGGUAUUGUCUAUCUUCCCUUCCUUGGAAGAAGCACGUCCGCGGAGUAAGUCAGGGAUUCAAGCCUUGUGCUCCUUACAUAUUGCACUCGAGAAAGCCAAGAACAUUCUUCAACACUGCUCUGAGUGUAGCAAACUUUACUUGGUCAGUUUCUCUCUUUCUUUGGAUGCAGUUCCUCUAUUUUGUGUUAUGGUCUCUUCAAUUCCCUCCAUUUCUAUUGUCCCUUCUGAACAGGCUAUCACUGGGGAUGCUGUUCUGUUAAAAUUUGAGAAAACAAAGUCUGCACUUAUCGAUAGUCUUAGACGCGUGGAGGACAUUGUCCCUAGCUCAAUUGGCUCUCAGGUGAUGUCUAUUUAAGUGAAUAUAACCAAUCUGAUUGAUAAAAUGGUCUCAACGAGUUUCUAGUUUCGAAUCCUAACUACAAUUUUUUUUUUUUGGUUUCCUCAGAUUUUAGACAUUGUAGGUGAACUAGAACACACCAAGUUUUUGCUUGAUCCAUCAGAGAAAGAAGUCGGUGACAGUAUAAUCUCACUACUCCAACAAGGCAAGAAAUUUGACAACGCCACCGACAACGCCGAGCUUGAAAUAUUCCACCAAGCAGCUACUAAACUCAGCAUAACUUCUUCCAGAUCAGCUCUAGCAGAGCGGCGCGCUCUAAAGAAACUCAUCGACAAGGCACGUGCGGAAGAAGACAAGCGGAAAGAGUCAAUCGUGGCUUACCUCUUGCAUCUCAUGAGAAAAUACUCAAAGCUUUUCAGAAGCGAAGCUGUGGAUGAGAAUGACUCUCAGUGUUCACCACCAUGUUCCCCCACUGGUAAUGAAGACCGUCCCCAUGCGUUUGGGCGUCAACUAUCUAAGUUUGGUUCUGUUAAUAACAGUAGGAAACCAGGACAGAUGAUGCCCACUCCACCAGAAGAACUCAGGUGUCCCUUAUCUUUGCAGCUUAUGUUUGAUCCUGUCAUUAUUGCUUCUGGACAGACUUAUGAACGUGUAUGCAUCGAGAAAUGGUUAAGUGAUGGACAUAACUCUUGCCCCAAGACUCAGCAGCAGCUCCCACAUCUUUCCUUGACUCCUAAUUACUGUGUGAAAGGUCUGAUUGCGAGCUGGUGUGAGCAGAAUGGGAUCACAGUUCCUACUGAACCACCACAGUCUCUCGACCUCAACUACUGGAGGCUAGCCUUGUCUGACUCUGAAUCCGCCAAUUCAAAGUCUGUUGAUGGUAUAGGACCGUGCACACCGAAGGAAGCAAAACUCGUUCCUUCGGAGGAGAGUAGUACUAUUGGUCCGGAACAACAACAACACAAAGAAGAAGUCAAUGCGCCUGACGUCAAUGUUCUAGAACAGUAUCAGGAUAUAUUGGCUACCUUGGACAAAGAGGAGGACUUGGGUGAAAAAUGCAAAGUAGUAGAAAACGCCAGGCUGUUGCUGAAGGAUGAUGAAGAGGCCAGGAUCCUCAUGGGAGCCAAUGGGUUUGUUGAAGCUUUCUUGCGGUUUUUAGAAUCAGCUGUUGAUAAAAACAAUGCAGCCGCACAGGAAACUGGAGCUAUGGCUCUAUUUAACUUAGCAGUCAACAAUAACAGGUUAGUUAGCACAUCCUAUCUUUGUUACCAAUCAAAAUCCUAAGCAACGUCACUGUAUGCUCUUUCCUAAUAUCUUCUGUUUUGUUUGUUUUGAUGCGCUGUAGGAACAAAGAAUUGAUGCUGACUUCAGGAGUCAUCCCGCUGCUAGAGAAAAUGAUCACUUGUCCUCACUCCCAAGGGCCAGCAACUGCGUUGUACCUAAACCUCUCCUGCCUCGAGAAAGCUAAGCCAGUGAUUGGCUCAAGUCAAGCAGUUCCCUUUUUCGUGAAGCUUCUUCUUCAGGGAGAAACACAGUGCAAGCUGGACGCUCNNNNNNNNNNNNNNNNNNNNNNNNNNNNNNNNNNNNNNNNNNNNNNNNNNNNNNNNNNNNNNNNNNNNNNNNNNNNNNCACGCGCUCUACAACCUCUCAACCCACUCUCCCAAUAUCCCCACUCUCCUUUCAUGUAACAUAAUCAAAACCCUCCAAGUCCUAGCAUCAACAGGUGACCACUUGUGGAUAGAGAAGUCAUUAGCGGUAUUAAUAAACUUAGCCUCUAGCCAAGAAGGGAAAGAAGAGAUGAUAUCAUCACAAGGGAUGAUCAGCACUCUCGCAACGGUCCUGGACGCCGGUGACACGGUGGAACAAGAGCAAGCCGUUUCUUGCCUUGUGAUCUUGUGCACGGGAAGCGAGCAGUGUAUCCAGAUGGUGCUGCAAGAAGGAGUGAUUCCGUCUCUGGUUUCCAUCUCGGUGAAUGGAAGUAGCAGAGGAAGAGACAAGUCUCAGAAGCUUCUGAUGCUGUUCAGGGAACAGAGGCAACGAGAACAGGCGUCGCCGAAUAAAGAUGAAGCUCCCAGGAAAAGCUUGUCUGCGCCAUUGCCAAUGUCUGUACCUGCUCAAGCUUCAGGUCCACCAGGGUCAGAAGGGAAGCCUUUGUUUAAAUCAACCUCUGCAAGGAGAACAAUGACGAGAGCAUUCAGCUUCUUCUGGAAGAAAAGCUACUCCAUCCACCGUUGAAGAAAAAAGAUACAUUUGGAGUGUGUCACAUUUACAUACUCCAAUGUAAACCUGUUUUUUUAUUCCUUUGAUCCUUAACUUCUUACACAAGUCAUCUGCAUAGGGAAGAACGAUAUGUAAAUGCCACUUUGGGACCUCACCAUUUUUGCUCACUUUUCCUCUCUCACCAGAGGUAAUCGUGUAGAUAGCUUACUGAUGUAACAGUUUUGUUUUUUUUUUCUAUAUAUGAAACCUCACUUUCAGUACAAAAACAGAACCUAAUUCGACCAAAAAAAGAAUCUGAGCCAUCAAGCCUUUAAAGCAUAACUCGUCUUUUAGUUUGCUUUCAGACCAACAGAUUGGUUGGUGUGUGAAGUGUAGUAUUCCUUUGGACCAUCCUCUACAGAUGAGAGAUGUCUUCGCUAGCUUGGUAAACAAUGAACAAUGCCAAUUAAUCUACAAAUUCUUUGUAUUCUAUUUAUUAUUUUUUCCAAAUAAAGAUCACGAUUUUUUUUUGUAAUGGUGUUUCAAGUUUUCUUUACAUUUCAAAUAGAAUAUUCAUGAAUAGGAUUAUAUUUAUAUAGUGAAAUCAAACUAAGGCUUUGAUUGUAAAAUCUGCUUCGGUUUUGUCCACUGUCCAGUGCUUUCACUAGGCAAUGAAGCAAGGCGAGUUGUGUCUAUGAUUGUUCGUUCACGUUAGCUAGUAGCUACCCUGGUAAACAAGUAUCCAGUGACUGCUGUGACACUUCCAAGCAUUCCACCAGCAAUGACCUGAUCUCUCAGCAAAUAGAAAACAGAAUCUUAUGAGAACAAGAACUCGAUUCCCCAAACCACAGUAACAAAUCAAGAGUGGCUCAUAUAUCAAUCAAAGUAAAACAAACUUGACUGACAUUGUUCUAGAGUUCAACUUCAUUCAACUCACAUAAGACCUCUAAAAGGCCUCAAGGUACAUAAUUGUUCAAAUCAAGUGUAAUAAACAUUACCUGGGGAGGGGUAUGGCCGAGAAGUUCACGCAAAGGUCUGCUUUCAGCCAAGGGAUGUUCUGCAGGAAGUUCGUAGACAAUCUGAUUGAGAACCUGUAAAAUGAAUCAGACCCCAGAGAUCAGGAUACCACAGCUCAAAUGCAUCAUGACAAAAUCAAUACUAGGAAACAAAGAAAAGCUAGAGCAGCAGCAAAUCAAACCUCAGCUUGGCGACCAGCGUGUAACCUCACACCAGUAGCAUCAUACAUCACCUGCCACCCAAAAAAUCAAUCACACAUAUAAAGAUAAACAAAAAAAACAGAAAGUAGUAGCUAAGAAAGAGUUCCAAAACUUACAACAGAAGCUAAGAUCAAAGCAAUAGCGAAAUGAGAACCACCAAAGCCCUCUUGUAAACCAAUAGCAACAGCGAGAGCAGUAACGGUAGCUGAAUGAGAAGAAGGCAUUCCUCCAGAACCAAUAAGCUGUUUGAGAUCCCAUCUCCUUUCCCUAUACCUGCAGAACCACCAAGUAAAAAAAAAGAUCCUCCUUUUAUGCAUAAACAUAUAUUGGAAACGCUAAAGAUCUAUCCUUUACACUAAGAGAGAAUCACACAGACGACGAAAGUCAACGGCUUAAGAUGGGGAUUCAAAUAUCAGGACAGAUAUGUAUCAAAGAUCACUCCUUUUUUAACUAUGUACCAGGAGGUGAAGAGUUUGAUGAAUUGAGCGAUGGUGAAAGCCGUGAGGGAGGAGAUGAGAGGGUAGUUCGUGAAAAUGGUGAAAUAAUGAUGAGUCGUCGUCGUCGUCGUGGCCGUAGAAUCCUCCAUGGUGAUUAAUGGAUCUCGUCAGGGAUGGAUGGAUGGAUCGCGCGAUAUAGCUUUUAGGUAGAGAAAUGAUCCAUAAGGCAUAUACCGAUUCGCUUUCUGUAUCUCUAUUCAAACUUUAUCCCAAUGGCGUCUGCGUAGACGUUCAAUCUUCUUCUUCUUCUUCGUCUUCGUCUGUCUUUUUUUUUUUUUUUUUUUUUUUACCAAUUUNNNNNNNNNNNNNNNNNNNNNNNNNNNNNNNNNNUUGUUUUUCUUUUUUUUUUUUUUUUUUUCUUUGACCAAUUCUCCUUUUUCAAAAAGAAUCCAAAACUAGAUUUAUUUCAUUUUUAACAAAAAAAAAUUAAUAAUAUUUGUUUCUAUUAAGAAAAGUAAAACAAAUUGGAUUAAUCAAAGUUUUGUAUAUGCUCAAGUAUCUCCAAAGGAAUGUCAUAUUAUGCAAAUUCAAGAUAAAUUCUUUUUUUUUUGGUCAUAUAUGUUCAAUUACUAGUGUAAAGUAAACCCCAUAUAAUAUAAUUCAUUUUUUUUGACGUCAUAAUAUAAUUCAUAUAAAGAACCAAAAUUAUACUAUAUGAUUCGUCCUACAUCUCCAACGUCAUAAUAUAUUGCNNNNNNNNNNNNNNNNNNNNNNNNNNNNNNNNNNNNNNNNNNNNNNNNNNNNNNNNNNNNNNNNNNNNNNNNNNNNNNNNNNNNNNNNNNNCUUUCCCUGGGCAAAGCUCGCUGCAAGGUUACCACUUUACACCUAUUCGAUUUUCACUUCCUUGUUUUCAAAAGAUUCUCUCUUCUGUCAAGCAUUCUUCUUUGCACCGUACUAGUCAUAAGCUCUGGUUGUACAGGGGUGGGCGUUCGGGUACCCGUUCGGGUUCGGAUCAGGUAUUUCGGAUUUUCGGGUAUUUCGGUAUAGAGGUGUAGAACCCGUUCAGGUAUUUUUGUACUUCAGGUCGGGUUCGGGUAUUUUUAGUUCGGAUUCGGUUAUUUCAGAUCGGGUUCGGAUAUUUAGAUUUUGAAAAAAAAAAUUAAAAUUUUUAUUUCUCAAGUUUCUUGUAUUUAAGAAUAUAACUUUCUGUUAACUAAUUUUUUUAUUUUUAAUAGAUUGAAUGGUUAAUAGAUUUGGACAUAACAUUUUAAAACUAUAAAGGCAUUAAUUUAGUUAUUUUUUAAAAUAUUUUGGAUGUAACUUUUUGUUAAUUUUUGAAAUAAAAAACUUGACAUGCAUUUUAAGUGAGUAGCAAAUUAUUUUUUUCGUAAUUGUAUGUAUAUCAUAUGAACUUAAAGUAUGUGUAAUAUCAAUAUAAAUAUUUUAUAUAAAAUGAGAGAUGUAAACUAGAAAUAUAAGGUUAAUUAUACAUAUGUUCGGUUAUCUUCGGAUAUCCAUUCGGGUUCGGGUAUUAUCCAUUCGGGUUCGGGUAUCCAAUCUCUCUUUAUUCAAUACCCGUUCGGAUAUUUUCUUACUUUGGUUCGGAUUUCGGUUCGGGUUUUUCGGAUCGGAUUCAGGUGCCACUUCGGAUAUCGGGUAAAGUGCUCACCCCUAUUGUACACCAUACGUCUUAGUUAUUUAUCUGUCUAGUUUUGCUUGAGUUAAACAGUGUUUUAGUUACUCAGAAAGAAAAAAACAGUUGAGGUACAGUCUUGUGCUAUAACAUUGUGUGCAGGUCUUAGUGAAUUAUGCUAGGUCAGCGCAGGAGGCUGAAGACGUUUCUAAACAGGUGUGAUUCGUGCUCUGAGUUAGAGUACAAAUUUUGUUUCUUGCUUCUCAAAUGUAUUUGUGAUUAGCUUUUAUUUUAAAAAUAUAUCUGUUGCAGUCAAUUGUAUUUUUAUUUCUACCACGUCGCCUUAUUCCAUGACAUUUAUUCUCUAUGGACCUGUAGAUUGAAGCAUUUGGUGGCCAGGCUAUUACUUUCGGGGGUGAUGUCUCGAAAGUGGCUGAUGUGGACGCCAUGAUGAAAACCGUAAGUGAUCAAUUCAAUUGUACACUAUCUUAUAAUUCUCCUGCACUCUAUAAAUUUUUUUGCAGGCGAUUGAUGCAUGGGGAACUACUGAUGUCGUUGUUAACAAUGCAGGUAUAUAAAAAUCGUGGUUCCCUUUGUUUCUUUAUCUACUACACCAGUACCUUGUACCUUACUGACAUGGCUACAUAACUUUCAGGAAUUACUCGGGAUACCUUGUUGAUACGAAUGAAGAAGUCCCAAUGGGAUGAAGUGAUUGAUUUGAAUCUCACUGGAGUAUUCCUAUGCAACCAUGUUUGUGUUCCUGCUUAAGUUUUGAUACUCAGAAUCUCAGGGACUGAAGUCUGAACUCAUAUUUACUCUCUGUAGGCAGCAACAAAGAUCAUGAUGAAGAAGAGAAAGGUACUAUUGAGCUCCUCCUCUAUAAGAUUAAGAACAAAGAAGAGCGUGAUUCAUGUUAUAGUUUUGACAUACUCGAUCAUCUUGCAGGGAAGAAUCAUCAACAUAGCGUCAGUUGUUGGUCUCAUUGGUAAUAUUGGCCAAGCAAACUACGCUGCUGCUAAAGCUGGAGUUAUUGGCUUCUCCAAGACUGCUGCCAGAGAGGGUGCUAGCAGGAACAUAAAUGUACGCGACCUAGCUUCUCUCUUUCUUUCCUUGGAGUCUUGGACAAGAUUUUAAACUUGGUCAGUCAAUGAUAUACUCUAUUACAGGUCAAUGUGGUUUGUCCUGGAUUCAUUGCAUCUGACAUGACUGCCAAGCUUGGAGAAGACAUGGAAAAGAAAAUAUUGGGAACAAUCCCAUUAGGUAAUGGAGAGUCUUAACUUUUUUUUACAUUUGUUGCGGUUAUUAGUAUGUCUCUGAUACAAAGCAAACUGGAUUGAUUUUUCAGGACGGUAUGGACAACCGGAAGAUGUGGCUGGCUUGGUAGAAUUCUUGGCUCUCAGUCCUGCAGCCGGUUACAUCACCGGACAGGUUAACUCAUAGUCUCAUACUCUCUCCUAUGGUCAAAUGUAUAUUUGGUUAUUAGGCUUGGUUAUCGGCCUAACCAUGGUUAAAAUCGUUGGUCUGCAGGCAUUCACCAUCGAUGGAGGUAUUGCCAUCUAGGGCAUUUGGUAAAAUCGGCUUUUGUCUAGGCACAACGAUUUGGUAAAACAGACAAAGUUGAGUUAUUUCUAGCACUUGGUGUACUACAAAAAAAAAACUGAUUACAAUAGAGUUUUUUCGUGUAAGCGUUGUCCUUGCUAUUUUUAUUUGAGUGUGUACGUGUGUUUACAUUCAUGUUACACAGUUAAAAAGCAACUAAAAACAGAGGAGACCAAAAAUAAGCAACCAAGAAACUUAGACACUGAGGCAAACCAAUAAUGUCUACAAAUAAGUAGAACUCAAUCUUUCUUUCGCCCUAUCUUAUCUUUUGUUACUAAACCUAUUCAUUCAACAAAAACUUGAAGAUAGAACAAAAGAUGGAUUCAGGACUAUCUUGGGCUGAUCAACGGGAUUACAACUCUGACCCUCCUUCAAAUUCAAAUAAAGAAGACGAUAAACAAGAAGGAAGAUGUAAGCAAAAGCAGUUUGGGGAAGGCCAUACUUGGCUUCAAAUGGGUCAAGGAACUUCGCAAGAAAUCUGAUAAUAAGUAAAUCAAAUAGGGUUUAUUGUUGAAGUUACAAAAGGAGCAUUGGUUCAUUUGUUUCUUGUGAUUAAUCCAUUAAACGUUGCUUCUUUCCCUUUGCCCAUUCUUCUGAUUCUAAUUGCCACAUCUUUCAAAGUUUUUUUAAAAAGUGUUGGCUGUGGAUGAUUGUGUAGACGAGCCAUUGCUUUGGUUCUUUAUCAAACGGUUCUUAGAUCUACAUUAACCAUUCGUGUUGCAAGAAAAAAACAAACUCAAACUCUCUGGAAAUGACUUAUAGAUUACAUGUUUUUCAAGAUGAAAAGACAUUCACACUUGGGCUUGAAGAGACAUAGUAAAGCAACUCCUCAUCGGUUCAAUUCUAGACAUAUCACUCUGGUCAAGGUUGAUCCAAGCUUCUAUGCCAUCACCUUCUUUAGUAUCACUGAAAGCUACCAAGUUCUUGUAACUCAUCCUUGCAGAAGCAACCCAAAAAGGUUUGCUCCAUCCAAAAUAUGCUUCAUACACUGGAAAGUUGCAGAGACUCAUGAAGCUGAAGGACACAAUAGCUCUUUCAUCUGAACAUUCGCUAGAUGUUAUCAACGUGUUUUAUGUAUUCGAGCAAACAACUUACAAAAAUAUAGCAACAUUUGAAAAGCUUAGAACAGAAUAAAAUAUGGUUUUAGAAAUAUCAAAUCAAAUCCCAACAUCAUCAUUAUUAUAGUUACGAUCGAUCGUAUGAUCUUUACCGUAACACAUUUGACUUUUCCUUUAGCUCAGUUUAUUUAUUUGGCUCUAGUUUAUACUUAUUUUUGUAUUGCAACUUAAAACAUAAAGAAAUUCCCUAGUUUUCUUUAAGUUUUUAUCACAAAAAUAGUUUUCACUGAUCAAAAUAAAUUUUAUUAAAAAUAAAAAUAUAUUUAUACUUAACUAAUCUAAAUUUGGAGUUUAAAGUUAAGGAAUAUGGUUUUAAAGAUAAAAUUUCAAAUUUAAAAAAAUUAAAAAAAAAUUAAAAUUUUCAAAAAUAAAAAGAUGCUAUUUUGGUAAUGUUUCUUAUCGAAAACUAUUUUUGUGAAAACAACUUAAAAAAACUAGUGAGAGAAUUUUCCUAAGACAUAUAGUUGUAUUAUUUGUAUAUUUGUGGUCGAUAGAUUCCUCUUUUCCAAGUCAAUGGAACCGUUAGGCCAAAGCUUUGAUUAGUUCAAUUCUACUUUUGAAUUGAAAAACUAGGGUAUGAAUUAUUCAAGUUCUCAUUCUUUUGCGCAUACAUGGGCUACUUUGAAUUAAUUUGAUCAAUAAUGACGACCAAUAACAACCAACCAGACGAAUAAUAUAUAGUCGUAUUCUAUAAUUCUAUAAAACAAUAUUCUAUAAUUUUAUAAAACAAUGUUUUAUAUACAGUUACUUAUUAUGACAGUCUUACCAUCAUAAGAUGUGAUCUGAUCAAACCUUCGACUGAAGAGGAACAACCUAUCAUUUUUUUAAAAAAAAUCACAAUUUAUAUUCAAAGUUUUAACUUACAAUUUUUUUGAAUUUUUUUUUUAAUUGGAAUAUUUGAAAGUUAAACUCUAAAUCUAAAAAAGAUUAUACUGAUGUAAAAUUCAGAAUUUCCAGCAUUUAGAAAAGGAUUAGAACAACAGUUUUAGAGCAUCUCCAAGGAGGCUCUAUUUUUUUUUCUAUAAUUUACAUUAAAAUAGAGUAACUCUAUUAUAGAGUUGGAUUUGUUCCAAUAGUUCACUCUAUAAUAGAGUAAAAUAUAGAGUAAUCUUAUUUUUUUACUCCAAAUAUCGAGUGAAAAAACAAGAAUAUUCUAUAUUUCACUUUAUUAUAGAGUAACUCUGUUAUAGAGCGAACCAUUAGAACAAAUUCAACUCUAUAAUAGAGUUACUCUAUUUUAGAGUAAAAUAUAGAAAAAAUUAUAGAGCAGAACCAAAAACGUAGGGUUUUAUUAAGGGUUACGUAUGUCAGUUCGCAACACGAUCCGCGUCACGUUCAAAGGAUUACAUCUGAAUUGAUUAUUCAACGAACUUAAUUAGUAAGAGAUUAUCCACUGUAGUCAAUAGAAAACGUACAAACUUCUGAACUGUUAAAAAAUACAUUAUUAUUUUACUUAAUGUUCUUAACUGCCUGUGACUGUAGUGACUCGUGGAUUUGAAUGAAGGUUUUGUAACUGGUUCUUAAAAAAACAAAAUUGGUCAACGCUAACUAAUAGUAAUCGAAAACACCAAAUCCAUAAGAUAGAUACCCCAAUGUGGAUACUCAUAAUUAGGAAUGAUAAAAUCUUUGAAUAAGACAAGAGGAAGCAAAUACAGAUUAUUCAAAAACAACUUGAUACAUUGAUUCCAUAAUUAACAUAAGUGAAUUGGCAAUAAAUAAUGUUGGAUAUGACAGGUCACAGAUAUUAAAGACUUUUGAAUACUUUAUUAUAUAAGGAGAUGAUUAAGAACGCCAAUUUGGUAAAGAAGACCUGCCAACAUAACAGCAUAAAACAUGUUUUUAUAGAUAAGGACCUUAUCGCAUCAUCUCUUCUUCUGUUACAGAAAAAAAAAUUAAAGAGUUGGCAAGAACUUUUUUUGGGAGGAAAAAAAGAGAUAAGAUUUUUAUUUAUAUUAUUUUUUUCAGUUUUGCCUUGGCUUUCACGAAGGCUGUCUCUUUAUCUGGCCGCAAUAUAUCAAAAGUUGCUUUUUUCUUUUAUCUUUUUAUCUUUUCUAGACAAUUUAUAAAGCAAAACGGAAGAGAUAACACAUACGAGGAGAAAGGAAGCAGACAUAUCUGUGUUUUGUUGUUUUGUUCAUCUCUGGUUCCAAGACUCGAACUUUGGAUUCUCUCUUCUUCUUCUUGUCUUUCCCUUUUGUAAUAGUUUCUUAAAAUCGAGAGAAGAGAGAGGAGAUGUAUUAUCAGUUGACCAAGUCUUCUUACAUGGACUCUUUGAAGAUUCUUGAAGCUGACAUUGAGCACGCUAAUGGACUGUAAGUCAUCUCAAUUCUAUCUGAGUUUCCUUUUUUUAUUUUUUUAUUUUUGGUUUCUGAUUUUCUGGGUUUAGGGUUUUGAUGAUUAAAUUAGCAGUUGACUAAUUAAGAGAUUGAAUCAAUCAGCUGAAACCCACUUACCCUUCAGUUUUCUGCAUAUUCUUAAACUUGGAAUAUUGCAGAAUUGGUCCAAAGUUGUAAACUUUAUUGCAUCUCUGUGUUGCUGUCUUUGAAGCAUAUGUUGUCUGAAGAAAGCGAGUUAUUUGAUUAGAAAAAUAUUAGUAACUGAUUCGUGUCAAAAUUUUGAUUCAGGGCUGCUGAGAUUCCCAUGGGGAAGNNNNNNNNNNNNNNNNNNNNNNNNNNNNNNNNNNNNNNNNNNNNNNNNNNNNNNNNNNNNNNNNNNNNNNNNNNNNNNNNNAAGAGCGGUGUUCGACUUCAGAUGAAACUGGUUUGCAGCAAUCUAGCUCCUUUCUUCAUUUUCCUCCUACAAUGGAUGGACUUCUCAUGUCUCCUCCCAAGAUAUUUCGAUUUCUUCCACAUACUCAUCUACAAGGUUCUUACUUGUUACCAAUUUACCAUAUGGUAGUUUCUUACACGGCUUGUGCGUGUGUAUGAGGUUGGAAGCUGAUUGUUUCUUCUUGAUCUUGUAUACAGGUACGUGCUGAUGGGAGGUGGAAUCGAUCCAGAUACGGAAGGAAAGCUACAAUCAGAGAGUUCUACGGUAAGUCUUAACGCGUUUGUGUGUGUGUUCUUACACUAUAUUGGCUUAGUCUUAUAGAAACAGAUGAUUUGGUUAUGUGCAGGUGUUAUAUUACCAUCGCUAGAGCGUCUUCACAUCAACUUCUCUGACUCACCAGGCGACAACACCUUGUGGUAUCCUAAUCCAAAAGCCAUCACGUAUGACAUCGAAGGCAACAGAUUCAUUACUAACAGCGUUGACUCUGAGAGAGAAGAGGAAUGUGGGAUCUGCUUAGAGCCUUGCACCAAAAUGGUGUUGCCUAACUGUUGUCACGCAAUGUGCAUCAAGUGUUAUAGGAACUGGAACACGAAGUCUGAGUCGUGCCCGUUUUGUCGAGGGAACAUCAAGAGGGUUAACUCGGAGGAUCUGUGGGUGCUGACUUGCGAUGAGGAUGUGGUGGAUCCUGAGACUGUUACUAAAGAGGAUCUUUUUAGGUUCUAUCUACACAUUAAUAGUCUGCCUAAAGAUUAUCCUGAAGCUGUCUUCUUAGGGUACAACGAGUACUUGAUAUGAUUUUAUUGUGGGAAGACACAUCAGUGGUGGGUGGGUGUAGAGAGAGGGGAGAGGAAGAUCCCAGACCUUUGACUAAGUGUAUAUAAGAAUCUGGUGAUCCAAGAUUUUCCCUUCAUUUUUCUAGAUUAUGAUUAAUAAGAUGAUUGUGUACCCUUUGUUAUGAAAUAUUAAGAGAGAAAAUGUUUUUUCGCUUUUACAUUUUACUGGUGUCUUGCUUCGAGAAUCAACACCAAGGUUUUCUGAAAAGUGCAUGGAGAUAAGCUAGUGUCUAUGUUGUAAAUAACUGGUGUUUUAAAGUCUAUUUAAUUCUUCUGAUGUCAAGUUGUAAGAGAGAUUUCUUUAGGAGCUUUAUAUGGUACUAAUCGGUUGGUUCUUCUUUUAUGUGAUGAGUCUUUGAUGACCAAAACAUAAUAUUGGUUGAUGUUGUGAGGAUCAUGUAAGGGGCCAAUUGAAAAGUCCCCACUGCAAUGUGUAAUGUUUCAAACUUUCAACUAAAAGGGCUUUAACAUUAAACAAAAAGAGACAAAUGUAGACUAAAUUCUGUGUUCAAAAAUGAUGGUGUCUUUUGCUUGUUGUGCCUUUUAUCAUCUAUCAUUGACCUUUAUAUCGCUUAGGGUUUGAUCAAUUUCCUUUGCUUACCUGUGUCCCCAGUUUAUUUUCAAAAAAAUAAUUAAUUAGUUAGAGAUAUUUUAUGUCUGAAUCUUCUGGAUGGAUAUUCACGUUUGUUAAAAAACCCCAUCCAAUUAUUUCAAAUUUAAUCCAUUCUAUACAAAUUGCUAAACAAAGCAAAUCCAGUAUAUCAUGAACCAAACAUUGUUUGUGGUAGACGACGUCUUUGAAAUUUGGUUUAACAUCGAGAGCAGCUCUCUCAUUUUCAGACGACUGAGCAUUAUUAGUCCAUUACAGGCCUAAUAAAACACCAACUAAUUGAUGUAGCUUAGAUAUUAUUGUAAAUUUGCUUUUACGUACCGUCAGAAAAACAAAGCAAAACAAAUUUCGUAAUUAGUAGUCUCUUAGAUUAUAUGAGAUGGUUGUGAACUUCAUUAAAUCUUUCUAUUUGUGCUUCACUUACAAGUGAAGCCAUGUCAAUCAACAUAAAUACAAUAUUUGAUGGAGCUUCUAUAUGACAUUGCGUCUUAAAACACUAUCAGAAAAGAGAGAUCUUUAGAAAAUAGAAAAAGAUUACGUUUGAAAACCAGUAAAAAUGUCAUUUUAAAAUUCCAAUACAAAUUAUACAUAUUUUCAUCCUCCCAUCCAUCAUUAUAGAUUUUAUUUUCGAUGGUAAUAUUUAUAUGUUACAUAAUAAGUGUCAUUCUAACAUUUUUUUUAUUGAUGCACAAAAAAUGUCAUUUUACAAUUUUAAUGCAAAUUAUACUUAAUUUUAGCUUAAAAUAAAAUAAUUUUAUUUAUCUCAAAUAGUGGUGGUCAAAUAUGUAUAACUAAUAACAACUUAAAUACAAUUCAAUCAUUUUAAUAAUCUAUAUGAAAAAUAUCAAAGUGACACCUAUUAUGAAACUGAAUGAGUAUUAAACUUAGUAUACUCAGAAACUUAGUAUUAAACUUAGUAUCUAAAGAUUUUAUUAUAUCAGAAACUUUAUGAUCACAUUCUAAUUUUGUUUCACAUUAAGUAAUACUUUUUGACCAAAAGUAUGUGAUCCUUGGAUUAGAUUACUACAUUAAAAAAAAGUUAGUCACGUGAUCUGAAGAAGACACGUCACACACUUCAAUCUCACGACAUAAACACAAACUGGUGAGAAAACAAAACGCACCGUGUCGGUCUUGCUCUGCAACGCCUUCUAGCCUCCUCUCUCUCUUGCUGAUUUUAUUAUUUACUCACGGGUCCAUCUCCGACUCUAACCAACAAAGCAAAACCGUUUCUUUUAGUUCUUACCUUCAUUUUCUAGACUCUCUUCGCAGUUUUGUCUGUAGACUCUCUCUCUCCUGUUUCGAUCACGAAUAUUGCUAAUCUCUGAAUUGGAUCUGUUUGGAGAAAGGGGUUGGAAUCGUGAUAAUGCACGAGAAUGAUGAUCCUCCGUCCGAUUCCGUAGCUGCUGAUGAAAAUGUGAAUGAUGAUGAUCCUCCGCAGGACUCGCCUGAAUCUGUAGCUGCUGAUGUGAUUGAGAAUGAUGACGAGACAAAUGAGCAAGAGCUUGAUCCUGACCAGGUGAGAUUUGUAAAUUAUUACCAUAUGCUUUUGUUGUUUCUUGUCCGAAUCUUUUAUGUUCAUUUUUAGAUGCUGAAAUUUGGGUAAAAUGAUUGUGCAGGGAACAGGUUUUGUUGAUAGUAAGGAAGAUAUGUUUGUUGAUGCUCCUGAAGAGUUGAACUUUGACACACCUAGCAAGGAAGCUCUCACCACAGAUGAUGAUGACAAUGUAAUUUAUAUUUCUUAAUUAAUUAUUGAAAGGAUAUUUCUUUUGUUAAUUUAUGUUUAUUUUCUACCAUUCAUAUACACAGAAUGAGAAGGAGGAGGAAGAUAGAGAGAAGGGACUUGUAGCGUUGCAGGAACAGUUUAACCUCUCAACUGGUGAGAACCAUUCCAAAGUUGAAGAAGAGAAGAUUCAUCACGAGGAUGCACUCAAGGAGCUUCAAGGGAUUAUCAUUAAGAAAGACGAGGAGAUUGCUCACCUCACCGCAAAGAUCUCAGAGCUUACUUCUUCCUCUUCCUCACAGGACGAGAAGGAGCAGCAGCUUGUUUCUGCAACGGAUAGGAUUCUGCUUUCUCUUAGUAACGUGUUUGGGCAAGAAGAGCCGCAGCUUGGCUCUUCCGUCUCUGAAAAGAUUACUAAUCUUGAAAACGGAGUUGCGUUUCUAAGCGCAAAGUACACUGAGUUCUACUACGGUGCUGAUCAGCUGAGGAAGUGUUUGUCUAGUGAUGAUGCUGAUCUUCGUUUCCAAGAGGAUUUUGGUUCAGCUCUCGGCGGUGCUUGCUCUGAGCUACUUGAGCUCAAGGAGAAGGAAGCAUCCCUUCAUGAAAGACUCACCCAUCUAGAAGAUGAGAAUAAGAAACUGGUUGAGCAAAUGAACAAAGAUAGAGAAGUGAUUGAGUCCAUGAAGGCAGAGCUUGAGCAGGAGAAGACAAGGUGUGUCAACACGAAAGAGAAGCUCAGCAUGGCUGUGACCAAGGGUAAGGCGUUAGUUCAGAACCGUGACGCGCUAAAGCAUCAAAUCUCCGAGAAAACAACGGAGCUUGAGAAUAGGUUGGCUCAGUUACAAGAGAAGACGGUUGCUCUUGAAACUUCUGAGUUACUCAAGGGGCAGCUUGAGCAAUCUUUAGCUGAGAUGGCAGAUGAACUGAGUGAUAAGUCUGUAUCCUUGGAAGCAUGUGAGGCAGCAAAGAGAGAGGUGGAACAGUCUCUGGAUGAGAAAGCAAAAGAGCUUGAAGAGUGUUUGGUGAAACUACAAGCAUUGGAUGAAUCAGAACUCAUCAAAGGCGAGUUAGUAAAAUCCGAAGCCAUGGUUGCGUCAUAUCAAGAAAUGGUGUCGUCAAAGAGCUCAAUCAUUGAAAACAUUGAAUCCAUCUUGCCACACGUUAAUGAUAGCUCUGACGAUAUCAUUGAGAAGGUUAGGUCACUUGUAGAAGAGAGGGAAGAAUACAACAGACUUAAAGAUAUGAACCUCUCCAUUGACUUACCUGAGGAGAUCUCCGAAUCCACCUUAGAAGCUCGCUUUACUUGGCUAAGGGAAUCAUUUUUACAGGCAAAGGAUGAAGUUAGCGCCCUGCAGAACCAGAUAGAAAGAUUAAGUACGUCUCUUUCAGCAGAAAUGGAGGAGAAAUGUAGCAUUAGAGAGGAGCUUGAUGAUAUAACUUUGAGGUUUAAAGCAUUGGAGGAAACUGCAGAGAGAGAUUCUUUGGAAAGAGAAGAGAUUAUAAGGAGGCUUGUGGAAACCUCUGGCUUGAUGAUGACAGAAGGAGUUGAACAUCAUGCUGUCCUUGUUGAUAGAUCUUUUGAUCAGAUAGAAAAGAAACUCAGGGACUCUAGUGAGAGUUCUUAUGGCAACGAAGAAUCAUUUGAAAAAUUUCAAAGUCUCCUUUAUGCUAGUGGUCUGGAGUUAUCACUUUGUAAGGAAAUGUUAGGAGAGGGAAUGCUGGCUAGUUUGCAGGUAAGCAAUCUCUCAAACGAACUUGCUUCGGUGAGAGAAGAAAAACUUGCUUUGGAGACUGAUCUUGAGAGGUCAGAGGAGAAAUCUGCUUUGCUCAAAGACAAACUUUCCAUGGCUAUUAAGAAGGGUAAGGGACUUGUUCAAGAUAGGGAGAAGUUGAAAUCUCAGUUGGAUGAGAAGAACUCUGAGAUCGAGAAGCUGAUGCUGGAGCGGCAGGAGUUAACUGGUGCGAUUGAUAGCUACACGAAUCAGAUGAGUACGUUAUCAGGAGACUUAGAGCGGACAAAGGAGCUAGAGGAUGAGCUUGUUGCUAUUAAAGACGAAAGAGAUGAGCUUAAGCAGUCUUUAUCUCUGAAUGACACCUUGUUGGAGAAAGUGAUGAGCAUCCCUGUUGAUUUAGCAACUGAGGAUUCUUCAGAAAAGAUUGACAGACUUGCUGGGUACUUCAAGGAAGUGCAGGAAGCUAGAGUAAAGGAACAAGAAGAGCUGGAAAGGAUAAAAGAAGAAGCAAGUACAUUAGCCAGUAAAUUAGAAGAAACCAACACAGCCUUGAAGUUGGUUGAGGAUGCCUUGUCUGCUGCAGAGGGUAACAUCAAUCAACUUGCUGAAGAGAAUAGGCAAGUCCAAGCUGCCAAGGAGCUUGUAGAACUUGAGCUGCAGAAAGCAGUUGGAGAGGCAUCCUCUCUGUCUAGCGAGCUGGAUGAAGCUUGUGCAAUUAGGAAUACACUUGAAGCUGCACUUAAGCAGGCUGAAAUAAAUAUAUCUGAUAUCAUCAGCGAAAAGGAAGAGGCUCAAAGCAGUACUGCUACUGCAGAGAUGGAGCUAGAGAAGGUGAACAACAAAUUAACAGAAGCACAUAGCACCAUACAAUCACUUAGAGAUACACUUACUCAGACAGAAAGCAACGUGGAUUCGUUAUCCAAACAAAUUGAAGAGGACAAGGUUCUUACUACAGAUUUGAAGAAUGAGUUAGAGAUGCUUCGAAAUGAGGUAGAGCUAGAGCGGAGCAAGAUGGCUGAGGCUUCAUUGACAAUAGGAUCCCUGGAAGAGGCACUGAUGAAGGCGGAGAAUAGCCUUUCUGUCUUACAAGGAGAAAUGGUGAAAGCUGAAGUGGAGAAAUCAACUCUCAGUAGUAAACUUAAUGUGUGCAUGGAAGAGUUAGCUGGAUCAAAUGGAAACUCACAGAGCAAAUCUAUGGAGAUUAUUGCUCAUCUUGAUAAUCUCCAGAUGAUUCUAAAGGAUGGAGGGCUCAUUUCCAGGGUGAAUGAGUUUCUUGAAAGGAAAUUUAAGAACCUGAGAGACAUGGAUGUCAUUGCUAGAGAUAUCAUGAUAAAUUUUGGUGAGAAGGGAUUGGCUGGGGAAAUGGACAACGUUACAGAGGUAACAAUUAUUCUUGAACCUUACCAUAUCAAUUGUUCUUCUGUUCCUUUUUGCAAGUUUGUCGGUUUCAAACAUGCUUUAUUCUAUAGGAAUCCAAGUUGUUGUUUGCUAAGGAUGUGCACACUCUAGCUAGAAUAUGUUCUGUGUAGAAGUUGAUUAACGGAUAUAAGAUUGAUGAUACUAUUCUGUAAAUCAUUUUUCAAUAGUACAUACAUCUAUCUAUCCAGCAUGCGCAAAUUUAGCAAUAUAGAUAGAUAUACCAGAGUUUAUGGAUCUUCUCUUGACGAAUUUGUGAUAAUGAUGUUGUUCUCUUGGCGCUGUUUAUAUUUCCAGGAUGAUUCAACUGUGGCAAAAUCUUUGUUGAAUGGUCUUGAUGAUUCAGUUGACAUAGAGCUAGAGAAUAGCAAAGAGAAUGCAGGUGAUGAAGACGAGAUUUCUUCAUCCCUUAGGAAGAUCACAGAGGGGGUCAAGCUUAGAAACAAAACACUCGAGAAAAAUUUCGAGGUUUUCUCAACUUCCAUUGACACACUCAUUGCGGCUUUGAUGGAAAACAUGACAGCAGCAAGGGCUGAUGUGAUAAACGUCAAGGGUCAUAACGAGUCCCUGCAAGAACAGGUGAGGAGUGCUGAAGAUAUUCUCCGCGAAAAGGAAAACACUAUAGCUGCAUUAGAAACAGACUUGUCAUCUUUGAUGUCUGUAUGUGGCGAGGCUGCCAGCGAACUGCAGUUGGAAGUGAAAAAUAAUCUCCUAGAGUUGGUUCAGUUACAAGAAAAUGACAACGGUGGUGAGACUGAAUCAACCGAACAUCCACAAGAGCUUCUUGAUGUAACUGAGUGCUCCCGGAGAGCAAAAAAACUAUCUUCUGCCACAGAGAAGGCAUGUACUACUCUUAAGCUAUUUGAGACAACAAGUAAUGCAGCUGCUGUACUCAUCCGAGAUAUGGAGGACAGACUAAAAGAAGCAUCUACUGCUCUAGAAAAGGUUGUGUUAGAAAGAGAUUUAAACCAAACUAAGGUUUCAAGUUCCGAGGCCAAGGUGGAAUCUACGGAAGCGCUUUGCCAAGAUCUGAAACUUCAGUUGGAAAAUCUCAAAGCCGAAGAAGAGAAAUGGCAUGAAAAAGAGGUGGAGCUUUCUACAUUAUAUAAUAAACUGCAAGAGCAAGGUAUAUAUAUAUUUUUUUCUUUUGUCAUCUCUCAGUUCCUUACCGCUUUACUAAAAUGCCACGUGCUGUUUCUCUGAGUUGCAGAAGCAAAGGAAAACCUAAUUCCAGCUUCUGAUAUACAUGCUCUUUUUGACAAGAUAAAUGAUAUUGAAGGGCCUUCAGUAGAUCAAACCAAUGAGUUAGACCCACAGAGUCCAUAUGAUGUAAGGAAGCUAUUCGCGAUUAUUGAUAGUGUUACUAAGAUGCAGCAUCAGAUAGAACUCUUAUCAUAUGGGCAAAAGGAACUCAACUCCGCCUUGGCAGAAAAGGAUCUUGAAAUUCAAGGUCUGAAGGAGGCAGCUGAAGCAAAGAGUACGACCGAGCUAGAGCUAGUAAAGGCAAAUAAAGAAUUGUCCAAGCUUAUAUCUGGCUUGGAGAAACUGCUGGGUGAUGAUCUUGUUGUAGACCUAGACUUCUCCGAGUCAUGGACGCUCUUACAAGCACUAGAGAAGAAAAUAGCUUCCCUUCUACUAGAGUCAGAGAGUUCAAAAUCAAAGGCACAAGAACUUGGUUUAAAGUUAGUCAGCAGUGAAAAACUUGUGGAGAAAUUAUUACUAAAAGUCAAAGAGUUUGAGGAUAAAAUUCAAAGCAAAGCUGUUCAGCCUGAUGUUGUUCAUGAAAGGAGCAUCUUAGAAGCACCAAGAGCGUCUUCUUCCUCAGAGAUAUCUGAGAUUGAGGACAAGGUAAAAAAUGUUUAUCUUGUGCUGUUUCAGCUUAUUAUUGACACUUGUAAAUACCAUCUAUGGUUUCAUUGUCUAGGUAUAUGUUUACUAUAUCUGCAGCCAAGUUAUGACCUUAAAACUAGAUAAUGUUGUUUUGAAUAUCUUAAAACUUGCGUAUGUUUUGAUCAUGAAAUUUGCGGUGGAAACAUUUUGUGCUCAGGGAGCUCUGGGGAAAAAAUCAAUAUCAGCUGUGCCUACAGCAGCGCAAGUGAGAGUGGUGAGGAAAGCAUCGACGGAUCAUCUAGCUAUCAACAUAGAUUCAGAGUCCGAGCAGCUGAUGAACAACAACGAAGCAGAUGAAGAUAAAGGUCAGAACUGAGGCGUCUCAAUACCUAUCACGUUUAUUGCCAAACUAUCGCUCAUUUUAAAUACAAUAUAUUUUUCUUUGACAGGACAUGUUUUCAAGUCUCUCAACAUGUCUGGUCUGAUUCCAAUGCAAGGGAAGAUGAUAGCAGAUCGUGUCGAUGGAAUAUGGUAAACACUCGGUCAUAUCAAAAGGGCUGCUGAGAUGUAGUUCAUCUUAUUGAGCGAUGUGUUUGAUUUGUGCAAUGCAGGGUCUCAGGUGGAAGAGUAUUAAUGAGCCGUCCUCAAGCAAGGCUUGGCGUUAUGGUAUACAGUCUCUUAUUGCAUCUGUGGCUCCUAGCUUCCAUCUUGUAGCAAGACAGGUGAUUGAUAUCUCUUAGGCUUCUCACAUGAAACUGCCCACAACAGAAACACACAAAUUGCUAUUCUUCCCAUUCUUUGUCGACCCGUAGGAAGAGAAUGAUAGGUGUCGUCUUGUAUAUCCUGAAUAAUGUCUCACCCUUUUUUCAGUUUCAUAGUCCUAUAAUUUUAUUUAGGACUCAGUACGUUACACUUGUUUUGUCUUGAACAUUUGUUCCAGGACUUGCGAACAGUUUUGCCUGCCUUCUGCGUCUGCUAAGACUUUAAGUUUGUUUUAUUAGAGAACUCUUAGUGGGGUCUCAAAGAGGUUCUAGAUAUAAUAAAAUAAACAAAAAAAAAUUAUAGGAUUUGCUCUAAUACGAGAAUACCUUAAUUUCUAAACUAUGAGACUUCGCUACUAUUUGUGCUGAAAAGACAAUGAAUAGAAAAUGCAAUCUGUCAUGGAAGCUUUCAUGCUGUGUCGAAAAAGUGGAACAAAUUCAAAACCAGGAACACAAAUGAGGAUUUUCUUAACAUAAAAGCUUACAAGAGAGGAAAAGAAUUGUUGAAUAGUCAUCAAAAGCUAAUAGAAAGCACAAAAGACUAAAAGAGGCAAAAAGGAAAGAACUAAAAAGGUUGCAGCAGUACUUCAUCAGUAUUCAGAAUUAGAGAUGACAUCGUCGAUCUUUAGAAUCAUCUUAACGACUUGAGUUGCAAGCAAAAUCUGCUGCUGCUUUCCUAUCAAUGUUUCAAACACAUUUUGCUCCCUCAUAUCGUUUGUUCCCACGUCGUUGCAAUCUAUCCCAUAGAAUGGAAUAUUCUCCUGUUCAUCAUACAUACACCCACAAGUGUCAAGUUUCUUUUAGUUUCUCUGACCAAACAAACCGAUGGCAAAAUAGAGAGCCAAGUCACUUACCUUAAUUUGCUGAGAUUUAACCGCAGAGAGUGUCUCGAUGGGCUGUAGUCCACUGUUCUCUGCAAGAGCCAUGGGGACAGAGUCCAAAGCUUCUGCGAAUGCCCUUAUUGCGUACUGCAUAGACCAAAGUGUCUUCAGAGUUAAGAUUUGUGAAAUAAAUUAUUCAAAGAGAAGAGCAAAGAUCGUCUUUUACCUGCUCGACGCCAGGGUAUUUAUCAGCAGCUGCAUCAACAGCAAGUGAGCAUGUGAUUUCAGCUGCACCACCUCCAUAUACAAUUGAGUUAUUGCGGAUGAGAUUCCUAGCCACACACAGAGCAUCGUGGAUACUACGCUUCGUUUCUUCUAUCAUCAUUUUGUUACCUAAACCAUAUCCCAUUAACCAAUUGUUAAUCAACCGGAACAAUACUUUUGUCCACUCCACCAUAUACAUUGAAGCAUAUUAAACUCAGUACAUAAAUGUUUAUAGCUUAUUCAGCUACUUAAAAAGUCAGUGCUGUUAACAGUAUUUUUAAAAGAAGAGAAGGCUAUGAGUGUACCUCCACGGAUGAAAAUAGUAACAGCUUUGGAGUUCGCACAGUGCUCAAUAUACAGCAUUCGUUCUUUCGUUGUGCCAAAUGAUUUUUCACGGACCAUGCCAGCCUAAGAACAUGAAAAUAGUAACAGCUUUGGAGUUCGCACAGUGCUCUGAUUAAAACAUUUUUAACAUUCCACUCAUUUUAUGGGUAACACUAACUGAAGUGAAUAGUGUACCUUGCCUAACUUCUCUGGGGUCAGCUCCUGGAAUCUAGGAACAAUUCUGCCGCCUACGUAAACACAAGUACCCUAUCAGCUAUAAAUAACGGGUUACAUCACUAACGGUAGUAGAGAUGCUUGGAGAAAUGCCAGACCUGUGGCUAUUGCGAUAAGUUCUAAUUCAACACCCCCGACCCAUCUGACAGCAGGCAAGUUCCUGUGCAUCAAUAGAUGGUUUGCCUCAUCAUCGAAUCCCCAUUGGCAAAUAACCAGUGUAGCACCAACAUCCUGCAAUUUGAAAGCACAAGUAAAAUACAUAAAUUACGUCAUUUUCCGUCAUAACUGCAUUGUGGCAACUUAUAUUUAUUGUCAAAGUAAAAGCUUUCACAAGUCGCUCACUGAAUUAGCCAAUACCCGCAAUGAAAAGAUAAGAUUAGAAUAACCUACCUUGCACUUUUGAACCAUCUCAUCGAAAUACUGCUGCUCUUGCUUGCGCAACGUCUCAAACUUCUCCACUGUGUCAAUAUCCACCUUAUGCUUAGUUUUCGGCUUCGGUGGCUCAAAGGGACAAGUCAAAAUAGCAAUGUGGGCAUCUUCAAUCUGCUUUGGCAUCUGUGGAUGGCUCAUGUCUUUGUCAACCAGUAUUCCAUAUAUAAGCUCAGUGUCCUCCAACUUUCCCCCGACUUUGCCCUCUACUUUUAUCAAAUCUAAGUUAACGUCCCUUCUCUCUAAAUCAGCAACAGCAAGAACUGCUUUCACAGCAAUCUCAGCUAAACUGCGCUUGCAUCGAUUCACACUGCAGCAACGAACAACAACAACAAAAAGUUAGAACAAUGUUCUACAAGCAAAAUCUAAAGGAAACUCAAAUAUUUAAAAGAAAUAUUACAUCUUCGAGGAAAGAGUAGUCAUGCAUGUCUGAACCAACGGCUCGUAGUUAUUAACGUCGAACUCAAACUUCUGAGCUAUACGCUCCAAAUGUUCAACAGCAACUCUAGAAGCCAUCUCGUAUCCUUCAGCGAUACGGAUAGGAUGGAUUCCCCUAUCUAACUGACGUUCAGCUUGCUCCAGAAGUGCACCAGCCAUGACAACAACACCUGUUGUGCCGUCACCAAUUUCAUAAUCCUGACUCCGCGAAAGUUCUACCAUAAGCUUCGCAAUCUGGUUGUCAACAUCCAUUUGCUCCAAGAUGGUCGCACCGUCGUUUGCUGGAUAAACGAAAAAUGGUGAAAGUUAUAAACAAGAAAGCAAAAAAAAAAAAAAACAGAUCAUGCUUCACACAAAAAAAAAGAACACGAUUCUGUAGGAUGAAACUAGUAUUACCAAUUUACGCAUAUUCAACUACUGCUAAGUGAAAUGAGUUCAAUUUCAACAGACAUUGUAAGCCAAGAAUGAGAAAGGUGUACACAAAAUACCAUCGGUUGUCAAAAAAAAAACAUAUUAUGCAUAUCCAGCAGAUGAAAGUAAAAUUUUUGUCAGGAUUUUAACGGAUCUUUGUUAACUUGACAUCGAACAUGAGCUUGAUAAAUUGUCUUAAGAUUCCAAGAAGCAACAUGACAAAAGAGACGAACUUUACAAUUCACUGCUACCAAAUGAGAGAUUCAUUAGCAUUUAAGCCGCAAAAGAGACUAGUUUGAGCUUCAUAGCCAAUGGCGGAUCCACUUCCCCCAACUAAAUUUUACAUUUUUUUUAAAAAAAUAGCCUAAAAUCUUGACUAAUUAGUUUGAUGAAAAUGUCUCUAACGAAUUCAAAAUUUACGAUAGUGCCCCUGGUUUAAAAAAACUCUGGAUCAGCCCAACACUGUUCAUAGCUAAGUUUGCAGUCAUAGCAACUCGAUUUUCAAAAACUAAACAGCGAAAAGCUUAGAUGGAUCCAUUCAUCAGAGAAGUAAACUUUGCUCGAUACUAAAAAAUUUUAAAAAAGAAAAGUGAGAAACGAACAGAUGGUGACGUCUCCGUCAGGUCCCUGGAGCAUCUUAUCCAUCCCCUUAGGUCCGAGGGAGGAACGGAGGAUCCGAGCCACCGCUUUGCCGGCGGCGAUAUUGGCUUUCUGAGCAUCGAUGCCUCGAAGACGCGUCUUUUGAUCCUGCUCCCUUAGUAUAAUGAACGGUCGCCCGAACUCAUCGAACGCCAGCGCCAUUUUCGAGCCUUAGCUUUUCUCGAUCCGAUCCACGUACAGAUCUUCGCUUUCCUCUCUCUCUCUCUCUCUCUCACUGCGAUGGAGAGAAGAAAGGAGUGGGAGAGUGACUGUGAAAAUGGUCCGAGUGUAAAACCCUAACUCGUUUACGAUGGCAUAAUCGUAAUUUCAAACCGAUCCAAGGGGCUGUGUUUCUGUGAAAAGUAUUUGGGCUUAUAUAGAUUAAAGCCCAUCUGUCUAUUUUUUAGGUUUGACGAGUUACUUAUCUUUUUUAUUACCAUGCAACUACGUCGAGUCGUCGACUAAGCUAGUUUCUAAUUUUCUUUUGCUAAGAAUGCUAAUAUCAUAUUAAUGAUGUUCAGAUUAUACAAAAAGCUUAAUCUAAAAAACUACUCUACCUUGGCAAAAAUAAAGAAAAAACAGCUAACAAAGCUAGCCCUACUAGUUAGAUAAUCCAACUUGACAAGAGAUUUUCCAUCUUAGAAUCUCUAUGGUAAGUGUUUAUGAUUCAAGAGCUCCCAGAAAUAUCGAUUGUUUUUUUUCUUUUAACGCCAGUUAAUUAUAAAAAGAAUAUUGCAAAACAAUUUUACAAACAAUCUCUAUGGUAAAUGUUUAUAAAUUAUGAAAAAUAUUACAAGACAAUUUUUAAAAAAUAGUGGGUCAGCUAUUCCUACUUAAUUCGUGAUAAUAGUUAAUAACUAGAUAUUCUACCAGUAAAUAUAGACAUAUUUUUUGUACAAAUAUUAUUAGUAUAUGUUUUGUUAAUUCAAAAACCAGCAUGAUAAGUUAUUAUUAUGUUUUAAAAAAAAUCAAACAUUUUCAACAAGUAUACAGUAUAUGAUUAUUAUUAUGUUGAAAUUUUUAAAACACUCACAUAUAUACUAUACUUAUUAUUUAUGUCUGAAAACGCUUUUCCAAUAGUGGAUUUGGAUUCGAGACAGGACUCGUUUCUGGUGAAUCUGGAGAAAAUGUUGUACUGUCCAACACCUGAGUCACCGAUUGGGACGAUAUUGAACAAGUAAUCAUACUCAUUGUCUAAUCUAUUCGACACUCUCAAAUCCUAGCGUCUGGAUCAACCUGUGUAUGUCGAACGAGAGAGAAUCAAACGAAUCAGAGGUGUAAAUCGAAAUCCUAGAAUUCGAAUGUUUACCCCUUCAGCAAGCCACAAGGCCACAAGGUAGAAACAUUUGUUUUUCGGUGCUCACGAGGUGAAAAUGGAAACACCCAUUCCCAUUAUUUACUCGUAAGUUGUGAAUUAUUUAUAGUGACAAUUUUAUAAAUAUUUUAAUAAAUUUUAGUGGGUUCCAUAUAGAUAAUUUGUUGAAUUGAUUAGAUUAAAUGGUUAUAUUAUUUACUUUUUAUCAUUUUUGAAAGAAAUAAUUGAUAAUGCCUUUUUAAUUAUUUUAUUUCGUUGUAAUAUUUUCAUAUAUCUCAAUGUAAUAAACUAUAUGAUACGUGAACUAGAAGUUUGUGAAACUGUUUAAUACCACUAAUAUUUUUUUGACAUGUUCUUCUACUGAUGACAUACACCACAAACAUAGAAUAUUAAGAUUGUCCUUAUUCAAAGAUAAUAACGUCAAACAUACAUGUUUUAGCAAAUAGGUAACAGUGUACCUUGGACUGACCCAUCAUGGAAUCACUUGCACACGAAACGUCCUUUAAAGCUUUGAAGACGAUGAAUGAACAAAUCAACACGAUAAAACCAUUCACGGGACCAGCGUGAGUCUAUGCAGAGGGAAGCAAACAAAACCAAUGAUGUGGAGAUGAAGACUGCACCAGACGUCCAGUACAACCACAUCAUAUCUAUCACACCAUCACCCUCUUCCUCUUCUUCUUCCUCUUUGAACUGCUUUUCAAAUUCUUUCGAGGUUUUGCAACUUUUAUUGGUAGGAAGUCCACAAAGCUGAUCGUUGCCUAUGUAACUUGUUGCUUCAAAGGUCACAAGAUGGGCUUUGAAAGGGAUUUCACCUGACAAAUCGUUAUAUGAGACAUUGAAGUAUCCUAAAUUGUUGAGAUCGGCUAGCUGAGGAGGGAUGUUUCCAUGUAAUUUAUUGUUAGAUAAAUCCAGACUCUCCAAACUCUUCAGAUUUGAAAUGCAAUCUGGUAUGGAGCCGAUGAGGCGGUUGCUUGAAAAAUUCAGGGAUAUGAUGUUCUUAAGAUCCCAAACUUCAACUGGAAUCUCACCGGAUAAUUGGUUGCUUGACAAAUCCAGACCAUACAUAUAGCGAAGAAUAUCACCUUGAUAUGUUUCAUAUCUGCUUUUCGAUAAAAAAUUAACUGUAGUUGCUGGUGUUGACUGAAGGCCAAGCUCUAGUUGGGUAUCAACAAGGUAAAGAGCUGAUGGAUAGCGCCAGCGUUGAAAGGAUGAAAAUCCUACUGAAUAAUCAUAUGGAUUGAUUAUUGCAUUGUAUCCAAAAGACAUUUUACCAAAACAUGAUGGUAUGGCGCCUUUGAAUUUGUUGUGAGAUAAAUCCAAGAGACCAACAUUACUUAGCUGACAUAUUUUUUCAGGGAUAUGAGUCUGAAAGCUAUUAUUCCCUAGAAGAAGAACUCCCAAGUCAGAUGUCUUCCCAAUAGUAUUCAGAAUCAUUCCAGAAAUACGGUUGUGCCGCAAAUCGAGCACCUGUAAUCCCUUAGCCUUGAAUAAAUAGCUCGGAACUGAACCCAUAAACUCAUUGCUGUGUAGCCUUAAUUCCCUGAGAGAUGAAACAUUAAAAUUCCUUGGAAUGGAGCCAGAAAAGCUAUUGUGGGACAUGUCUACAACCGAAAGCUGUAGAUUUUGUAGUUGAUGAGGCACCUGACCUUUUAGCUUGUUUCCCCUCAUGAGUAGAAAGGAUAGUCCCGAGAUUUUACCAAUCCAAUAUGGAAGCGUGCCGGAAAAGCUAUUAUCUGAUAUGUCCAACAGACGUAGAGACUUUGAGUUCAACAAACCUUGUUCAAGACUCCCGCCAAAACGGUUGCCAUUAAGAAACAACCAAACUAAACUAGUAAGAUUUGCAUGCCUCGGAAAUACUUUCCCCUGGAGUUGGUUAUUGGAGAGCUUCAGAACACUCAGCGAGUAGCAACCACGUACAAACGUAUUGGGUAGCUGACCAUAUAGACGAUUAUCGGACAUGUCCAAGAAUUCUAGACUUUUCAUCUCGCCCAUAGAAGAUGGAAUGGUUCCAUGAUUGUGGUUUGAAGAAAAGUUCAUGUACCUUAGAUGUGGAAAAACAAUCCCUAUGUCUUCUGGAAGUGAACCAUAUAUCCUGUUACAUGAGACAUCAAGAAAAUUUAGUCCAUGAACAAGCCUAGAAGGUAGUCGAAGCUCUGUCAACAAAUUGUUGGUCAGUCUAAUAGCCGCCAGCCUUGUAUUAUUCUUCACAAGCCAGACCGGAAAUGCUCCUUUCAAUUGGCUAUAAGUAAUAUGGAUGGAGCGUAAGUCAUGUUGAUGAGCAAGAAAGGUAGGGAUUGUGCUGCCAAGGUUGAAUUUCUUUAGCUUAAGUAUCUUCAACUGAAACGGUGGAAGCCAGGAGCUCUCAGCCUGAGUUUGGAUCGUACCAAGUUUCGUUGACAACUUGAAUACUGUGAGUCUUGUGUGAUUGGCCAGCGAACUGAACCAGAAGGAACCGUUGAAGUCAUUAUCAAAAAGGGAUAAGUACUCAAGCGUUGAUGGUAGACCAGGUACAAAGGAAGACAAGUCUCCACUGAUUUUGUUUUCGGAUAGAUCAAGAGUUCGAAGACGGCUUAAGUUAGCCAGACAAUAAGGAGUAUUUGUCAAAGCAUUGGAGCUUAAAUCCAGCUCUCUAAGAUUCAUUAAUGCGCAAAUCUUCAAGUAGCCUGGAAUUAGUCAAAAUAAGACUUGUUAGAGGAUGAUCACACUAAGACUGAUAUGUAAAGAUGAGACACGAUUUUUAAUAUUUUCACCUUUUGGUGUCGAUGGUAAUUGAUUGUUUGCAAGAUUCAGUACGUGUAAAGAUGAAGGAAGCGUUACACCUGCAAUUGAAAGGAUAGACACUAAAUAGAAAACAGUCUUGCAUGCUCCACCAGCCAUCUAAAAAAACUCGAAUUUCAAAUCAUUCACUUGCUUAGCUAAAAUUAAACUCUUGCAUUCUAACACACAAAUAAUUAUUGGUUGGACCGUAAUUAAUUGUAAAGAUCUUAGAAUUUAGUUUGUAGGAUUUAUUGAUUUAGCUGUACGGAUAUAACAAGUGGCGUUUGGAGCUUCAUAGGGGGCCAAAGCGAAUAUGAAUAGAAAUUUAUAAAGUUUAAUUCAAAUUUAAAUAAUAAAAAUAUAUUAUUGUUUUAACAAAGUUUUAAAUGUUAAAAAAUUAUUAUAUAUAUUAUUGUUUUAACAAAAAUAUUAUAUUGUAUGAACGAGUAUAAAUUAAUGUGAAAAAUAUACUCAUUAAAUUGCUAAAAAAAUUAGGUAACAUGUAAAUUUUUACAUAAUUUCUUUAACUUACUAUACAUAUAUAAAAAAAUAGUAAUAGAUAAAAUUAUAAAUGUCAAAGAAAGAAUUACACCAAAAAUUUAUCUAUAUAUUACUUCACUAAAUUAUCAUGAUUAUAAAAUUGGUAACUUUAAAAGAGCAAUUAAGUCAUAAGAAUUUUAAAUAAAACAUAAUAAACUGAUGAGAAAAAUACUUAUUCAAACAAAAAAAAACUGUUUUUGAAAUAUGUAGAAAUCCAACAAAAAUUGUGAUUUAAGCAUACACUCAAACUUUUUUUUUAGAAAUUAGGGAAUCCUAAAAUUUGAUAUUAUUUGGAGCCGUAAGAGCAACUUUAUUGGUGUCCCUUAGGUUGAGGUUCUUAAGCGUAGGGUCCCUUAACUUUUAACUAAAAACACUAAGGGACUUCUUUCAAGUCCUUUAUUUAAGAGCCGUUCCUUAGUUUUUUUAGUUAAAAGCUAAAGGAUCCAACGCUUAAGGACCCAACUUAAAAGACACCAAUAAUGAUGUCCUAAGUCAAAUGCUUUUUUUUUCUCUACAAGUCAAACACGGCUUUCGAUGUAACUUUAAAAUUUGUUAAUUUUAGGUAAAGAUUAAAGCUAAAAACAACUCAUACAGGCCAACCAACCCAAUCACCCCAGUAUUUAUCAAACCAAACAAUAUUAUCUAGAAUCGUUAUCACUACAUGCUUCUCUUCUUUUUUACUAACCGGUCUAGAUGUUCAACUAUUCUUCUGGUUACGUUUUUUUUUAUUAACUUCUUCUGGUUAUGUAUAUGACGAUCUUACCUAGCUUGUCGAAGUCGGUGAAUCCAUUAUUACUUAGAUCCAGUUCUUGCAACAUUGUCAUACCUGUCAGUACUGCAACAACACAAGUAUCAUUCUUACAAAGAAGGAAACAAAUACUCUUCAUGCAAGAAAAAUUGGGGUUAAGCUGGCAAAAAUGUACCAUUGAUGGGAUCAAACAAGUCACUGAACUUAUUGAACGAAAGUUUAAGGUUUUGGAGUCGAGGGAAGCUAUGGAACAAAGACAGAUUUAGAGACUGGUUUUCUAACUCAUAACUGGCGGGUAUGAGUUCAUCAAGCGAGAGGUGGACUACGUAGCCACCGGUAGUAGCGUCACUACACUUUACCCUUUUCCAGUGGCAGCAAUCACUGAUAGGAUCAUCAUGACUCCAUGAUUUCAGCAUGCUUUCUUCUUCUACUUUAAAACCAUUCUUGAGAUACGACUUGAGUUGCAACAGACCCAUCCGUUCAGUUUCCAGACAACCGACACAUCCUUUCAUCUGGAGUUGAAGCAUCAACGUUACUAUCAUGAACAACACCAAAGCCAUUUGCUUCUUCUUCUUAACCCACCACCAGUAUCUCUCAUAUGUUCUCAUUAUUAUUUUUUCCUGUGGUACACAAACUGAAUCAGAAAUUAGAUAGGUUGAAGAUUUGUAAGAGGUAGGUCCCAAAAACGCCCCAGGACAAGUCCAAAACCAAUGAUCAUGUCCCCCUGACUUUCAGCAUCCAUCAUGUUACGCAUUUUGUUGGUUUAGUAUGUUAAUAAAUAUCAUGGUACAAUCUGGAGGGCCCACUCUAAGUUCUUUCAUAUUGGCAACUCAAAACCAGAGAUAUAACUGGACCAACUUGGACGGAUUCACAUUUCUUUCCAUUAGCCUGAAAUUCUUCAAAACUACCUCCAUAAGCCUACUUAAGUUCACAACAUCAUGUAAUAAUGCUUUCAAGAUCACCUCCAAAAACAGCGAAGACACUCUUGCAUCUAUUGAUUUAUUAGAACUGUUUGACGACACAAAAUAGAAAAUGUAUCAUGUAUGUACCUACCUGGUAUUCAAUACAAUGAUCAAUCGAAAGUAUUUGGGCUUUCAGCUUAAAGCCCAUCUGUUUAUUUUUCAGGUUUAACGAAAUAUCUAUUUGAUACGGAAAGAUCUUCUAUUUGAUCUAAAAAAAAGGAAAGAUCUUCUAUUACCAUGCAACUACGUCUAACUAGUUUCUUUCUUUUUUUUUAAAAUCAAUUACAUUAAUUAUUCAAAAGAGCUUACAUAGUCAUUAUGCAACAAAGGUGAAAUUGAUCUAGGAAUGUAAUAGUAAAAUUCAAAUAAUUCCAAUGUAUCCAUCUUAGAAUCUCUAUGUUAAAUAUUUCUGAUUUAAUGAGAGCUCCCAGAAUUAUCGUUUGUUAGUGAAAUAAACAGUUAACAUGAUCUAUCACAAUCACAUGCCAUGUACUUUUACUUGCGGAUGUGAUAUGCAGCUUGUUGUUAUUUUUGUUAUUUUUACUAAUAACUAGCUGUUUUGUUCGCAAAUACGUACAUAAUUUUUUUUACAAAUAUUUACUAGUUUAUAUCUUGUUAAUUCAAAAACCAUCAUGAUAAGUUAUUAUUUUUUUUUGAAUUAUACAGAGGUAUCCUGGUGUGAGUGAUCCAGACUAGUUAUGUGUUGCCACGUGUCGGUCUUCUGUCCCUGGCGAUGUCAAAAUGUUAAUUCCCCAGUGACCAGGAUUCGAACCCAGAUGGCGGUACUCACAGCUGUAAGCCCUUUACCACUAGAGCUAGAAGUCCCAGUUAAUAAGUUAUUAUUUAUGUUCUUAAAAAUUUAAAAUCAAACAUUUUCAUCAAAUAUAUAUGUUUAUUAUUAUGUUGAAAUUAAAAAAAAACACUCACAUAUUAGAAAUCUUUUUUUAAAUAUCUUUAUACAAGUAUUUUUGUUUGAUUAGUAUUUAAUUAUAUAUAUAUUUUUUAAAUUUUUUAUAAUAUAAAAUAUUAUUUCCAGAUAAUAACACGAUAUAUAAAAAAAAUUAUCUUACUUUUUUAAUAUGUUUUUGACAAUUUAUUAUAUUAAUUUAUAAUCAAAUAUCAAGUAUAACAUAUAUAUUUAAUAUUAUUAAAAAAAAUUAUUUAUAUAAUAAAUUAUAUAAAAUUUUAUUAAGAAUAUUAUUAACUUUAAGCGCUCUAACUUUUAACGCUCGAACGUGAAAUAUCGCAUUGCAAAUAAUAAUAUGAAUAUACAUUGAAACCUCUAUAAAUUAAUAAUGUUAGGAUUACACCAAAACUAUAAUUUUUUUAUUAAUUUAUAGAGAUAUUAAUUUAUCGAUAUACUAAUUGAACCAAAAACUCAAUUUGAGACUAUAAAAUUAUAUUAUUUUAUAGAGAUUUUUAGUGUAUAUUAAUUUAUAGAUUAUUAAUUUAAAGAGGUUAUACUGUAUAAGACGAUAGAUAACUGAUUGCAAACCAUUAAUUAAUAUCAGUAAAAAGUUAACGAUUUAAAUUUUAAUUUUCUAUGAUCUACAACUAAUCGAUGUGACAAAUAACAAUAUUUGAUUAUAAGUCGCAUAUCACAAUCAUAAACGAACAAGACAAUCCAGGGUUACUAUUUAUAAAUUUCACAUCUAGAUUCAAUAUCUAGUUAAGGCCGAGUGAACAAUGUAUCAAUUCUUCUCAUAUUUGAUCAAAUGAUCAAUUCAUUUAACUCGAUAUUAGUUAUAUUGUAUUCGUAUUAGUAUACUCUAUAACAAGCGUAUAAAAUCAUCUUCAUAUUGUCUACAUUCAUUUUAUCCGUUCGUUAACGAAUGAAAGACAUGUUCAAAUAUUUGUAUUGAAUCAAUUCAUUGGCAUGUUAUCAUUCUUUUCUCUUGAUUGGCUUGUUACCAUUGAAAAAUAUAUCUUAGCAAACCCAUUUUUAGGUACUCCAUUGAUUGAACGGUAUUCCUCCAUAAUAGUACAAAAGUUUUCUAUUUUGCUUUUCUUAUCUCAAUCACACAAGACAACUACAUAAACACACCAAACCCAUCUCUUCUCCGAUCAUCACAAUCUCUAAACCUCAAAUCCUAAAAUAAAUUAAAAGGAAUCUACGUUGAAGGAGAGAACAGAGAAGAAUGGGUCGCCAAAACGUUUUCGUAGUGUUUGGCCUCGUGUUCUUGGCCGUUCUUGGCCUCGCCGCAGCUGCCUCCUCUCCAUCUCCUUCAUCGUCACCCUCCAAAGCUCCUUCUACUCCCACAACCGAUGUCGAAGCUCCAGUGUCCGAGGACACCAUUGGAACCACCGACGACGAUGCAGCUGCUUCUCCUGGUGAUGGUGACGUGGCUGUGGCUGGUCCUCUAGGAAGUGACUCCUCAUACGGUAGUAUUGCACCUUCAGGCCCAGCUGCUGACAGCGGUGCGGCGGCUCUUGGUGUCUCUGCGGUCGUCGUUGGUGUUACAUCCAUCGCCGGUUCUUUCUUGUUUCUCUGAGUUGUGUAGUAUCAUGAGAGAGAUAAGAUUACAUUGACUGGAGACUAUUUAUAUAUAUAUGGAUGAUUGUGAUGACUAUGUUGUAAUUUGUUUCCCCCUUUGUUAUGAGAAACGUUGUCUUUGUAAUAAAACUGAAAAAAUAAAACGAAACUUCCCAUUAACAAUGAUAAAAUUAAAUACAGAAUUACGGAUCGAAUAGUAUGUCAAUUUUUUAUGUUUUCAAAAUGCAAAAUACAUGAUAAUUCGGUAGAUUCGUAACCACUGAAGGCAAUCUUUUUUGAAAUGCAUAUGUUUGAUAAGAGAAUCCCUAAAUUAUCCGAUCCUUUAAGAAGUCGUCAUAAAGUUCAUAAAUAGUUUCCUGAAUCAAUUAACUUAUAAGAAUAGCAGCGGUGAAGUUUGCAUUGUCCUCAAAACAUGCUGCAGUUAUCAUAAUGACAUAUCACCAUUUAAUGAAGAAAAACUUCACCUCCACUGUUUUCUGACAAGUUUAAAACAAGAAAUUCAAAACAGAGCUGCAGGGAAGUUUGUCCUUGUUAAGUUUCAGAAAGAAAAAAAAAUACAAUUGCUAUUAUUUUGUCUGUUUGAAGUAAAUGUUGCUUAUCAAAAACAUUAAACUGAGAUAUUUAGUUUAAAUAUAAUUUUUACAGAGCCGGAUCUGAAAUUUCGGGGGCUUGAAAUAUUUUUUAAAGGAAUUUUAUAAAAAAAUUGUUUUCAUAAUUUGGAGGCCUUUAUCUAUAUAAAAUUUGUCCAAAAUUUUUGGAGCCGAGACCAAUGUUUUAUCCGGCUGUACCCAAAUCCGGUUUUGAAUUUUUGUCAAGUAGGCUGCAAACAUAUGCAUGGUCAUUCAUAUUCAGACGUCAGUUCUACAAUUGUAAUAACUAGUAGUUCCACUUACAAGUACUAGGCAACUUAUGAAGGGAAGCAACUUUGUUUCACUAAAAAAAAUAUUACAUCAUGGAAUUUGAAGGGUGUAGUCACAAGCAAGUUUCUCGGUUGGUGUUGAGGAUCGUUCACUUUUAGAAGCUCAGUGAUGGACCCAUCUACGAGUGAAGAAAGAGCGGUAUGCAUAGUGCGUACGGGUUCAAAUAUUGGUGUAUUACUCUUUUUAACCGCAGUACCAGUCGUACAAAUCUCUUAAAACCGCUAGAAACUGCAACCGUCCGCAUCCACAAACUCCUGCAACCGCAACCGCAAUCGCUGCGUUUGAACUAGUCAGGCCCUAAAAGACAUGAAGCGAAUCUAUAUUGGUGAUUAUUUAGGUUUAGUGUCAGUUGUUUAAUCUUUUUUUAGGCUACACUGGUUUCACAUUGGUCAAUUUUAAAAAUGUUUUCCUCUAGUUUGUCAAAUAAGCAUAUUUUUGUUUUGUGUUUACAUAGGUAUAUUAUGACUUGUGAUAGACCUAUGGCAAACUAAAGCAAAGUCGCAUAAAACAGCUGAUAUUUCUCCUUAGUACAAAGCAGAUUGUAGGUUCUUGGGAAACAUAUGAGAAAGACUGCAUGAACCUUCCUACCAACCUUUCACUAUUCUUGGCUGACUAUCUCCUGUCAUCGCUGCUUCCCAGUCUACUCAAGAUAACGACCUGAGUUUUCCAAUUUGUAUAGUUUCUUUACGAAGAAACAAACAUUAUUUAUCCAUCUGGUUAUUUUACCAAAAAAGAAACAAACAUUAUUUAUCCAUCUGGUUAAGCUAUUCAAUGUGGCUCCCUUCUGACAUUGACACCAUUCAUUGUGUCUUUCUUUUAGUUAGCAACUUUCCAGCGACGAUGUGACCAAUCUCUUACACUUAGUCUCUUGUUUCGUCCAAGUUCCCACUUAUGCACUCACACCCGUUCAUUUACUUCCUUUGAUCGCAAUUAUUCAACAUUCAAAAAGUGCGUCUACAUCUUCAUAAACAUCAUAGUUUUAGCUAUUGAUGAUAGAAUUGGCUCAUAGUUACAGUGUCCUACUCUCUCCUUGACUCAUGCGCUAUCUUCCAACCUCAUCAAUGCUGUAACGCAGACCCAAUGUCUUUCUUUUUCAUUGAUUUUUAAGUUCUUGUUCUUUACCCUGCAAACACACCAUUGGGUAUUUGACUAUGCUUCUUCUUUUACCAAAAUACCCAAUAAUUCAAAUAUAUUACAUGAUACUUCAGUUUUAUAUAUAUAAUAUGUAUAUUGAAAAUCUGAUGUUUUACCUUUUAAUUAAUGUAUUUACUUGAAAAUCUGAAUAUAAAAAUAUGUGUUAAAUUUUAGUUGUUUUUCUUUAAAAUAGAACAAAAAUAAUAAAAUAAUAUUUAAUGUUUUUAAUAUAUGUUAAAAAAAAUCUGUCAAUUUUUUAAAAUACAUAAACUUACAACCUUUUAGUCUGGGGCUUUUAAAGAGCCGGUUGUAAAUCUAGUCUAGUAUAUAUAUACUUUGCAUAUCUCUUCGUCAUCUCUACCUUCACCUACAAGAAGCUAAAACAUCUCUCACCAAUCGAAGCUUACCAGAAACUGAAAGAGAAACUUAACGAGCAUGCGGGUUAUCUCAUGGCUGUUCGAUUCAGAACAUUCUUCCCGGAGAAGACGAACACCAAAAUCUCCAACGCAUUUGGAUUCCACCGACAGCGCCACGUCAUCUUCGCUCAGCGAAGCCACCGGCUCCACCAGCCUCCACAGCAGUCUCUCUCUCCAGACCCUCCCUUCCGUUCCCUCUCUCCAGAAAAUCCCCGCCGAGACUCUCGCCGUCACCGUCUCUCACUCCGUUACCUCCUCUUUUAAACUCCGGGAACGGAGUCUCCCCGUCACUUGUCUCGCCGUCAACGGCGGUUAUGUCUUUGCAGUCUCCGGACACGAAGUCAGCAUCUACGACCGCGCCAUGUGUGCUCAUCUCGACACUUUCAACGGCCAGGAUCCGUUCUCAGGAUCCGUCAAGUCCGUCGGUUUCUCCGGUGAAAAAAUCUUCACUGCUCAUCAGGACGGUAAAAUCGGAGUUUGGAAAUUAACCGCCAAAAACGGUUACAAACAGUUAACGACUCUGCCCACGUUAAACGACCGUUUGCGACGUUUCGCUCUUCCUAAAAACUACGUUCAGGUUCGCCGUCAUAAAAAACGUCUCUGGAUCGAACACGCUGACGCCGUUACCGCUCUCGCCGUUAAUAACGGGUUCAUUUACUCCGUUUCUUGGGACAAGACCUUGAAGAUAUGGAGAGCUUCCGACCUUCGUUGCCAGGAAUCUAUUAAAGCGCACGAUGACGCCGUUAACGCCGUCGCCGUUUCUACUAACGGCACCGUUUACACUGGAUCCGCGGAUAGACGUAUCCGGGUUUGGGCGAAACCCGCAGAUUCGAAACGGUACAAGUUGGUCGCGACUUUGGAAAAGCACAAAUCGGCGGUUAACGCUCUGGCAUUAAAUGAGGAUGGUUCGGUUUUGUUCUCCGGUUCGUGUGACCGGUCAAUUUUGGUUUGGGAGAGAGAGGACAGCUCCAGUUACAUGGCGGUGAGUGGUGCUUUGAGGGGACACGAUAAAGCAAUUCUGAGCUUGUUUAACGUCUCCGAUUUGCUUCUAAGUGGAUCUGCUGAUCGGACGGUCAGGAUUUGGCGGCGCGGAACAGAUGGUUGUUAUAGUUGCUUGGAGGUGCUUUCCGGUCACACGAAGCCGGUUAAGUCGCUUGCAGCGGUUAAAGAUUCGGAGUUAGACGGUGUCGUUUCAAUCGUUAGUGGAAGUCUUGACGGGGAGGUUAAGUGUUGGAAGGUCUCCGUCACCAAACCGGAUAAUUCAGUUUACACGGAUCUCGUUUCAUGAUUUUUUAAAUAAUUAUUUAUUGUUUUUCUUUUUGUGAUAUUACUAUUUUAUUUGUUUGGCGAACAACAAUUUGGCGUUUUUUAACCGUCACUUUACAAAAAAGGAUUAUUACAAUACGUGACAGAAGAGUUUUCUUUUAUAUAUUCGUGUCAUGUAAGAUUACAAAACAAAGGAUAGUAAUAAACUAAUAGUGGUAUUAAGAAUAACAAGGUCAUUAGUGGUUUAAUAAAAUGGAUAAACCGAACGAGUGGAAACACAUGUACAUGUUUUCAGGCGUAGGAAUGAAGAUGCUGUCUGUGCCACCUUGAAACCUGGGGAAAUCUAUGUGGUGAUGUUUGAUAAGUCUAUGACAUUUGCACUGUAUUAGAUUCUGUAGAGGUUUGUGAUUGGUUUUAGACAAAUAUACUUUGAAAAUAUGAUUGGUGGACAUUAGAUUUAGACAGAGGGAGUACAUUAUAAAUAUUCGCAUGCAAAAGUUAAUGUACCAAAGUGAGAUUUUCAAGACACAUAAGAUACACCGAAACAAGAAGUCCAAAGACCCGUGAGAGUGUGGAUAAGACAUUUUUAUAACUUUUUAAAAUAACUAAGAUUUCUUGUCUUGGACGAAAUUAGCUAAAAUUGUUCUAAAACUGAAAUCGAGACUAACUCCUAGGCUGUUUCCCUUUUGAUAGGGCUUACUUUCCAGAAGCAUUCAGUUGCUUGCUGGCCUAGUUUCCAGAAGUACUCGUUGCUUGCUGGCUUUGUAUCUUACAACCGCAUUCCACCAUGUAUCUCAUCUUAAUAAUAUAAUUUUAGUGUUUAAAAAAAAAAAGACUAACUCCUAGGCCUAUAAAGUAUAAUUUUUAGUUUUACACAUAACAUCUAUUAGUGCGAUACGAAUUCAAAAGAAAUGUGUGUUUAAUUUUUUCUUGGUCGAAAAAUGUGAGUUUACCAGGAAAACAUAAUUACUGUGUUUACCUGUAUAAUGAUCAUUGAUGUAUUUUAGCCCAAAGUGAGAAUCUGCGAGAAAAAAGUAAUUCGUUAGGUGCUUCAUCUCUUGUAUUAAGGUGAGAAGUGGAGAAGAUAGAGUAGACAGACCACACUAUAAUAAUGUUUUCUAAUAUUGAAGGAAUCUUUUUUGACAAACAAUAUUGUUGGUAAAAAACUAAAAAAAACUUUGUAUCAGACUAUACUGAAUGAAAAAGGCCUCAAACUUUUAUACCAGUGGAUAAGAUUAUACUAUUGAAUAAACUAUCACUGAUAGACUGUAAUCCAUUCAUUCUGAUUACACAAAGCAAAACUACAGUUAUAGUGAAACAUCUCCUUUUCAUAGGUAGAUCAGAAAAAUGGAAUUACAAGCUUCUUUAGCAUAAACAAAAAAGUACAAAAUCAUUUUCAUAGGAAGAAAAUUACUUGGAAAUAUUAAAGAAUGUUACUUGGAAAAGCCGACAAAGAAAACAAGGGCGACUUAGAAACUGGACAAAGAUGAAUCACAUAAAAUGCAACUUGUAAAUAGUUCUACAAAAAUUGCAUGAUAAAAUACAUUUUUAUUUAUUGUCUUUGGUCAAACAAGUACAUUUUAAUUAGUUAACAUUUAACAUGGUGCUGACUUAUUAUCAAAACAAAUUUUAAUACUUUUUUGCCAACCAAUCAAUAAUACUGGAGUCCGAGUAUAUGGACGUAGCCAUUACAGCUAAAUGGCUAUAUAAACUUUGAAUGAGUAGUAGUUAGUAAUAGUCUAUUCCUCACUAUAGGUGGUAUAUCAAAAUCUGACCAUAGUAUUAAGGACUUUGUAAUCGAUCAAAAGGAGUAGCUACAUUAAUAUUCGAAUAAAAUCUUGAUUAUGACACUAAUUGUAUUUACUAAUCUGUAAUAUAUCUAGAACAUUUUUGUAUAUUGCUCAAUGAGAAUUUGCAUAUGUCCAACUGGACCAACUCUGCUUCAUUGAAUAAAAAACAGAUUAUGUUAAGUGGUAGAGCUUCAGCCACCACCACAUCACUUCAGGGCUUCAACGUUAUGAGCAUAUGAAAGUUGACUGUUUUUUCUUUCAAAAUGAAGGUUGACUGCUUAAUUUUCAAAGUUCCUCGUUUUACUCCGAGAAUAUUCGAAGUCACCUGAAACAGAAUAACUGUUUUUUCCUACGUAUCAGAGUUAAGGGAACACAACCUCAACAAAUGUAAUAUCAAAAUGAACACAUCUUUUCUGUGAAGAUCCAACAAUGUAUAUCCCCUUUCUGCAUAGGGAGAACUGAUCAAAACAGCAUGUGGACUGUGAACUACAACUAGAGAAUUGUGUACAUAACACUCUCAUUGUAAUUUGUAGCUCGAGGCCUCUCGAAUAAAGCAAUCAUAGGUCUUUACCACAAUGCCAGUCACAUGGUAUGUGUGACCGAUUUUAUAAUGUACUUUCAUUAUAUAAAAUACUUAUAAAUAUAAAAUAUAUAAUACAUUAAAAGAGUUAUAGAAGAUGUUUUCUUUGUAUUUACAUAUAAUCCCUUACAUCUCUGUGAAUUAUUAGAAAAAAAAUUGAAUUACUUAAUUUUUUUGUGAUUAAUCAUAGUUUAUAUUGCUUGUACUAUUUUCUACUACUGAGACGACGGUCAGACAAAUGCAUGGACUGUUCAUCACACAUUUUUCCAAAUAAAUGGAAUGAGAAGACCCAUCUUGUGUGACAAAAGUGGACAAACUUGACACAUACCUUAAUACGUGUACGUGACCGUGAGAAUGAAAAGUAGACAUACAAGUUGGCCAACUUGACCUCGUCUUAUUACCAAAGAAUUCAGUUCUCAUGAUGAUAUACUCCUUUUUCUAUUCACGUAUAGAUAUUAAUCUUACUAUAUAUAUAUGUGUGGCCCAAACUUAGGCUUCUUCUACGGUUAGUGGAGAAGAUUGAUUUCCGAUUACGACCUUAGACCGAAAACAUGAGGAUUGGGCAAAUUCGAAUAUAACUAUUGGAAGUUCAUAAAAACCCUAAAGAUCUCAUCAUCUCACAAGUAUGGAUUCACGUGUAUCUCAUUUGCUGCAGGAGAAUUAAGUAGAAGAUGACAAAUGUCUUUAAGCGUAUAUCUAGAGAUAUAUUGGUAUGAAUAUUUUUUUUUUUUUUGUAGAAAACCAUCUUUCCUAGCUGAUUUUCUUAAGAUAUGAAUAUUUACGUUACCUCAUAUAUACGUACGUGGAUACGUAUAAAUCCGUUUUAUACUUUUAUAUUUAGUGUAGUACGAUAUUAUUGUGGACUGACUUCUGGGGUUUGCUGUCUCGCGAUUUACGACCUCAUAACUCAAGUUUAAUAAGUCUACUAGUAUAACUUUUUAACGAAAUAAAACCAACUAUAGCUUAUAAAUGUCAAGUCUGUUAUCUAUGUUUCCACACUACAUUUAUGCACAAAGUAUGUUUGACAAAAGAAGAGAGUUCACAUAACCGUUGAAGUGAAAUAAUUAAUAGUCUGUAGAGCAUGUCAAUAUUAGGCCUAGUCAACAUGUACAUAUAUUUAUUUGAAGUUUAAUUUAUACUAUAAAACAAGGGGCAAACUUAUAUAUUUUUUUAAAAAUUAUAUUGUUAAUGAACUACUUACACUUUUGCAUAUACUAAAAGACUAUCAAAUAAUUUAGUAAUUCAUAAGUAAAUUAUUGUCAACUAUGGUUUUUUUUUUCACUUUGUUUUUUUUCUUAUCUUGCUACUUAUGGUUUUUCGCCGUUCGAUAAUAGAACCGGACUUUUUCACUCCUCCAAUCUAAAUGCAUAGAUUUGUAUAUGAUAAAACAUUAUACAGUAAUUAUUCUAUAAAUUAAUAAUAUUAGAACUUGAUAUUUUAUUAAUUUGCAUAAAUUUUCUUUUCUAUACUUAUAUAUUUUAAAAUAUGCUAUGUAAAAUUAUGAAGAAUAUGUAAUGAUUAAAUUUUAUGUAUACAAAUUUAUAUUUUUUUAUUCAGUUCUAUAGUGUAUAGAGUAAAAGUUCUAUAAAUUAAUAAUAUUAGGACAUUGAUUUUAUUAAUUUACAGAUUUUUUUUUCAUAUUUAUAUAUUUUAAAAUAUGUGUUAUGUAAAAAUAUAAAGUAUACUUGAUUUUACCGUAUAUGUAUAUUGAUUAAAUUUUUAUGGUUAUAAAUUUAUAUUGUUUUUAUUCAAUUAUAUAAUGUACUUAGAAAUAUUUAAAAGAACUUAAAGAUAAAUUUCACUGUAAAUAAAAACAAAAUAUAAAUUUAUUAUUUUCUUAUGUUAUUGAAUUGUGUCAUAUUUUUAGAAGCUGGUUCGGAACCAGUAAAAUUUAUUAAUUUAUGACACUUAUUAAUUUAUCGAAUUUUUAGCAUGUAACUGAAAUAUAAUUUUUGUAAUUAAACUCUUAAACGGGCUUAACUACCACGGUUGGGCCUAAAGCAAAUGAAAAGUUUCCCAUCAAGUUCUGUAACUAAGGAGUAAGUUAAAAUAUUGUAAAAAAUAAAUCAAAACCCGAGAUUCGAAGCUCCAACGAGGACGCAGAAGCUGUCCUCAGCGACGUCGAGUCCGACGAACCAUCUCCCCUUGCUCUAAACGAUCCUCCUCGUGAAGACGUACAAGACGAGAGGGUGACGGAGCUAAUCGCGAGAAGAAGGCUCGAGAAGCGGCCGAGAGUUCGAAAUCGGAUCUCCAAGCGUCGUUCAAUCGGCUCAAGGCUCUCGCUCACGAGGUGAUCAAGAAGCGCGAAGAGUCCAAGCGGGAACGAGACGAAGCGUUUAAGGAGAAGGAGAGACUUUCAAAGGAGCUUGAGAGUGUGAGUAAAAGUAAAGAUGAGAUGAAGUUUAAGCUUGAUGAGGUUGUUAGAGAUAGAGAUGCGUUGAAAGGGGAGAUUGAGAGUUCGUCUCGUAUGCUUGUGUCGGGGAUUGAGAAGGUAUCUGGUAAAGUUAGCAGCUUUAAGAGUUUCUCAGGUCUUCCUAUGGUGUUAUCAAGCGUGCGAAUGAGAUAGUGGAGGAGCUCGUUAGGGAGAUUGAUAAGUCUAGGAAUGAAGCUAGUAAAGUAAAUGAGUUGGUUUACCUCAGAGCAGAGCAUAGGGUUGCCUAGGAUUCAUAUGUAUCAUUAUCCAGACAAGUCCAAAUAGUAGGAAUCUGAUUCCCCAUGUGCUUGCGACAUCUUAAUUGAUGUUUAAUGAAAGUCCGCACAAGUAACUAUUUGUCCACUGCAGUGAUCAUUUUCUUGCUUUUGUUGGUGUAACUUACGUCGACCACGUUACUUUUGUUAAUCAAUCAGGGAAGAGACUAGUUCUCUGAGGAAACAAUUGGACUCUCAGACAAAGGAGCUUAACUAGAGAAUGCGGCAAAUAGAACAACUUAAAGAAAAAGGAGAGAAUAGCGAAUGAAAAUGUGAGUGGCUUUCUGCUUGCUGUAGAGUUGUCAAGUUAAUUGUUUUAAUUUGUCAAUGCAUGAUUGAAUUUAUAUAAGUGAUGGUCUGAACUCUUAUGACUCCUUUGUUUGUUCAGCUGCAUGUGCUUAAAGAAGAACUUGAAGAAGCAAAGCAAGCGAUUAAAGAAUCAGAGAAGAAACUAAAGUUCAAGGAGGAGACGGCAGCAGCAGCCAUGGGAGCAAGGGAUGCAGCAGAGUGAUCUCUAAAACUCGCAGACAAUAGGGCAACUAGGCUGAGGGAAAGAAUGCAAGAGCUAAACCGUAAAGUUGAAGAGUUAGAAACCCAUCGAGAUAUGAACAGUUCAAACAGUGCUAGAUACGUAUGCUGGCCAUGGCAACUUCUCGGGAUUGACUUUGUAGGAGGUCGAAGAGUUGACUCUGUACAACAACAACAGAGUUCGAACGAGAUGGAACUCGCUGAACCUCUACUAUGACAAAAGCGGGUACUUUAUACAGUUACUCUUCAGUAUUUAGUUUUUUGAUUCUUAUGUAUAUUCCAGCUGUUAAAGUUUUAAAGCUUCAACAUGUAAUGUUAAAACCCAUCAAUAAAUCUGAAACUUACAUUCUUUUUAGGGCAAUUGUCAAUAAUAACACCUUUUGAAGUUUAUGUCUUAAAAAGAGCACUAGAAGGAGAAAGUCACAAAAAUGACAUUCAUUGAAGGGCAAAAUGUCUCUAAUAUCCUUGGUUUAAAUUAAAUAAACAAACAAAAAUAAAAAUUAAAAAAAAAUAAUAAUAAAAAAAAAAAAAAUUUAUAGUUUCAGAUUAUAUGUUUUCAGAUUCGAAAUUUUUAUAAUAAGUAAUUUUUGAAACUGUUUUAUAAAUUUUUAUUUUUUAUUUUAGUAUUUAUUUUUUAUAAAAUUUUAAACCCUAAUUCCAAAACCCCACCCCCUUAACUCUAAACCCUAAGGUUUGGAUUAAUUAACUCAAAGGGUAUAAGUGUAUAUUUAUCUCUUUAAUAAAACCUAUUUUUGUGACUUUAAGCCUUGAGUGCUACUUUGGGAACAAAAACUUGGUUUAGUGCUAUACUAUUCUUUUUCUCUUCUUUUUAUUCGCAUUCUUAAGUGUGUAAUAGGCUGAUACCUUACAUAGUUACAUGGAUCAAGAGAAUGCCAUUUUUGUUGGAGCCACGAGCUUACGUAACAACCCGUGAGAUUUGAGUUUCCACGUGUCAGCUGUGAGUUCACCUCGGGAGAACAAUGAGCUCUCCACAGCGCACCACCUGGAUGGCUGUUCACAACACGUGUCAGAGAAACAGUAACCACAGAAACACAACAGAGAGACACAUUUUCGAUUUAUUUCGUUACAAAAGACGAAUAUCAAGUCACCACCACAAUCAUUGAGAGGUGAUGAGUCUUUAACCUCAACCUCUCUCGUGGUUACACGUGGUUAGACCACCGCUAGUUAAAAAAAAAUCGCCCACCGGAAUAUGAGUGGCGGCUAAUCCUUCCUCUCUCUCUCUAUUUCUUCUCUCCCUUUGGAAGAUUUUCAAACUCUCAAACUUUUAACUCACGCUUCACAAUCUCUGUGUAAACGAUACGACAAUAAGAAAAUACAAGACAUGGGCCUUUCGCAAUUUCCGACAGCGUCAGAAGGAGUACUACCACUUCUGGUAAUGAACACGGUUGUUUCAGUUACUCUGUUAAAGAACAUGGUGAUGUCCGUUUUCCGAAUUGUCGGAUCCGAUACUGAAGACUCCAUGGAGAUAGAGGAGCGUGAAGAGGAUUGUGUUAGGAGGAGAAGAAGAAUCUCGAUAACGCAGUUCAAGUCUCUGUGUGAGAACAGAGGAGGAGAAGAAGAUGAAGAAGAAGAGGAAGGUGUUGAGUGUUGUGUGUGUCUUUGUGGGUUUAAAGAGGAAGAGGAAGUGAGUGAACUGGUUUCUUGCAAGCAUUUCUUCCACAGAGCUUGUCUAGACAACUGGUUUGGUAAUAAUCACACAACAUGUCCUCUUUGCAGAUCCAUUCUCUAGUGGUGGUGGAACUAUCUUGUUUAACACUUUCCAUUUUUAUUUUGCUUUUGUUAUGAAAACACCAACAUUCUGUAUCCUCUGUUUUGUCUCUUUUUCUGCUAUGUCCUAUGUUUUUUUUACCCGUUUGGUGUUUUAUGUUUUCCCCCUUUUUGGUAAUGAAAAAGGGGUUUUUUCAUAAUAAUAAAGGACUUGAAUUGCUGUGUUUUAAGCUCUUCUGUUUACAUUUUAGAUGAAACUAUAUGCAUGAAAUUUUAUAUCUUGUAUUUGUUAAUUAAUGCGAUAAUCAUGUAGGGUUUGAGCGUAGGCUAAGGAAACAAUGGCUUUGCAUCUAGAAUACAUUUAUUUGAAAUUUGGAGAUUAUUAGGGUUUUCUCCAUUAAGAGGUUGAUUGUUUGUGGUUUUUGAAACAAUUUUUGGUUUUUUUUUCUCUAAAAACUAUUUUUUUACAAAUCAAGUUUCUUAGAAAAUAGAUUCCCUAAUGAUUUUGAAUCUAGAAACGUUUGACCCCUUCCUGGGAUAAUGAUUUUACAAAUGAAUAUGGAUUUUGAUAAAGCCAUGAAUCGAACGAACACUCAUCCAAAUAAUAAAACUAGGUAAAGUUGGAUUAAUGACACUUCUAUCGCUCAAAUAUUUCAAAUUGAUAUUUAAAUCAAAGAAAAUUAAAAAUUAAUUAAUUUGUAAUACUUAAAAAGUCAUUUAUAAUAUGGUCGAUGUUAUUGUCUUAGAAUUUCUAAUUUGACUUUUGUCUUUUCGUAUUAUUUCUAGUUAUUAGUAUUGUUCAAUUAUUUAAAUACCUAUUAAAAUUUUAAAAUGUAAAUACUAUAAAUUGAAAGUACUCAAGAAAAUUACCAAUUAUAGUUUUAAAUUUUUAUUUCCAUGCACCCUUUUAGAUAAAGGAAACAAACGACAUCAAUUUUCUUACAAAAAGUAACCACAGUAAGAAACCAGAAGAUAGUGACAAGAAAAAAGGAAGAAGACAGAGCACAAUACAUCGAUAUAAUUCAAUAAUAUAUAUAUAAAAUAUGGUAUAUGUCCUUAUUGUUUUGUUUUUUAAUUAUUCAUCCCCAAUGGACUAGACGGCUCUAGAUGCUCUUAGCCGUCGUCCACUUACAGAACUUCCUAUGCUCAAACUUGAUGAAUUCAUCUGCUUCCUUGUCAACAUCCACUUGUUUUGUAGCCUCUCUCCUACUCAUUCUCUCGCUCUGAGUCCUCCUCAUAUCCUCAUACUCCAAGACAUGGAUCGGUUCUUCAGCUGCAAAGGAAACUCGAAACUCCUUCACCGAGUCGCGGUGAUGACGAGGAUGAUGAUGAGAUUUGUGGUUAGAGGAGUUUCCAAGUGUCAUUCUUCUUCAAAUGAAAACCCUCUUUAGCUCUUUUUUUUUUCUGUUCUUGAAUAUGAUUUUGUUAGUGAUACCUUUGAAACUAUAGGAAGUAUCCUUAUAUAAGGGAUGUAAUGUGGUACAUGAAGAAAACAUAAAAAGAUGAGGGUGAAUCGUAUUCCCCUUUUUAUUAUGUAUUUGCGAGAAAAUAUAGCAAUAUAAUAUUGAAGGAUUUGGCCGAUUUAAAUUAUUCGACGCACAUGUCUACAAAUAUGGUAUAAUGAUAGUCUAAUAGAUAAGGAUCUAAUACGAUAUAGGGUUAAGAGAUAAUUAGCUUCAACAAUAAGCAAGUUUAUUGAUUCGAGAACAUUUUACAAUACAUACCACAUUAUUGGGACCCUUGAGACGUGGGCCAACGGGUUAUAAGGUUCAAAGCCUCAAAGGUAUAUGCCAUGAGUAUGAAAGGAACGGUAAAUGGUAGACAAGGUAGUUACUGUUGGUUAUUCGUCCUAGUUUGAUCGAAUUAGAUGCCUUAAUAAUGCGCAAUUUUGAGUGGAGAACGUAAGAAAAACGUGGUCCUAUAUAAAGAUUUGUAUUUGUUGCGUGGUCAAAAAGAGAUGCAGCUUCUUUUUUUUUGCAAACCAGGUUGAUCCGGCCCAUCGCUGGUUUGACUUUGCACCAUGAAACAAGCCCAAGCGGCUUAGAAAGAGGAUGUGAGGGUCCAACUUGUAAUCGUUUUUACAGUUAUUUUCUCGAAUAAUCUAAACUAUGCCGAAGCCCAACUAAUCCGGAGUUGGAGUAGCUCAGUGGUUAGAAAUGUACCAUGUCAGAUAUUCAGAAGUGAAGUUGACAUUUAACUGCUCUAAGCAAUGUAACGUCUUGCAUUCAUCCAGUCAACUACACCCGGCUAUCAGCAUUAAGUUCGUUUUUACAGUUGUCCUUUGUAGUCUCAUGAUAGACACCAAUUUUAUACAUACUGCCCUUUGAAGCACUUUAAAGGCCAAUAUCUUAAGGAGCCGAAUUUAUUAAUACCUAGAAAAAAAUAUAUGUUUUUGACAAAAUUUAAACAUCUGAAAUAUUGAACCAAUAUUGAUAAGUGAACAAAUUAUCAAUAAAUAUAUGUAUCAGACAUUCGAAGAUAGUGAGUUUAAAUGUUUUUUUUCUAACAUCUAGUGAGUUUAAAUGUUUUACACACUCUUAAGUAAUACAUAAAGCCAAUAAAUACAAGACACAGAGGAGAAAUGAAAAAUAGAAAUGUUACUAUCCGGCUGGCCAUCCAAAUGGAGAAAAUUUGUAGGGAUCCGAUUUCAAACACCGGCGGUUGAGAAUCGACUAAUUUAACCUGUUUUGGUGUCCGGUCCAAGAAGAUUAUAGGCCUACGUCAAGAAAAAGUUCGUUGGUCAACAACAAAAAUGAAACGCAACCUUGUUUGGUUACUACUCACUAGCUAGCAAAAAGAUCCAUGAUACUCGAAAGAACAAAAAACACUUAAGCGAACCUACUAUUCCAGCGACUACUUAGCCGGUUCAUCCCCGGUGCUAGAAGCACCCGGCUUAGCCAUAGAAUCUUGAAGUACGUUUGUUGCCUCAACGCUCUUGGUACGUUGUAGGGAAGGAGUUCGGUGUAGCCUGCACCUAAAUGAGCCCGGGUGAGUGGUCGGUGAACAAAGGCAAUUGGUCUUAGUGAUGCUGGUCUGACGAGAUAGCCCGCCAGUGCUUGCUGCUGCAGUACUCUCCAUGGUAGCUUCGAUCUCGGUUUUGUCGUUCAUAAUUUCAAUAUGAAAGGUAAGAGGAUUCGAGAUGAAUAAAGAGUUAUCCUUCUUUGUGUUUAUAUGGUCAAUUUUAGAUUUGAAUAAGCUAUAACUUCCUUUUCUGUUUUGUCAUCACGAGAAUGAUGAUGCAUUCCAUUAAGGACCAACUAUAUCCUUCAACUUGUCAUAAUGCUUCAACUACUCCUAUUCCCACAAGCCACGUCAGUCCUUUUCUUGUGUUUAAUGGAUGAUGAUCAUCCAUGAUUAUUACUCCCAUCAAUUAUCUAGUAUACACUUUCUUACUCUUUCUUAGGUUCAGUUUAAAAGUAUAUAUUAACUUGUACAAAAGGAAUUUGUAUAGUGGCCUCUUUUAUGUGCAAUCCAAAAUUUUAAUUUUAUACGACUACAAUGCAAUGCACUGAAUAUAAAUGGGGUAAGAUAUAAGUUAAUAGCCGGCCAAAAAGGGGUAGUCUAAAAAAUAACAAUUAUUAAUAAAAUAAUUAUCGUAACAACUGAUGCAUUUUUUAUACCAAAAAUACUGACGUAUUUUUUAAAACCAAAAGACAACCUAUGGCAGAUGCCUUCAGCUUAAGAGUGCUUCGUGAUGUUCAUUCACUCUGUGUUUUUCAUUUGAUUCUAUAUGUUCUCGAUUUAUACCCCAUUUGGGAAAUAUAGAUGUAAUUACUUAGAAUGCAGCUCUUUGUGCAUUCCUAAAUUCGCUAUUACAGGCUGAGUAAUUCUAUUCUUCCUGUUUAAUGAAGCUUUUGCAUUGUUCGAGCUCGAAUUAAUUUGAAAUUACCAAAGUUAAAAAGAUCUUGGAUACUGUUUGUAUAUUUUAUUACUCUUUUCGUUUCUGAAUAAAUGUCAUUUUGAUACUGUUUGUAAGUAUAAUUUGUAUAAAAAUUAUAAAGUGACAUUUUUUGUGUAAUAAAAAAAAUGUUAGAAUGAAAAUUAUUAUUAAAUAGAAAGAAAUAUUGAUUUUGACUAAUUAUAGACCUUCUUUAAUUAAUAACAAAUUUGAUAACAAUAAUAAAAUUAAACAUCAAAGUUCUCACAACUAUCAAAGUUCUAAUUAUUUCCUUAUUCUCAGUAAAAGAGUUUUCUUAAACCUUAAAAGAAUGGAUUAUCUUCUCCUUUUUUUUUUAAUGAAUGUUAAAUUUAUUCACCUCAAAACCUUUUUACAAUAAAUGGAUUCUCUUCUCCACCUUUGAAGUAGAUUUCCUAACCCAAAUAUGACUAGAAAAAUUCUCCGUUGUAUUAGCUUGAUAUUUUCCUCGGUACCAUGCAAUUAAGCACAUCAAAACUUAGUUUUAAAGUAUGGUUGUGCCAAAUACAUACAUAUUUUCAAAAAUAAUAAUAAUAAUAAUACAUAUUUUCAUAUCUGAAUACCUGAAUUAUUGUGACUAAUACCUGAAUUACCUAAAGAAAACACAAGUAUUCAGACAAUUAUCCUUUUCAGAUUUAAAAUAUGUACUUCCGACUUGACGAUAUAGUAAACAUCAAAAUAUGUGCUUCCUAUGAUUUGAGAGGGUGAGAGAAAAGAUGAAAAAAGCAAGAAGACAAAGGCUGUCUUUAUGAAUUCUGAAGUCAACUUAUUAGACAAUAGUAUCUAAUUUCUAGAGAUCUCCUUUUGUCCUUUUGGUGUUGUCUUUUUCCCCAUACGUUUUACUUGCUCUUCGUAACUUUGCUCAUACUCGACAUAUGUCCAUAUGCAUAUACCAUCAAUUAGUUGUUCUCAUACACUACUGUACCCCAAUAAGCAUACUCAGAUAAAAUUUCUUACUUUUAUUUUUAAAGAUAAAUAUAUUUUUUGGUAAAAUUUAAAGAUAAAUAUUGUCCUUGCAAAAACAAUCUAUCAUGGGCGAUAAACUGAUCAUACAACUAGACAGAAACAAAGGACACAUGACUUUUGAGCUAGUUACCCAUAACCUCAUUUCUCAUAACCUUAAAGAAACGUAAGAAGAGCAACAAUAAUGGUCUAAUAAUCAUGAAAGCAAUACUGAUAAAACAUUCCGCCAUUUCCAUUCUGAUGCAUCUUAGCUGCAUCAAACCCACUCGCAUGAUCGGCCCAAGCCAACUCUCCAUGAUACUUCACCUGAUUGAAUCCGUUCCCUUCCACAUCGAUGUGAUUUGGUACACCAAGAUCUGUCUGAAAACCGUUCUCUAGCAUUGUCGGGAAAACACCAACAAACGGUUGGUUGGUCUUAGGAGGGGUUGAAGUUUGUUGAGAGAUAGGUUUUGGCAAGAAGCCUUGAACAACUUCUUGAAGAAGACCAGACCCAGCUGGUUCUGGUUCGAGGAUUGAUAUCAUGUUGUCGCUGUCGAUGGUACUUGACCUCUUCGCUUUAGGCGAAUGAUCUUCGGAGACAUCGUUAACGUUAGUGAAGGACUCGUUAAGGAGGCCGCUUACGUUAGAAAGAUUGUAAUGUGGGUAAGCGAAAGGAGAAAGAGGCUGAGAGUUUAAAACGUCGCGAAGAAGGAACAUGUUCAUCGGAGGAGGCGAGAGAAGACGGUGGUGGUAAGAGUCAAAUGGGUAGACGAAGUUGGUUCGAGCUUUAAGACCACGCAUGGCUCGAGCGGCGCAGUCGUAUGCGCAAGCUGCUUCCUCGGCUGUGUCAAACGUUCCGAGCCAUCGUCUCUCCUUCGACAUCGGAUCGCGUAUUUCAGCAGCGUAACGACCCCAUGGCCUACGCCUCACGCCUCGGUACCUUAUCGUUGUGCCACCGGAAGCGCCGCCGGCGGCGCCAGGGGCAGAUUUUGCGAUGGUUACACCUCCGGGUGAGCCAGGAGCGGUGGAGGAAGUUCUUGACGGCUUUCUCUUAAGAGAAUGGUUGUUGGUUUCUCUGUGCUCAGCACCUUCAAGUCUCAUGAUUGCCUCUUCCAUGAUUUGACCUAAGGAAGUUUCUUUUUGUAAGCAAAGAAAGUAUUUGUUUUGUUCUGUGGGUUAUCUUAGGGUUUUGAGUACCUGAAUGUGAUGAUGGUAGAUGAUAUUUAUAGAUAGAGAUAAAAAGAACUACACUGUUCAUUUUAAAUUUUUAAAUAAAAGAGACUUGCGUCUUUUUUUACUUCUGAUCACUCUAUCAGUGAUGUAGAAUGCAAAAGUAGGUUUAGUUAAAGACGCUCAUGUUCUACGUUCGGACUUGUGUCUUUAUUUUUCUACGGACUUGCAUAAAAUUGGAAUAAUAUGUAACAUGUCUUUUUGAUAAGUAACAAUAACGUAGUUAAUAUAUUCUCCUUUUAGCUUCGUUAUUGUCAGGAGUAUAAAGGUGUCUCGAUCAUGUUAUUUAUAUCAUUUCGAUUUAUUCUUUUGUUUUUAGUGUAAGACAUGGAUCUUUCAGAAAACUUUAUUGAAAACAACUGAAACUAAACUAAUAUAGAGUGAAAACUGAAUUAUCGUUUCAAAAUGUUCCCCGUUCUAACUAAUUUGAAACACGCAAAAGUUGUUUUGACUAGUUAUGUUUUGAAGUUUUAACUACUAUAUAUAGGCUCCGACUGGUGACAUAUAGUAUUGAGUUCGAGUUGCAGUAUAUAUUGUAAUUUGAUGUAACUUGCAGUAAAAAUUAUGUGGUAAAAACUGUAAAUUUAUGUGGUAAGUUUGCAGUAGAAACAAAAGUUAUCAUUUUAUUAAAAUUGAUGACUGGUAACAUUUUUGAUGUAUAAGUUGCAGUAUAGUUUUUUUUUUUUUGACGUCAAACGGCUAUUCUAUUACUCAAGCUUGAGGUGGUCUGGGUAACCAGACCGGAAUAGAACAACCAACAAAAUGUAACUUCCUAUGGAAGGAUCUAGCAGUCUUGGCUAAAAAAUCUGAAAAAUGAUUGCGCGCUCGUGGAACAUGAAUGAUGUUGAAAUCCGGAAAGCAAAUCAGCAGCGUCUCUAUCCUUUCCAAUUCUGUCGCAAAGCUGGGCCAUGCAUGAGGAUCCUUUAUCAUUGCUAUCAGCUCCUUACAGUCUGUCCCAAAGUUCUGGCACGUUGAGUGUUGCAGCAUAUUCUCCAUUGCCCAUCGCAGAGCCUCUACCUCCGAAUGCAAAGGUGAUUCUCGUCGAUUGAGAUUUCUUGUCCCCAACAGUUGAAUGUUUCCUCCAUUGUCCAACCAGGCCCAUCCACAUCCAGUAUACUGAGCGGAGGCUGUCCAAGAUCCAUCUAGCAAGCAAAUGUUCCCCAAGCUUAUGACUUGGGUCUCCGCUGAAAUGACUUCUUGUACCAUAGGUUGUACCACUUCAUUCGCAUUAAACCAUGCCUGACAUUCACUCUCUGCAUGUCGGACUGUCUCCAAAGGAUCUCUAUCUAUUCCUCUGAAAAGUUUGUCAUUCCUAGCCUUCCAAAUGUACCAAAUUAUCCAGGGAUAAAGAUCCUUGCCCUGUUCCGGCUCGAUAAUGUUGUUUUUUCUCCAGAAUAGGUAAUCCAUAUUUGCGUAAAUGCUUGAUACAGGAAAUAGGCCAGGACUUGACGGGGUAGAUGCUAAGGUCCAGACCUGUAGAGCCGGUGGACACUCAAAAAUAGCAUGGGUUACAGAUUCUUCUAGCUCUCCACAUCGUGGGCAGUAGUUGUCACAUCUCAUAUUGCGUCUCGCUAGAUUCCUCGUUACUGCAACAUGGCCAGAUAGCAGCUGCCAUAUAAGAUGACAUAUCUUCGUAGGUGCUUUAACCUUCCAAGCAAAGGCUUGAAGCUCUGUGAUACAAAUAAUUAAAAACAUAUACAUAAUGAAUAUUUAUUAAAAACAAAAAAUACAUAAGCUUAUUCUAAAAUAAAUAAUAAAUAAGAAUAUAUUUUUACUUUUAAUAUGUGAAAUAAUUUUGACAAGAAAUAAGUUGUAAUUUGUACGUAUUAUUUUCUAAAGAGUUAUAACUCUAAUAAAAUUAUUUCACCUAUUAAAAUUUAAAAAUAUUAUUAUUUAUUUUUUAUUUUAAAAGUAAAAAUAUUAUCAUUUAAUAUUAUUUUCUAGUUACAUUUUGUUUUAUAAUUUUAAAACAAUAAUUUAUAAUAAAAAUGAUAAACAUAAGAUACUUUUAAAUUUGUGGGUUUAAAACCAUAAAUAAAAUUUUCAAAUUUACAAACAAAAUAGCAUACAAACGUAACUUAAUUAUUUACACUAAUAUAUGAAAUUAUUUGUUUUCAGUUUCCUAAAGAUGUUGCUAACUUUGUGGGUAUAAAACCAUAAAUUAAAGAGAAACUACUAACGUAACUCAAAUUUGACAGUUGUAGUUGAUUUUUUUAAUUGUCGUUAGUUUCUUUUUUUUAAAUAGAAAAAUUUAUUAAAAUGCUAACCCAACUUCUAAAACAUGGAUUUUUCCUUGAUGUUGCAUUAAGUUUUGAGGUAUCAAAAUUACAAAGGGUGUAAGUCAAAAUCUUAACUCAAAGAUACUACAUGUUAACUCAAACUUUAAAUCAGAAAAUGAAACUUAAUGUAUGAUUGGUAACAUUUUUGAGUUGCUAAUGAUUUAGACCUCUAACUCAAACUAAAUUAAUGAUACCACAUGUUACCAAUCAAAGCCAUAGUCUAAAAGCGGAAAAUAUGAUUUUUGCACUCAAACAUCUCUAACUAAUUUUCAAAAAAAAAAAAAAAAAAAAAUCUCUNNNNNNNNNNNNNNNNNNNNNNNNNNNNNNNNNNNNNNNNNNNAAAAAAAAAAAAAAAAAACAUCUCUAACUAAACAUUAAAAAGCACAUUAUUGUAAUGCUGAAACUUAUAUUAAUUUAUUGCUGAAAUUACCCUAACUUUAUCGCUAAAGUGGUGUUAUGGUAAUAACAAUAAAUCAAAUUAGUUAAAAUGAUUUUUUUGACAGUAGUUUGUAGCUGGGAAAGGAAAUUAUGAUGUUGUGAGUUGAAAGGAGAGGGAUUGAGAAUCGUGAAAUAAUGUCUCUGAAUUAAUAACACUGGCGGCGCUCAGAAAUUGUUCCUUCUACGUGGGGUUAUGUUUUGUGUGUUCUUUUUACGAGAUUAUGGCAGAUUUGCUUAUUUGGGGUUUUGCUCUCUGUAUUUAUUUGUAAGCCUCACGUGGAUUUGUCUCAACUAGGGCUCUUUCUUCAUGGUGUGUACUGUGUAGCCUCUUUAGGGGCUUCCUACUGUUGCUUGAUUGUAACUAAUGACCUCUCGCGUUUAAUUACGGAAAUUAAUGUCCACUAAUUUCAUAUAUUUGUGCUAAAAUUCAUAUCGUUAAUAGACUAAAAAAAUGUUAAGAUUUAUCCUAAAUCUCUUUCACCGUCUUGAUUAAUGUCGAUAGAGUAUCUUGAACCGAUGAAGUGAUAUCAUGCACGUCGCUACCGUCCGAACCCAAAUGUUUGUGCCAAAUGGUUUCGCCAGGAUCUAGAACCCUCUAUUUUACUGGGAGAGCAUAGUAGUAUAUUGAUAAAUUAUGUAACAAAAAAAACAUAAUAAGAUACUAUGGUAAAAGAGUUGUGCGUACAAGCUAGAAUUGGAAUGUUGAUCACAUAAUAUGGUAAACUUAGCAUACUUUUUUAAAAUCGAAGCAUGCAUGAACGCCCUUUUUGGAAGGCCAGACUAUAUACUACAUAAAAACAAAAAUAUUUUGCUCGAUAAGAGUUGAUCUAAUUAAGGUGCAACUGAAAACCAUUUAUAAGAACAUACAGAAUAUGAAUAUAUAGAACGAAGAUGAAUGGAAUAGUAGCAAUCAGAAAAAUAAAAUGAAUAAAGCAGAAAUUAAGUGUUUCGUUAUUUCUUCUACCUUUACGUUGCAGAAUCUUUUUAGAAAAUAACUAUUUCCUCCCAUUUUUUAACAAAAAUUUUCUGAAUGUUUUCUAGAUAAUUUUAUCAUAACUGGAACCUUUUCCAUGUGGGAUCAAAUGAAAUGAUUCCUUCCACAUAUUCUUAAAUGGAAGGAUUUAUUUAUUUUUGUUUCACUUAAUAUGUGGAAUUGUUUUAAAGUGUAUUUUAUGAAAUUGUAUGGAAUGAUGCAUUCUAAAUAAUUUUAUCCCAGCAUCCAUAACUUUCUUAAGUUAAUAAUUUGGAUCAAAAAUAAUAAUAAUUUUUUUAAAGAUUAAAUUUGAGCUUGACGGAAGCGUAACUGUCCAUAGUAGCGGAUACUAGUUUGCUUUACAUUAAGAUCAAAUUAAAUUAUAAAUUAGAUCAGAGUUGAAAUAUUGCUUGAACCAGAAGAGAAAAAAGAUAGAAGGCAAAAAUGAAGCGGCAAAGCUAGGGAAGUAGGUUACAUGCAACGGUACGACAUUAAAGUUGGUACCAGAAUUGUCUCCUCUCUCCUAAACGCGUGGGUUUUUCUCUGCGCUAUGCCUCACUUCUCUAUGACUAUUAUUGUGCAUGUGUUUGACUUUUCUUAUUUGCACGCACGAACGUAUCAUGUUAUAUAGAUCGCCAAAAAAUAUAAAACCCAAUCUACGACGUUAUAUAUAUGGUUCUCAACUCAACUACACAAACUAGGGCAUGUACUCUUUUUCUAUUUUUCUGGGGUCAAAACUAGCCCACGUUACAUAUCUACGAUAUUCAACUAAAACCCAAUCUACGACGUUAUAUAUAUGGUUCUCAACUCAACUACACAAACUAGGGCAUGUACUCUUUUUCUAUUUUUCUGGGGUCAAAACUAGCCCACGUUACAUAUCUACGCUAUUCAACUAAAAUAACGCAUGUCAAGUUACACUAACAAAAGCCUCCGUUCAAAAAAAGUUACAAUAACAAAAAACCAUAUAAAUACUGAAAUACAAUGUAACACGCACUAGCAGUUAAAAAAAAUGUUGCAAUUUUUUUCUGUCAAAACAAAUGUAACCAACUAACCACGACGAAAACCGUUGCAUUGGUAAAAUUAAAAAUCAGGGCCGGGACAUGAAGUAUAAAUUUAUCAACUGGGAGUUGCCCCCUCCACGCUACGAAAGUCCCAAAUUUAUCAAUUCUGAGAUGAUCAAGUGAACUUGUUUGUGAUCGUGUUUUGAUCGAUCUUGAUUACAUUGCAUCAAUUACAAUUUACAUGUUAUGACUUAUGCCACAUUAUUAUAUAUAUGAUUAUUCCGAUUAUAUAUACCCUAUAAAGUUUAUAAGUACGUUAGUUUGCAUGAAAGAUAUGAAUAUCAAAAGCAAAGAUUUGGGUAGAUAUCCUGGUUCCCUUUUAAACAUACACCAGGUCUGAAUUCUAACCUACACGUAUAACAAUCCACGCACGUACGUACGAUUCAUCACUCGCUUUCACGUGAUCCCUCAUCUCUUUUAACAUGUUUACAUCUAUUAUCUACUAUAUAGUAAUUAUUAUUGUGGUGGAACUGAAACUCAUAAUUAAGGAAACAGUUCAUGUGCCAAUAAGUUUUCAAAUAAGCUCCAUAAUUUCCCUUUUACACUAUUGAGCAUUGGUUCAUUGGUUGAUUAUCAAUUUGUUUUAUUUUGGUGACCGUUUCCGGUUGUACUAUAAGUAGAGAUGUCAAAUGGGCGGGUUUGGGUGUGUCCGAAUGGGCUUCAGUUUUUUGUUGGACAUUUCUGGUCGAAGCCCAAAUAGAACCAUGUCCAAAUGAGACCAUAACCAAAUAAGACUAUAAUUUGUUGGGCUGUCCAUGGGUCCCAUAAUCCAAUUAACGUAAACAACAUAAUUUCAGUUUUAAAAAUUCAAUGAUUCAAGUUUCAAUUUUAAAGAUGUCAUAUCAGACUUAAAUUUCAAUUUUAAAAAUAAGUUCAUCUAAACAGCAAAAUGGGUCACUCUCAUGAAGAAUUUCCCUUAUUCGUGAGUCGUGAGUCUCGUGACUUUGGAUUGAGCUCUUGCGGAAGCAGUCACGACCAACUUGUUAUGAACACAAAUCACCGAUCUAUCAAAGUAUCUAAUACGUAUCCAAUGAUACGAAUCAAUAGCUUAUAAUAAUGAAAACACAUAACACAAAUCACACAUAAACAGUUCGAAGAUGACGAAAUCAAACCUUUAGUUGACGAAAUCAGAAGACAGCAAAGAAGAAUCGAAGCAAUCAAAGAAGAAUCGAAGCAAUCCGAGAAGAAACGAAGCAAUCAGAGAAGAAACGAAGCAAUCAGAAAAGAAAUCGCAUAAGAAUCACCGAAAUCGCAGAAGAACGAAGACGGUGCAGAAGAAAGUGUUUUCCCCUAAUUUUCUGAACUCUAGACAUUUAAGCUUAUUGGACCAUCCAUUGUCUAACUGGUUAAGCCCAACUUUGUCCAUGGAUGUAGUUGGGUUCGCCCAUUUGGACAAAAAUUAUUUAUGGUUCACUAUGGGCCUGUCCAUUUCGGACCAUAUCUAUUUGGACACGGACCACCCAUUUAUAACCCGCCCAUUUGACAUUACUAACUAUAAGUCUAUAAAUAAUAUGCAAGCCUUUAGAAAGGUAAAAAAAUUGACUGUUGAACUGAGAGUUACUUCAUGUCUCUCCUGAACAAAUUGUCCCCUAUGUGUUAAUAAAGCUACCUUACUAAUAAGUAACUAGGUUAAGACCCGCGCCUUGCGCGGGAUGAAUAUUAUAUAUAUAAAUAUAUAAAUUAUUUUAUAUAUAAUAUGUUUAUAACAUAUUAUGAAAUAAUAAAUAUAUAUUGAAUAAUUAAAAUGUCAUUAUCUACUACUUAUAUAAUUAAAUUGGUGCGAACAUAUAAAUAAAUUUUAUAAAUCAAAAAAAUAUUUUUUUCUAUUUGAUAUGAUAUAUAAUUAAAUUAAAAUGAUAGUAACAUAUAUAUGGUAUAUUUUAAUAUUAAUAUUUAUUAGAUGAUGUUUUUUUCUCAUAUUAUUUUUUAUCAUUUUUAUCUGUUAUAGCAAAAACCCUAAAUUAGUGAUAACAAAAUUUUCACUGUGGGAUUAAUGGUUUAAGUAAUUUUAAAAUUUUAAGUUAUCAAUAUUUUUUCAAAUUUUUUAUCAAAAAAAAUGUUCAAAGUAAAUUUCAAAAUUAAAAUAUUUAUGUAUUUUUAUAUGGCAUAUAGUUUAAUUUAAAAUGAUUUAUAUCUUUUAUUUUUGAUACUUAUUAAAUGAGACUUUCAACUUAUAUUAUUUUUUAAUUAUUUGUAUCAUGUCAUAACAAAAGUUUUAAAUCAUAGAUCUAAAAAUUUGAAUUUGAAAUUUUUAACAGUUUUAGUAAUUUAUACUCGUUUUUAAAAAUUCAAAAUAUAAUAUAUAAAUAAUUGUUUUAAUUUUUAUUAUAUGGUUACUAUGAUUGUUUAAUUUAUUUUAAUAGCUUAAAAUUAAACAAAUAUAAUUAUAAUACACAGUUAUUUUUAUCAAAUCUUUAUUAUUCAAAAUCAUUAAUUGUCAUAUAUACUUUAGCCACAUUAGGUAAUUCCGUAAUCUUAUUUAAGGAAAUAAUGAAGCACAUUAAUGAUGUAUUUAUUGUGGUUUAAUAAAAAGUUUAUUAUAUAUUUAGAUGGACCAACAUAUUUCUCUAAGGAUUCUAAAAAUCAUUCUAGUGAUGACACGUGGCUACAAAAAAAUGUUGCAAUGCUUCUCAAAUAAUAUAUAGGGGAUAACUUUAUGCCUAGAUACACACAUUUGGAAUUUACUUUUUGUCGUCAUUUGUAAAUAUUUUUAGUAUUAACUUUAUUUUUUGUCAGAGUAAUUCUCCUGCAGCGAGAGCAACUAACUUGUACAUUUGUAUAUACAUGUACACAUUUCCUAUCUGUAAAAAAAAAGUUACACGUUUCCCUUAGCAAUUCGGAUGUCCAAAAAUUGACACCCAGUCCUGGUAUGUUUGUUAAGAUGUCAAAAAUAUUGUUUAAAUUUAGAGAAAAUAAAUAGUGAACUUUUUAUUAUACAAUUGUGAAAUUAUUACGUGACAGUCAAAAUCACAAGAAAAAAUGUACUCGUUCCCCUUAGCAAUUCGGUUGUCCAAAUAUUGACACCCAGUCCUGGUAUGUUUGUUAAGAUGUCAAAAAAAUAUUGUUUAAAUUUUUAAAAAAUAAAUAGUGAACUUUUUAUAAAAUUGUGAAAAAUUAUUAAGUGACAGUCAAAAUCACGUCCAAAAGCUUGGCUAGACUAUAGAUUACAUCAACAAAAUAGAAAUAAAAAUGUUUUUUUUUUCUUGUCUUGGUCUAGAAUGCUUACAAUAGUUUGUAAUUGUAUCAUGCAGAAAAAUUAGUCCAACGGGCAUCGCUAUUAUACUUUUUCGAGCGACUAAGCGACUCGUAUGAGAAAAAUUUGCGUUGUAGCAUACGUAUAAAACGUGAUUCUGUUUUGAAUUUUAUAAAAAUCCCUAGUUCUACAACUAAAUGGUGUACAGUUAUGGUACUUUUUCGACAUCGUUACAUUUGUGGUACUAAAUUAUAAGUAUCCUAGUUUAUUUCAUCGUUAUGUCACAUCAAAUUUUUAUUUGUUUAAUUUUUUACAAAAAAAAAACUCAGGGAACGUGCCAUAAAAAUAAGUAUCCACCAAAAUAAAAAAAAGAGAAGUGGCCGUAAGUUUUCUCUCUCCUUCUGCUCUGUUCUCUCUUAGCUAUUUUAUACAGAGGAAGGUAUGAGAGAAAACUCAGAUCAGUGGUUUACGGUGAUUGCGUCCAUAGUUUGGACCUCUUCCAGCGUCGCACCUUCCUUACGAUGGUCGGCUGGCUUUGGCUCCGGUUUGUUCGCGUUUUCUUUGACGGAGCUUCCGGCUUUUGGCUCCGGCGAUACAUCAGACACUCCGGUGAUCGCUGGCUUUGAUUUCCACAAUGGCCGUUUGUUCAUCGGUGGUGUUGUUGGAUUAUCUCCGGAUUUCAUCCGGAUUAUGUUAGAUCUACGCUUCCUUGAUCUUCAUCGUUUCGAUUGACUUCCGAUCUUGACAUGCGAUUGUUUCUUCCUCUCCUUUGUGAGGGCCGUGACAUUUUCAAGUGAAUCGAUGUUUGAAGGUUGGUUUGUGUUCAAUUGAAGCUUUAUUGAGACAAAGAUUAUCGAGAUUUUAUUUUCUAAAGUCGUCCGACGGUUUCUUCUCAUGCGACAUCCUGUUCCGGUGGAUUGCCGGUGAGCUGCUCCGGCGACGUCUUUCAUGCCGUGAAGUUUGGUGGAGUUUCAUUCAUCGGGCACGUGUCUCCAACGCUAUCAGAAUGACGCGUAGAGUGCUCGAGUUGACUCACCUCUUCCUCUUGGGUUUCUUUUGUUUUGUGUGAACGGUUGGGCUGGAGGCCCAUGUGUUGGUUGCUCCUUUGUUUGCCUAUCUUUGGGCUUUUUUUGUUUCGUUUGGGUUUUUACCUUUUAUAAUUCUAAUAGAUGGAAAAAAAAAAAAAAGUAUCCCACCAAAAUAAAUAAAAAGAUAUAAAAACAGUUGGAACUCUUCUAUAGAAGAUAUUAAAAACAAUAUAAUGAUAAUUUUAAAUAAUGGAGCUGCUCGUAUGCAUGUCUGUAAAUUUUGGAGUCCGCAUCUGUUCUUGUAUGAAACACACAAAUAUAGUUUUUUUAGUUUACCGGUCUAAAUGAAUCGUCGGUUAUAGAUGGAAACUGAUUAGACUACCGUAAAUUGAAUGGCUACGACUUUCGACAUCGGGAAAAACGAAGAUCUAAUAAGAAAGAACACGUAAAUCUAGUGGCCUUUUUAGAUAAUCAAAUCUGAGUUUGAUUGAAAGAAUGGGUCCCAAGUGAAUAGAAGAAGCGUGGGAUCAUUCUGAACUCUGAAGAUAUAAGAUUUUUCUUGUUUUGAUUUGAUGCUCUGUCAUUUUUCGGUCGUCAAAAAAUUCAUUUAAAAUUUAACGUUCUGAAACGGUUGAUGCGGUUUUAUUUUCUAAUGGUAAUUUAGUUUGAACUGUUCUCAACUCGGAUUCUGAAGAUGAUUUCAAUAUAUAUAUAUAUAUAUGUUUUAAUGUUUAUAUACUAUUUUUUUCAAAAAUUAACAAAUAUGUAUGAGAACAAAAAGGAGGGUAUUCUCUCUUUUAUAUAAGCAGCCAAAAAAGUCAUGGUAAAUGACUUCUUAUAAGAUUUACAUUCAAUUUACUUUUGUAAUUCUAUACUAUAUAGUAUUUAUAUUGAAAAUUGUUUUCAAAAGGUAUAAUAAACUCAAAAGUUCAGAAUAAUUCAAGUAACAUGGUUGUAUAAAAUGUGAACUAGUUACUCUGUUUGCAGUGUCGUGAAAAGGGUUUUAGGGGCCUAAGGCGAAUUUUAAAAAUAAAUUUAUAUAUAAUUAUAAGAAAAAUAAUUUUCUAAUACGAUAUAUCACAUUCGCCAAAUAUAUAAGUUUAACACUUACAAGAAUAAGUUUAAUACGUAAAUAUCUACACCAUUUAGUUGUAGAACUAGGGAUUCUUAUAAAAUUCAAAACAGAAAUUGAGUUAUUCGAUUCUCGUGGAAAGUGUUUUUAGAAAUAAGUUUAAGCAGCACAGUGUUUGGUUGUUUCAUGAAUCCUAAGGAUGGAGUUAGUUUUAUUAAAAAUGUAUUAUUUUCUCAUUUAUGUUUUUAUAAUUUUAUUAUGUUUACUUGAUAUCUAACAUAAAAAAAUCAGAAGUGAUUAGAGAGCCCAUAGUUAGAGCAUCUCCAAUAGAACACAAAAAUGUCAUAUAUAUUUCACACUAAAAUAGAGUAACUCUAUUAUAGAGUCCGCGUCCGUCGGAUCCGUGGAUUUAAUAUCCGGAUCCGGAUUCGUGGUUUUCGGAUAUCCGGAUUUCGGAUAUUCGUCUCGAUAUUCUAUUAUCCGCAGAUAUCCGGAUCCAGAUCCGAAUAAAAAUGUAGUAUUUUUUUAAUAUAAUACAUAAAUUAAAUAUUUAUAAAUAUAUCUAUAUAUGUCUGUAAUAUUGUAAAAACUAAAAUAUAAUAUUAUAAGAUUAAUUCAUGUAUAAAUAUUAAUAUAUCAAAUAUAAAUAUUAAUAAAAAUUAAAAAUUUAAUGUAUUUUAAAAAUACGGAUCCGGAUAUCCGGACCUAAAAAUUAAGAUAUCCAGAUCCGGAUUCGGUUUGCAUGGAUCCAAGAUUUUACUAUCCGGAUUCGGAUCCGGGCACCCCAGAUGUCCUAUUUUCAGAGCGGAUCCGGAGCGGAUCUUGAAUCGAAUUCGGAUCUCGGAUAAUAAGUCUCAUGCCUAGUCUUAUGUCCUAUAUUUAGAGUGUUAGGACUUAUGGUUUUGCUAACCAUUCAAAAAAAAAAAAAGAAGCAAAUUAUCUGUUUUUCUUUAAUCAAAGAAAUCACAUUAAUUAUAAUCCCUUAAGAAAGCCAAUGCUAGCCUUAUAAUAGAAAGUCUUCUACUUCCUCCGUUCCCGAAAGUAAGAUGUUUUAUAUUUUUUAUUUGUUUCACAAAGAUAUUUUUUUUAUAUGUUUAAGAUACUUUUUUAUACUUUUAAGAAGCAUUAAAUGAAAAUAUUUGAAUUGAUUAAAUUUCAUUGGUUAAAAGUUAUUGGAAAGUGUAUAAUAAAGUUAACAUCGAUAAAUAUUUAAAUAAUUAACAUAUAGAGGUAUAAUAUUACAACAUUAAAUUAUAUCUAUUUAAUUUAUACUAUCUAUAAAUCCAAUGGAUCAUCUAUUGUUUAAAUCCAAUUAUUGAUAGCCCAAUAAAAAUAUUAGUUAGGCCCAAAAUUUAAAUGAUAAGAUUAUAAUUAAAUACUAGAUUUUGACCCGCACGUCCGUGCGGAUGUAUUUUUUAAAAUAAUAUGAUGCUAUUUGCUUUUUAUGUCACUAUUUAAGGUUGGGCAAAAAACUCGAAUUCGAAGAAUCGAACCAAUCUCAAUCCGAAUAAGUAGUACUAAAUCCGAACCGGAAUAGAUUAAAUAUCUGAAUUAUUCAAAAUGUUGGUAUUUGAAGAAUUGAAACCUAAUCCGAUCCGAACCGAAUUAAUUUGGGUAUCCAAAAUAGAUUUAUAUACUUAUAUAUAUUAAUUAUUUUUAGAUUUAAUAUAUAUAAAAACAUCCAAAAUAUAUAUGAUACUUUUAAGUUCGCAUAAAUGCUUGAAAAAUAUAUACAAAUAAUUAAACGUAAAUAUCUUAAAUAGUUAAAAAAUACUCAAAACUCCAAAAAAUACUUAAAUAAUUAUUAAUUCUCUAUCCAAAUAUUUAAACCAAACCUAUUUAAAUUGGUUAUCCAAAUCAGAACCAAAUCCUCAAAGAUCUGAACUGAACACGAAAUCCCAAAAAGAUCCGAAAACGAAUUCGAACGCCCAUCCCUAAUCACUAUUAUAUACUAUAUGUGUUAUCAUAGAUUACAAAAUAUGUGUUAUCAUAUAAUUAAUCGUAUUUUAUACGUACCAUCAAAUAAGUUUUCUUAUAAUUAAUAAUAUUUUAUACGUACAAUCAUAUAAAUAAUCAAAUAUAUUAUAUUUUAAAAUUUAAUGUGAAAUAUAAAAACUAUAAUUUAAGUUGGUGUUUGAAAUUGGGCUUUGUAUUGUAUUUUUAUUAUAUAUAUUGAAAACAUUUUUAUAAUAGUUAUUGGAAAAUAUGUUAGUAAAAAUCAAAUUUUAAAUAUAUGUAAAUUUUUGAAUGAAUUUUGAUAUAAAUUAAUUUUAAAUUAUUAUUUUGAUUUGAAUAUAUAUAUCAAGUAACAUAGAUCUAUUACUUUUUAAUAUGAUGUAAUGGACUUUCAAUUUUUUUUAGUAGCAUAAGCCCAUUAUUUUUUUAGUAGCAUAAGCCCAUUAUUAUUUUUUUCUAACUUACUGCUAUCCAUGUUUCCAAACACUACUAUUUUUUUAAUUACUAUUCAUAUUACCAAACAAUCCUAAUGUGUACUUCAACUUUAAUAAUAUAGAUAACAUGACUUUUUAGGAAUGUGUCUAUUAAAUCCAUUUUUAAAAAAAAAAUCACACAUAAAUCAAAGUUGUGACUGUUGUUUUAAUAUAUAAGAUGUUACAAAAUCUGGAUUCUAGUGUAUGUGAUAUAUUCAGAGAGUUAUGACUUAUGGUUUUGCUAACCAUUCAGAAAAGAAAGUAACCAAUUUAUCUGUUUUCUUUUGGUGCUAAAUCAAAGAAAUCAAAUUAGAAUCCCAUGAGAAGCCCAUUCUAGUAUUCUCUAAACAAGUCCAUGCUAGUCUUCACUCGUCAAACAAAAGCAAACUUUUUUUUCAAACAAAAGCAAUUUCUAAUGAGUAGUUUCAAUUAAGUCUCUUUCAACUUCAAGCAACUCUUCUCAAUUAAAUUUGUUUAGCUUCUAAACUUUUGAGCGCCACAGAAAGAAGGUCAGAAUCUUGAAGAAUCUCUCGGUCUUGGGUUUAAAGAAAGAAGCAGAAAUUGGGAAAUACGUACCAGUUAUCAUCACUAAUCGAGACGUGUCCUGCCUUUGAAGCUGACACAUUAACACAACUCACCCAACACCGGACCCUCUUUUCAUGCUGUUUACAAGGAAGAAUGAUACGUCUCUUCUUUAUUACAUUACAACACACAAAGAGAUAGAGAUGUGUAAUAGACUAUUUUGGCGUUGCUCACCAACCUAAUUUCCCUUCAUCAACAACUCGUGUCGUCCUUUUUUGUUCAAGAUACUAUUAUAAACACGCCUCCCGCGUGAAACUAAAAAGCAAACAUCAUAAAAACAUACAAACAUAAUUCUUCUGGCCUCACUGCCGAUUUGUGAUGGAGAAGAAGCAGGCCAUUCAUGGAGAUGAUGGGCAUGAUUGUGUUCCUCCUAUCCAUAGCCAAGUCGUUAAGAUCAAGAAAGAGUUUGAGAAGAUACAACACCCGUCGCUAAGGCAGCCUGAGAUGCCAAGAGUGCUUCGAGAGAUCACGUUUCCACGGCGGUCCCGUUCUCCGCUCGGGUUAGGAGAAAGAGAGAGACCCAUCCCCGUUGGAAGCUGAUAACAAAGAGAUAUAAAGAGAGCGGGGAUAGGUUAUCUUCUUGUGUAUUAUGGUUUCUCUUUUGUUUUGCAAUGUAAAUAUAUUUGGUUAAUGUGAUGAGUCUCUUUUCAAUAUCCUGAAACAACAAAUCUUUUGUUUAUCUUCUGAUCUAUCUUGCCUCAUGUGUUCUAAUCUUUGAGGGGUAAACUAACUAGUUCAUAGAGAAAUCUAGAUCGCUAGAUGUUUUCAAAAUGAGACAAAUGGGGUCAAUUGAUGAAGGGGAAGUUUUGAAAUUCGUUUUAAAUCUCUAAUGGGCCUUUUAAUAAGUUGAUAACUGAACUUUUCUGGGCUCGAAACUAUAUUAUGCGUUUGUAGUUUAUAAAAUUCAUAGAAAAUUCUUCAAUUAAAUUAAAUAGUAAUAUUUGUAAAGAAAAAGAUGAAAAUUAUUUUAUUUUUCAAAUAUUUGAUGCUCAAAACAAAUCAUUUCAGGUGUGUCAUAAAACACAAAAAUAUCAUCGAAUAUUCAAAAAAUUAUUAGGUGAUAAUUAAACAAUUUAUUAGAAAUUAGUGUUUAAAUACUGUUUAAUUCAUUUUUAUCUAUAACUGAUUUUCUGAUUAAUCAAUAGAUGCUUAGGCACUGUCUAAAACGAUUUUUAAAAACACAUGUAUCAUCUGAAGCAUACGCAACAGACCAAUGCUAAAGAAAAAAAAUGGUUCUUAUUUAUAUCCACAUUGGUAAAAUAAAUCCGCAUAACUUUAACUGUAUGCAUCAGUUCUGAUUAGAAUCGACUAAUUUAACUCUCACUGUAUAUGCAUCAAAUUUGUUAAUUCUAAGCAGAACUGAAGACAAAACAAAAAAAGAGUUACAUUAAUAAAUGUUUUUUUUUUAAAUAACUUUAGAAUGAAAAUUCCAAGAGAACAAAAGAAAAAAAGAAGGAUUGAAACAAUGGUGGAAUAAUAAACAAUGGAUGAAGGAAACAUGACAACAAUGAAGAUGAAGCCGUGUGAAACUCUACCUCUGACCACCUCCCAUAACAUUAUCACGCCUAGAUCCCAACGUCAUCAUAAUCUUAAACUCCUCGAAAUCAAUCGUCCCAUCUCCAUCCUUAUCCACACCACCGAUCAUCUUCCUACACUCGGCGAUGGAACACUCAUCACCAAGACUCCUCAAAACCUCAUGCAGCUCCUCCGCCGAUAUAGACCCGUUCCCAUCGAUGUCAUAGACCGAGAAGGCGUCCUUCAGAUUCUCCAACACCUCGUUCUGAUCCAUCCCUUUCGUGUUCAGCUCAACGAACUCCUCGAAGUUUAUGUAACCGUCUCCUUUACGGUCGAUAUCUGUUAUGGCCUUUUGCAACACCUCCUCUGGAACCUCGUGGCCUAGGCUUGUCAUUAUCGCACCGAGCUCUUUGGAGGAGAUCUUACCGUCUCCAUUCACGUCGAAUUUUUUGAACACCGCUUCGAGUUCUCUGAUCUCUGUUUUCCCUGAGCGUGCCUUGUGUAGGAACGGAGAGUCUGCUCCGGUUCGAGAGGCCGAGCCACCGCCGGAACCAUUGGUUUGGUUUUUGUUGUUGGACAUGGUUUCAAAAUCUCUGUGAAGAAAAAAAGAAUCAGGAGUUUAGAGAAAUAUCCGUAUUUGUUGUGAUUCCAAAGGAAGCGGAUGAAUCUCUGGAUCACUAACUAUUUUGGGGGUUCCCUUUCCCACAAAAAAUACACAAAUGGACUUAGUUGUGUUUGUUUUGUCAUAAUUUCAAAAUGGAUAUAGCGAUUAGGUAAAGUAUUUUGGUAGUAUUUUGGAAAUGGGAAAAUAGAGGUGGGAGGCAUGUUGAUGAGAAGAGCUUGAGGUCAUGCGUGAAGUACUGGUCAAUAAUUACAAAGUCAAUAACAUGGUCAUUAAUUCCCUAUUUAUAAUCAUAUUCAUUUAAUUAAUAUUAAUUAUCGGUUUUGUUUGUAAGGAUCAUGCAAAUUCCAGCUCGUCCCUCAAAACAUGUAUUUAGAUCACAAAUUCACAAUACCACAUGAGCAUGGCUACCACUGAGUCAUUCUGUAAUGCAAUCUUGAGUACAUCUUGGUCUCCAGAAUGUUGUUGAGGCUGCAUCUUAUGGUAUGCCUUAGCAAAUCCAUUAAGAAGCAAACCCGUGUGACCACCAAUAACAGAGCCCACAAUAUUUGCAAUAUCUAUAAAAUUAAUAAUUAACUCUAAUAUCUAAUUUUUCAGUAAAAAAAAAAAACUCUAAUAUCUAAUUUAAUAUAUACUAGACUUUGACAUGCACAUCCGUGUAGGUAGACUUUCAUUUUAUAAUAUAUAGUUUUCAUAUUAUAUUUUGUCUAUAAUAAUUUAUAUAUGAUGCAUUGUUGUGAUUUUCAAAAUAAAUAAAUUGAUAAUAUAUAGCUGUAGAUAUGAGAGUAGAUAUAAGAGAGCUUGAGGUCAUGUGUAAGUACUGCUCUCCCAGUUUUCUAAAUGGGAUUUUAGAUAAUUAACAAGUGGACGAUGGAUAAAUUGAUUUUGACCAUUAUCAAACUAUCAUAUGAAUUGUUAAACCAUUCAUUAUAACUCCAAAGUCAAUAACAUGGUCAUUAAUAUUUAUAAUCAUAUUUCAUUGGUACAUUUAGUUAAUAUUAAUGAUCGCUUUUGUUUGUAAGGAUAUCAUUAGUUAGCUAGGGUGGACCAUGAUCUCUGCGAUAAUUCUCCAUUUAUUUUGCCUUCCAUGGUUGUUGUGCUCUUUUGUCUAUUUACCAACUCGUGUUUCGAAAUCUCACAAAUUUGACGAAGGUCUUUGCUUCAAUUACCUAGGCCAUGUUUAGUGCUGGAUAUGUAUUUCCAAAAGAAUAUAGUAAUUUUUUCAGUCUAGUAUGGUGCUUCAUAUUUCGGUAACAUAUAAUCUCCUUGUUUUUGUAUGUUGCUUCAUGUUUCAGUAGCAUUUUUUUAUAUCAUACUCCAAUAUAAUCUCCUUGGUUUUGUGUUACUGGUUGAUGCGACAAAAUUCUUGAUAUUCCACCUUUUUUUCUUUGUCAGCAUUGCCUAUAACAAGUUGUGCAAUUUCAAAUAAAGCGCUUGUUCACAAAAUAAAUUAUCUUACAUGAAACUCAACUAGCAUAUCCUACCAUAUUUGUUAAACAAAAACAUCAAAAAAUCACUUUCGAGAUGUUAAAUUAGUUCAUGAAUUAACUAGUGAGAGCUCUAACAAAAUAUCAAAAUGUAACAAACUUCAUUUAUAUAACAAGAAAAGUUUUGCAUCAAUUUCGGUAAAUCUGUCUUCCAACUUAUCUUCUGAUAUUUUUUCUAACAAUAGAAAAUGAACACACGAGAUAGUGAGCUUAGAGUCUCAAGGUAAGAUCAGGCUUUGACCUAUUGUUAUUAUCUACUAGACUUCCAUCAGCUGCAACCGAGUUAAGAUCAAGACCUGACUCUGUAACAGCCACCACCACUGGAGCUUCAGCUUCCUCCAGGACCUGACGAAAACUCCCCGGCCAGAAUAAUUCACUGCCAUCAUCAUAGUCAAAGAACAAUGGCACAGUGUUACCAAAAUACCCUUGAUGAUGAAACCUUGCAAGAUGAGGAGGAGGCUGAGGCUGGGAUAAGGUGUGGUGAAGUAGACCGGAGUGAGCUUGCAUCCCUAGAGAAGAAGAUGCGUAUGUGUAAGGCCUGUGGUGGUGACCAAACAUUCUUCCCAUGUGCACUGCUCGUUUAGCCAUUGUGCGUUCUCGCUUGUGAGCGUUUUGGUGACCUCCAAGGGCUUGAGAGCUAUAGAACUUGCGUCUGCAAUAGUUACAAGAGAAGACUCUCGGGUUGGAUUGACACUUUGUGCCCUUUUGAUCAUCGUUGAAACUAUCGUUGAGGUUGAGAUCGAGCGAGACAGGGAUGAUAGAUUCUGGUUUGGAUAGAUCUUGAUUUAACGAGGUAUCUCCUUCUCUAGCUGGUAAUUCUCGUGAGGCAUCAUCAGAUUCCGUCAUUUAAUCAAACUCUUUUUAGUCUUAACCUGAAAAAAAAAUCAUAUUAAAGUCAAAAGCAGAUCAAGAAAUUGUUUUAGUCCCUCUAAAUUCACUGUUAAACACAAGAACUAUAUAAAAAGAUAUGGUAAUAAAGUCUUAAACAGAGUUACUAUAUCAGCAAGUUCAGACAAGGAUCAGCAAGUUCGAAGCUUAAAGAAGACCAUCCAAAAUGAAGCUUUUGAGCUUUAACUAUGAGGAGAGAGAGAAUCUAAGACAACAAUUAAGGAUAUGAUUUACAAGAAAAGAUCUGAGAGAGAGAGAAAACAAGGUGGAGACUGGAGAGUACUAUGCUUACGAAAAUUAUGUUGAGAUCUGGGAAGAGACAGCCGACAGAACCUGAAGUGGUUGACUUGGAAGCUUAAGAGAAGUUUGUACUCUUUGAGUUAACCAAAAAUGGGUCAAAUCCAGAUGUAAGGAAAAUAAAAGCCAGAGAGACGAGAUAGGAUUGGUGAAGAAAAGUAGAGAACAAACAAGAGGUACUGAAGAAGAGAGAGAGAGAGAGAGAAUUAUGUCUAAACAAAUAUGGAAAACACAAAUGUUAGAGAGAUGGGCAUGGUCUGGUGGAAACACAUGUGGGAAUCUAAAGUGUCUGCCAGUUAGACCUCUGUUUUUUUGUUUUCAAUAGUUCAACGACCUUUUUUAGGGGGCAUUUAGUAAAAUAGUACUAUAGUUUUUUCCCUAAAUUGAUUAAGUAAAAUACUUUUUCUUACAACAGCCGUAUAGGCGUUGGUAUGCACGUUGAAAGUAUUGUUAUGCGUUCAUCGUAAUGGGUUAUACACUUAUACUACUACCCUAUAGGCAAUCCUUAAACCUUUUAAAAUCCACAAAGAUUUUAUCCAUUUAAAAAUUAAGUUUAUAAUUAUAUUGUUUAGUUCUUGAUAAAAAAAAUUGAUAAAAAAAUAAUUAUAUUGUUUAGUAACAAUUUUUUUUGUUAUUUUUCAUGUUCGUCUCGUUUCGGUUUUUGUAAUUCAGUUUGAUUUUAGUUCGGUUUUUGUUAUAACAAACUUAUUAUUUGGUUCAGUUUAACACCAAUUUGGUUGACAAACAUUUUCUCGACGUAGUAGUUCACAUUCUCAAACAAACCCAUAACAAAGACAGAUUAGUAGCCAUUUACAUAAACAUUUCAAAAACUUGUGGCAAAAUAACACAAAGGGUUUCUUAAAUAAGAGUUUGUCUUGAAAGUGAACAUUACAUUGCAUUAAGGAAUCAACUUUCACAUCUUGCUGUUGUUAAAGUCAACUUUUACCUCUUACAAAAAAAAAGAACAACCUAAUUAUUUUUCAUAAAGUUAAAAGAACCAUUAUAUUUUUCAAUUUUAAUCUCACUCGUCAGAAUUGUUCAGAAAGAUUUUAAUUUGGAUCUUUUCAUGAAUAUUUAAUAAUUGAACUCGAACAGUUAAUUUAAAAAAUAAUGGAGCAGCGCAAGGGAUUUGAUAAUGUCGCACGGAGCCCAUACAUUCAUUCCCCCGGCUUCACCUUUUCCAUUUGACGUCGACAUUUUCUCUGUGUUUUUCUGAAAUUUUACAUGUGAUUCAAAGUCUCUGCUUUUUCUGUUCCUUUUCAUUUAUGUUUUCUUUUCCUUUUCCUAGAAAGGUAAAAUAAAACAUUUCUUUCGAUACUGUGAAGGUUGUUGUUACCAAUAGCUUGUGCGGUAAGAAAACAAUAAGGUGUUUUGUUUCAUUAUACUGCUUUUUUAGUUGAUUUCACCCGUUUCAUUGUGCAAGAUAGGGUAAUUAAACCUUUACUUUAGUUUUUGUUUUAAGCGAAACCUUUAUUUUAGUUAUAUAACCCAACAACCCAUAUUUUCAUUGGAAGACAAUGAAAAUUUGAAUAAUCAGAUUAAUUAUACUAUCUUUAUAAAAAUGACCUAUAAAUCAUUUUAAGACUAAUUUACCUUUUUAGUAGUUUCUUUAAUUUUCUUUGCUAUUAUUUUUUCAUUUCUAUUUUGUAUUACAAAAUGAUGUGUUUUCUUGUAUUUUUUUUUCAUUUCUAUUGGAUCGCCAUUUAGAAAAAACAAAACAUAGUUUUAAAUUAGUUCAUUUUUCAUAUAAGCUUUUAUGGUUUUCUUUGAGUGUUCAGCUGUUCGAUUUUCAUUGAACUUCUGAUGAAGACAAACUCAAACAGUUCACAAGAUAAUAGUUGAGAGUUCUUGUAUUUGUUGAGAUAUGAAUAUUGCAUUAAAAUUUGUGAGUAUAAUGUGAUUUGGGUGAGGACGGUGGUAAAAUAUAAAUUGGCGUAACAAGUUGUAAUGACUCAAUUAAACAAAUAACAAUAAAAUAAAAUAAAAAGUCAUUUAGAUAAUUUUCACGCUAACAUUAUAUAUGUAUAUGUUAAUCGUAAUUUAUAUUAUACCAGUAAAAUAGAUUUUUUAAGAAGGUGUUGGGUCUGUGUGGACCAAAUCAAGUAAAGACAUUUAACAUUUUAUCCCAAAAAUAUCAAGUAAGGCAAAAUCAGUAUUGGAGAUUUUGGAAUAGUGGCAAAACAAAACUAGAUAAGGGUGUCUCCUUAUUUCUUUUGUUUUUAUGCAUUGAGUGAGUGACCAGUGACCAGUGACUAGUGACCAGUGCCCACUUUUAUUUUAAUUUCAACCUCAGACCAUGCGCAUCAGGAGCUCAUGAGGGGGUCGUGGGCUCGAGUUCUUAGGCCCGUUUGAUUUAAAAAAAAGGAAAAAUGGGUUUUAAUCGUUGAACCGGGCCUUACGCUUGAACCCGUAAGAGGCGGGUUCAAGCCACGCGUCGGGCGGUGAGUGGCUUCUCCUUUCCGCGUCGAAGAGGAAGAAAGGAGGGGAUACGCGUGAACCAGUUCAUUUCUCUCAUCAGUGAAAAAAGCUAGGGUUUUUUCUCUCCGAGGCGAUAAUCGACGCCGUGGGUUCUCCGUCGUUAUUUCUCCAUCAAAUCGAUUCCGCUUUCUCUUCUCCACACUCUUAGGUCAGUAUUGUGUAGAUUGACGGUGUGGUAGCGUAGAUUUUAUGUGCGAUAGGGAUUUCCGAUGGGGUGAUUUUAAAUCGAUUUGGGGAUUUUAUUUUUUAGGGUUUUUAAUCGUUAUGGGAGUUCGAUUGAGGGUUCAGUUACUCAUAUUCUUUCUUAAUUAUGUGCUAAUAAUUUGAUUUCUGUCACAGAUGGAUCCGGCAGAGGAGAGAAGACAUUCAAAGAGGCAACAGGAUCACAUAAACAUGCUAGGGUUCGUCAGCGAUUCAGAGUACGGGAUUCCCAAAAGGUGUCCAUGUGGUGGGAGAAUCAUCGAUGAGGUACGCCGGAAGGACGAGUACGACUCUCUUCCGGGGAAGCGGUUCUUCACAUGCAAGAACUACGAGGUUAGUUUGAUCUUAAACGCUUUGAUUAUCGUUUAUGGGUUUGCAAAUUGUAGAGUGUCUGAUAUUUGUUUAUGGUGUAACCAAGGCUGAUGGAUUCCACUAUCGUCAGCCUUGGGUGAUAGGUGUGCAGGAGGAGAUCGAAAGGUUGACUAAGCGGGUGGUGGAGGCUGAAGAAGUGAUGUUGGGGUCGUCGAAUCUCUGUAAACUGAUCGACAGACUGGAGGUUAGUGACAACACAUUUUCAAUACUUGUGUGGUAUGUUUUGCGUGACUAACACUUUUUGUUUGAUGUUUACAUGUCCAGGAUCAGGUUAAAAUGCUCUCUGAGCAGGUAGAUGACCUCACCGUCCAGGUUGCUACGUUGGAGAAGGUCUGCUUCGAAUGAAACCGAAGGUAAGACUGAACCCCACUUUAGAUGUAGUUCGAAAAUGGCUGUUACAAAUUGUUGAUUGGUAUAACCAGUUUAGCUAUUUAAUAAGUUAACUAAAAGUGAUGAAAGCUUAAAUGAUAACUACUACAAUAACUACAACUCCAACUAGAACUCUAACUACAACUUUUAAAAAUCUGUAAUUAAUUUUUUGUUGGUUGUUGGUUGCUGUGAACUCUCAAUAGAUUGUACUUAGGUGUAGUUAAUAUUUUCCAGUGAGUUGAUGUGUAUUCACUGCGGUUUGUGAAGUACUUGUGGUAGGUAGAGUUUGUUUAAUUCUUCUGUUUUAGUUAAUUAUCUCAAAUGAAAGCAAAAACUAGUUUAUAAAACAUAGCAAAUCCACAACUAAAAACACACAAACAUUGAAACAACAAACCAAACCCAAAAGAAAAUGGAUCCUUUCUCCUACAACUCUCCCGGGUUUGUGAACCUUUUAGCAUCGCAGAGCAGUCCCCCACAGGACGUGGACUCUGCUGAGGCAGUUGGUAACUCACCCGGGUUAGUUAAACCUGUAGAAAGAAGAAAGUGGGUUGUCAAAGAAGACCUUGUGCUCAUUAGCGCUUGGUUGAACACGAGCAAGGAUCCCAUAGUCGCUAAUGAGCAGAAGGCAGGGGCGUUUUGGAAGAGGAUAGAGGAGUAUUUUAACUCAAGCCCUCAGCUCAUUGGCGCCGUUCCUAGAGAAUGGAGUCAAUGUAAGCAGAGGUGGGGAAGGGUGAAUGAGCAGGUGUGCAAGUUCGUUGGUUGCCAUGAAGCCGCUUUGAAGGAGCAGACCAGCGGGCAAAAUGAGAAUGAUGUCAUGAAAGCUGCACAUGACAUCUUCUUCAAUGACUUUAAUGUCAAGUUCGCACUUGAACAUUGCUGGAGGGAGCUGAGAUUUGAUCAGAAAUGGAGGUCACACGCGUUGUCGAAAGUUGGUGGAAAGGAGAAGAGGAAGGAAGCAUGUCCGGAGGUGGUGGGUGACGAUGAAGAGGUGAGGCCUCCUGGUGUAAAGGCGAGCAAAGCAGCCAAGCGCAAGAAACACGGGAAUGAAGCAGCUUAUGAUCAAAUAGAAACCAUGCUAGCUGUGAAAAAUAACAUUUCUAAACAAAAGAUCCUUGAUCGUCUCAUUGGCAAAAAUGAGGAGACUCUUUCUGAUCAAGAAAAAUCCCUUAAGUAUAAACUAAUUGGUGAAAUGCUUUGAGUUGGUUAGUGCCUUGUAUUGGUGCUUUGUUUACGUUGCUUAGCUUAACUUGAAUCGAUGCUUAAAAUGAAAUAUUGAUUGGGUUUUAUUUUCUUUCGCAGGUCAGAGAGUGCAGGUCACGGGUUGGAGUGAAGGUGUUGGAGUUGAUCAGUCGGUAAAGUUUGAAGCCUAGUUUUUUUUUUUAAUGUUGCGGGUAGUUGGACUGUAGUCCAUCUUUGGUCACGGGAAAGUGUAGUGUUUUGUUUCUUGCUACACUUUUUUCAUUCACGGAUUGACUUAGUAUGUUUUGUGUCAGUCACAACUUGAUUCACGGAUUAUGUAUUAUCGUUUCAAACUCUCUAUAUAUGUUUGCAUUGUAUCAUUAUAUGAAAUAGCACUUCUCUCACUUAUUACUCUCUAUCAAGUUGAUUCUCUUAUAGCACUUCUCUUUGUAUUGACUGAGAUAAGAAUGUUUAGUUGUAAAUGGUAAAAAGUCGAGAUCAUUCAACUGAUUCCCAUUUAGUACCAGUUCAGAAGGAUUCAUCUACAAUUUGAAGGCUGAAAGCAAGCCGACACAUUCAAGUGAUUCCCAUCUCGCUGCAAGCCGACACAUUCAAGUGAUUCCCAUCUCACAACCGGAGACACACACAAAGAUCCCCAACAAGGUAUAAUAUACAACUUAGUAAAGAAAACAUUAAAGAUUAUGAAAAUAAAAGAUUAUGAAAAUAAAAGAUUAUAGAGUAAUAAUGAUAGAGUAAUGUAUAAAAUAGAUUAUAGAGUAAUAAUGCUAGAGUAAUGUAUUAAAAAAAAUCUAAUGUUAUGACAACUUUUAUACAAUAAAGUCUAAGAUUAUUCACAUAAAAGAUGAUAGAGUAAUGCUAAAAAAAAAGAAAAAAUAGAAUAUGAAAAAAAAUAAAAGAUUAUGUAAUAAAAAUAUAAUUAUGACAAUUAUUAAGACAACUUUUAUAUAAUUAUGAUGAAAGAGUAUUUUUAAAAUAUAGAUUUUGAAAAUAAUUUAUAUAAUUAUGACAACUUUUAUUAUUAAUAAGAAAACUUUUGUCAUGUUAGGAAAAUAAACACCAAUGUCUUCCUCAUCAAGUGAUGAAGUUGAUGAAGCUUUAGAAGAAAUGGUCGACCAAGUAGUUGAUAAUUUCUUCGACUCAGUGAUUCAUGCUCAUCCCAACAAGCCGACGAGAAGAGCUUAUAUCGAAAGACAUCGGGAACAAGGACACAAUCAACUAUGGAACGAUUAUUUCACGGAAAAUCCUACAUACCCACCGGAAAUGUUUAGGAGGCGUUUUCGAAUGAACAAGCCAUUGUUCCUUCGCAUUGUCGAACGUCUAACUAAUGAAGUUCCAUACUUUCAGCAAAGACGAAAUGCUUGCGGAAGGAACGGGCUUUCUGCACUUCAAAAGUGUACGGCAGCUAUACGUAUGCUGGCAUAUGGUCAAUCGGGAGAUACAUAUGACGAAUAUCUCCGACUUGGUGACAGUACAUCACGUUUAUGUUUAGAAAAUUUCACUAAUGCAAUAAUUGAUUUGUUUGGAGAUGAGUAUCUACGAAGCCCUACACCUGAGGAUCUUCAACGAUUACUCGAUGUCGGAGAGGUACGCGGGUUUCCAGGGAUGAUAGGCAGCAUCGACUGUAUGCAUUGGGAGUGGAAAAACUGCCCAACAGCUUGGAAAGGUCAGUACACACGUGGUUCAGGAAAGCCGACAAUUGUCUUAGAAGCCGUGGCAUCACAGGAUCUUUGGAUAUGGCACGCUUUUUUCGGAUUACCAGGUACCCUCAACGAUAUCAAUGUUCUUGAUCGGUCACCAGUUUUUGAUGACAUCUUACAAGGUCGAGCACCUAAAGUGAAGUUCAAGGUCAACAACCACACUUAUCGUAUGGCCUACUACCUUACGGACGGAAUUUAUCCAAAAUGGGCAACAUUUAUCCAAUCCAUCCCACUUCCUCAAGGUCCUAAAGCUGAGCUAUUUGCUGAACGUCAAGAAUCCACCAGAAAAGAUGUCGAACGGGCUUUUGGAGUAUUGCAAUCGAGGUUUGCAAUUGUUAAAAACCCAGCUCUACUAUGGGACAAGGAAAAGAUAGGAAAGAUUAUGAGAACUUGUGUCAUAUUGCACAAUAUGAUAGUAGAGAACGAACGACACGGAUACGCUCAAAUUGAUACAUCUGAGUUCGAGUCAGGAGAGUCAAGCAGAAGUUCGAGGGUGCAACGGAGAGAAAGUAUUCAUGGCGGUGAUAUGUUAGGCAUUCGCAGAGAAGUCCGAGAUAAAGAGAAGCAUGAUCGUUUGAAAGCGGAUUUAAUGGAAAAUAUAUGGCAAAAGUUUGGUAAUGAAGAUUAAUAAUGUUUUUAUGUUCUUCUAUUUCUCAAUUUAUGUAAUCUACUCUUAUGUAUUGAAUAAAAAGUUUUAAAAUAUUUAUAAUAUAUUUUAAUAUUUUAUUUAUGUAUUCUCAAUAAUUUGAAAUUUUCUUUUUUUUUAUUUAUAUUAUUAUUUUAUUCCUAUGAACUCCUUCUUCGGGUUCACUAAUGCAGAAAACAACAAAUACAGGUUCAUAACUAUUUAUGGCCCCACAAUAAAAUAUUAAAAAAAUUGGGUGAACCCCAAAGGGGGUUCACCAAUGCUCAUGCUCUCAACAUGUUUUCGGAAGGCCCACUUCAAUUCAUUAGCUUUUAUAUUCGUCCACUACCUUAGUUGCUUUCCAGUCAUACUUCACAAAUAAUUGUUCCAUCGUUUCUAUAUCGCUGGUAAUAAAAAAAAUAUGAUGUGUCACCAUCUUUAAUAAGUCUGAUCGGGUUAAGAAAUUUGAGAUAGUUCAGACUAUUCUUUACAAAGUCGAGUACUUUUGACUUUUGAGCUUCCAAUGGAUCAUUCGCGCACACCCGUUAAACUUUAGUCUCCACAGUUUGAAGAAUCUAUUCUGCAUUGCCUGCUGAUUAAUAUAUUCAAGAAACUGUGUAGCGGUUGUAUGAGAUAAGGUAAAGUAUAUAUAUGCACGACAUCCAUGUCCCCUCAUCUCAAUUAGUAAGGAUCAUCGAACAGUUUAAAUCAGGCUAGGUUACUUGUAUAUAUUACCAGGCUACCACGCAAGAAAGUUACAUACAAAAUCUUAUACUGCAAAAUGGAGUAAUGAGUUUUUUGUUUGGUCGUCACUCUAUUUUCCACUCUAUUUUGCAGUAAAUUAUGGAAAGGGGUUAAAAAUGCUAUAACAAUAUUGUAUCUAUUGAAUUUUGAUGCUAUGAAAUAUUUUUCUCCAUUACUUUAGUUUUAAUUUCUUUUAUCUUUGUUAUUUGAGGAUUUAUUUCUACCAUCUCCGUACAUUUUUUACUCACUUCUUUAUAAUUGUAACUUGACUUAUAAGUAAUUUGGGUUGGCUCUAUUUUCUAAAAUUUUGGUUUGCUAAUUCUGUAUUAAAAUUACUGAGCUAAUACACAAAUUAACUUUAAACAUUUUUUACCAAAUAAUAAGUCAGCGCUACUGUCAUUGUUUAUGUUUGGUAAUUUUCUUUAUUCCUCAAGUUAAAUUUGCAAAAAUAUCUGCUCUUACCAAAACUAUGAAAAAAAGACAAUGGUAAUUUGCGAUGGUACUCUUUCAGAACAAUGGUAAGAACAAUAACAUUAUAAAUUUGCGAUAUUAAUUUAGUGAUGAGCUAACAUUAUAGUUAAUUUUGUAAUUUACCAAAUGUUGAAUUAUAGUAUUAAAAUAUUUUAGAUUAUGGAAAUAUUAAACAAUUCAACCAGUUAAAUGUUCACUCUCCUCAUCAGCUUAUAUAUAAUUUCCAAUAACAAAAAAGAAUGGAUAUUAAAAUUUUUGAAAUUUGUAAAAGAAAUCAAUGAAUAAUUUAAACUAAUACUAUAAUUGUUUAGCUACUUAUAUAUUUUAUAAUAUAUUAUAAUAUUUAUAUAUUAAAAUUAACAUAAUUAAAACUAAAUUCUAAACAAUAACCCCGGGCGUAGGAAUAUUUCAGAUAACUGUAUCAUACGCUAAUUACAUGCUAGAUAAUAUAUUAUAUCACGUUAUGGAGCAACAACCUGAACAAGCCCUAAUCAUCAAAAAUUUGUGGACUCGAUGGAUGAUCACUAAGCCCAUGGGCCGGUUCACAAUUAGAAAACGUCCUUGCGCUAAACCGAACCCGGUUCGUAAGUAAAAUGCACACGAUAUUAAUGGUUAUUCAAUUUUGCGUUUAGCUGAAACAAAACAUAGCCAAACACCGUCAUCGUCUUCAAUCUCACUUCGCAUCGAAUCAGACGAUCUCUCCAAAACCCUAAUUCAUCUUCUCCGAUCAAUUGUUCGUUCCCUUGCUCUUCCCGAUACCAGGAAUGCUUAUUUCCAUCCGCCAAUCGGAUUCUCCAGCAGUCUAAACGCUAUUGUCUUCGUCUUCUAGGGUUUCGAAUCGGGGAGUGAAGGAUACAACAAGAGAGGGUCAAAGAUGUCUCUUCCGCUACUUGAGUGUAAGUACGUGACGGAGGAGUUCGUUCGCGAAGGGAAGAGUGGCAGCUACGGUUCCAAGUUGCCCAGCUCGGUACCGAUGCUUCGUUUCCUAUACGAGCUUUGUUGGGUUUUGGUAUAUACACGCUCACACACAAACCUUCUCUUCCUGUUAAUCCAAUCUAUGCGUAUGUGUUCGAGUUGCUGAAGGUGCGUCGUAAUGGGUUUAUCAGGUUCGUGGCGAGUUGCCGAUUCAGAGCUGUAAGGCUGUGUUGGAGAAGGUGAAGUUUUUGGAUGAUCCGUCGAAGGAAGAGUUAGCUUCUUGUUUUGCGGAUGUUGUGACUCAGAUAGCUCAAGAUGUAGGCUUUUCCUAUACUUUAUUAGUAGAUCUUAAAGUUUCGACCUUUUUUUUUUGUUUUCAAUUGAUUGUACUGAUCGUUGGAUUGUUUGCUUUGUGCUCUCUUUGGUUGGAUUUGCAGCUUACUAUGUCGGGGGAUCACCGUUCUCGCCUAACAAAAUUGGUCAGUACUUGUACCUUCUAGUUACUGGUUCUGGUUUUGCCUUGUUAGUCUUGGUUAUGAAGCAUGAACAAGAAUUUACUGGCACAAAUCAUGUGAUAGCAUUCUAUGCUAGUAAUUAGAGCAUGUGUUGUUUUGCUAUCAGUAGUGUUCUAAGGUUCAGCUAGCUGUAUGCUCAUUUUGGGCGGGUUGCAAGAAGGAGCCUUAUACUUGAUCCUUAUCGUAAAAGGUUCCUUAAGCCUAAAGAGUUGAAACUUUGACCGUAUUGCCUUCAAUUCUUAGUGCAGUUUCGUCUAGACUUUACAUUGUAUGUUUGAUCAAAACUUCUUGAAGCUGCUUACUUGGGGGUUAUUAGCAUUCGUGGUGUUUUGGUAGUUUUGAUUAUUACGUACUUUAGUCGCUUCGUUAAAAUAUUCUCAUUUACCAUCGCCUCAAGUUUUUUUAUGCUCACAGCUAAAUUUAGUUGUUUUCUUUUGUAGGCAAAAUGGCUUGUGGAAUCACAGACAGUUCCUCAAAGGAUUUUCCAAGAGCGUUGUGAGGUAAACAUUAGGUGACAUCCAGCCAAUUAAUGAUCCCUCUUCUCACCAUUCUCUCUAUUUUCUUGGUUAGUAAGAAAGUAAGUCUUACGAAGAAGCUGAUGAUUGAUUUCUUUAUUUUUUAUUAGGAGGAGUUUUUAUGGGAAGCUGAAAUGGUUAAAAUUAAAGCCCAAGAUUUGAAGGGGAAAGAGGUGAGGUUUCACACUUCUGUAACUACUGUAUUAUUGUGACAUACAAAUAUGCUGUAGGGACAACGGUAAUUUGAUAAUGAUAUUAUCUCGUUUAAUAGUAAAUACAAAUGUACUGCAGUCUGAUUUGUGUAAUAGUUUGUUUGAGUGAGUUCCUUUUGCGGUAGAUUUAUCUCUUAAAGAGUUUCUCCUCUACCAUUGUAACUACAGAUCAUUGCUUAUAACUCACAUUUCUGGCUUGUGCUACUCAGGUGCGAUUAAACACUCGUCUUCUGUACCAGCAGACAAAGUUCAACUUACUCCGUGAAGAAAGCGAGGGAUAUGCCAAAUUGGUUAGUGACGAUCUCCGGCUUUUAUCUGUUGUCAUUCUUUCUGUCCACUUCUUUUCUAUGCUCUGUUGUUAGAUACAUCUUCGCUCUUUACUGCCUUCUCUGUGAGAUCCACCUUAGAAAUGCUCGUCUUUAGUUUUUGGAUGCGAUGAUCUCUUCAACGAUACUGAUUUGGCCUUUACUUUUCACACGGUUCCAAUUGGAAGGAAAAUCUUCUACUAGUUUAAUUAUAGUUUUGCAGAGUAACUAACAUAUAUGUCAGCAGGGUUUCUUUUGUUUUUUGGAGUUUAAUUGAAGCAGAUUGUCAGUACUACAACUUCAUUAAAUAGAUUCUUUGGGGAGUGCAGAUUACCCUUUUAUGCCGAGGAUCUGCAGGUUCUUCGCAUAAUGCAUCAGCAGCAACCAUGGGAAUUAUCAAGGUUUUACUUCUGCCGAUACGUUAUGUUUCACAUACGUAUUCCAUUUAUCUUUUCUGAACUAAAAUAUUUAUUUGCAGUCAUUAAUUGGGCAUUUUGACCUUGAUCCGAACCGUGUUUUCGACAUUGUAAGUUAUUCUGUCGCGUUCAUCUUUUUGUUUGAUAUCAGAGAGUGCAUCCCUUUGUCCUUCCCUAUUAUGUAUAUUCCCUUUGUUUUGACGAAUAGGUGUUGGAUUGCUUUGAACUUGAACAAGAUUACGACACGUUUCUCAAUCUAAUUCCUAUCUUUCCCAAGGUUUGGAAUGUCUCCUCGUGUUGUCAUAUUUUACCACUUAGCCUGAGAGACUAUUUUUGUGCUAAACCCAAUCUCUUUGAUAUGCAGUCUCAUGCUUCACAAAUUCUUGGAUUUAAAUUUCAAUACUAUCAGAGAUUGGAGGUGAAUAGCCCAGUUCCAUCUGGGCUCUAUAAGCUUACGGCCUUGCUAGUAAAGAAGAAUUUCAUCAGUCUUGAAAGCAUGUUAGUAAUUUUCCUUCAUCUGUUUUUCCCUUUCUUUUCUUACAUUCUAGGUCCUUAGGAGCCACUGGGGAAUUUUCAGUCGACCUUAUAUGUUGCCUUAAGGAAAUAAACUGGUUUUAUCCCUUUUCUGCAGAUGAUACCUUUGUAAUAUCCUUUUGAAUUGGAUACUUGUACUGUUGUACAUAACGAUUGCCUUUCUUUUCAUUGUGUUAGCAUAAGGAUAUAUAAGUUGGAAUCUAAAUGAAAGAUUUUUCUUCAUUAUGUAUUUUUAGCUAGUUGGUCGCUAUGUCUCUUAAGCUUGUUUCUUGAUGCAAUCUGAUAGGAAAUUGGUGGGGUUUUGAUUGUCAAAACUUAGUUUGGCUGCUCUAAGAUACUUACUUCGAGAUUGCUCUUGGGGAUGACUACCUAGUAGAUGAUUUAUUAUCUUGCAAGUGAUUCAUUCAAAUCAAUAUCUUGUUUUACCAGUGCACUGAUUCGGUGAUCACGAGUUUGCUACAUUUCCUUGUGUUAAUAACAAGUGAAGCUAUACUCCGUAUGUUCUGAUGUUGUUUUCCAAUUGUUGAAAACAGAUAUGCACAUCUGCUACCUAAGGACGAAGAAGUUUUUGAGGAUUAUAAUACUUAUUCUGCAAAGCGUUUUGAAGAGGUACGAUUCAAAUUGUUGUCUUCCUUUAAGAAGUUCGUAGAUGCAUGUGUAUAGAUGUUUUAAGAUAGUUUUGUUCUGGUCCAGCGUAAGUUGUCUCUAUGUUUCUUCUGAAUUAAUACAUUUUUCUCUCUUAAGACAAACGAAAAAACUUGUUUCCACUGCACAUACGAUGGUCUGCUCAUCUUGCCCAGAUUUUAAUUAAUACUUACAUACUAAGCAGUUGUCCAUUUUCCUGGAAGCCAGCCAAUUAUUUGUUGUUUUCGAAGCCUUUCUUUCGCAUGUUUAUUGACGAGUUGUCAUAUUUUACAAAUUUUUCCUUUCCUACAGGCCAAUAAUAUUGGAAAGAUAAAUCUUGCUGCUACUGGGAAGGAUCUUAUGGAGGAUGAGAAGCAAGGAGAUUUCAAAGUUGAUCUCUAUGCUGCUUUAGACAUGGAAACUGAAGCUGUUGCUGAGCGAAUACCAGAGCUUGAAAAUAAUCAGACUCUGGGCCUCCUUGAUGGUUUCCUCUCUGUGGACGACUGGUAUUCCUCUUGAUUUAUAUUAAAAAAAUUGAACUCUUCUGAAAGCUUUGCCAUCCCCAUUUUCAUUUCUUUUUUAUAACAAAUCCACUAUCAUCAAAGCAGCUUGUUUAGUUACACCGCCUUGAACUAUUGCAUGUGAAGUUUCAAAUUAUACUUCUUCAAAGCUACUAAUCUUAUUUAUAACUAAGGCCAUAGUACUUACUCUUCCCUUUCUGUUCAACCGAAGUGAAAGCUCCUAUUUUUUUGUUAACAAUUUACUUUUCAGGAAACAUGCCAAUAUCAUGUUCGAGCGUCUUGCGCCUCUUAAUCCGGUGGCUCACAAUCAUAUAUGUGAUGGCUUGUUUAGGUUAGUGAGUGAGCUCAGCUAUUUUUUCCUCAGAUGUAUAGCUGCUUUGUUGCUUUUCAUUGUUCACUCCAGCUCUAUGUAUCACCUAAGUAGUACAGCAGCUCUGGCCACUAAUUUAUGAUGAAAACAAUGAUAUUUUUGCUCUAUGUUUCAGGCUUAUAGAGAAGAGAAUCACUCAUGCUUAUCGCAUUGCCCGUCAGACACGUUUUCAAAAUUCUUCUUCUGCGAGUUCAGAAAAGAUUGCCCACGCUGCUAAUACAAGUGCCAGUAAAACUUGUCCAGAUCUUAAAGAAGUGUUUCAGAUACUUGUUACAGUUGGACCCUACUUGUACCGUAAUACACAACUGCUGCAGAAGGUGCACUGGCCUUUAAAUUUCUGAUUAUACAAAAGAUUGAAGAUUGAAGCUGAUACAUGUUUACCAUUGUGGCAGAUUUGUAGACUAUUAAGGGUUUACUACUUGUCGUCCUUAGAUCUUGUUCGCAGUAGUGAUGGGUCAUCAAAUCAAGAAGGUAGUGCAGAUGAAAUCAAGCACCUGAAGGAAGCUAGGUUUAGAGUGGAAGAAGCCCUUGGAACAUGCCUUCUGCCAUCGUUACAGUUAAUACCUGCAAAUCCAGCAGUUGGUCAUGAGAUUUGGGAAGUGAUGAGUCUCCUUCCAUAUGAGGUUAACUUGCUUCUGUUUCUUAUCCAAAUAGUUUUUCUUCUGUAGAACGUGAUGGUUUAUCCAGCUGCUUAAUUUUGUGUUUAGGCUCGUUAUCGCUUAUAUGGUGAGUGGGAAAAGGACGAUGAGCGGAAUCCUUUGCUGUUGGCAGCAAGGCAAGUGGCUAAGGUAUUGCGCAGUAUAACUUCUUCGACCUUUUAUCCUUAUAUUAUACAGCUGGAAAUAUACAUCUUCAGACCCUCAUGAGCUAUUCUCGUAUGUCAGUUGGACACUAGAUGGAUUCUGAAACGGCUUGCAAAAGAAAAUUUGAAGCCGUUAGGAAGGAUGGUGGCAAAACUUGCGCAUGCCAAUCCCAUGACGGUGCUUCGGACAAUUGUGACUCAGGUGUCAAUCUACCGCAAAAUUUGGUUUUGCUGCUAUUUUUGUAGUCAAAGUUGUUCAGACGGCUAACUGUUAGGUUCUUGUUGCAACAGAUUGAAGCAUACAGAGAUAUGAUUGCUCCUGUUGUAGACGCCUUCAAGUACUUGACACAGGUCAGUACCGCCUUAUGCCUCUUGUUUGUAUGCUAUGCCGUUGUUGACCUUAUACCCUUACACACCUAGGUUUUCCUACACAUGCUUUAUGAAUAAAAAGUAUAACGGAUGGUCUUUUUGCCAGUGUCUUGUUUCAGAGUGCAAAGUAAAUUUAUUUUCAUACGAGUCAGUGUGAUUUGGCUUUGCAGGUUUAGUGUUGCAUUGUAGUCAUUCGUUCUAGCAUUCAUUCGGUUAGGUUUAGAAUGUCGGAAAUGGGGUAUGUUGGUUUGGCGGAUACCCAAACAUGAGCUUCUGAAGAAGGCUUCAAUGAAGUGAAAUAUUACAUUGUAAACCCAUUGUAAAUUGGGAUGCAGUCAGAUGGAUCCUAAUAUUUUCUUUCAGAGACCCUUAAUUUAAUGUUCUAGUACAUUUAGGGAGUUUGUCAGCUUUCAUUUCUAAGUUAUUGUUGAUAUUGAGAAGCUUCUGAUGCUUUCCAAAUUCUUCCUGAUACACAGCUCGAGUAUGAUAUCCUGGAAUAUGUCGUGAUUGAGAGACUGGUGCAAGGCGGACGAGCUAAACUCAAAGAUGACGGGAUUAAUUUAUCAGACUGGCUUCAAUCUUUGGCUUCAUUUUGGGGUCACCUGUAUGUGUUUUUCUUAGAAUGCAUUGAUACAUGCUAGAAUAGUUUCAUUACAUUUUCAGAGUGAACUGAUUGCUAAGGGCGUUUUUUUCUUUGUGAUUGCGUAGUCUAGGCAUAUUUGCAUUUAUGCCCAGGAUAGAAAAGCACGUUCUGUACGAGUGCUAACCUCUAGAAGUUGACGAGUACCUUAUAUGUGACAUGAUCUAUACUAGUUUGCCUGAUAGGAUGAAGAUUGCUUAUACUAAUUUUUUAUGUGUUCAUCGUGUUAGUUUCUCCAUGAGUUUCUUCUCCUAAGUGGUUUAUCUUUUUCUCAAUUCCAUUAGAAUAUUGCCAUUUCGCCAAAAUUUUAUCUGCAUGAUGCAUAUAUAGUAGUUUCAUUCAUAAAGUAAUAAAAGCUGUAAAUGCCAUCAUUUUGGAGUAUUUCGAUAAACAACAUCAUACUAUACAGGUGUAAGAAGUAUCCAUCAAUGGAGUUAAGGGGUCUUUUCCAGUAUCUCGUUAACCAGUUAAAGAGAGGCCAAGGGAUUGAGCUUGUUCUUCUCCAGGUUGGUUUGUAUUCCUCAUAUUCUUAUGAUCCAACUUGUUCAAACUAAUGGUGGUUGCCUGUCAUUUGACAAUGAUUUGUAGGAACUGAUCCAGCAGAUGGCAAAUGUACAAUACACUGAGAAUCUUACUGAAGAUCAGUUGGAUGCCAUGGCAGGAAGUGAGACAUUACGUUAUCACGCAACAUCCUUUGGCAUGACACGGAACAACAAGGUUUGUCUUUAUAGAUCCCCAGAAACUUAAAAUAAUAUCUUAUUAAAUCUUGAGAGGAGCCAACCUUUGUUCUUCCAUAAGUGCAUGUAUUUGUUAAAUGUUGUUAGAGAAAAUUGGCGAUGUUGUUAGCUUGAAACUUAGGUUCUUUUUUUUUCCAAGUAAUCUGAAUGAAACAUUAUUGAUUUGGUUGUAUUCAAGUUUGAUCCCCUACAUUUUUGUUUUAGCUCAUCGUUUGCAGCUGCAUAUAUUCCGACACUGUUUUGUCACUUGUCUAUGCGUUCACAUGCAUACAUGUCUGCAAGGUUGUGACAAAGUUAUUUAUCUAAAGUCUUUCAUUUAGAUGCAUUUCAUUCAAAACCUCUUUUAUACUUCUAUAGAUGCUAGGUUCCGUAGAGAAAAAAACAUAUGAGCUUGCGACAGUGCCAUUAGUAUAAAUAUGCUUUAUUUGUUUAUUUAAUGCAUGUCUUCCUGGUUUUUGCAGGCACUUGUCAAAUCAUCCAACCGUCUACGAGAUUCGUUACUUCCAAAUGAUGAACCAAAGCUAGCUAUCCCCCUUUUGUUACUUAUCGCCCAGCAUCGUUCUCUGUAAGUUGAUAAAUCUGACUGCGCAAAAUUGUUUGCAUGGAGCACUAGUCUUAAUUGUUCUACAACAUAUACCUUGAAACUAAAAUAGACACGGAGAGAAAAAUGCCCUAUUAAUAGGUGUCUAAAUCUACAUAUCGACAUUGUAGAUUUUAUAUUUGGUCUGACCACGGACGAUGUUCAUAUCUCUAAAUCGAGUAUAUUCAUCUAGUCAACAAACUAUGAUUUUCUAGAUUUAUGUUGUAAUUGUUAUUAUAACGUAAACUACUUUAUAUGCAGGGUUGUGGUAAAUGCGGAUGCACCCUACAUUAAGAUGGUCACUGAACAGUUCGACAGAUGUCAUGGAAUUCUCCUCCAAUACGUGGACUUUCUUUCUAGCGCUGUUACUCCUGCUACUGCUUAUGCUCAGCUCGUACCUUCGCUUGAAGAGCUUGUUCAUACAUACCAUCUUGAGCCAGAGGUCUUUCGAUCUUCCUUUCCUUUGUCCCUUGUUCUUUACCCUUGUGUUAUUGCACUCUUUAACAAUAUGAAUUUCGUCACUUUUCGCAUGUCUUUCUGGUCUACAUUGUUAGGAAUUAUUAUCUUAAUUUUGCGAUUACUUCACUUUGCUAUUAUUGCUUUGCAUUAGCCCAAACUUAUGUUUUGAAUCCCCUGCCAGGUCGCUUUUUUGGUAUUUCGACCUGUGAUGAGGCUCUUCAAAUGUCGACGGAAUGGUGAUGUUUCAUGGCCUUUGGACAGUGGGGAAUCUAUUGAUGCAGAUUCCGAUGUAUCAAAAUCUGAGAGUUCCAUGAUUCUUGAUGUCGGCACAUCUGAAAAAGCUGUAACGUAAUAUUUCAACUCAAAACUUUAGUAUAUUUGGUCGCAGCAACAUUGUGGACGUGAUGUUUAUUUAAAGUGUCAAGUAGUCUUUUUCUGAAGAUUUGAUGUGUGAUAAGAAUCUAUUAUUUAAUUGAAUUACACCUAGAUGCUGAUCUAUUGGACUUUCUCUUGUGUUAAUAUGUUUGCAGGUGGUCUGAUGUUCUUGAUACAGUAAGAACAAUGCUGCCUUCGAAAGCUUGGAAUAGUCUGUCGCCAGACCUCUACGCUACAUUUUGGGGGCUUACUCUGUAUGAUCUCCAUGUUCCCAGAAGUCGUUAUGAGUCUGAGAUAUCUAAACAACAUACUGCCCUUAAGACUCUUGAAGAGGUUGCUGAUAAUUCUAGCUCAGCAAUUACGAAGAGAAAAAAAGAGAAGGAAAGGAUUCAAGAAUCUCUUGAUCGUCUAACCGGUGAACUGAAAAAGCACGAAGAACAUGUUGCCUCUGUCCGUAGAAGGCUUUCACGUGAAAAGGAUAAAUGGUUGAGCUCCUGUCCUGAUACUUUGAAGAUCAAUAUGGAGUUCCUGCAACGUUGUAUUUUCCCUCGUUGCACAUUUAGCAUGGCAGAUUCUGUGUACUGUGCUAUGUUUGUACAUAUGCUCCACUCUCUUGGAACACCCUAUUUUAACACAGUCAACCACAUUGAUGUACUGAUAUGUAAAACGCUACAACCGAUGAUCUGCUGCUGCACUGAAUACGAGGUUGGAAGACUUGGGAGGUUUUUAUUCGAGACCUUGAAGAUUGCAUACCACUGGAAGGUAACUCUCCAAAUUUUAUUUUAAUUAGACGAUGAAGUAUAGAAUUGGGUUAUUUCUUGACCUAGUUUCUAAUGCUGGUGUUGUCGCGUAUAUUUUCUCAGAGCGCAGAAUCAAUCUAUGAAAGUGAGUGCGGAAACAUGCCUGGGUUUGCUGUUUAUUAUAGAUACCCGAACAGCCAGCGUGUCACAUUUGGACAAUUUGUGAAGGUUAGAAAUUCUGAUCCUUGACUUCUGUAAUAUGUAUAAAAUCUAACGAUCUCAAGUUUGAGGAGGGUAUAAUCUCUUUAGCUGUUGAGUAUCCUUGUUCAUUAUUAUGUAGUGUUCUUUAUUAUGGUCAGCCGAAAGUAGAAGGGCAGUUUUAUACGUUCUCUGGAAGUAUUAAGGGCUAACGUAAAGAUCUUCCAAUAGCUGAGACGUUAUCGCAUAGAAAUUUUGAAUCGUUGACAAGAUAAAACGGACAGAUCAGGAAAAUCAAGGCUAUGAUGACACUAUAACUAUUAUUUGCUAUAUUUAAGACUCGAGAAUAGAUUUUAUACUGUUUCAACUAAAGGGUUGUUUUAAUAUCAGCUGGGUGUUCUUACCUUUUUUAUUUUUGAUUUGUUGAACUAAUGGCAUGACGCGUAGAAAAAGCAAUUAAAUAUAUUUUAUAUGAUGUGACUGCAUUGCAUCUAUUCAGCGAUGAUUUUGAUAUAUUUAGUUUCAUCUUUGGAUAUGUUUUCCCUAUAUAUUUCUACUAUUUAGCUGUCACGUGUUAUGCUUUAAUUACUAGUAGCAAUAUCAUGUUUCUUACGUGUGUUUAUGGCUGUUUCAUCUGUUGAUGUCUCUGAAGGUACAUUGGAAAUGGUGUGCAAAAAUCACAAAGCUUUUGAUCCAAUGUCUGGAGUCAAAUGAGUACAUGGAGAUUCGUAAUGCGCUAAUAAUGCUAACAAAAAUAUCUGGUGUUUUCCCAGUUACUCGGAAAACUGGAUAUAAUAUCGAGAAACGGGCAAGUACCUAUUUACUAGCCAGUCUUAUGAAUAUGAUUUAAGUUGGUCUUAUGUGUACAGCUAUUGUUUUCAUGUGUUGUUCUUUGUGAGAAGAUUAAUGUUUCCGUUCUUUGUUGAUCUUGUCUCACAGGUAGCGAAAAUUAAAAAUGAUGAGCGAGAGGACCUUAAGGUCUUGGCAACUGGUGUUGCCGCUGCUCUAUCUGCAAGAAAAGUGAGUGCUAACCACAACAAUUUUUUAUAGUGUUUUUUGCAAUUUUCACUGAAUGUGGAUUAUUUGCAGUCAUCAUGGGUUACUGACGAAGAAUUUGGCAUGGGUUACCUUGAACUAAAGGCUCCGCCAGUACAUACUCCUAAACAUACUCCUUCCCAGAAUGGCUUGGUAGGUGGUGAAUCAACUGGGGGAAGAUCUACUGCUAACCAGCAGCCUGAGUUUGGCGGCAAGGAUCAGUUGUCAAAAACUAAAAUACCAGAUGGAAGAACGGAAAAUAUGCCUUCAAAAUCUGAUCAAGGACAUCCAAAAUCAAAGGGAGGCAAUCCAUCGGAUGCCCAACCAUCUAUGUCUAAGAAACCAGUGGACCAAAAGGAAACAGAUGAAUCACCCAGGAUAUCUGAUGAGAAUCCUGUCAAAGCUGGUUCAAAGUACUCUGAAGCCGAGGUAUCAUCAUGUUCCCUGCUCUUUUAUUUAUUUAAGUUAGCAACUCCUGCUUUACUUAUAACUCCCAAAGUUGUCACUGGCACUACACAGAAUUUAUAUAAGAUAUUUAUCCUGCCCCUUCUACUUAUUUGACAGCUCCAUUUCUAAAAGACUGUUUUAGGAAAGUGAUGAUUAGGUAUUGUAUUUGGGAUAACCUAUCCCCUUACGUGGGCUCUUGGUUGUGAGUGAAAACUCUUAAGGUCAAUUGAUUUAAUCCCAAGAUAGUGCAGUAUACUAUAAUCUUAUAUUCUUCAUCUUCACCCCAACCUAUCCCCACCCUUUUUAUGUUGGAAGUUGCCAUCGCUACAAUAUUUCAGCUAAUCAACAUUUCAGGCUUCAAUUCUAUAUCAUGCUUAAUUUAUUUUUUGGUUGGCAGUUAAAACCUUCUUCUAAACGAGGUGCAUCGGCUACGUCGACGAACAAAUCAACAAAGCAAGAUUUUGGAAAAGAUGAUGGAAAGUCCGGUAAAGCUGCUGGAAGAACAUCCGCAGCUGAUAACGAUGUUAUUUAUCUGGGGAGCAGGCAAGCAAGUUUGACCAAAGCUUCUCCCAGCACAGCAGGCAAUGGUAGCUUAGCUACUGGUUCGUCCAAAGGUUUGAUCUCACCCACAAAAUCAUCAGACGUUCAUUGAAGCUAGUGAAAAACUGGGCGGACUUGUCAGGUAUCCUAACUUUAAUCUCUGAUGCAGUGAAAGAUGAUGGUGCUGAAGCUACAGAUACUCAAAAGCAAUCUACUCGGACUGCUCAUUCCCCUAGGCAUGAAAUUAGCACUUCUUCGAGGUCGAGUGAUAGGUUACAGAAACGAGCUAAUGCUGUUGAAGAUAGUGACAGAACAAGUAAACGCCGUAAAGCAGACUCUGAGCACAAAGAGCAUGACAGUGAGGCUCGCCCGAGUGAUAGAGACAGAUCAGCAGAGGCUAGGGUGGAUUUAAACAAAACACCCAGUGAUGACCAAAGCACCCAGAGAGAUCAAGACAGGGCAAAGGAUAAGGGUAAUGAAAGACAGGACCGAGACCACAGAGAAAGAGUCGAGCGUUCUGAUAAAACUCGUGCAGAUGAUGCGGUAAAAGCACGAGACAAAUCCAUGGAACGUUAUGGCAGAGAGCGGUCAGUUGAGAGGGGCCUUGAUAAAGGAAUAACUAGGAGUUACGAUAGAAACAAGGAUGAAAGAAGCAAAGAUGACAGAAGCAAAUUGCGUCAUAGCGAGGCGUCACUUGAGAAAGCUCAUGGUGAUGAUCGUUCUCUUUCUCAAGGCUUACCCCCACCUCCACCUCUACCUCCUAACAUCGUUCCUCAUUCUAUGGCCUCGAAAGAAGAACCCGAAAGGAGGGCCGGAGUUACAAGGCAUUCCCAGAGGCUUUCUCCGAGGCAUGAUGAAAGAGAGAGACGACGCUCNNNNNNNNNNNNNNNNNNNNNNNNNNNNNNNNNNNNNNNNNNNNNNNNNNNNNNNNNNNNNNNNNNNNNNNNNNNCUGAAGAGAAUACAUCAGUUUCUGUUGAAGAAUCAAAACGAAGAAGAGAUGACGAUUUUCGUGACCGUAAGCGAGAUGACAGAGAAACAAUCAUUCUGAAGGUAACAUGGCUCUUCUUUACACAUGUUGGUAUCAGAAACUGUAGCAUAAAUGCAAAUGGAAUAAAAUUCUUAUGUCUACUCUAUGUGCAGGGAGAAGAAAGGGAAAGANNNNNNNNNNNNNNNNNNNNNNNNNNNNNNNNNNNNNNNNNNNNNNNNNNNNNNNNNNNNNNNNNNNNNNNNNNNNNGGAAAGAGAAAGAGAAAAAAGUAUCCCAUUGAAAGAUGAUUUUGAAGCGUCCAAGAGAAGGAAGAUAAAGAGGGAUCAACAAGUCUCAUCUGCAGAGCCAGGGGAAUACUCUCCAAUGCCACAUCAGUCAUCUUUGUCAAUGGGUAUGGGACCAUCAUCGUACGAAGGCAGAGAGCAGCGAAAGAGCAGUAGUAGUAUGAUUCAACAUGGAGGUUAUCCUGAAGAGCCAAGCAUCAGACUUCUUGGCAAAGAAGCUUCCAGCAAGAUGGCUCGUCGUGAUCCUGACCCGUAUCCUUGAAUACCAACUUAUAUAAUCUAUCUGCUUAGUGUUUUUGCAUCAUGAAACACUCCCUUAUAUUAUGCAUCUUUGAUGGUAUCUUCAUUGUUUCCUUGACCAUUGGUAUUAGAAUGUAUGAUCGUGAGUGGGAAGAAGACAAGAGGCAAAGGGCAGAACGGAAGCGGAGAGAUCGGAAGUAGACUCUGAUUAUUCCAAGAUCCUACGUUUGUUUUAAGAUUAUUUAUCUCUCUCUAUUGGUUUUAUGAAAAGUUGGAAUUUUGUGUUAUAGAGUUUUAAACAUCUACAUUAUUGUGAUUGAUAUGUUUACUUCUCGACAAUGCCUUAAGGUUCCAAUAACAAUCACGGUUUUGGCUUAUACUUUACUCGUUCGUAGCUGAAUAUUUUGUGUAUAGGUAUUACAAAUGAAUAUAAUAACCGAAUGUGUUUUACUUGGUUAUAAAGAGAUUCCUUUUAUUGUCUUGUCUAGUGUCUGUAAUGGCUCCAAAUAUACUCGAGGCAGAGUCCAUAACUUAGGAAACACGUUUCUGGUUAGAAGAGAGUCUCUAAGAUUUUCUUUUUAAUCCAAUGUGACUAUUAUAUAUUGAAAUAAAUUAUGUGAAAGUUCCAUCAAAUUCUUUUUCUGUUACUACUAGGUUCACUUACAAAUUCUAUGAAUAUGAAGUUGAUUAUAUGAAGAUUAUCAGCGUCUAAUUAUCGCUCUUGGUAGUUUAAUGGUCAGAUAAUUAAGAUAAUACAGUAUGUCCAAAACGUUCUCUUUCAAUCUCUUACUGGCCAUUGGAAUUUACAUUUUCAAGGCAAUUUCUCUCCUUAAAAUCAUGUGGCUGCAAAGUGUAUAGUUUUGUAAACUUCCAAAUUGAAUAAAGAUGACAAGAGUCUUUUUUUUUUUUUUUUUUCGAAACUCUUCAGUUCAGGUCUCCAAUUUAUUUCAGCACAUUGAAAUCUCAGGAGAACGAAAGUUAAAUGUUUUGACAUCAUCAAAGCAAACUCAGAAAAAUUACAUUUAAAGUUAACCCCAAAAACAAGUUUUGAUCUACAAGAAGUUCAUAAUGAUAUGUAGUAAUUGCCUCUACUCAGUUCAGGUCUCCAUAAAGUUUCCGCAUGAUGAAUCUCGGAAGAACGAAAGUUAUGUUUUGAUCAUCAUCGAAGGCAAUUACUACAUAUUAAAACAGAGAUUAGGGAUUCGUCAUAAUAAAAAAAAUUUAUAAAAACGAAAACAGAAAGAAAAAACAAUUAAGUAAAGUAGAAGAAGAUAAAGUUUAAACAAGCGACAAAGGUGACUCUGUUCGAAGAUUUACGACCCUAUUUAUAUGCCACUAUAAUGAGGGAGUCGAGUAAACCCUAGCUUAAUCUUUGGGUCAUCGUCCCCUAUAAUGGGGCUUUUGUUAUUUACUUAUUGGGUCUCUUUCUGUAUCAGCCCAUUAUCUUCUUCCUUGAGUUAUUAUUUGUUCUUUUUUUUUUGCUUGAAAAAGAUUGUUUCGAAAGAAAAUAGACUCUUCAUUUUUUUUGUCAAAUAAAUUUGAUAAAAGGACAAUACUAAACACUAUCACCGUCUUUCCAUCUUAGAGCAUCUCCAAUGUAAAACUCCAUUUUUUUCUCUAAAAUAGAGUAAAAGUGAAAAUAGAGUAAAAUUGCUCCAACCCUACUCCAUUUUCUACUCCAUAAUGGAGUAAAAUAGAUUACUCCAUUUAUAGAGUAAACAUCAUUAUGGAGUGAGAUAUGAAGUUGGGUUGGAGCUUUCCUUACUCCAUAUUCACUUUUACUCCAUUUUAGAGGAAAAAAUGAAGUAGGGAUGAAGAUGCCCUUAUAGAGGUCAAUGGUUAGUUUUAGUUGGAUAUGGAGAGAGUCAAUGGAGCGGGCGUGUAGAAGGUGCGCGGUAACCUUCGUCUAAAGUUCAAUGGUGAGUUUAAUUGGUUUUGGAGAGGGUCGGUGGAGCAGAGGUGCUUAUGAGACACAAUCUACAACAAUCGCCGGUUUGUUCUCUUUAUAGCUGGGUUUGGGUCUUAUCUAAGAUGUUUAGGCGUUGGUGUUUUAUGUCAUUAGCUAUGUUUUUGUAGUCUUUGCAUGUUAGUUUAAGCGUGUCUAAGUAUGAUUUUGCUUCUGGUUUGUAAUUGUGCAAUCGCCGGCUUAUGACUCCAAGAUUGUAUCUUUAAACUGUCCGCUCUAGAUUAUGGUGUCGUUUUGUUACGACAUGUUCUAACAUGCUUUUUUCGCUAAUUCAGUUUGGAAUCAACAUAACAACAUAUGACAAAAAAAAAACACUAUAAGAUCACGCUCAAUGCCAAAUUGUUCGAAAUAAGUUUUUUCAGCUAUAAAAUAAUUAUUUUGAUAUAUUUUUCUUAAAUAACUAAAAUCUAUUUUGCUUAAAAAGUUUAGACUAUUUAAAACCGAUGUGUGUUUAAUGGGUUUCUAAAGAGUACUUUGUGAAUUCUCAUUUGAGAAUAUGUUUCUUUGUCUCUCUCCAUCUUCUUGUAUUUUCUUACUCAUAGAUACUUAACGAAAACUUGUAUACUAAAAAUGUGGUUUUAUAAACUUUUAGAUAACAAACAAAACGGAGAAGUAAGCAGCUGAUCAAGAUGAAUAUCUUCAAAAGGAGAAAUAACUUGGAUUUGUAUAUGAACCAACUUUCUUAAAGUAGUCAACCAAAUUAAGUAUUAGUUGAGAAUGAUAAUGGAUAAUAAAAAGUAUGUUUGUGUACUUUUAAUAUCUCAUAAAUACAGGCCUACCAAUUUUGUUAUAAAGCUAAAAGUAGAACUGGAUUGUUGGCCACUCAAUAGAUACAAUCAAUGUAAAAUGUUUUGCCCAAUUGAGAAGGAGAAUGGACACUGGAGUAACAACUGAUUUCUGAGUGUAAAUAGCUAUAUUUAAACAAACCUUCUGUUUGAAAAUAGGUUGAUUAUAGUUAUUUUUUUGUUGUUAGUAAGUCUGAAUGUGGAAUUUGAUUGAUAACCUACAAUAAUAGUUUGUAACUGUCAAUAAAAAUAGAGGGUUAUAUAAUAUAGUAGGAUAUAGCUAUCAUAUAAAAAAUAAACAUGUAUUCAAUUUGUUUUAAAAGUACAAAUCUAAUACACUAGAGUUCCAAACAACAACAAAAAAUUCUUGAAACAUGGCCAUGCAAGUUGCAACCCAUUACCGCCAUCAUGUAACAUCUACUUUCUAUACCGACACAAAUGUACCGCUUUUUGCAGCUUAUCAGAGUCGUUUUUAUUAAGAGAAUGAUCUUUAUUAAAAGUAGCACAUAAACGUUAAGUUCUUUAUCGCUGUAACCGAAAGCUUUUGAAUGUCGAGCCCAGAUCCUCAAGGCAAACGUGGUGCCAACUGCAAAGCUAUCGAUAUCUUUUGAUUAUGACAUGCCACCAACUCUAUCACCUUUUGCGAUUCUCAUUAAAUAAAGCAAUGAAGAUAACUAUAAAAGGUAAUAAAGCCAUAAAUAAAGAUAUAGUAAAAAGGAAAAAUAAAGUAAUAUAGUAUAUGUCCAUAAGUAUUGCAAAGCUUUUUGAAGUUGAAGGCAUCACGAGAUGGAGCCAGAUAUGGAGAAUUUGAUUCCGUCCAAAGGAAUUCUCAAGAACGAGGAACUCAAAAAGGUAUGUUAAUCAAUAACUAGAUUUUUCUUUAAUUUAUUGUUCUGGUUUUCUCAAUUAAUGUUCUUAGGUGCGAUUAUAUCAUCACUAAUGCACUUAAUCCCAUCGAAUUUUUGCAUUAAACAUGCUUGGGCAAGAGUAAUAGACAUCCCAGAAAGUUCUGGUGUUGCACCUCUUUGUUUACCAAAGAUUUUACCAUGUCGGAUGUGUGAAUGCUAAAUCCGAACCAACCAAUAUAUAUAAUACGGGCGUGGUCGUGAAUCAAAACUUGUUAUAUGUUCUCACAGUACAUCUUUGAAACGUCGGCAUAUCCAAGAGAGCAUGAAGAGCUCAAAAAGUUACGAGAAGCUACGGUUCACAAGUAUGGCAAUUUGUAAGUCUGCCUACAAUCUCCCUUGUCCAUGUUUCAAUAACCAUUAUUCACUUUGAUGAGCUAUUAUAUUGUGAGAGAUAUGAUCAUAUUUCUUUUCUUUCUACAAAUUUCAAGUUUUAUAAAGUUAAGAUCCUUAUCCUAACUCAAACAUAAAACAUUUUUGUAAUGUUAUUUUUGGGGGGGUGUGAUGCGUGUGGAAGGUGACAUAACUUCUAGAAGGGAUCUAUCCUUAUCUACAGAGUAACUAAAAUAAGUAUAUGAGUAACAAUAUUCAUCAGGAGCGCAUGGGAUGUUUGAUGACGUGGAAAGGCCUAUGCGUUAGUAUAGAUAUUAGGAAUGAAUAAUGAGAAAAGGUUAUCCAGAGAAAGGAUCAAAUGAGGGGAAGUCUUGAGAGACUCCAUUAACCUUGUAAUCAGUUUAUCAACAAUCAACGUUAUUUGCUUUAUCUCUUUGUUUUGAUCCAACAAAGAUUCAUUUCACGUAUCAGGGUAUACUAAUACUAACAAACAAAAGGUAUUUAUGUUUAAUUAUGUGUAGAAGCGAGAUGGAGGUACCGGUUGAUGAGGGACACUUCUUAUCGAUGCUUUUAAAAAUGAUGAAUGCCAAGAAUACGCUUGAACUUGGUGUUUUCACGGGCUACUCGUUGCUCACGACGGCCCUCGCAUUGCCUGAAGAUGGCCGUGUAUGCAUGCAACAACUAUCCUUAAAUUUCCAAAAAGAAUAAAAAAUGAUAAUAACUGCUAACAUACUAUGAACUCUUUGGAUACAUACAGAUUACUGCAAUAGACAUUGACAAAGAAGCUUACGAGAUGGGUCUAGAGUUCAUCAAGAAUGCUGGUGUUGAUCACAAAAUCAACUUCAUCCAAUCUGAUGGUCUUCAGGCCUUAGACAAGUUGCUGAGCGUACGUAAUCCUUUACAACUCUCACUCAUGUUUUUUUUUGCUUUUGUUAUAUUACUAUAGCUAUUAUUUUUUCAUAUAUUCUUAUGGCAUUGGUUUAUACAUUAUGGAAAACCACAGGAGAAUCCUAAACCGGAGUUUGAUUUCGCAUUUGUGGACGCUGAUAAACCAAACUAUGUUCACGCACUCGAGAGACUAAUGAAGCUAGUGAAGGUAGGUGGAAUAAUAGCUUUUGACAACACAUUGUGGUUUGGUUUUGUGGCUGAGGAAGAGGAAACUGUGCCAGUGCACUUGAGGGUUAACAGAAAAGCCCUCAUGGAGUUGAACAAGCGGCUCGCUUCUGAUCCUCGCAUCGAGAUCUCUCAAGUCUCCAUUGGUGAUGGUGUCACUCUCUGCAGACGCCUUGUGUGAUUCAAGAGAGUCAUCCAAUGUUCUUGGUUUUUACUUAAAUCAAGUUUUAAGUAUUUUUAAUGUUUUCUUGUCUCUUUAAUCAAGUUCUUGUUCAUUUCGUGUGUGUUGGAUUAUGCUAAAGAAUAAAGAUUUGUUCCUUUUUCAUGAAAUGCAUGCCGACCACAAGAAUCUAUAAGCAGAAGUUAACAAGCAUGAGUAAAGAGAUUCUAAGCUUUCAAGAUGAUUGAAGAGAGUCAUUUAUAUAGAUCAAUAUAUCACAUAAACCCAACAUACAAUCGAAUGAUCACACAAAGACUGAAGUAGAGUACAAACAAACAAGGAAACACAGGUACACAACUCUCUCUAUUUCUCCAUAGAAGCCAAUACAAAGCUCUCUAACCUAUACACACCCAAACACAAACUAACUUCCGGAUAAGGGAUGAAAAUGCUAUCCAAAAAUGUCAACAUUUAUCUCCUUCUCUCUCCCUCUAACCAGUUUAACCACCCUUCUCUCUUUACUGGGUUAUAUAGGUGUGAGGAUGGGAUUAUCAUCAUGCUAAGCUAUAUGGUGAUACAAUCAAGCACAUGAGGUAACAAAAAAAAAAACACAAAAGUAAAAGCAAGUGAAAGAAGAAGAUAUGUAGCGCUAAACAAAUUAAUAGCAAGAGCCUAUAAGAUUAUUUUACUUGUUAUAUCUUGAAGCUCAUGCUCACUGUGUACUCUUGGUUCAGCCGCUUCUUCCAGCAGCUCUGCGCAAAUUCAAACGUCAAAUUCAGUUUUGACUAUCAACCACUCUUAACUAUAGAUAUACCUUCCAGCAAGAAUCUGAGCGGUGUUGGAUGAGCUUUUGAUAUUUGAAAACCUUUUGGCUCUGUUGUCUUGAUCUUUCUCCACACGCAUUGCAGCUACUUCUUUCUCCAUUGCAGCUACUUCCCUUCUCAUUUUCUUCGCUUCAACUUCCAUUGCCUUUGUUAAUGUUUCCGCUUUCUUAGCUAGCAUCUACAAAACAUCAAAAUUAUCAUACUUCCUUCCAUUUACAACUAUAAAAGAUUCAUUAUUCUACCUCAAUGGCAUCAUCCUUGUCUUUGAGACUUUGGUCCUUUUCAUGAGAAGCUUUCCUCAAAGAAACUACUUCUUUCUGUAGUAAAUCAUACAAAACACCUGGGACACUGUCCUCACUUGCUGCUGGAGUGUUUUCACUUUGUGUCUUCUCCUCUGACUCUGGUUCCUUAGAUUCAUCAGAAGCCUUGUUGAAAGAAUAGUUCCCAGGUCCAUUUAAGAGUGCUUUGCCCCUGUCCAAGGAUCUUGUACCUCCAUCAAAUGACGUGGAUGUUCCUUUAGAAUUCUUCAACAUAGAAGUUGAGUUAAUAGACAAGGAAUGUCUCAUCUGAGAAGCUGGAGCUUUCUUUGACAAUGCACCGUUUGAUGGAAUUUUUUGCAAGUUUUCAGAUCCACCAAGCGACUGUCUGCGAGAGGGUCCACUACUCAUGGUCCUUGUCUCGGAUGUGUUCCUAAUGCUGCUGCUUGAAGUUCCUUUAAGUGUCUCCUCAAGCACUUUAAGCCGCAGUUGAAACUUUUCCUGCACAAACAAAUAUUUUACUUCUUGUCUUGUGUAACAAGAACAAGACAGAGAAGCUGACUAAUGAAUAAGAUCCUUUUUUUAAUUAUCAGGGCCUAAGCCCGUAAUCCCCGAGGCCUGAAACCACAUCAUCAUGUAAUAUUAGUUUCGUCCCACUCGAACUGGGGACCUCUGACACAAUGGUCAAGGUCAUUUCCAGUUAAGCUAAUGACCUCUAGUACGUAAGAUCCAUUACCUUUAACUGUGCUUCGGAUUUAGCAGCUCGGUCUGUUAUGGCAAGCUUAUCGCGAAGUUGCUGCAUUUCUCCCUGCAAAGAGUAAAUAAUCAAGAGUUGAGAAUGUCGAUAUUGUUCUCACUGUUGCAUCCUAAAAUUCUAGGAGAGGGGACAUCAUAUCUAAAUUUAAACCUGUAGAAACCUUCUUUCUUCAAGCCAUUGCUUCACAGGCAUCACUUUAUCAUUACCAUCUUUCCACUCAUUUGCUACCACCGUUGCAAUUCUGUUUGCUGUAACUUUUGCACGUGCAAGCUCCCUGUCAAGAGUUUUCCUCUCUUCCUGAAAGACAAACAAGAAUUGAAUUUAUGUGACAAGAAAAAACUAAAGACUUUAUGACUUUUUAUGACAGUCUGGUGAAAGGUGGUUAGUUUACAUUCAUCUCUUGGAACUUUCGCUGGUAAUCCCUCACGGAAUUUGCAGCUGCUCCACCUGCAAGAACAGCCUCUUCAAGCUCUUUUACUGUCUGAGUGAGCUUUUCCACAUCAGCAACCUUCUGCCUAUGCAUUUUGUCUAAAAUCUUGUUUUCUUCCUGAACAUAAGAUAGAUAUUCAAUCAGAUUGUUGGUAGAUGACUGACUAGUGACAUGUGAUGGGUAGAUCUCAUCUCUAGUGUGUUUAAAGUAGAUGCAAAGAAUAAGAUGGUAACUAGAGAGAACCUGACAGAUUUCUAUUUGUUUCAUUAACUCCUGGUUCUUGUUUUGAAGAUCAUCAACCAUGGCUGCUUUUGCAAGGGCACCUUCAAUGGUCCUCUCAGCAUCAAGUAAGGCAGCUUCCUUUGAUUUAGUCAGACGAUCCAAAGCCCUGUUAUCUUCUUGAAGUUUCCCAAUCUAUGCAGUACCAAGCAGUUCACGAGUGACUUGAUUAAUUUUCAAUAAGAAAGGAAGCAAUUGUAGAAAAUACCUCAGAUCGUGCAAGCUUAAGUUCAGCUUCUAAUGGAGCAAGGAUGGCUUCAAUUGGAGGCAUGUCAUCGUCCUUUUGUGCAGCAUGGACCCGUCUUAAGGUGGCUUCAGCAGCAAACUGAGCAGCCAUUGAGGCUUUCUUCUCCUCAUUGAUUUUCUUGAUUUCUAGAUUCUGCAGUACAAUUGAUAUCAUAUUUGUAUUAGAAUAAAAACAUUUUUUUUCUUUUUUUAAGAAUAAAAACAUAACCAAGCUAAGGAGGGAUUAUGAGCAAUACUUUGCUUUGGAGGAUUGAUUCUGUCAACUUGAGCUUCUCAUCCAACUUAGCUAGCUCCUCAGUAAGCUAAAUAGUAAAAAAAAAAUAGAGGAAAAAGUCAAUCCAGUAAAAGCAUGACAAACUCACUUUAGACAAAGAAAGAGAAUGUAUCCUGUCUGCAAAUUUAUUUGACAUUUUAAAACAUAAAAGUCAAGAACAGACACAUGAUGUCAUGAUUGAUUAUAAUACUAGUAAGUAGUACCUAGUACCCCCACUUGGGAUAAAUGCACCUGAACCAUGCCAUGAUAAAUGAAUUUUUCAACUAACAAACAAAACAUAGACUAUGUGGUGAAAGGAAGAAAAUAAAAGUGACCACACUCAGAUGUGUAACUUAGCAACAACCAUCAUUGAUUAGCUGAACUGAAACAAAUUGAGAAAAGAUGGGGACUUCUCUUAAUAUUUGCUAUAUGUGAAAUUGAAAAAGAAAAACUUUUAGAAUUUCAAACGAAGACAAGACAAAGACAAAAAAUAGAAAAUCAGACAAGAAGAGAAAACCUCUUCAACAGCUUUCUCUCUCUGUCUCUCAGACAACCUUAACGCUUUGAUCUCAGCGUGUGCUUCCCCUAACUCUCGAUCCUUAUCUGCAUUUAUUAAAUCAAAUCAUGCAUCAAAAAUAUCAGAAUCGAAUCGACGGAUCGAGCAAGCAUUUUUUAUUUUUUUCGAACCUCUAACUUCGUUCUCUAGUCGAUUAAGCUCCACCUUCACUGGAUCCGAGCCAUGAAGCUGAGUGAUGAACUCGUUCUCAGCCGCUCCGUCGUCUAAGCUCAGUUUAAUUGGCCUACGCUUGGAAAAGCUUUUUCCUCCGCCGCUCUCCUUGUAUGACGCCGAAACCUUCAGUGUCGGAUACGACGAAGCCGGUUGCGUGAUCGACGCCGUUGCAUCUCCGUCACCGGAAACAUCAGACAUCUUCGAUCUGAUCCUUUCAAACACGUACGAUCCGAAAUGCUAGAAGAUGAAACACGCCAAAAAAAAAAGAGUAUCAGCUGAAUAAUGCUGAGUUCGAGAGAGAGAGAGAUAGAGAGAGGAAUCCGAAGCUAAAGAGUUACUUGGGAUGCAAACGAUGCUAACUCUUUGAGAGAACUCUUUCGUCUUCUUUGUUUUUUUUAUUUGUUUAAUGAGAGAGAUGAGAAUGUGAAAAUUAGAGACAAGAAAAGAAGUUUAAAUACUGUUACGGUUGUUGUUUCUCUCUCUCUCUCUCUCUUUUGUAAUAGAUUUGACAAGACAGCGAGAGUAUCAAUCAAAUCCAUCAUCUCUUCCUUGAACACUGACUUGGGAACAUGAUUACUUUUCUGAUUAAUCAAUAAACAAAUAAUCGAAUAGUACUAUGUUUCCUAUUUUUUUAUUGCAUAUAUAAUUUGUUUAUUCAGCGAGUUUGUGACGGCAGGUCUGUUUUUACCAUAAAAAGACAAUUUUUAUACAAAAGUGAUUUGUAUACGGAAUAGACAGAAUCUUUGUAGAAAAUAACUGAUGUACUUUCUUUUGUCAUCAGUUGGAGUGUUGGACUAACAAGGAAUAAUCCUUUAACUAACCCUACAACACGAGAAACACGAUUAAUUAGAUGCAGAUUUUCUUGACAUUUAAGACAUUUUCUUUUUAUGUUUCUUCUGUAAGUUAAACCAAAAAUUUAUCAAUCAAAUAGAGUAUCAAUUUUCAUUUUUUUUAUUUUAUUUACUAUAAGAUAGAUUUUAUAAGAGUUUUAUUAUUUUACUGUAGAAAAAGUACAUUAAUUACUCUAGAUUUUACGAGAGUUGUAUGAUUUUAUUAUGAGUUUUCUUUUCUUUCCUCUUUUCACAUUUUUUUUCUCUUCUCACUUUCACCUUUUUAUUUAAUUUCUUUUACUUUUGAAUUUACUAAUUAUACUAUUUUAGUUGAAUUUAUAUUGACAACGGUAUCCAACUUUUUCUUUUAAACUAUUUUAUGCAAAUGUCUAUAGUUUAUUUAGGGGUUUAUGACAGUUUAAUUUCAUAAAUACGUUCCUUUAAGACUACUCAGAUUUUCAUUUUGUUUGGACAUUCUUUUUCCAAAAGAUAAUUUGCAGAAAAUAGAACACCAAUCAAUCUUUAUUGUAUGUAACUUCUAGAUAUUAUAAGCAAUUUAUAUGAUAUAUGGUCAGGUGCACCGAUCUACCUUUUCCUAAUAAAAUAUAGGUAGAUAAUCAAUACUAUGAUUAAAAUAUGUUGACGUGAUCAAUAUUUUGUCUGAUUAAGUGAUUAGCGAUUAUUAGUAAGAGAAAGGUGUGAUUAGUGAAGAUUAGAUGCUUUGCGCGUGGAAAGAGGUAAAUGUUCGAUGUACCAAAUUUUUGUUUCCCUUUUUCCUUUUUCGAGGGACAGUGCUUAUUCUGUUUAUUCUCCUUUCGUUUAUCCAGUAAGGUUAGUUGGGUUCUAUCCCUUCGUAAAACUCAAUGGAACACGAGAAGAAAAUUAUAUGAACUUGUAACUACAAUUUUUACUAACAUUCAUUUAGAAUCAAUUCUUAGAUAUCACCUAAGAAUAUCAGUCAUUUAAGUUCGGAAUAAACAGAUGUAUGAUGUAUCCUCUUUUGCCAGAGACGCAGUAAAUAUGUAACCAGGGCCAGAUAUUUUGAAAGCUAUAGACAGUUCAAGAAAGAUUUCAAUAAUUUGGGAUUCUAAUUAUUUAUUUUACAAAUUUGAAGAUCUAUUUAUAUAUAAUCUUUUCAAAAAAUUUGUGGACUUGAGACGAAUGUUUCAUCUAGCUAGUUUGGUCCAGUACUGGCCAUGUAUGUAACAAAAGCAAAUGAGAGCGCUAGCUUCGUGUCUUGUAGGUUUAUAGAUUUUUUUUAUACAUCAAAAUAAAGAUAAAAAUGAAAAGAAAAUUAUUGUUCAAACCCUUUAAUUCUAUAUAAGUUUUCAAAGAUCUCGAAAUUCUUAAAGCUAUUUUAGUGUAAUGGUUAAGGUUAUGUAGGUGAGUUAUAUGAUACUACAAUGUAAACAAGUAAAUGUUUCUAUAAAGUUAUGAAGAUUUCCUAUAAGUUAACAAUUUCAAAACUAAGCAGUUGAUACAAUUUGAUAUUCCUGAGUCGGAAAUUCCGAAAUCUUAAAACGGUUUUAUUUAUUUAUUUAACUAGCUAGAGUUUUGUGCUCACAUGCUUGCCUCCACUACAACGAUACUUGUAGAAAAUUAUUAAUUUAUUAUUGCCAAUGUAAAGUAACAAACACAAAGGGCCUGAAUCUCAUUUGAUUUUCUGAAGAUAUUGCUGUAAAUACCAUAGUAACCAUACAUUGGAUCUAGUCUAGUACUCGGGCAUGUUGUAAUUUUAUCUGUUACAUUUACGAUCUGUUAGGGUUGUUUUUUUGGCUACCAAUUCUACUAUAACAUGUGGAUAGAUAACGCUUUGUCUGGAAUAAUCACAUAACGUCAGUCUAGAAAAUCUUAUGAUAGGUGUUUGAGAUGUAAUCGGUCUAGAACCGCGAUGUUACCAAACUUGGUACCACGUUAUUACUUUCUCUAAUAUUCUGUAUUUUCAUCAAAAUUAUCAAGUUUUUAUCACACCUUGAUCUUGUAGUUUCUUACAUGUUUUUUGUAGUUUCUUACUUCAAUAAACAUACAUCUUAUAAUUAACUCUUUGCGAAUUUGCGAUGUAUGCGGUCUAAAAACACAUUAUCAUCAACUUUUAACCGUUACCUAUGUCUUGCUUUAUAGUAAAACUGUAUUGUAAUGUUACCAAGAUCUUUGACGUCACCAAUUAAUUUGAAAGGACAGGGAGGGUACAAUAAAGUAGAAAAAAGGAAAAGAGAAGCAAGGAGGAAAGCUGUGUGCACACAUGUACACUUCUUUGCUAUGUCUUGAAGAAUCAGACAACGCUUGUGGAACGUAGAGACUUUGAUCCUAAUACCACUCCUUAAUGUAUGCCCAUCCUAUCAUUAUUUCACAACGCAUAUUAACUAAUGUCUAAAAGUUAUUUCCUUGAAAUGCUGUAUUAUAAAUAAUAUAGAUGGGUUCUAAUAAUAUAUGCCGGUGAUUUGCUUUCCCUCCAUAUUACAACAAAUUUUAAUAUGCCACAUCCAGGGGAGAAUAUGCAUUUUAUAAAAAUGUAUAGACUAAAAUAAAGAAAAUUUUAAGCAAAAACAUAAAAAUUUCAAAAAGCACAAUACUCAAUAAAUUGGAUUAAAAAUUUUACUAUCAUAUUUUUUACAUACAAGAAAUUCUAACAAGUUCUAAUAAUACUCUAACCAAAAUCAAAAGGUACAAUAACACAAGUAAUAAAAACUUAUGAUCAAAAGCAGGGAAAAAGAAAUUCAAAUUUAAUGCAAAGUUAACCUCCCAAUAAAUUGGAUUGUCGAAGGAAGUAAUAUUCACUUCAAAACUCGAAUUCUUGUUAGUUCAAAACACCUCUAAUAACACUUGUCUGAAAGUUGCAAUUGUAUUCAGAUUUAAAUAUCUAAACCCUAAUCUUAUUUAUUCUAGUGCCAACCCAAAUUUUAAGCAUACCCUAAACACUAUUUGUAAAAUAAUUUUGACUCUAUACAAUCAUUUUCACUAAACAAAUGUAACAUAUCAUACUAUAACGAUGACAUGAUUUAUAGAUAAAUGUGACAUGAACAUUAAUAAAAUGAAGUGUUAUAAAAAAAAACUCUAAAUCCAAUGGACAUGCAUAAAUCAAAGCAUACCGCUAACCAGUGCAAAACAUUGGAUUACACCUUAAGCCUAUGAAUCAGAGCNNNNNNNNNNNNNNNNNNNNNNNNNNNNNNNNNNNNNNNNNNNNNNNNNNNNNNNNNNNNNNNNNNNNNNNNNGUUCAAUUUAUCCCGGUUUAUAUUUUUCUUAUUGAUCCCGGUUUAGAAGCUUACUCCAAACCCGGUUAAUAGUUAAAUUUAAAAUCCAUAAUCCGUUUAGGUUUAACUUAGUCGGUCAACGCAAAUCCACUUUUCCUUCGCGUACGACUUCUCUUAACUGAAUCGGACGGCGGUGUGACGACGUCGUAGAAUCAAUGAGCCUCUCCGCCGCCGUCAAAGCCAAGAACUCUACUCUCAUCUCUUUGAUGCGACUAUCCUCCUUUUCUUCCGCCACUUCAUCAACAGUCUCCUUGAAACCAGUACACACCUCUCUCUCUCUCUCUCUCUCUAUGCAUACGACUUGAUCCCUUUCCAUUAGAAUCAUUAUGAUUUUGUUUACUAGAGCGGGCGGUUACAGCAAACUCUCGCGGCGUCUGUGGAAGUGAACGGUAAGGCUCUGCAUUCCGGUAAGCUCUCGACGGUGAAGCUACUUCCGGCGAUCGCGGGAGCUGGGAGGUACUUCGAGUUUCGUUCGAGAUCAAUCCCGGCGUCGAUUGAGUUUGCGCAGGAGUCGCCUCUCUGCACAACGCUGUUGAAAGACGGUCUCAGGAUCCGAACCGUCGAGCACUUGUUAUCAGCACUUGAGGCUAAGGGCGUUGAUAACUGUAGAAUUCAAAUCGAGAGCGAGAGUCCAGAUGAUCGGGAAGUCGAGGUUUGUUUAUAGGCAUGGGGCAUUUUGUAACUGAAUCCUAACUACCAUACCCGAUCCAAACCGUAAAACUAUCCGAUAACCCGAAUAUCUGAAUUACUAAUCCAGUGUUGUAAAAAUAGGUCGUCCGCCUGGUCAGCAAAUCGGACCUAAACUAAAUAACGUUUCUAAAAUUAAAAAAAAAAGUUGGUCUAGGCGUUCAAAAAUUGGCCUGUGUCUGGCUAAUCAAUAAUCUCUUAUAAAACGUCUAACUACCUUCAGAUUUUUUUAUUGUAAAUAAGUAUUUGAAACAUAAAUAAGUACAUGUAACGAAAUGAGUUCCGACCCAAAAUAGAUCUUAGAAAGAGUUAUAAAAUCUAACCGAACCCGAUCCGAACAUAUAUAGAAUCAACAUGUGGCCUAGGAAUCCGAAAACCCGAUCCGAAGCUAUAUCUGAACUCACAUAACCAAUGGCAAAUGGUGUGUAGCUUUUCUAGUGAAAAUUUUGUUUCAGAGCAUUGGUUAGUUGGUGAUGUGAUGAAUGCAUGCAAUACUAAUCAAGUGACAGGUCCCUAUUUGUGAUGGAUCAGCUAAAGAAUGGGUCGAUGCGAUCGAAGAAGCUGGCAUAAACGUAGCUCAAAACCAUGGUGGGGAAAAUGUGGAGAAGAUGGUAGCACAUGUGAACAAGCCUGUCUACGUUUGCAAGAACGAUUCUUUUGUAGCUGUGUUCCCUGAUUUAGAGACUCGCAUUACUUGUGGUAUCGACUUCCCACAGGUUCAGUCUUUAUUCCACAAACUUAUUUCCUGCUUGUGCAUAGAUGGGUAUUGACUCUGGUCCUGUGGUUGAUGAUGAUGAAACCCCUACAGGUGCCUGCCAUAGGCUGCCAGUGGUUUUCUUGGAAGCCUGAACAUGACUCUUCCUUUGCAAGAGAUAUCGCACCGUCGAGAACGUUUUGUGUCUAUGAAGAGGUUAGUCCCGUCGUUGUUGUUUACUAGUUUAUGAGCUUUAGCAGGUGUAACUGGUGUUUCUUUCUUUAAAUGUCUGUGUCUUGAGUGUUGCUUUUGUAGGUGGAGAGAAUGCGUGAAGCAGGGCUUGUUAAAGGAGGUUCUCUGGAUAAUGCAAUCGUUUGUAGGUAAAGAAACUUGCAUGUUCAAGGCUCUGGACGAUAUUAUGGUAGUGAGACAAAAAAAUAUUCAGCUGAAAUCGUCUCUGAUGCAGCGCCGAGCAUGGAUGGAUGAACCCUCCCCUGCGGUUUGAUAACGAAGCAUGUCGACAUAAGAUCUUGGACCUUAUCGGUGAUCUGUCUCUUGUAGCACGAGGCGGAAAUGGAGGAUUCCCUGUGGCUCACAUAGUAGCAUUUAAGGCAAGUGCUAUUUUAUAUCAUCUUCUAGUUUUCUUGACAUCAAAAGAGAGAACAGUUUUCUGAUAAAACGGGUUUGUGUCUUUAUCAAAUGCAGGCGGGUCAUGCACUGCACACUGAGUUGGCACGUCAUCUUACCAUCGACUGAGAAGAGUAUGCUCGUUGCCUACCACAUUCCGCAGAAGAUUUUGAUCCUCUUUUUGUUUUGUUUCUUUACCCAAAGACACUACCAAUAAGUGAAUUUUUGGUUUUGCCCAAAUCGAGUUUUAUUACUUAAGGUUUGGAUGAUUUAGUUUUGGAUGAUUAGAAUAUUACUGAUAUUAGAAUAUUCAGAUGAUUAGAGUUCAAGAAUGGAUGUCCGUCUCAUCUUGUUGUACUAGUGUUCCUGUCUUUGUGUUGAUAUUUUUUUCUGCUCUCAUUAUGUCUCGGUUGCAUCCUUGAUCUUCUUAGGAUAGGAGUUUGAAUGCAGAAAGAAACUGAUCUGAUAACUUCUCUUUUAUGUGACUGGUUUCUAUUACUGGAAAAAGUGUUCUGUUGAUCUGAUCAUGCUGUCAAGACAAGUUGAUUGUUAUCUUGUUGUUCAGAAACCGUCUGAACAUAUUAGUGUCAUUAUAAAUUGCCUGCCUGAUCUUAGUCAUGUCCGCUUAAUGACUUCUUGAUCGGUAUGUGAAUGAAUAACAAAGCUGUAGAACUUUUGUGAACUCUCUUGUAUAUCCCUUGUUACCUUUGAAGCAAUAUCCGUUAAGAUUGCAUAUGCUUGUUACAGGUAGUUUAAUGGUAUCUCAAUGGACCAAGUUUCAAACUAUUGAGAUACCAUUGGCAAACUUUAAUGCAUGUAAAUUUGGAGGUAAGCAAAGAUAUAGAAUUAACCAAACAAAACCAAAACAGUAUCCAAAUAAAAACUGAAAUGCAUGUGAAUUUGUCAUUUUUAUUGAUAGAAAUAAUGGGAAGAUGACAAGGAACGUUUUGCAUUGGCAAACUUUAUAACAGAGACACUAUUCGUACACAGAUGAUUAUCUAUGAUUCAUGAAAGCUCUAAGUCAACUUCUCAGCUUCCUUUUUCUCUACAAGUUUAAUGAAAUUGCGGACAAUUGUCUUGCCUUCAGUUGUUAUGAUACUCUCUGGGUGAAACUGAACUCCCUGUGAACCAAUUUUAACAAGACUUUAAGACUUCUGUCAUUCAAUGGAGGCAAGAAGAAACAUACAUGAAAUCACUUGAGUGAGAUAUUUUUAGACCUGUAUAUGCUUGUGCUUCCUGUGUCGAGCCGCCAUAACCAAACCAUCUUCUGUCCACGCAGUAACCUCGAGUUCAUCACUGGGAAAUGUAUCCUUUUCGAUCACGAGGCUGUGAUAUCUACCUACAAGGAAAGGACUGAAAAAGGCAGACCAAUCUCAGGCUUGGUUUUCGCAGAAACAUAUAACAAAACUCAUUGAAUGAACCUGUUCAUACUUACUUAGAUAAUCCAGAGAAUAAACCUUCUUCUCCUUUCUCAUCAUAGUGAACCAUGGAGCUUUUCCCAUGCAUUACACCAUACGGUGACCUUACAAUCUUUCCUAUAAACCAAAAAGUUCAUACAAAAGUGCAUUCAGAGUUGAGGAUCCAUUUUACACAAACGUAUGAGAAACCAUGUUAAAUGCAAACUAACCUCCAAAAGCUUCUCCUAUACACUGCAAACCCAUACAUACUCCAAACAAAGGAACACGUGGUCCAAGUUCCACAACAGUCUGCAAGGAGAUCCCAGAGUCUUGUGGUGUACCUGGGAUCAAUAGCAAGAAAGUUGUUUACCUUCCUUUUUCUUCACUAAAAAGAAUCUUACAAGAUACAUGACGCAGUCGGAGGGCUAAUAUAAUUUACCAGGCCCAGGAGAAAUCAGCACCCCUCUUGGAUUUUUACUGCAAAAAAAAAAAAAAGGAGAGAACAUAGUAAAGGAAUCAAAACCCCUUGAACUAACAGCCAGAAAGAGAUUGCAUAUUGGUUUCUUCUUCCUCACCUUUUCAGCUCCUCCACAGUAAGUUCAUCGUUGCGGUAAACUUCAAAAUGGCAUCCUAGCUCUCCCAUAUACUAAUGAAGAAAAGAUAAGUAAGCAAAUAUCAAGACAAGAUUUAGACAAAUUUCAGUAAGGAGGAGCUUGUAUAUUAGGGACCUAUACGUUACGUGGACCUAUCCAGAGCAGUCAAAAAUUUAAUGAGACAAUUGAGUUAUGACAACUACGAAUAACCCAAUCUGAAGCUCAAAGAAGUGAUGUAUUCAGCUUCUGCUAGAUCAAGAACAAGGGAGGUUUCUACUUACAAACAAAAAAACACUACUCCAGAGAACUGGAGGCUUUGGACAGUAAGCUAUACAACGGCUGACCACACAUAACAAAGAGAGAACAUCGCAUGUUUGAACACACUCAUAUAAAGUUAAGAGCUUGAAACUAGCCAAGAUCAUAUUCUUGCAAAAAAAACAAAACUUUUCUAAAAUUCUCCAAUUACUCAAUUCAUUUUAUCAGAUAAUGAUAAAGAGCAGAUUUUGACAUUAGUUACGAAAGUCAAACCUGACAGAGAUUGUAAGUGAAGCUGUCGUAAUUAUCGAUCACGAUGAUGGGACCCUUUUGCUUACUCGAGGAGUUGACAACAACAGCGGCAGGUGUCGAGUUCGAAUGCGCCAUUUCAAUCGAAGCUUUCGUAACGACAUGUCCACGACUCUUCCCCGAAAACGAAACUCCUAAUCACAGAUAUAACGAAAAAAAAUCAAAGACCAAUCAUAAAUCUAAACAGAGAUUGAGCGAGACUUACUGGUCGGAUUCGGACAGGGCUUGAGGAGAGAAGAAGGGUUUAGGCGAGUGGUGGAGCCGGACUUGGGUUGGAGAAGAGAAGAAGAGUUGUUCAAUGUAGUAGCCGCCAUUGUCGGAAAACUAAAGAUGGUUCCUUUUCUCUGGAGAGAGAGAGAGAGAGGAGUUUUUAUACAGAAGGAGCUGUGCAAGAGAAUUGGGAAAUGACAGGUGAAACGAUGCGUUUAUUGAAACAUGGACCACGUGUUUAGUUAGUAGGUGAGUCAUUUGUUUUUUUAUUUCUUUGGGUCAAACAAAGUCUAAAAGAAUGGGUCGAUUCGCAGUGGAUUAUAUUUAUGGACAAGCAGCAGCCCAAAUCUAAUGUUCUUGUAAAUAUAUUAGAUUAGAUAUCCGAUUUUUUUUUUCCUAAAAGCAUUUCAUCUCUAAUAGUAUAAAGGGUUAAUUCGUAGGAUAAACCAAUUAUAUAAAAAGAAUUAACAAAUCAAAUAACCAGCUCUUGAGAAAUAUGUCAAUUUGUGACACAAAUAGAUAACAUUUUUUUUGGCGCGUGUGCAUGUAUAUAAUACAAUACACAUAACAACGAAAUACCAUUCUAUUUAUGAAAUUGAUAUAGAACAAACUGUUUAAACAAAAAUGUAGCUACAAAAGAACUGAUUGCCUUUAGUGAUAGUACAUGAGAGUGAAAAGUAAGGAGGAGUACCAUCCAGAUGCUGGAAAGGAAGAAGCUGUGGUUGCUCUUAAGAUUGUAAAAAAGGCGUGAAUGAGGAAGUGGAGGAAGAAAAAGGUAUAAUAUUAGUGGAGAGACCAGAGUUCCAGUCUUCCACACAAUCAUAACUAUAAAUGGGAAGGUUUCGAAGACGACUAUUGUUUCACAUGUAAGGAUAUCAAAGAAACUGAUCAACAUAGAAUGUAUAACGUGGAUCCGAGUUCUUUGCCUCUUAUAAGUUAUGGACGAGCCAGUUUACUUCUCUCACAAGUUACCAAAUUUAAUUACCUUUUCUAAUUGCAACUUGAUCAGAUUCAUUUUUUGUUCCUUGGUUUUCUUCUGUUUUUGUUCUCAAUUUUUUUGGUUGAAUAUGUGGAUCGAUGAUAAUCAACGUCAGAUAUAUCUCAAAAAAAUUCAGAACUUUUAGUAUAGAUUUAUUUUUCCAUUUCAUUUAAGCAUAUUUGAGAAUAUAUCCUUGUCAAAUAUGGAUGUUAAUGUCGUCUGUGGAUUGUACCAAAUAAACAUUUAAACAUUAUUAAUAUCCGUUGCUUUAGAAGUUAAAAUAUAUCAGUAACUGAAACAUAUAUGUUGUAGAUAGCAUACACCACAUGUUUUUAUGCCAAGGUUUAGAGUAUAAGAAGAUGCUAUCUUAUAUUAUUGUUUUGACGUUAGAUAACAUUUUUAAUUAUUAUUUUUGUAUUUGUGUUAUAUUACUAAACUUACCUGGCAGAUUAUUUAUAUGAAUGAAUCAAAUUGUCUUUUAGAGUUUUGGUUAUAGAAAGGUAAUCAUUUUUAUUUGACUUGUUUGAUAUGAAAUGUUCGUAAAUUUGUAAUGAAAGCAAUAACGUAGAUGACAAAUCGCUAUCGAUCAUAAAAAUGGUAUGGCCAGAGCAAAGACUUUAAUGGAUCAUAAAUAUUGGAACUAGUACUUUCUUACAAAUAAUUAUUAAUUAUAUACCCCAACCAAAAGCCUAAUUUGCGUCUCUUGCUUGAUUAUAUAGGGAACAAAAUGAAGAGAAAUCAUAGCACAUCUCCAAACAUGUCGUGGGAGUUUGUUCUAUUCACACCAGAUUUGGUCGUGUCUUAUCGUAAAGUUGCCUAAAUGAAGACAGAUUGAUAUAAGCUGUAAAAAUCAAGGCAGUUAUAAGCAAGUAUCAUGUAGUCUUUUUUAGUUUGCAAAAAAGGAACUCUGCUAAACCUUCUAAAGCCUAAUAGCCUAUCACUAGAAGUUUUCUUUCUAAAAGGCUUUAUGCUUUAAUCAUCUUCCCCAAAUGAAGUACCAUUUGUAACAAUCAGUUUACGCUCAGAGAAUCUAUCAUUAGCGUCGAUCCUCAGAAUUUGACAAUUUGAAGGCUGAAAGCAAAAAAAAAAAGAAAGAAAGAAGAAAAUCAAUAAAACUAAAAUUAUGAGAUUUUCGUGAACAUAAAAAAUGUUUAUGGUAAUAGGGGUGAAACUCGAAUUGCAAACAUUUCCUUCAGGUACAAAGGUUUUACCACUACAUCACACUAGACUACAGGAAGGUUUGAUUAAUUUGGAUUGAACGUUAAUCUUAAGCUUCCUUUGUAUGGGUUGAGGUAAAGCAUGUCAAAAUAUAUAUCUAAAUUGUUUUUAGAAUAAUUAUAUUUAAAAUUAAAACUAACCUUUUGAUUAUUCUUUUCCAUUUGUAAUUAGUAAUUAGUAUGCUGUCAAAAAAUAUAGUAAUUAGUCAUAUAGGUCGAAUGAUUUUCUACUCUCUAGAGUUAUCUCUUAAUAUAACAUUCGAACUCUAAUAAACUUUGCAGAUGCUUAGUAGAAUUCAAACCUACUUGUAGAAAUUGCUUACAAAGACCAAAUGAUACAACGCUCACUACUUAAAUCUUCAUGAGCAAGUUCAUACAAAAAAUGAAUGUUGAGACAUUGUAACAACUUAAAAGCCUAGACAAUUAAUCGAGGAGAAGAUGACUGUGUCACCACUUCUAUACAGUCUCUGUUGGCUUCUAGCUAAAGACGAUGUAAGUCAUAAUGCAGAAGUCAACAACUUUAAAGCAGAAAAGCAAGUGUGUUACCUCUUGAAGAGAUGCAAUAAUAGUUCACUCCUGGUUCCUCAAGCUCAGUUUGUUCUGCUCUUCUCCAAUGUCAAUGAGCAGCGUUCUCGAAACCUGCACUCACUCCGUCUGGAUCGGAUGGUAUAACAGUAUGAUGUACGCAGCCUAAAUUUUCACAGUAGUCCAUGUAUAGACACUGCUAUGAAGUCAAUGACGACAUUUAUGCCAUUAAUCCACUGACAAACUUUGCUAACAUAUGAUAUGAAUAUAUAUGUUAUCAUGGAAAAAAACACUAAUUGUUUGUACUAUCUCAGAAGAACUAAAUUAGCCAUGUGGUGUAUAUGCUAUUUCUUUUAUCAUGGUACCAAAAUCUUUGAUUGGAAACAAUUUACAGGCACAUCUUGAAUUCGUCAAGGGUCUUAGAUCCGAUAAAGCCAUUUGGAAAAUAUGCAACACACGCUGAUCAACUGAACAAAGAGUAUACUAGAGACAGAUUGAAGAAACAUUAUCUCAACAAAGAGACGAUUCAAUAGUAAAUCUUUUAACGAAAGGAAUAAAACGAAACAUGAUCUUAAUAAUUUAUAUAAAGCAAUAACAAUAAUCUCGUUUCGAAACAUUAAACAAAUAAAAUGAAAGGGAAGAGAAUUACAAGAAAUUUCAAAAUAAUCGAUUUGGAUCCGUGUUUCAUAUGGACCCGGUCUUUGUACACUUUUUACAUGAUUGGCUCUUUCGUGAUGCUUCAAAAUCUGUCCAAAGAUCUUCACUGGGUCUACUAUACUAUAUGAUAUGUUCGUAUAAUGGCACCAAAUUGUAUGGAUUUCGAUUUACGUUCCUCACCCACACAGAAACAUGAGUUGAUUAUGUGCACACGACAAACGUAAUAAUAAGUAAUUAUUCGUCCAACUUCCAGAACAAAAAUUCUUAAGUCGUCCCUUUAUUUACGUACCUGCUGGCUGCAACAUUAUAAAAUUUGUAUUGGGCACCAUUAAUACAUUUUAUUCGUAUACUAUUGUUGCUCCUUAUUUCUAAUAGAAGAUUCCUAACAUAACUUUCGAUCUAGAGUACCUUUUUCUCAUUCAUAUCGAAAUAAAUCAAUUUUUUUUCAUAUUUUUGGAUCGAUUGUAUCUACCUGUAUGGACCUAGCUAGUUAACUCUUAUACCAUAUUAAAAAUCAUAAACUUCCAACUGAAAACGUUUUUUUUUUUUUGAAAAGGCCAACUGAAAAAAACGUAUUGAUAAUAGGUGAAAUGAUAUUAUCUCUUUGACGUUAGUGGUCUCGCUCCUCACAAAUACGGAUUCAGACAUGAAAGGGGCAUGAAUUGUCGAGAAUAAAAAAUAUAUAUAUCCAAAUUCCCACGAGUCCUUAACUAAUAAUUUUCUUGAUAAUGCAACUUGAAAACUAAAGAGUAAUUUUUUUUUUGUAAAUUAACUAAAGAGUAAUUUGUGGAGAAGAAGAUUAUGUAAUAUGAAAUAUAAUAAUGAUUUAGAUUUGUUUUGUUGUUAAAAUGGGAUGUUAUUUUGUUUCUUUUCCAAAUAUCUACGUGGGCUCUAGUCUCAAUCCCGUUUCCUUUAGACCAUCUCUAAUGACUUACUUUAUUUUUUACUCUAAAACAAAGUAAUUCUAUAAUAGAAUUUGAGUUUACUUCAAUGGUACUCUAUUAUAGAAUAGAAAAUAAAGUGAUGAACAAAAAAAAAACAAGUUACUCUAUAUAUAGAUUAAACCUAUUUUUUACUCUAUUAUAGAGUGAAAAAUAGAGUACUAUUAGAGCAUUUUUACUCUAAACUCUAUUUUAGAGUGAAAAAUAGAGUGGUGUUGGAGAUGUCAUUAAGUCACAUGUAUGUGUGUAUGUAUGCAUUUACAUAAUCAGUGAGAAAGAAAGAAGAUAAUGAAUGUAUGUAAAGAAGAAGAUUAAAACAAUCAAAGACCAUACAAUGGCUUCUCCAGGUAAGGUGGUAGGUCAAUGAAACAAUUAACAAAAGAAAAAGAAACCUUUUUCAGGAAAAUAAGAUAGAGUAAAAGGGGUAAAAAAAUAAACUUUUAGGCCUCGGAAAAGAGAGCUGAAACAAAAGUUGAUUUCAGAAAGCAAAAACCUUUGUUUCUCCCUCUUAACUCAUCUAUCUUUCUUCUAUUAGAUAAAGCUGAGACAGCACUAUCCACCAAAUAAAAGAUGAAAAAGAGAAACAAUCUCUAAUCUCUUCACAUGAAAAAAACAAAAGAUUCUUUGAUUUUCUUUUCUUUUUCAGUAGUCACAAAGUAAUCGGUACGCUUCUGCUAAUACCACCAUCGUUAAGAGAAAAUAAAAUAAAAGGAGAUUAUUAUAAACCUCAACCGAUGAUAGAUUACGAGAAAAACAACAACCAUCAGAACUUUCCCCCUUCAUCUUCUCCCGAUCUUCUUCUUGCCAUCAAUGGAGCCGCCGUGAUUAAUAAGAGGAAACGAAGACCAGCAGGGACACCAGGUUUUUUAUAAUAAUUUAUAUUUAUUUUCUUGAAAAUAUGUAUUGUCUACUAGUAUUAGGUUUUCAAUAAUUCAGGUAAAGUUUUAACUAUUGAGAUUUGGAUUUUGAUAACUUCCAAAAACAAUUCUUGAUAUUCCAAAUGAUUUAUAGAUGAUAAUAUUGUGGGUUGGCUUUCUUGAUACUCAGCUAAAGAUUUUUAUUUUUUUGUGUAUCAAUAUAAUCAUUUAUAGUCCUGUGUAUCGGUGCCAACAGAUCCAGAUGCUGAUGUUGUAUCUUUAUCCCCAAGAACCCUGCUAGAGUCAGAUCGGUACGUGUGUGAGAUCUGCAACCAAGGCUUUCAGAGGGAUCAGAACCUCCAGAUGCAUAGAAGAAGGCAUAAAGUACCAUGGAAGCUUCUGAAGAGAGAGAAGAAAGAUGAGGAGGUGAGAAAGAGAGUCUACGUGUGUCCUGAGCCAACUUGUCUGCACCACGACCCAUGCCACGCCCUCGGAGAUCUGGUUGGAAUCAAAAAGCACUUCCGCAGGAAACACAGCGUCCUCAAGCAAUGGGUUUGCGAGAGAUGCUCAAAAGGCUACGCUGUUCAAUCUGACUACAAAGCCCAUCUCAAAACCUGCGGUUCACGCGGUCAUUCAUGCGACUGCGGCCGCGUUUUCUCCAGGUUCAUCAUUUCUUAUUGUACUCUCAUCUAAAAAAAUUAAGUUCUGCGGAAAACCCUAAUUAAUGUGCUGAUGAUUGAAUUUCUUGGUUUUUCGAAGUUUUUUUCUUGAUAAUUAAUUUAUACAAUUUUUUACUGUUUAGAAAAAGUAUGUAAUAGGAAUUUUGGAAUCCUUGAACUAAACGAAAGAAUGUUUUUUUAGAAUGGUGUGUAUCUAUUAUCUAUAAUGCAUAAAGAUUUGUUAUUUUUCUUUUGAAUGUGGAUAUAUUCUUGACAUAACCUACCAAUAGAAGGUCAGUAUGUGAGUGUUGUCAGAUAUGAUUAUUUUAAAUAAUUAAAUUAAUCAGAUAGUAGUAUGUUUUAAUAUGUCAUCUCAUCACAUUGACAACAUUACAGAUUUCCUUUACCCACACUUUGUUGCAUUAAUUUAUUACACAAACUAAAAAGUCUUAUAAUCACAUUAUAUAUCCCUUUCCAAAGAUACCUAAGUCCACAACUAAGUUUUGUUUUAUAUAUAUUAUUGUCUUUGAUUACGUACGUACUCCACCAAGCAUUUUUUUCCCUAAUGUUUUAAACCCUAUUUCCAUCCACUAUUAUCAUUCAAGUUUAGACUUUAGACCGUAUAUAUAUGUACACCCUAAUUUUCAGUUUGUUUUGGUUAUCAACUAAACAAAUAUGUGUGCAAUAGUAACUCUUUUCUUUCCUGGUUUUUUUUUCAGGGUUGAAAGUUUCAUAGAGCACCAAGAUACUUGCACCAUCCGGGGACCUCAACCCACCAACCACCGUCCUCUACAUCAGAACACAGAGGGCCAUGCAACUCCAUCAAGAACCUUUUUAACCCCAAGCAUUAACCCUUUAUUGCAUGGAGUUCCUUUCUUAAGAUCACCACAAGCGUCCCAUCAACAGUCUCUAGCUUUCGCUUCAUCAGCUCCUUUCGAGAACCUCCAGCUUCAACUAUCCAUAGGAAUGACGAAAACACAAGUGAAAAGAAACGAAAAGGGUGAGUCAAGUUUAACAAUGGAGAGAGCAAUUGAGGAAGCGAGGAGGGCGGAGAAAAUGAGACAAGAAGCGAGGAGGCAGAUUGAGAUGGCACAAGUGGAUUUUGAGAAGGCGAAGAAUAUAAGGAAAGAAGCGAAGGCCGAGCUGGAGAAGGCUCAUGUUGUUAGAGAAGAAGCAAUAAAGAGGAUUAAUGCAACAAUGUUGGAGAUCACUUGCCAUUCUUGCAAGGAUCUGUUCCAGCUCCCCGUUAUGGCUGAUGAGAGUACGUCGUCUCUUGUUACGUGUUAUGUUUCCUCGGCGACAACGGAAGGGGAAGCCGAGUGAUUCAAUACUUCUUCAUAAACUCACACAAGGGCAAAAGACAACAUUAAUAGUUUUUAAUGAAAUGAUGGUAUUAGUGGUUACCAUAUUGUGGAUCAAUUUUUUAUUCUAUGCAUCGUUUGUGUCCACUGAAAAUUCCGAGAAGGGUUUGGAACAUCGGUUAAAGUUUUUCCGGUUAUUAUAAAUUUCAUUGUUAUGGAUAUUUGUUCCUUGUUUUAUAUUUUUUUUUGUUUUGUUUUAUAUAUUUGGUUUUGGCUACGUUGAUAUUAAUAAAUGUCUCUAACAAAAAGUUGGUCGUAAUGGUGUGGUGUUUUGUUGAUUGGUUGGUGUAAGUUGUAACUUUUCUUUAUGGAAGCUAUCGUAUCGUAGGAGUAAUAAUGUUUUAGAAAAUGCUAGUAUUAUUCACUUUAUAAACUAAGGGACCAUUCUAGAGAACAAAAAUGAAUGGAGCAUUGAUUGAGGGAAGCAGAGUAGUAAUUUGCAUUAAACUGGAAAGAAAAAUUUGAUGGAGUUCAAAGUUUUGUGCAUUAUCUGGUGGAAAUGAUUGAUGUACACCUAAUAAAAUAUGAUUACGAGUCGCCUCUUUUCUCUUUCCCAUCUUUACAUUCUCGUAGUUGUAGCUUAGUCUCAAUCUGACUUAACAAGAAAUCAUUUUCACUCUCAUAAAGACCGAAUCUUAUAAGAUGCCAUUUGAUAAAAGGAUAUGUUUUAAACAUUUCAUCAACAAAAAUAUAUUGUCUUUUACACUAGCUAUAAGAGGCAAAUCUAUUUAGAAAAUUCAAAAAUACAUGUAUUAAGAAACGUGGAGCAAACCUGUCCGUCGAGAAAAAAAACUUAGUUACUAAUGAUCCUUUAGUUUAUAAAGAGGAUAAACCAUUGGGGUAAAAUGUAUUUGGUUUUACGGAAAAAGAAUUUAUAUGAUUUCACGUCAAUUGACCAUGGGUAAAAAAAAAUUGUUUGCUUUCAUAGAAAGUCAAAAGUUGUUUCAAACAUCUCAGUUACAAUACUAAAUAUUAAGGUCACGGAUAUAUAACCAUGUUUUGGACCCUUAUUUAAAUUUUCAGAGAGAAGGAUUCUUCGCGGACUACAACUAUCUCUCCUUGAAGACUAGUGUAGACAUUUUCAAUAAAUUUGAGAUACCCUAUAUUAACUUUAACAAACAAAACUAUGUACAUAUGUAUGUUAUCUAAGCGAACUGAAAAAGGCAUUCUAUUAUCACCAUCAUAUUUUGAUAUGUUCAUAAUCCUUAACUUUUAAAUGGUUUUUUUUCUCAACUUUCUAAAAAUUUAUUGUAACAAAGGCUGUCUCAUUUGGCUAAACUAACUAAUACAAAAGGAAACCAUGUGCUAUAAAUGGGAAGAACAACAUUAAAAGAUGCUCAUCCAUCAUGAAAAAGCCAAAAUCAGUGUCAACGAGAGAAAAGGAAAGAUGUGCAAUGAUGUAGAGAGAGAGAUGGAGAGGAGAGUAAAUGCAGUGUUUCAGAGCAGAAGUGGUUGUCGUUUGCCUUUUAGAAGAAAAGAAACGACAUGGAUUUCAGUGCCCAAAAAGAUUGAAAAUGGUGGUUAUGAGUCAGUCAGGCUUCAGUCUUUCUCACCUGAUUUUUCCCUCACUUUCAUGAUUUCAUUUCUGCUCUCACUUUUUCACUUUUCUUGCUCCUCCUUUAAUGCCCCACACACCCUCAUCUGACAUCUCAUGUCACUUCUUCAUCUCCACAAAUUUACAAUUUUUGUAUGUUUGUAUUAUUGUCUACGAAAUAUAAAAAGCAAAAUUUUAAGGAUAAAUAUAGGGUAUGGAACUUUGUAUUAAAAGAAUAAAUUCUACAUUUGUUGUUGGGCAGGCAAGUCCGUAAACCGUAAUACAAGGCCCAAUUAUUUGAUAUGUCAAUCCACCAAGAUAACAUACAUCAAAAUGCCAAACUUUGGAACUUUUGUAAACCUUGCAUUUUUGUCAGAUUCAAUAAUGUAACUGAAUAACAGCAAAAUAAGAUUUAAAAUAUUAAGCUUGAUAUUGUAUUAAAGUCGAGAAUACUAGAAUAGGGAAGUCACGAUGAUAAUUUGGUAUUCUACAAACAUCAAAGAAACAAAACUUUGAGAUAAAACAUCCAAGUGCAAAACAAGAACCAAACCGAACAAGCAUAACCCUGGUGAAUAAUACGAUAUUAAGAAACUUAAAAGAGUUGAUCAUCAAAAAUCUUGGCUUUUUUCAAGAGGUUUCAACGUCCGAGAGAUCCAAGCCUUCUCGGUAAAGCUCAAAGUCACUAGGGCUCCAUCUGCAGACUAAGUUGAGUUUGAAAGUAGCCAACUUGAUUCCCAACAGACGCUGCAACAAGUAAUUACAAUAACCAAAGCAUAAGCAGAUUUUUUCAUAAAACAAACACAAGUAUGAAAGGCUUUUGGUAAUAGAGAUUCUUAUUUACCAAAAUGCGAGAAGAUUCUGGCGAAAGAGGCUUUCCUUCUUCACAAACUACAAAGUCGGAGAGUAACUCCACCGUACCUACAUAGCGAAUCAUCAAGAUUACAUUCAAACUAGUAGUGUAUUGACUGAGAGAUGGAAACUAAAAAUGGUGAGACAACAAACCUUUGUUAAGUCGAACAGGCAUACCCUGCUUCCUUAGAAACGGUUCCAUCUCAUGUGUGAACUGUUCUAGAGGUCCUUCCUUCAGCUCAACCUGAUCAAUCCAACAGAGUUGUUCAAUAACUAGCAAGAGAUGCAGAGAUGGCACAACAAGUUCUAAUCAAACAACAAACCGUUUCUACUGCAGUGCUUCCGGUUCUUGAAAAGUCUGAAUCCUCAUAAGCGUUAAAUAAGCUGCCAAUGAAGAAAGCUUUGUCAACAGUUGCAACAACGAGACAUGGAAGGGAUUCAAGAGAAAGAUAGAUACCUUUCGACCUCUUCCUUUGGCAUAUCAGUAACAAGAAGUCCAGCAUCACCACGAAGCAUCUGAAACAACAUUCCACAAACAUAAGUAGCUGACAAUAAAAAGGUCAAGUAAGAGAAGAAGAGUACACAACCUUGGAGACUUUGAAGAUACCAGGACGCAUUUCAUCAGAAGCAGAACGACCUAGAGCAACCUGCAUCACUUUGUUCGAACCGAGGAAGAACCUAAACCCAAUUAAAAAAAAAAACCAAAAUUAUAAAUCAAAGAGUAAAAGACAAAACCAUCUCUUCUUAUGUCUUUGACCAAAAGAAAACUGAACCUUCCGUUGUGUCUAAACUGCUGUCGGAACUCCUUGAACUUGAUGUUUCUCAUGUUCUCAAAAGAGAAAACAUAGACAGAUGAAUACUUCUCAACAGCCUCUCUGAUUCCAUUGACAAUAAUCUCCUUGUGCUCUCUUCCUUUCUUCUUUGUCUUUGACAAAGUGACUGCAAGCAAUACACAACAACAAGUAGAAACCAUUCAUCAAUUGAUUCGGACAUAUAAGCAAAAGGUUUAAGCUUUUAUGCAAAAGGGUUCCUCUAAAAUAUCUUUAUAAACCCUAAACCCUUGACGGCGGCUAUAAAGCUUAGAGCUUUCCAGCUCACUUAACGAAGAUGCAAUAGCUUCAGACAAUAGAGAGAUGAAAGAGUUCUGACCUGGUCUGUCUCUCUUUGAUUUAGGCAUGUCUUAUUGGGUUUCUGAUGGAUGAAGAAGUGAAGAAGCGAGAGAAAGCAAAGGUAACGGCUUUGGCUCCUUUAAGCUUCUUCUUUCACUUUUCUUCACAAAACAAAAACCCUACUUCCCCUUCUCUGCUUUAAUUCGGUUUUGUAAUUCGGAUCCCUAAUUUAACCCGACUUGGAUCCGACUAAGUUGAAUCGAUUGGGCCCAGUUUCAGAUAUAUGGGCCUUUUGUGUUGUCCGUCCAAUACUUAGUCUUGAUAUCCAAUAAAACAUGAUAAUUUGUAACUAAUAUCCGAACCUAAUCUGAUUUGAAAAAAAUUGUAAAAAUAUUAUUUUGUGUGAUAGUUUUUUAGAUUAUGGAUAUUAUAUGAACUCUCGAUCUGAAUCCAAAAAAUUCUGGAAAAGACAUGAAAAAAACAAAUUCAAAUAUUUGAAUUAGUUUGAAACUAUUGUUUGAAACCUAAUAAGCAGCUAAAAUACUCGGUUCAUAUUUAUAUUAUCUAUAAAAAUAUUUGAAUCCGAAAUGAGUUGAACCAAAAUAAAUCCGACGUAAAAUUAUAAAAAUCUGAAUCUAAAAUAUUAUUAUUCAAACACAACCUCAACAUUUUUAAGGCUGAACUCGAAAACAAGAUCCACUGAACGCCCUGACCUAUCUAAAAUCCAAAUAUUUGGAAGUUACAUAUCCAGAUUCAUGAAAACAAAUACUAGCAUUUACUCAAAGAUAAACAGAAGUGCAGAAACAUAACUUAAGCAAAAACGCAUGUAGUAUAAAAGAUCUUUAUUAUUAAUAGACAAAGCCAAAAGGUUUUCAUAACACAAGAGAACAUCAAAUUUACAGACAACAAACAGUAAAGAAAGGGGUUUGAGUAAAACAUCAUCCAUGAAGACAAUGGUCUUCAAGGCCUUCCUACUAAAUUCAGAAGGACACAGAAGUAAAAUAUAAACAACAUAAAUUGCUAUCCAGAAUUGUACAUCAGAAUACAUUCCCUUUAUUUUUUUUUCGAAAAUUAAAACAAAGAAAGCAAAUGGAUAUUAAGAUUUUGUACCUUCUACACAAACCCAACAGAGAUUUUUCCUUUUAAAGAGUAUUUGUAUCAUCUAGAAUGGUCUGAGUUCUGGUUAGCUUCUCUAUCUCUACCUCUCCUACUAGCUGAUCUCCCUAGGAGAACCCUUCUCCGGCUCCUCAUCUGGUUUGCGAAUGAUCUAGCUCCAUCCUCCUCAUCUUCAGAGGAGUCCACAUCGCUCUGAUUGACCGUUAAGUCAUUUGCAUCUGAUGAUAGACCAUGGGAUGUGUCAGAUGCGAGAUCUGAUCCCCCAAAAGCCUGCAGCAGAAGGAAAACGUUCACUAGGUUCCUACCAAUCCCAGCACCGAUCCUGCCUACUUCCUCCCUCUCCUCAUCCUCCUCCUCCUCCGAAUCUGAACCGUACGCACCUCUCUCAAUCACGUAAUCCCCAAACACCGUUGCUCCAGGCAUCGUCGACCUGAUCGUGCUGAUCACAUCGUUACGGUCCUGCUCAACCUCGAACCUCCUCCACUCCUGCUCCACAUCUGGAUCCACCUCACGCGGCUGCGCGCAAGGGUGGUCUUUCUUCAUGUGUUUCCUCAGCUCCUUAAAGGCUCCAGAAAAGGAGCAACCCUCCUGCAUACAGCUCCUCUUCUUCAGAUUCAGAUCGUCUCUCGCAGGCUUCACAACAGUCCACCCUUUCACCUGCCCCCUACAAAGCGGACACUUCAGAUUCUCAACCUCACGCUUACUGUUAACCACUUGCUGAUGCGACGGCGUUAGCUUAGCAGACGCCUUCUUGUACUGAUCUAAGCAAUUGGAGUAACGGAAGCUAGUUCCGCACAUGUAGGGACGGCAACCCUUGUCGUGAGACGAACAGAGGAGAAGCACAGCGUUGUGUGGACACUCCAUACAGACGGAACACACAGCGUCCGCCCAAUCAUUCUCCUCCAUUGCCUUGGGACAUGUGUUUGCGAACACGCUCCUCCUCACAACUCGCUUUGAUGAAGAUGCGAACUUGUAUGGUCUCGCUCUGAUCCGUCGAGUAGAAACCCUGCGUCUAGCCCUUCUAGCCUUCACCAUCUUAUGAAAAAAUUACACCUGAAUCAAGAAGCAACAUAUGUAUCAAGAACAGACAUUUAACAAGAUCAAAGGACAAAACAGAGUUUUGAAGGAGACAAAAAACAAUGAAACAGUUAAGUUUCUCUACCUGUAGCAAAACAGAUUGUUCUAUCAAUGUAUGUAGAGAGAGAGAGAGAACAAGUCGUGUCUGAUCAAUAGAAAUGAGGUGUAAUAAAAAAGAAGUGCAAACACGUUACAUGCCAGAGGCUCAAAAAAAAAGCAACGUGCUUGACCGAACAUUCACGCGACAUAGCAGUGAAUCAAUUAAUAAACAAUUAAAUAACAAACCAUAGUCAUGUUCGAUAAUCCUUUAAACUCACAUGGAGGAGCAAAACACAUCUCAGAUCCACAACUAUUAAAAAAAAAAUACACAACUAAUCCAAAUCUUUUUAUUUUUCUUUCCUGACAUAUUAAAUAUUUUCCAAGCUAUUAAACAAUCCCAAAUUGAAUCUGAAUCAAAUCGUACUCCUAAACAGACAACUAAAUCAACGGCGAUCGUAAGUCCUACCGGAUGAAUGUAAUCCACGCAAGCGAAGGAAGUUUAGUGUUGCGAGACCGGCGACGUGAAAUGACGCCGGGAAGGUGGAUAGAGAGAGAGAGAGAGACGGAGAAGGAAAAUUAAGAGAUUAGAAGAAGAAGCAUCUUCACGGCUCCAGAUUAGAAUAUUUUCUCUCUUACACGUCACGUCUUGUGGAAGUUAGUGACCUCCUCUUCCACGCGCCUUUCGCGGGCGUUAGAUUGACGCGCGUGUCCGUUUAAGGCUUUUAAGGGCCCGUUAAGGGUUGAGGCGAUGACCAUUGGGUAUGGGCCAUCGAUUAUGUUACGUCAAUAACUUUGGUGUAUUCCAUCAUCAAUCAACUAUUGUUUUCUGUAUGUGAAUCUUAUUCUCUGUAUAUUUUGCAAAAACUUGCAGUAUACAAUUGGUGCAAUAACAAUUGUGUGGAAGAGUGUAAAGCAGCUCCAAAGGUAGAACUUGAGUGAAUAUCUUAUAACUAAAAUUAAAGAAACAAAUUACGAAUAAAGAGAGAGAAUAGCAAGAAGUUCUUAAUUAACAGAUAACUCAUAAGAAAUCCAGAUCGAAAUGUCAGUUGUGUGUUGGUUUAAGUUUUUUACAAAAGAUCAAAUUUAAUUAUUUAACUAUCUUUUAUUUAAAAAUUAAUAUAUUUAUUUUUUAAGAACCUCAAUGAGGUGGUGCCGUUGAGGCUGAGGCUGCUCUGAUAUGCGAAUCUUAUUCUCUAUAUAUUUUUUGUGUCUAAUGUGUUUCAUUAUCUAAGUGGUCGUGUUUUCUCCGUGAAAAAAAAUUGACAACUAAUUCCAACGGCUCAAGAUAAAAUAAACAAUUUCCUAGAUAUUUUGUGUGGGACGUAAUGAGCUAUGAUGGUAGGUUAUCACUUAUCUAAUGUAGUUGUGUUGGAUCAUGGAACACUUAAUGGUAUAACCACUAAUUAGUCCAUUAAUUUGUGUUGGUCCACCGUCGAUCUUGAAUAGUAAACGAAAAAUAUACAAAAAUUCAGUAGAUAACUUUGCAGUAAUGUCUUGACCAAAAAAAUUAAAUAAAUUUUGCAGUAAUGUUAAAGGGAUAGAUAAUGUUAGGAGAGUAAUCAUGACGCGUGUACAUGGAUGGACUAGUGGUCAAACCUGGCAACUGCGACAUUUCUAUAAAUAACCACAAAGGGUCACAUUUGAAGAAAGAGAAAGGAACAAAAAAAUCAAAGAUCUAAACAAAAGAAUAAUGAUGAAGAAGCAAGUGACAAUAGUGGCGGCUCUUCUGAUUCUGGUGGCUUUAUCUUCCAAUUUGGAUAUGGUCGCUGAGGCUCAGUUAGGCCCUGGAGACUGCUACGACGGUUGCUCCACCGCCUGCGUCCAGCGCGACUGUGAGCACCCUCUCCACUUAUAUGAAUCCCCAACGCUACACAAAUUCUGGGGAUCAGUCUAAAAUAUCUGUUUUUUUUAAUCUUUCUACCUUUUUUAUGUUUUCCAGCGAGAAAGACGGCCCGAUGCGAUCGCAAGUGCUCUAUUCGAUGUGGCCCAGGUAACUAAUGAAACCUUAUCCUUACCACACCGGUAUAUUGUACAUUUGUAUAAUCGGUAGUAACCCUAACCGGUCGGUUAGCUUUGUAUGUUCUAUCAUACUUAAAGCAGUGUUGUCUAUUAGAAUCAGAUCAUACGUCGUGAGAUACUGAGAUGAGUUGGUUUAGCAUCUGAGUGAAACCAAAAAAGGUCUUGAAACUAAUGUUUUUUUUUUGUAAUUGCAGAUGCUAAAAAGGCAGGAAAGACUGGUGCUUGAACUUUGAUAUUUACUAAGAUCCAUAUUUUAGAUUUAAUAAUGUUGUAAUCUUUGUUUCAAAAUUUUAUCUCUGCAAAACAUAUUACGUAUUGUUUAUGUUGUUAUUGUAGUCAAUAGACAAUAACCAAUAAUUACUGCUACGAUGUUCCAUUUAACUACUAAUAGUACCAUAUGUAUUAACUUUGAAACGUAAUUAAAGCUGGUCGGACUACGAUUCAACGAUUCAGUGAUCCAAUCAAUUUGCCAUGUUAGUAUCAACUCGUAUGAAAACUUGCUAAGAACCAGUGAGCUCAUGUCUUGUCUUCUCUUUAUUAGACUAUAUAUCCGGCUAUAGGAUAGGUAACACGUACCAGCUAAUUGUCCUAUUUUUAUCUUCUCUUCCUCUGUCAGGCCCAACUCUAGGGUAGCUCAUUGGAACCGACUAACUUAUCUCCCUCUUGUCUUCUCUUAAAUAGCAAUGCGAUUCAAGUGUGAUAGCGAUUUGAGUGUGGAAGCCAUGUGAUUUGGUAGGGAUGCAAUGGGUUCGGAAGCAAUGCAAUUAUUACACAUCUUUUAAUAGCAAAACGAUUUGAAAGGAUUGAAAUAACUAGAAUGGACCAUACUUAAGAUUUUUUUUUGUAUUUACAUAUUUUUAAUUUCGUAAAAGUAAAUUAAAUUUAUGGAUAUAUGAUUUACUGAAAAUAUAAUCCUAAAUAAAUUCUUCAAGAUAUAAAUUAAUUGAAUAUUUUGGUCAACUGUAACACCUCCUGAUCAAUAUCAAGUAUAGAGAAGUGCUAUUUGUUUAGAGGCAUAACAACUUCGAUAUUAACUCUCUUUUUUGUCAUUCUCUCUAGAUGUUAUACCUUGGAAAUGAUUCAGAUUUUUUUAGUUCAUUACUAUCAUUGUCAAUUAAAGUGAAAAUGGAACAAUGGGAGUAAUUUUGUGAGGUAAGGGUUCUCUGAGUUGUGAAGAGAAAACAUGCAUGAUGCAUGUCGCAGGUUUUGAUAGGGGAAAUAUGAUUCUAAAAACAGUAUAUAGUGACGAGAGAUGGAUAACUGAGAUAACCAUAAAUUACAGAAUAUAUAUAGAUUGAGGCUAAAAGAUCCAAGAAAAAGGAUUAUAAUUUCUGAUUUUUGGCUCGAUUUAGAGACCGGUAUGUAGAAGGAUAUACAUCCUUGUUCCAUCAAAAGGCAAACUAAUCAUCAGAAUGUAUUUUAGAUGGAACGGUUUGAGGUGGAGUCUUCCUAGUCUAUCCAGAGAAAAUGGUUUGGAUAUUGCAAUUACUUCCUAGUCUAUCAGAUGUAACUUAGAUGGAUCGGUUUACCAGCUUACAUAAUUCAAAUCUGGGAAAAUAUAUUAAUCAAGAAUGCUUGUCAGUGAUAACACUCCAAGUUAAACGGUGAUAAAUCUCUUCCAGUAACAAUUAGGUAAAAAGGUUUAUCAACACACAAAAAAGUCAAAAUGAUAGUUAGGGUCUUUGCAUGAUGCGAGGCGAAGGUCAUGCCGCCUCGUGGACAAUAACGCUUAACAAUGUCCACUUAUUACCAUUUCAUUCUCUCUCUCUCUCUCUCAAGAAUACAAAUAAUUAAAAAAAAUCAUAUAAAUUCGAGUACAAUGACGUUCGAAAGCUUUUUUUCUCGCGACGAGAAGUUAGAGAGAGAAAAGUUUUUCUAAGGGGAUCCGGCGGUCGGCCGGCGCGUGAGCGUCCGUGCCGUCGCCGGAGCCCCUUUUCCUUCCGAUAAAAUCAUCCGGGUCUGUCCCUCCUUCUCUUUUUCAGUGUCCGUCGGUCGGAGCUCAGAUCAGUCACCAACCGGUGUGGUUCUGGUACGGGAGUUACGGCGGGGCUUGCGGGUAGGAGGGGGGGGGUGUCAUUAGUGCGAGUUUUAGUUCCGGGAGGCGGAGGCUCUCACAGCUCCGUCGACGCCGGUUUUUGUCUCCGCGGUGGGGAAGCUCCCUUAGUUCUGCCGUCGUCGGAUCUAGCUCCCGGGGGGUAAAGGCUGUCACAGCUUUACGUCGCCGGCUUCAGUCCCCUAGUCCUUUAGGGUUUAUUUCGGUGUUUAGUCGUUGGUUUGGAGUGGUUUCUGGUCGCGUCGGAGGAGAGAAAGAUCUCCGACGGAAAGGGUGAAGUUGCAUGCGAGGUUUUGGGCGGUUGCGGUGAACGGGGGUGGAUGAGAUCUCGCCACGGCGAUCGAUUCUCUCCGAUAUUUGAGUCCUAAAAGCUCUUGACGGUGAAGAGGUUCGGAACUUUGGAGUUCCGGCGUGGCUGGUGAUCCGGCUGAUGGAUCUCCGGCGAGGAUGAGUUGCAGGUGCGAUGCGUCGAUCUCGCGACACGUGACCCUCGACGCCGAGGAUGUUGACACGUGUCCAAGCGUUGAAAAGAGUGAUCUGCGAGGCGGCCGCGCUUCGAAACCGUGUUGGUUUCUAGGGUUUCUCAAGGUGGGCCGCUGGAUUGGGCCCAAUUGUGUAACGAGUUUUGCCCUGUAGCUUUGUUGGGCUUUUAUUGUAUUUUGUUUCUGGGCUGGGCCCGUUUUUAUAAAUUAAAAAAAAACUAUUGACGGAAAAAAAAAAAGAAGCAUUCCAGAGUAUCAUUUAAUAAUAAUUAAAAAAUCUUAACUGUUUACUUGCUGGCUCGUGAAUGAACUAUUAAAGAAAAAAAGACAAGAAGGCUCCUGGUACUGCGAAAAAGCAGAGAGAAGGACGACUUUAUCUUUUUCUGGUUUUAAUUGUUCUCUUUGACUUUAUGGGUUCUUUUGUUCUAGUCUCCUACGGAUCUGCUUAAAUCCGUGUGAUCUGUUUACACGUAAUCUCUGGAGGAUCUGAGUUGUUGAGCCAGACCCAGAUUGUGUUCUACUUUUUUUAGCUGAACUUCUUGAUUUGGUCGGAGAAAGCUUAAGGGUAGGUGGGUUUUGUCUUUGAAGGUUCUGAGUUAUCACCUUCUUGUCUGAAAGGUUCGUUCUCUAACCCUUCUUCUGUUCUGUCUUUGAUGUUUUUAUGCACUGAGAUUAUAUGUCCUAAACCCAACAGCAGUUUCAUCUGAAAAUUAACUAAAAAUCUUGACUUUAUAGGAAGUGAAAAUCAGAUGAUAUUUUGUAAAGUUUCAAGAUUUAAUUUUAUGGAAACCGUUUGAUAUCCUUGAUUCUUAUGUUACAUACGAAUUUGUUCAAGUUAUUUAUUUUGCUUUAAUUAUCAAAUUGACUCUUGAUUUUACCUUCUACACAGCUAUGUGAUCUGGAUUUUGCAUUUGGUGGAAUUGAUAUCAGAUUCUCUUUGAUAAAUUAUUUGUCAUAAAGAAAAAGUUUUCUCUUUGCUUGAUUAAAAGCUAUGGCCUAGUUUCUUUAUUGGGCAUGCAGUGAAGCUUUAGCUAAUCGUCUUUCUCUUUUAGCCUCCACUUGGCUUUUUUUUUUUAACUUUAGUUUCUUACUUACUAAGAAGGUGACUCAGAAUUGCCAAGCUUUAAUGACUUUUUAAUCUUAUGCACAGUCAGUGGAAUCUCUCAUCUCACUCUGAAGCUUUCUUUGUUGGAUUUGGAUAUAGAAAGAGAAAUGUCGUUUAGGAGCAUUGUUCAAGAUUUGAGAGAUGGGCUUGGGAGCUUGUCUAGGAGGAGUUUCGACUUCAGGAUUCACAAAGGGAAAUCUCAGGGCUCUUGUGAGUAUUCAUCUUCACGUGACCUCUUGUCACCGUUGAUAGUUCAGACAAGCAGAUGGGCUAAUCUUCCUCCGGAGCUACUCUUGGAUGUGAUCAAAAGAUUAGAGGAGAGUGAGAGUACUUGGCCUGCAAGAAAACAUGUGGUGGCUUGUGCUUCUGUUUGUCGGUCGUGGAGAGCUAUGUGCCAAGACAUUGUCCUGUCUCCUGAAAUCUGUGGGAAGCUCACUUUCCCAAUUUCCCUCAAACAGGUUCACUCCUCAAGACAAAUUUUCUCUUUUGUGUAGUUUUUUUAGUUCAAAACAAACUGAUGAAGAAGCUUGUGUUUACUGUGGUUAAUGUUUUGCAGCCAGGGCCUCGCGAUCCGAUGAUUCAGUGUUUCAUCAAGAGGGAUAAAUCAAAGCUAACGUUUCAUCUUUUCCUUUGUUUAAGUCCUGGUAAGCUUUGUUGUUAGGGACUUAGCUGCAUGUGUUGGAAACAAUGUUUAAAAAAUCGCUAGGCGGUAACUAGGCGUGCUAGUCGGACUUAGGCAAAGCCUAGUUGUUAACAAAUUAUUAAUUUAGAAAAUUAUAUUGAAGAAUUAUAAAAGUUUGAUAUAUAAAAAAAGAAAGAAGUUAGACAAAUUUGUGGGAUUUGAACUAAUAUUAUUGCUUUGAUGAAGAGAUUUACACCAAUUUAGAUUGAUUUAAACCAAUUUAGAUUGUUUUUAACCAAGUUUAGAACGUUUUAAACCGAUUUGAGAAGCAUAAACCGUUUCAUUUGUGACCCAUUUUUAGAACAUUUAGUUUGAGUUUCAUUAGUUUAUGUCUGAAGACUAGUCGCAUUAUGUUUUUUUCUUUUCAGCUCUACUUGUGGAGAAUGGGAAGUUUCUUCUUUCAGCUAAACGAACUCGUAGAACUACUCGAACCGAGUACAUUAUCUCCAUGGAUGCUGAUAACAUCUCAAGAUCAAGUAACUCUUACCUCGGAAAGCUCAGGUUCGUUUUUUGAGCUCCUUGAUAGUUUUGAGCUACUUUUUGAUUCCCACUCACGUAUUGAAAGAUUCUUUCUUCCCUUCUCUCAGAUCAAACUUUCUUGGGACAAAGUUCUUGGUUUACGACACACAACCACCACAAAACACACCAUCUUCCUCAAGCGCACUCAUCACUGACCAAACAAGCAGAAGCAGAUUCCACUCUAAAAGAGUUUCUCCUAAAGUCCCAUCAGGUAGCUACAACAUUGCUCAAAUCACCUACGAGCUCAACGUGCUGGGCACGCGAGGGCCGAGGAGAAUGCACUGCACCAUGAACUCCAUCCCAACUUCAUCUCUCGAACCGGGCGGCUCGGUUCCUAACCAGCCUGAGAAGCUCGUCCCUGGCCGUCUCGACGAGUCAUUCCGCAGCAACAUCUCGUUCUCCAAGUCAUCACUCGACUACCGUUCAGUAGAUUUCAGCAGCUCUAGGUUCUCUGAGAUGGGAGUAGUAUCUUGCGAGGAGGACCAAGAGGAAACGAGUUUCAGGCCGUUGGUUUUGAAGAACAAGCAGCCGAGGUGGCACGAGCAGCUGCAGUGUUGGUGUUUGAAUUUCCGUGGACGUGUGACCGUUGCGUCCGUUAAGAACUUCCAGCUUGUGGCUGUGAGACAGCCGCAGACGCAAGGGACAGGCGGCGUUGCACCAGCACCGGGGGCUCAUGGAGAGCAAGAUAAAGUGAUACUACAGUUUGGUAAAGUGGGGAAAGAUAUGUUCACGAUGGAUUAUAGGUAUCCAUUGUCUGCGUUUCAAGCGUUUGCGAUUUGCUUGAGCAGCUUUGACACCAAGCUCGCUUGUGAAUAAAUGAAGAAACAUUACUUCUCCUUCAACAUUCAUGCUAAUCGUUUGUCUCUUUAUCUAUGCUCUUGUCUAUGAAUUUGUGAGAGUCAGACGUCUUAUUAUUAAUCUCUUCUCAACAUUUAAUGUGCAAUCUUCACUAACUUAUAACUGAUAUCAUAAACUUUGAAACGGUUUUCUUUCUCAGUAAUAUUAUAUAGCUAAGAUUUCAUAAAACUGUGUGCUAAUAAACAAUUUUUUUGGUUUGUUACUUGAAAAUUAUUUUCAGAGCUGCAAGAAAAGAAAGCUAAAAAAAUAUUAUUUCUUGUUUUAGAAAAUGUUUGUUAUUAAAUAUAAUAAGAUGGUUGAUGGGUGACCGUUUGUUGAACUAAGAAAAAGAACACAAAUUUAUUUGAAAAAUUAAGAAUUAAGAAAAUUUGUAUAAAUUGUUCUUCAUCAAAAUUGGAAAGGAAAAUAUUUUUUCAUAAUAAAUUCUUAUAAAUUUGAAAAAUGAAAGAAAUGGAACCUGCGUGUCAUCUAUUUGACAAAAUAUUCAAUUUAAUUGGUUUAGAAUUUAGGAAACAAUCAAUUUAGAACAAUUCUCUCAAAUAAUAGAUUUUUUUUUAGCUUUUGUCACAAAAUAACUCUCAAAAAAGUAAAUAAUAAAAAUAGCAUAUUUUUAUUUUUUAAAUUUUAAUUUUAAUUUUAAAAAAUUUGAAACCUUAUUCCUAUUGUCUGAAAAUGGUCAUUUUUUUUAAUUGAAAACUAUUUUUGAGAAAUUUGUUUUUAAAAAAAACUAUCCUAAGAAAUUUCUCAUGAAUUUAUCUAAUAUUUUCUUUUAAAUUAAAAUAAUUUAAUAAGAGAGAUUUUAAAUAAAUAGAUUUCUUAAUAGUAUUAUUUUUGGCUAAAACAUCAUAUAAUAGAGUGUACCGUACCAAAGGUGAAAAAAAAAGAAGAAGCAAAGGUCCCAAGUUCGAAACUGAGAAACGUGAAAGGAGAUGGUACCUUUGUCAUUAUCUCAACAUAAUCUCUGGCCGCCGGAAUCUGGAUCCACGGCGUUUCGAAGUUUCGCAACCGCCGCAUCCAUACACGCGUGCGAUCAUCUUCGCCGUCACCUCCGCCUUGGCUUACGUAUCCGCUCCUCCCUUCAGGUUCAAGCUACUCUCUCUCUCUCUUUCUUAUACUUCUCUCCGAAAGUUGAGUACUUUGGAACAGAAAGGCUUAAACUUUCUUCAUCUGGGUUGCUUUGUGAUUAGCUCUUUUGCAAUUCUACUGUAUAAAGGUUUCAACUUUCAAUCAUUUGUCUUGGACUCUCUCUCUGCUGCUUUUGACAGAAACUGCAGCAAGUCUCUGAUGCUGCACGAACGGAGUUAUCAAGAAGAGUCGUUCUGUUCAACAGUGCUAACUUCCUCCACUCCAGAGAUGAUAUCAGAUCUUCGUUGCUAUCAAUAUGUUUCUUUAAUGGAGGAGGAGAGAGUAGGAUAGAUCCUAGAGGUGAGGAAGGAUCAUCAUCAUCAUCAAACCAGGAGACUUCCAAGAGAAACACAAGCAGUGGACGGAGGUGGACCAAUGUCCUCCUUGCCGUUAACGUUAUGUAUGUGUUUGUUUAGUUCUUCUCUUUGUUACAGAGAACAAAAAGAUCAUGUCUUUUGGUUUCAUAUGUUUCAUUCUUGUGUAAUGACAGAAUGUAUAUUGCACAAGUUGCAUCCAAUGGUAGAGUGCUGACAUGGGGAGCCAAGGUUAACAGCUUAAUCGAUAGAGGUCAGUUAUGGAGACUGGCUACAUCUUCUGUUCUUCAUGCGAAUCCUAUGCAUCUCAUGGUCAGUUUCUCAUCAACCAUUCAACCCUUUUAAGUUCUAUUCUCUAGUCAAUGCUGUUUACUUCUUUUUUAUUUGUAUGGCUAAACUGUUUCCUCCUUUGUGUUUUAGAUUAAUUGCUAUUCUUUGAAUUCUAUUGGACCAACUGCUGAGAGUUUAGGUGGCCCAAAGAGAUUCCUUGCCGUUUACUUGACAUCUGCAGUUGCAAGUAAGUAAUGUCUCAUAGACUUUCUUUGACGUUGGGUGAUUAUAGUUGACUAACAGAAACCAUCUUAAGAGUUCUAGGUUCAGCAAUGAGUUACUGGCUCAACAAAUCGCCAUCAGUUGGUGCUUCCGGUGCAAUUUUCGGAUUGGUAAGUCUGUUGGAACCAUAAGCCUUUCUUCUCAUACAAAAUGAAGUUUGUUAAAUGAUAACCUCUUUUCCUUUUUGUAGGUUGGCUCGGUAGCUGUAUUUGUCAUGAGACACAAACAAAUGGUCAGAGGUGGGAAUGAAGAUCUGAUGCAGAUAGCUCAAGUUAUUGCCUUAAACAUGGUAAGUAAUAGAAUUUUUUUUAAUUUUUAUUAUUCUUUCUCAAGGUCUAACAAGCUUUGACUAUGCAGACAUUGGGUUUAGUGUCAAGAGGCAUAGAUAACUGGGGACAUGUAAGUAACCAAAUCAUGCCUUAAAAAUUUAUUAAACAGUAGUAGAUGUCUGAGAAAUAACAUCUCUGGUGAAUUUCAGAUUGGUGGCUUACUUGGUGGAACCGCAAUGGCAUGGCUUGUAGGACCACAGUGGAAGUAUGAGUACACAACAAGAGACGGUCGGAGAGUCUUCGUGGACAGGGCUCCAAUGCCACUCUUUUUGCGGUGGAGAAAUGAACGGGGACGAAGCUGAACAGUUUUCUCUUUUAAUGCCAUGUGAAUGAAUAUAUAGAGAGAUUGGAUGUGUAUUUGGGAGGACUUGAUUCUUGGGUCAAAGUAGCAGCUCGUUACUAAAAUGUUAAUGUUUGAUGUCUUAAAUGUUUUUAUAAAAACCAAGUUUGGAUUAAUGUUUGUUUAUUAAUUUAAAUAAAUGUUAAUGAUAGAUUUAAUUGUAUUUGGGUUGUCUAGGUUUAAAACUGGAUAGAUUUUAUAUUAAAUAAAAAUGAUAUCUGAAGUUAUUUAUUAAUCAAUUUUAACAAAUAAAUAAAUGAUUAGGAAACUAAUUAACUUAUACAUAUAAAUACUAGUAAAAUAAGUCAUGAGUUUAAUUAUUAGCUAAAUCUAAAUGGACUUUUGAAUAUACUUAAAACCUAAAUAAAUUUGGAAUUUUCAGGUUAGAUUAAGUUAGAUCAUUGAUUAGGUUAACCAACUUUGUCACCCAUAAUGAAAGGUGCAACAAUCAAACUUUUGGUAGCAUUUAAUGAUCGAAGCAGCCAGAGAAAAAAAGCCAUGAAUUUUUCUUUCAUAUUUGGUAGCAUUUUUUACUAACAGCAGUUUUAAUUUGCGACAAUUCACCACGAUUUGAAAAUUUUCUUAUAUAGUAGUAGCUAAUAUAAACAUACUGUUCUAUAUCGAAAAUGUGACAUAUUACUGAGUGACUAUACCAAAUUGCUGUUACGUUUACGGUAUUGCAAAAGUUGUAUAUUCAAUUUGAAAACAAAUUAGUUACAUUUUUAUUGAUCAUAAAUAUUAUUUUUUUGAUGAUAAAUAUUAAGCGAUAUCCAUGAUAUGAAGGGACCCAUAUAUAUAUGCAUGUCUACAAACUAAAAAACACAAACCAAAUCUCGACAGAAAACUAAACAAACCAACAAUGAAGCUUUACAUGUUAUGGCUCGUGUUGGUAUUAGCCGUCCAAGCAGAUGCAGCAAAGCAAAGAAAGAAGGCUAAAAUCCCUGCAUUAAUAGUUUUCGGAGAUUCAAUAAUGGAUACUGGUAACAACAACAAUCUCUCAACUUUUCUUAAGUCCAACUUCCCUCCUUAUGGCAAAGACUUCCCCGGCGGAUUGGCUACUGGAAGAUUUUCUGAUGGAAAAGUUCCUUCUGAUCUUAUUGGUAAUUGUUUGAACUAUUUUUUAUAUUUGAUUAUAUAAAGAGUUAUAACUAUUUUUACAUCGUUCUACACUUGUUUUAACCAAUUUUAUUUCAGCGGAAAAAUUGGGGUUGACUAAGACAUUACCAGCAUACCUAAGUCCAAAUUUGAAGCCUAGAAAUCUUUUGAAAGGUAUAACAUUUGCGUCUGGAGGAACCGGUUAUGAUCCAUUGACAGCCGAAACUAUGGUAUGUUAUCAUAUACUUACAGUUAAUUAGUUUUAUUUAUUUAGGAAUACGGAGUUGGAUUGGAGGCUAAAACUCUUAAAUUACCUAGUAAGAAUUUUGAAAAGUCAUGGAUCCAGUUCCGGUUGAGAGAGGCUUGCUCUCCUAAAGAAUGCUAUUUAAAAUGGGGUGGAUCUCGUCCAAGGGGAUGUAAUUAAGGGCUUUCGGGAUUGAACCUCUAAAUAUUCAAAAAAAAAAAUAGUAAAUAAUAUAGAACUUUUAUUUGUUGAUCUUUUGUAGUCGGUGAUAUCAGUGGGGGAUCAACUAAUAUAUUUCAAAGAGUAUAUAUCAACGAUCAAACGACGUUAUGGAAAAAGAAAAGCUCGACAUAUCUUGAACCGCGGCAUUUUUCUCGUGGUUUCUAGUAGCAAUGACCUUGCUCACACUUAUAUAGCCCAAUCUCAUAAAUAUAACCCUGCAUCGUAUGCUUCUUUCUUGGCUAAAUCAGCAGUUAAAUUCGUAAGAGUAAGUGUGUUAGAUUUAUUCAAAUAUUAAAUCAAACAACAAUAAAAUAACAACUAAUAAUAUUAUUUAUUUAAUAAUAUUUAGGAAUUACACAAGCUUGGAGCUCGAAAAAUUGGGGUGUUUAGUGCACUUCCUGUUGGAUGUGUACCACUUCAAAGAUCAGUGCGUGGAAGUGUAUUAACAAGAGAAUGUGUUAAACCCUUAAACAAUAUGGCAAAAAAAUUCAACGCCAGACUUUCUCCAGCACUGAAAUCUUUAGAUAGAGAGUUGGAUGGUAUUAUCUUCUACGUUGAUGUUUAUGAGACCUUUUUGGACAUGAUCCAAAAUCCUAAAAAAUACGGUUAAUUCAUCUCACAAACAUAUAUAUAUAUAUAUAUUUUAUUCCUUUGUAUUAAAAACGUGACUAAGUUUUAAGUAAACAUCCUAUUAUGUUUCAGGUUUCGAGGUAGCUGAUAGAGCUUGUUGCGGUACUGGUUUUCUCGAAAUUUCUUAUAUGUGCAACUCAUAUAAUCCAUUCACAUGCUCUAAUUCGUCGGCAUACAUAUUUUGGGAUAGCUACCAUCCAACUGAAAGAGCUUAUCAAGUUAUGGUUGAUAAGUUAUUCGACAAAUACUUUAGCAAAGUCUUUUGAUGUUAAACAUUAAUUACAUCCUUGUGUUUCAUUGUAUUUAUCCUUCUUAUUGUUUCAUGUCUGUGAUUAAUUCAUUGCAGAAUGUUCAAUGCCUUGUGCACUGAAAUAAUUUGAAUGAAAUCUUAAUGUUCUAUGUUUUCAACCAACAGUAAUCUUAAUGUUUUGAAAACGUGAUUCUACCCAAUACAUUAUUGGAACUCAGUUUUAAUACAUAUGUUAAAAUUGAAGUUUGCUAAAUGAAAAAUGUUUAUCCUAAGAUUAUUUCUUUAAUAUCUCAAAAUAGACAUUUUAGAGAAGUAUAACAAGGUUAAGUACCUUGGACAAUUGUAGAUGAAUGCAGGUUAACAGCUUAAUCGAUAGAGGUCAAUUAUGGAGACUGGCUACAUCUUCUGUUCUUCAUGCAAAUCCUAUGCAUCUCAUGGUCAGUUUCUCAUCAACCAUUCAUCCUUGCAAUGACCCUAGUCAAUGCUGCUUACUUCUUUCUGUGUGGCUAAACUGUUUCCCCCUUUGUGUUUCGAUAAAUUGCUAUUCUUUGAACUCCAUUGGACUAACUGCUGAGAGUUUAGGUAGCCCAACGAGAUUCCUUGCCGUUUACUUCACUUCUGCAAUCGCAAGUAAUUAAUGUUUCAUAGACUUUCUUUGAUGUGGGUGAUUAUAGUUGACUAACAGAAACCAUCAUAAGAGUUCUAGGUUCAGCAAUGAGUUACUGGCUCAACAAAGCGCCAUCAGUUGGUGCUUCCGGUGCAAUUUUCGGAUUGAUAAGUCCCUUGGGGAACCAUAAGCCUUUGUUCUCAUACAAAUUGAAGUUUGUUAAUGAUACCUCUUUUUCUUUUUGUAGGUUGGCUCGGUAGCUGUAUUUGUCAUGAGACACAAACAAAUGGUCAGAGGUGGCAAUGAAAAUCUGAUGCAGAUAGCUCAAGUUAUAUUGCCCUAAACAUGGUCAGAUAGAAACUUUUAGAAUCUAUAUAAUCUCUCUCAAAUUCUAACAAGCUUUGACAAUGCAGACAUUGGGUCUAGUAUCCAGAGGCAUAGAUAACUAGGGACAUGUAAGUAACCAAAAGCAUGCCUUCAAAAUCUUUUAACCAAGUUCUAUUUUGCUUGGAGCAGUAGUGGUCUGAUGAAUAACAUCUCUGGUGAAUUUCAGAUUAGUGGCUUGCUUGGUGGAACCGCAAUGGCAUGGCUUGUAGGACGACAUUGGAAGUUUGAGUAUACAACAAGAGAUGGUCGGAGAGUCUUCGUGGACAGCGUUCCAGCUCCUCUGCUUUUGCGUUGGUGAAACGAACGCGCCGACGGCUUUGAUAGGAGACCAACGAAGCUGAACAGUUUUCUCUCUCAGUGCCGUGUGAAUAUUAGAGAGAUUGAAUGUGUAUUAUGGAGGAUUUUGACCUUGGUUAGAAGUCGCCAGCUUAUUUUAUUGUAAACAAAUGCAUUUUUACAUUGCUAAACUAUGAAUGUGUUUAAUUGUCAAGUUUACCCCAUUUCGAAUACAAUUUGAAGCAAAGAAGGAGAACGCAACAAAGAGAACAAUACUAGUGCAAGGGUUAAGAACACACGUGUAGCAAGUAAUGUUAGUCCUAGUCCUAGAGGAAGUGUAAGAAGAAGGCUUUACCCUUGGAUAAAAUUGAGCCAAGUUUGGCAAAUCAUUUGCCGCAAUGGUAUUGAUUAGGGUUUUGGGCAUCUAAUCUACUUUUCAAUAUCAUCAUCUUCCUUGUGCAUCCAAUCUACUCAGAAAGAAGUGUCAGUAUAGGAGUAGUGUGUAGUGUACUUACGGUUAAGUUUUCAUUUUCCUUAUUUAAUGUCAAUAUAUAUCAAAGACAUUGUAUCUAAUGUCCUCAUUUACUUUGACUUAUUUGGCACCGAUUUCAUUUUAUUUUGUUUUAUUGGAUCAGAAACUUAUUGGAUCAUAAUUUAUCUACCAACAGUUUAUGAAUCUAUUAAAAUCCACUAACCAAUAACCUCACUUAGAUUUGCCACCACAAAAUACAAAUUUACUAUAAGACAUAUAGGUUACUGCGUCAGAAUUAUAUUGAGCCAUAUAUUAUUACGCCUUUGCCAAUAUCUUAGCAUGUAGAUCAAGUUUAGGAGCUAACUCUUCCUCCAUAGGGCUGUUCGUUUGGUUGCCGCAGGUACCGGCGGCAGCGGCAGCGUCAACAUUCUGCGUCAACUCUUGUUCGUUUCGUUGACGCAGCAAGCUGUGUCUGACGCCGCGUCCGAACACCGCGUCCUACGGCUGACGCCGAUAAAACCUGUGGUCGCGAUAUAGUAUGCGGUAGCGUCAGCGGCAGCGUCAGCGUCUGCGAAACGAACAACAACUGUAUUCAUUGACGCUGCCGCCGCCGCUGACGCUGACGCUGCCGCCGCCGCCGCCGCUGACGCUGCCGCCGCCGCUGACGCUGAUGCUGCCGCCGCCGCCGCCGCUGACGCUGCCGCUGACGCCGAAACCUGCGGUAACCAAACGAACAGGGUUAAGAGCCUUGUUCGUUUCUUAACCGCCAGAUGCAGCUGGAGCGGCAAGAAAAAGCACGGGGACGGUGGUCAAAAUAAUAGAAUCUGAAGCUAAAAUAACAGUACACAUCUUUUCUCUUGUUUCGCUUCAACAAACUUACAGUAACUUCGAUUUUGUUAAUACGAUAGAAAAUUCAUCUAAAAAGAAUCAUAUUGCUUGGAAUUUAUUUUAUGCAAUCAACAAAUUUUAGUAACUCAAACUACAUCUCGUGCACGUAAAACAUAUACAUUAAUUAUAAUACCCAUAUCAUAUGUGACUUAGAGAAGCUUAUAACAUCUAUCUUUUUUUUUUGAAUAUACAAGCUUAUAACAUCUAUCCACAUCAAAUAAACCUUGAGACGCGAAGUCAAAACUUUAAUUGUGAAAAACACAUUCCAAUGACAAUACAUCAUACCAAGAUGAAUCAAUAUCUACCAAUAUAAAGACCCACACCUUAUGCUUCUUUGCCACACACAGCUCUGGAAACACAAAUCAAGAAAUGUCAAGACGAUUGAAAGCUUAUCUCACCUCCAUACUUCUCAUCAUGGCAGUCUCUCCCCUUUCACACGGUCUUUCACUUGGUGGCCUCAGCUUUGGCCAAGUCGAAAUUAACGGUAUCGCACGGUGUAGCCUUAAUGGAGACCCUAACGCCCCUCCUAUCUCAAAUGGCACUGUUAUCUUAACAUGUGGUGGCUUAACCGCCAACCUCGCUGAAACAUUAAGUCAACCGAAUGGUUUUUUUCUCAUGUUUCUCAGCUUUUUACAAACACUUCUGUUUACCCCUAGUUCCUGCUAUAUCACAAUUAAUCUUCCGACGGGAAAUUGCUCUAUUUACUCACCGGAUGGCGUCCUCAGUGCUGUUCUUACACUUGCCAGCGUCGCGGUGGGUAAUAACACAAAUGUCGCUUAUUUUGUUGCCGGCCCAGUGCUCGAUAAUAUUUUCUGAUGCAAAGGGGGACUUUCAUGCGCAUGCUACAUAUAAUAAUGUUCUUAUGUUUUACGUUGAGGUGUUGCAUAUAGAAAUAAGUGGCUUAUACUCCACAAAAAAAUUAUAAAUAGCACAUCUCUUUAUUGCCUUUUUAAAUGAGUGAAUAUCAAAUAUAUAUACUUGGACACGGAUAUUUAGUAUGGGGGGUGUCCCUAAAAAUAAGGAGUGUCUUGCAUCAUGUAUGUUAUAGAUUUGUAUUUAUAAUUGAUGUAAAUAAAAGUUAUAUCGUUUAUAAAAAUGAUUCUGAAAAUGUUGAUGUAUAUUUAUAUCAAUUACUAUACUUGAUGUAAUUAAUAUACGUAAGAAAAUUAUGACUCAAUAAAAUUUUUAUUGUAAGGAUUUAAAUCCUAUUAAAAUAACCAAAUUUUAAAUAAUAGUUUUUUAAAAAGAAAAUUAUACAAUAAAAACUCAGGUAAAAAAUAAAAAUAGAAAAAGAGGAUACAUUUAUAUAAAUUCAUAACAUAUUAAUAAAUAAUAUGACAAUCUAUACUAUUAUUUGCGAAGUAAAUUUUUGAAAUUGAGCUCUCACGUUAAAAGUUUGAGCGGUUAAUAUCUAUAUUACCAUUAAUUUAUUUCAUUGCGUGAGAUGAUUGAUAAGUGAUUUCUCAUAGUUUUUAGAUUCUACUGAUGUUCAAAAAAAUGAAAAUUUGACAAAAACCAAAAAAAAAACAAAUUGUGACUAAAACUAUAAAAAGUAAUUUAGCAUGAUAGUUUAAAAUUUAUAUUUUUAUUAUACCCGCAUGUGCGGGCCAAAUACCUAGUAGUAUAUAAAACACAUGUUUUGUGUCUAUAUUGUAUUAACUUUAUAUCAAUAAAAUAAUGUCAAAUUUAAAAGUAAAAACAUAAUAAUAUUCCCUUAUAUACUAAAGCACAAGUCACUUGCCCAAUAAUAUUAUGACACAUAGAUAAAUAUUUUAUUUUUCAAAAACAACAAUUACCAAAAAGAAAAACAGUUAGUUUACAAAAAAAAAAAAACAGUUGAAACAAAUCAGUUUCAGAACAUAAAACCAAAAGAAAGAAAAUAAUUAUUUUAACUGCCUCAUAUAUUACACCCACAAUCUCCAGCUUAUUAUGUAUUACAUUGGGUUAGUGGUGUAGACGAAUUCAUAUAACAAGCGAGCAAGUGUUUUAUUUAGUUAUAUGUAAUUUUAGUUUGUGUGAGUAUUUAAUCUAACUUCAGUUUGUUAAUUCGAAUCAUGUCUCUAAUAUCUUUUUAAGAAAAUUAAGUAUAUAAUAGAUUUAUCCAGUGCUACGGAGAUACACUAGUUAUUAAAAUAAAAAGCGUUUAAUUUGAAAAUGACACGCAAAAAAAUAUAACAAGCAACAACAAAAUUUGCUAUUACCGAAUGGACUAUCGGUUAUGUUUCCAAUCGCCCCUAGAAUAUAACAAAUAAUGUAUUUAUUAAAAAAAUGUAUAUAUAUUACAAUAUUUUUUCUUAAAUAUGUUCGAUUCGUAAAUAGACACAAUCCAACACAAAAUUAAGAGACAAAGAUAAAAAUAAAUAAUUAAAAAAAAAUACUAAAGAUAAACUUAUAAACCCAUAAAAACUGGGAGAGAGUAUAAUCUUAUAAGAAGUAUAAUUCAAACUGAGAUAGAAAAGUGGAAACCCUACAGCCUCUUAACAAACAAAUCUAUCUGCCAAAACCUUCUCUCGACGUUCUUAGAAAAGUGGAAUCUCUGUUCCAUCAUGGAACCGCAAGCUCCGUCGCUAAACCCAAAGCUCCGUCUGCUCUGUAGCUACGGUGGCCGGAUAACGCCCAUCUCACCGUCAAACUCCCUGGAAUACAUCGGCGGAGAGACGCGCAUCGUCGCCGUUCCACGUGACAUCUCCUUAACCGCUUUCUUCCAGCUUCUCUCCAGCAAGCUUCUCUAUGGCAGCUCCUUCUCCCUCAAGUACAGACUCCCCAGCUGCGACCUAGACUCUCUCAUCACCGUCAAUGACAACGAAGAUCUACAAAACAUGAUCGCAGAGUAUGACUCAGCUAGUCCCCAGCGUAUCCGUCUCUUCCUCUUCCCGUCAAACCACCCCGAAUCAGCAUCAACUCGACAUCCUCUCUCGGUUAACUUGCUUGGACUCGAACCGCCUAUACAGAAAAUAAUCUACACCUCUUCGUCUUCCGUUGUUCCCUUCCCGAUAUUCCCGCAAAAUAAUUGUACGGCGACGCAGCGUGUGGAUCACGGCAAGAUCCAUGCAACGUCGGACGAGGAUCCUAUAACUUCAGCCUCUUUGAACACCGGAGUUUCGGAUAAAGAAACUGAGAGAGAAGAGAUUCAAGAUCAACCACGGAGAAUAGUUAUCCAAGAGCCUUUGCAGCAGCAGCAGCAAUUUUUACCGAUAUUCUACUUACCGGUCUUGCCGAUGCCGCCACAUAUGGUGACUCGUUCAGUGAAUGGUUACGCCUUGUCUCCGGCCAUGGAAUAUUCUACUGGAGCAGAUCCAGUGCUGGAAAAUAAGGAGACGGCGACCUGAGUGGAGUUUCUUCCAUGUCAAGUAAGCUAAUCCAUUUGAGUUUAGGAAUUAACCUUUUAAAUUAGGAUUUGACUUUUGUUAUAGAAUACGAGUAAUGGACAUGUGAACCGAUAUCUUUUGGACUGAUGUGGUUUGUAUCGGAUUUUGAUAAAAGCUAUUAAAUACUUGGGUGGGUUAAUCACUGGAUGUAGAUUUCUAGUUUGAAUGCUUGAAUUUUAUUUACGUAUUCAACUAUAAUAGUUACUAGCAUUUGACCCGCGCGUCCGCGCGGGUGUUUGUUCUUCAUAAUUAUAUGUUUUUACUUUUAAAUAAUUUUAUAAAUAUAAUUUUUUUAUGUUCUUGUUAUAGAUUCAUAUGUUAUUGAGUUUUGGCAUAUUUGUGUUUUGUUCUAUGUGUUUAGGGUUCAUUUAUAAAUUAUGAAAUUGUGUUUUUUUUUAUUGUGCUUUUUCAUUUUUUGGUAAAAUAAAUAUUAAAGUGUAAAAUAUUAGAGUUCUAAGUUUAUUGUGAGUUUUGCGAAAUUAAAUUAUAAAUAUCAUGAUUUAUAGAUGAAUAUAAAGCUCAAAUUUUACAACGAUAUUUUUUUUUAAAUACAUUAUUUAAAUAGAAACAUAAAAAAUAGUGAAAGCAAAUUACGAAAAAAAAUAUAUUCAAAAAUAAGUACAGAUUUUUGCAAAUUUUAUUUAGCAAGCCUAAAUUUUUUAUACAUAUGUAUAUUUGAGUUAUAUAAUAUAACAACUAAACAUGUUAUUUACAAUUUGCUGUUUUAAAUUGGUAACCAAUUUUGAUAUUUAAAUUUUAUUUAAUACUCCCUCCGUUUCAAUUUAAAUGUCAUUAUAGAGUAAUUUUUGUUUCAAAAUAAGUGUCAUUUUAUAGUUUCAAUGCAAAAUUUAUUAAUUUUAUAUUAUAAUCCAUUUUUUAUUGGUUAAAAUGUGGUUAGAUUUAUUGGUAGUGAUGUUUUUAUCUAGUAAAUAUAUAAAAUUAAAUGUUUUUUUUUAAUUUGUGUGUCGAAGUCUAAAACGACAAUUAAAAUGAAACAGAUGGAGUAAUAUUUUGUUAGUUAUUAUUUACCCUAUUACUGAUAAAAAUAAAAUUUAUGAAAAGUUAUAUAUCAACAUUGGAUACCAAUUUAAGACCGGUACAUCAAAGUAAACCAAACUAAACCAAUUUUUUUAAGAAAAAAAAUAAAAAGUAAACAUAAAACUAAAACCUAGUCUGUCUUCUCUCCUUCUCAGCAUCUCUUCUUCUCCGCCUCUCUUUUUCUUGUUCGGCUUCACCAGCGUCGGUGAAGAGAAGACAGGCUCUGUCGCAAGACUUCGUUAACUUCCUUUCUCUACAGAAGAAUCAAAACACAAAACAAUUAUAAAAUUAAGUUCUGCACCUAAAUUAAUAAGUGAAGCAUGAGAUUCAAAAGCUUUAGGAGUCAUAAGCAUGGAACCAUUCACAAUAGUUGUAAUCUCGUUAGCUCUGUAACUCGCCUGGACACAAAAAGAAUAAAUCAAUCACACAAUGAAUCAAUCCUUCAUUAAUGAAAUUAAGUUAUACUGUGAGAACUUCAUCUUUUAUAGAAGAGAUUACUUACAUCGCUCACAUCGUUCCAUCUUCGUUUUGGCAAUGGCAUGUGUUGUAGCUCUUCUUCUUCCUCAUUUUCUGAGUGUUAAUUCAAUGUUAACCCAAAGCCAAGUAUGUACACCGUGAAGGAAGAUGCACAACGGAUUUGGAGUAGAUGAAUGUAGUACCUGCCAUAAACGAUUCCUGAUUUAAGGUAAGGAUUUAUGAUCUCGCUAAGUAAUGAGGGUUAAGAAAAUUAAAUUAAACGCUGUGUUUUAUGUGAGUGGCAUAAGAUUGUAAUUAUUGAGGAAAAUUCAGGGUUUAAUACAAAAUGUACUUCAGUUUUAAUAGUUUAGAUGAGUAAUAGUUUUGGCAUUGUUUUAAGGACAAUUUUCUCAAAUAUUAUUUUUUUAAGUUUUUGUCACAAAAAUAACAUUCAAGGAGGAAAAUGACCAAAUUUUUUUUUUUUUUUGGAAAUUUUAAUUUUUAACUUUUUAAAUUUGAAACUCUAUCCUUAAAACUCCACCCUUUAACUCUAAACUCUAGUCUAGAUUAGUUAACCUUAAAGUAUAAAUAUAUUUUUACCUUUUAAUAAAAAAAAUUUGGUCAUUUUCUUUUUUGAAAACUAUUUUUUGUGAAAAUAAACUAAAAAAAUUUAUCAUAGAAAAUUUCUCUUGUUUUUAUUUCACUCUAUUUGAUUAUAUUAAUGAAGCAACAAUUACAUUAAACUUCGGAAACAGAAAUAACCACAACGAAAAACAGAGAUCAUAAUAACACAUACAACCUCCAUAAGAGGCUUGAGUUGGUGAAGAUCUAUGAUAAUGCUAUUCACAACUUGAUUAGAAGUUUUCAUAAGGUCAUUAAAAUCAUACGCACGACCGCAACCACCACUCCGCUGCAACCUUAGCAUGCAAUUGCCAUGUCCAGUCGUCGCGAAAGGGUACAAUGCAUUCAAUCACCUUUAGAAGUGGUAAAAAGUUGUCUUUUAGAGUUCUCGUUAAAGAUAAUGAGAAUCAAAGCGGAGAGGUGGUCAUCAAUGUGGACAGUGGCGGACCUAGAGAUUGACUUUAGUGGGGUUAGAUAUGUUUGAUUUUCAAAAUUUUAAGGAAGAAUGGUGCCAAUGAGGUUUGAACACAGGUUUUUUGUGGUGUCAAAGAGUGCAGAACAACCACUUUUGCUGCAGAUUCUUUAAGAAACACUAUGCGAUUUUAUUUAUUUCAAUAUUUUUGGAGUGUCCUCUGACCCCACUUGGGCAUUACUGGGUCCGCCCCUGAAUGUGGAUGAAGAGGCUAAAAACCCUUUGAUCUUUGGUAGACCUUUCUUGGCUAUACUUGGAGCUAUUGUGAAUGUUAUAGAAAGGAAGAUAAACUUUCAUCUUGACAAGGGGAACAUUCUACACUUUGACAUUAAAAAAAUGAUGAAGAAACCUUACUAUUCAAGGUGAAGUGUCAGAGAAUAUGAAAAUUGCCAACUCUUCCAAAACUACCAAAACUACCAAAACUAACGAUAAAUCAUAAAAAGAAACAACCACCAAAGCCAACAAAAUUUAGGGUUUAUCAGAGCUUGGAAGAAACAUGCACAUGGAGAAAUUUAUUAGCUUUCCUAAGAUUACUCCAUUUGCUCUUUUUUUCGAAACACUACUCCAUUUGCUAUUUUAAAGGAAAAAAAAAUACUAAAAGUGAAAUUUGAGUUAAGAGGGGACGAUGAAAUGAGUUGAGAGCGGGUACAAUGAAAGUUGUUUCUUCUUUGUGUUAUAGAAACACUAUAAAUAUUUACACUAGGAGAAACUUUGUUAGAAUCAUUGAUUUAUUAAUUUACAUCUAAAAUAUGACCUUUAAACAUUCUAAGAUUAACAAUUAGAAAUAUAUAUUAAAAAUACACAUGUGAGCUCAUACUCUAUACCAUGAUGUUCCACAUCAUCCUAGUAUAUUGGCGAUUAUAUUAUUAAACUGAAAUAUUUGUUAUCUCGUAGAAUUUACUUUGAAGAAGUCCAAUAAAACCAAUUAGAAUUAUUAUGUUAAUCGUAUCUACUGAUCUCAGGCCUAACUGUAUUGUUCAUCACUGGGUCUAAUACCAGAAACUAAUCUGCAUGCUUAACUGGUAUAAAAGGCAAGAUUUCAAAGGCUUAUAAGACAAAUCUGAGAUCUCUCUGACCAGAAACACAUGGCCUUUAUCAGUUAUCACAUUGUUCCUUCAACAAGUCCUAAAAGCUUUAUAACCUGAACAAGAUCAUAUUGCCUUGUGGUAGGGUAACAAAUCCUCUUCCUUCUUUAACACUUCUUCAGCAGGGCCGGCAGGGCCGGUUUAGAUAGAGGGGCGAGCGGUGCGACCGUCCCAGACCUAAUCUGUUGUCCUCUUAUUUUUUAAUAAAUAAAAGUCUCAUUUUUUAAAAAAAUACAUGUAUUUUUAUAUUAAAAAUAAGAAAAAUGAUUCAAUUUUUUUUAUAUGAAAGUAUUUUUUUUUUCGUAGAUUUAUUUUUAAAAAUAUUUCUGGUAAAAACAUACAAAUACCAUUGAGCUGACCCUGUUUUUCAAAAUAUUUUUAAAGAAAAUUAAUAGUAGUUUGAAAAUUAAAUUUUUUGGUAAAAACAUACAAAUAUUUCUGGUAAGAACAUACAAAUAUUUCUGGUAAAAAUGAUUCAAAAUAUUUCUAAAGAAAACUAAUGGUAGUUUGAAAAUUAAAUUUUUUUUUGUCUAGAGCCCAUAACACCAUUGAACCGACCCUGUUCUUCAGCCUCCAUCACUUAUAAUGGUCCACAAAACUCCAUUAAAAGCAUCCAAAUACUUAAACAAAUUUGAUCUUCAAAUAUUCGUGAUCAUCAAAACGGCCAAAAAGUACUUAUUCAUAUGUUUUUACACAUUUGUUAGAACAACGAGCAAAAAAGUUACAAACUUGAUCACCUCAAGGGACAAAAAUAACUUAAAUCGGAAUCGACUUUAGAAGUAAAGAAAAUCUAUGUAGCCAUGAGUCAUGGUCUAGAAAAUCUUUUAUUUGCUUCCAAGAGGGAUAGGGGAAGUGAUCUUAUUAGCUUGAGUUUGUGAUUCUCUCAAAGCAGAAUCUUUCUCUUCUACUCCUUCUCCUCCAGGUUGACUAACUAAACUCUUUUUUUCGUCAUCAUCAGACAUAUUAGUCUCUGGUGGAACAACUUGUCGGAAAAAUCUAAGCAUCAUCUCAUAGGUUGUAAAUGUAAUAACUGCUGAUGGAGUUGUCCUGAGCAGAUUAGUAGCACAUCCACGGUACAUUCCAGGGAUCCCUUCGCUUCUAAAAACCUUCUUUACGCAAUCAAUGACUCCUGAAUACUUGUUCUCAGAGUUUCUCAUUUGCCCUUGUUCUUGAAGCUUGGCUCUAAUCACCUGUGGAAGUAGCAACAUAAGCCCCAUUUAGUUUAUGAACCUAAGAGUAAGGCAUAUAGAGAAAGAGAUGAGAAACCUCAUGUGGGUAAGUCAAAACAGAGGCGACGACUUUCGCUAUGGAAGAAGCAAUAGCAACACUCCCAGGACUCAGAUUCUCUACGGAUGUAUUAUCUGAGAACUUAACAAAGCUUUGAUCAGAAACUAGCAGAACAUGAGAAUUGAUUAUGUAAUAAUAUAGUGGAUGAAUUAUGUUUUACCUAUUUUUGCCAUGUACUGCUUAAUCUUUUCAUAAGCUGGAAACUGGAUUGCAACAUGGCUUAUUCCAGCCAAAGAAGGCAAAAGGCCACUGCAUUCAAAACAUCUUAAAGGUUAACAUGUGCACAAAAUCACAGAGGCUUCAGUUUUGAUGCAAGAAUACUACUGACCUGUACAGCCCUCGGAAUCCUUCUUCUUGACAAAUCCUACUGAAAGCAGACAUUACGCUUUUGUAAGGUACCACGCCUGGCCUAAUCCCUUGCGUCUGAGAAAAGGGGAAGAGUCAAGAAGAAUGUCUAGUAAAGCUGGAAACCAAAAGAAUAUCUAGUAAAGCUAAAAGAAAGAGGACAAAACUCACCAUUAGUCUUGUCUUGACAACCCAAAGUGGAUUCGUUGCAAUAGAUGUGGAAGCUCCGGCACCAGCAGCAGCUACCAUGUUGGCCCCAACACUAAGUGUGCCAUCUAUCAGGAAAACAUAAGCAGUUGAAAGACCGAAUAAUAUAAAAGACUUUGGUUAGAGAACAAAUAAAGCAAACUCAGGACUGCAACAAGAUUUUGUAACUAACCACUAGACUGCAGAACCUCCUUCAGCUUCCCAUAAACUGAGAAGUACACCUGCACAUGAUACCAGAACAUCAACUACAAGCAAAGACAUCACAAAUCUCAGCAGAGAGAAAAGUGCUGCUUACAGCCCAAUUCGGAAGGAGAGCUAUGAUGGUUGGUGAAAGUCCUCGAUACAUUCCUCUAAAGCCUUCAUUCUUCACUAUAUUCUGUAAACUUGUAAUGAUCACACUACCUGAUAAUUCACAACACAUGCAGAGCUUGUUAGCAACUAGUCUUGAUCAAACAUCUACUACUAGUUACAUUCUAAAGCAAAGUACCUCUCUUUCCAGAGGCUGGAGCUUCAGGGAGACCAAGAACUUGCAACCUUGUCUUGAUCACAUCUAACGGGCAAACAAAAGUCGCUGCAAUCGCCCCUGAACAACAACAAAAAAACAAAACCAAACUCAAACACACAAGAACCCACCAAACACACAAGGAAACAAAGAAUCGAAACCGAACCUGCGGUGGCUCCGGCGCCGGCGUUGCAUGCGGCCUCUCUAAUGCUCCGGUAAUCGAAGGACGAGCUCCCAUGAUCAAUCAUCUCCGCAAAGCUAAACCCUAAAUUCAAUGCGAGAUCCAGUAAUUGGGUGGCGCGAUUCGAUGGGUUAAAUAGAGUUCACGAGGCUCAUGGCAUUGACCCGACACGGAAAGGAUUGAGAUUUGAACGUGUGGGAGGGUGAAAGGAAGAGACUUUGUUUGUGUCUUCUUCUGAGCAGGUCGCGUACGAUUCAGGCGGUCCAAGUCGGGAAGGGGGUUUGAAGAUAAGUAUCUGAUCGAUUCGAUUCCGCGGAGAGAGAGAAAGUGUUUCGCUUUGUGAUGUCGUCGUCACGCAGAUCAAUCAACACACACAACCCAAGAAGAAAGUUUAACACUUUCGCUUCUGUUUUGUUGACACCGAUUAUUAUAGGGGAAUACGUCUGUAUAACCAAGAAAAAAAAACAUAAUUCAUCAAGUAGCCAAUCUAUACAAUACUAAAAGUUGAAUAAGCUCAAUAUUUUCGCCACGUCAUUUAAGCCCAUAUCGAGAUUUAAUGUUGGGUUUCUUAGCCUAAACCCUAAAUUAUUUUGUCAUGGCCCAAAAUAAAGUCCACCACCCGUGGCUUCUUCGAUCAUAUUUUCCUCCGCCAGUUUCUCAGUUCGUCUUUUCCAAUUCGAGUUCAUUCAUAAAACCUCCGUUACUGUGAUCCACUUAUAAUCAAUCAAUUGUCUUCUUUACUUCCGUAUUUAUUUAUGCGUUUCACCUCGCUAUCUAUCUACUUCUAUAUAAACCGGUUCCUCGAAGCUUGCUGCCAUUCGAUUGAGCAAAGAGAUUCAGGUUUCGUUCUUUGGAAAAUUUUGAUGCUGAUUGCGAUAACAGAGGUGUGUUUUCUGCAAAAUAUUUACCGGGAAGUUUUUGUUGCAAUUUUCCAUUUCAUUUUACCUCGCGUAUUACGAAGUCGAUAAUCGGUUUUGGAGUUCAUGUCGUUAUAUGUUUUUCAUUAGAUAUUUAUGUUUGGGCACAAAACUGAUUUUUCAGAAAUCUGUGAUGGUGCUAAGUGGCUCACGGGGAUUCUGUUACACAUUGGAAUUGAAAAAUGAGCAAGAAGCAAAACAAAUGAAGAAGAAGAAGAUUAGAACUCACUUUCAUGCUAUUUUGUUAACUGGCGGUUGUUGAGUAAUGGUAACUGGGGGUUGUUGAAUCAUGGUAUUAGUGUGAUAUGCAUCUUUCUACGUAUUAAUGAAUGUUCUUUAUUUUCUUUGUUAGACUGGAAACCGUUUCAUGGAUAGAGGCGUGAGCAAGGUAACUUUGGCUAACUGUUUGCGUUGGUAAUAUAUGGUUUUUUUUUUCUUGAACAACAAAACAUAUGGUUAUCUAUGUAGAUUUUAGUCUAUAUUCUUUUAACUGCUGUUGCUUUCUCCCUCUUCAGGAGUUGAAAACCCAAUAGCUUCUGCAACCCUAGCUGGUGAUUUAGGAAUUGGGGCUGAACAGCUUCUGCUGAUGUGAAAAGAUCACACCUUGCUUCUCUGCAGUAAUGUAGAAGGUACGUUCUCUGGUCUCUUUGUUGGCUUUUCUGUAUUUUAUCAUUUUGGUCUGCACUAUUGUUUUUGUUUGUGGAAGAUUCAGGGUAAAUGAUGAUGAUUUGCUGAAGAUCAAGAACACUUAUCGUCCUAUCCUCUCAAGAAAGAGAAAGGGUUUAUGGUAUGUAUAUAAAGUCAAUAAUAUUGUUACAAUUCAAAAGCAAAUAUAAAGUCAUUGUUUAUAAUUUGAUCAAAAUCGUCAUGUUUCAUUAUGAUAAUAGAAAAGGUAGGUAAUUUCCUUUUGUUUACCUUUUAAUCAUUCUUGCAUAUUAUUGAGCUUUUCGAAUAACUCAGCUAUGACGUUCCAAAUCUUAGUCAAUCACUCAAUCUCCCGUAGUAGCCAUCAAAGGCAAGAUAGAAAUAGCUUUGGGUUAGGUCGCAAAACUCAAAGAAAAAAAGAAACAAAGCUGGAGAAACCUAAAACGCUUUCACUGGGAGAUUGGAAGAGCAUAUGUCCACGAAUAACUGCUUAGGCAAUUGUAAAAAUAUUUAGAGUAAUACAAAUCACAUUUGUAUUUCCUACAAGAAGAUUAGUUAAGUCUAUCCUGCGGCCACUUCCUCAUUUGUUGUUAUCUUGAUUUUCUUUAUGAUAAAACCAUAGCUAGCUCUUUUAUUUUUCUUUUAAUUUACUUAAUAUUUAGUUUGAUUGUAAACUUUUCUAUUGACACAGACUAAAAGAAAGACAGUUAAUUAAAAUAGAAGCAUUUUAUCUAAACAAAGCAGAAAUGACAAAGCCAAGUUUUAAUUUAUUUAUUUCACAAUUAUCAUUCCUCUUCUUGAAAAUAUCUAAAAUAAUAUACCUCGAAAAUCACAUGUGUCGUAAUGUCACUUCUUAUCGUAUCUAAAUUAAUCUUAACUUGCGUGAACAUCAACUUCAACCCAUCAAACUAUAUUAAACAAAAAUCAUUAUAUUAAAAAGAGACCUGACAACGCGUACACAAAUCAUAAGACUGGGAUAAGCCAAAAAGCAUUAAACAAACCAUAUCAAAUACAUAAUGUAAUUGGUUAUCAAUUAGAGUAAAAUGGUGGGAAAAUAUGGUGAAAACGAGAGGGAUAGAAAAAUAAUAAAGUUAGAAUAAUUUUUUUUCAUCUUAUUAGUAGUCGAGGUAAGAUUUACUCUAUUUUACUGUUUUUGUUUCUCAUUUUUUUAGAGUAAAUGAAAUAGAAUCAUAUUCCACUUGAUUGGAUGAAAGAAGAAUAAAUGGGCUGAAAUAAUUUUUCAUCCGCUUUAAUUUACUCUAACUUUACCAUAUAGUCAUACGAUGUAUCGUACUAUAUAAAAGGGACUAAAUCCAUUCUUUCUAAGCCAUGCAACAUGGACAAAAUAUUGUGAACCAACCAAGAUGCCAUGUCAUACGGACUGGGCUUGAGUCAAAAUAAAAAGCUAUUUUCAGAGCCCAUUCGACCCAUCUUGAAGCUCAUUCCCGAGCCACUCUCUCAUAAGCAUAAUUCUGUAUUCUAAACAUCCCGUGUUAAAUUUUUUUAAACACUCAUAUCUUAGAAAUAGUUUAGAAAAUAUCUUUAUAUAAAUAUUUUUUCUUGAAUAAUAUUUAAUUAUAAUUUUUUGUUUCUUUUUAACUUUUAUAAUAAAAAUAUUGUCUUCAGAUAACAACAAAAUAUAUAUAAGAAUUAUCUUAUUUUAAAAUUUUUUGAUAAUUUUAUUAUAUUAUUUUAGAAUCAAUUAUUUAAUAUUAAUAUAACAUAUCAAUUUUAUAUGAUUAAAAUAAAAUUCAUUUUUAAUUAUAUAUAAAAUUCAUUAAGGGUAUUUUUUUAAUUAACACAUUAGAGAAUCAGUUAGAAAUUAAUAAUAAAUCAAUAACCUAUCUAAAAGUCUAAAACCUAAUAAAAUAUGAAAAAUAAGAAAAACUAACUAAGUUUUAAUAUAAAAUAGAAAUUUAAUAUUACUAAAAUAAAAUUCAUUUUUAAUAUAUAUAUAAUAUUCAUUAAGGGUCUUUUUAAAUUAAUAAAUUAACCACUUAGCUAAAAAUAAAUAAUAAAUCAUUAAUUUAGCUAAAACCUAAUAAAAACAUGACAAACAAGCAAAUUUACUAAAAUUAUGGAUAAUAUAAAAUAUGAUUGAUUCUUUAAUACAAAAUUGAAAUAAGAGUUUUGUUAAAUAAAACAUAAGUUUGUCGUAUCGGUGUUACAAAAAAAAAAUCAUUAAUAGUAUCGUAGGAAUUAUGUCUUUCCUAUUAGCGAAUAAAAUUGAAGCAGAGUUUUGGAGGAUAGCUCAACGUGUAGACGAGAUUAUGGAAAUUGAUAUGGGAGUUGAGGUAACGGACACAACUGUUCCUCCGCAAAGAAACGCUCCUGCUAGACAUCCUGGAUAAAUGAAAAAGACAUUUCUGGACUUGGCUUUGUGUUAAUGGAUGGUGACUUUCCAAUGCUGUUCGGAGCAAGGGCCGAUAUACACGCACCAAAUCACCACUGCAAGCGGAAGCUGAAGGUUUGCUAUGGGCAAUGCAAGUGAUACUGAAGUUUGGACACAGAGAGAUGGUCUUUCAAUCGACUGUGAACAACUGGUUAUACUCAUUCAAAAGGAGGAAGAUUGGCCUGCGUUAGACUCGGAGCUCGACGAAAUACAGGCUGUAUCCAAAGAAUUUUCUGAAUUUUCUAUUGCUUAUAUUCCUAGAUCUUUAAAAUUCCGUACGAAUAGCCUAGCAAAAGGUGUCCGAUCACGCGCAUCUCGAUCAGCUUUUGUAAAUCCUUUUGCACCAAGUUGACUACCCCACAAGCUAGCAUGAGGGUGCCAAAAAAAAAAAUAAAGCUGAAAGUGAAACUAAAUAUUCCAAUGAACAAAUUUAUCAUAAGUCCAUAUUUAUGUGGAUGUCUAUAUGGGACAAACAAUUGUUUUCAGAUAAUUAUAGAAUAUAGUCACGAAAAUCAAUCCUAAAAUAUAUAAUUUAAAAAAAUCAUUUAAACAAACCAUCAAAAUUUUCAAUAUUACACCAAAUAAGAAUAUAAAGACCAACUAUAUUCUCUUCAUGUAUAAUGUAUUGUGGUAAGGUUCAAACAAAAUUAACUUACUUUACAGUAAGGAAAAAUUAGAUUUUUAAUUCCAAAUUUACAGUAAAAACAUAAUAUUUUAUAAAACUAAACAAUUGACAUAAUAGUACAAAAAUAUGGAAAAAAAAAAUUAAAAUACUAUCCGCGCGUAGCGCGGACAAGGACCUAGUUUCCCUAAUAUAAGGAUACACAAUGUUAUUGUGCUUUUCUAUAAUAUUACCAUCAUAUUCUUUCAUUCAACCAGUAAAACUUGAAAAAAAAUUAUAAUUUAAAUUAAUAACUAGUGAUUCUAAAAGAAAGACGUGACCUUUAAUUACUCUCAUAUAGCUAACAAAGCAAAUGGUAAAAUAUGGAAAGGUUAAUAGAUUCAUCUUCAGAUUUGAUCGAUUAAGACGCCACCGAUUACAUUCUUGGUGAGUUUGUAGAGAAGAAGACCAUCAUCGAAGGCUCGGUAGGUGACAAAAGGCAUGAGUAAGACGGCACCGUAUAGCGGUAAAACAAAGUCACAUUGCCUAUUAUGUAAGUUGUUUUACUACUCUUAAAUUCUCUGAAUUUUUAUUCAUUGUAUGUCGGAAUCUGAUAUUGUAAAGUAAGGAAACCAGAAGUUUGGGAUUUUCUGUUUAUAAGAAAAUGGUGCUUUAUUCCAUUUGGAUGACAAUAUAGUUGACUGUGUAUAUACAUGGAAUAGACCCGAUAAAGAUAACUAUGUCAAUCUCUAAUAAAAUAUACUAUAUAUAUAAGUAAAUAAAGUAGUAUAGAUGUCUAUUUCCAUAAUACAUAAACUAUAUUGUGGUGGGCGACUGUGUUGUAUAUAAAUGGAGUAGUACAUAUGUCUGCCUGCAUAGUAUAAUAAUUAUUAUGUUAAUAGUAUAGUAUAUGUUAUAGAAGUGGUUUUCAGUUUAAAAAUAAUGUGUGUUGACAUAGCUACAUAAUUAAUAAUCAUAAUUUAAUAUGUGAUGUUAUGUGAUUUAUGGAAUUAUUGAUGAAAUUGUCUCUGUUGAUGGUGAAGGAUUGUGGUGAAUAAUAGAGUUUUGAAGACUCGUGUGGCGAGUGACAGGACUUGUUCAGUGGUGAUCACCUCCAUCUAUACAAUCGAAACUAAUGUAUUCGUUUCUACCGCAAUUGUCCCUCUUCUCAUAAUUUCAUGACCGUAUGUUCUACUCUUCUAUCUAGUGAAUCAAUAACAAAAUUCUUUUCUCCGAUGCAGUUGCAUGUACUAUCUCCACUGAUGUCGUCAGAUACACUUAUCUUUUAUUGUUGUGAAUGACAAACAAUAUUGAAUGUAUUGACCUUUCCAUAUUUUAUAUUGAUGUGUAUAUGAUUUUGUAAUGAAAAAUAGUAUAUUAAACAAAAAUGGAAUAAAAUUUAUUAUGGCAUCAGAUAAAACAGAAUACAAUGUGAUGUUGAGUCGAAUGAUAUUCAUAUGAUGUUUAUUUAAUAUUACAUAAUUUUAUGUACUUUUUAAAUUUUGAUAUUUGGGUUUAGGUUUAUCUUUGGAUUAAGGUUUAGUGAUUUAAGUUUAGGGUUUAGUAUUUAGAAAGUGAGGGGGUAUGGUUUUGGGUCGGCAUUAACUUAUUCCUUGCAAUCAUAUAUAUUUCAUAAUCUCACCAAUAGGUACUAUGUUAUUUAUUCAUUCUAUUUGAGUUUAUGAUUUAUAUUUAAGUUUAGGGUUUAUAUUUGGGUAAAGGUUUAGUGAUUAAAGUUUAGGUUUUAGUAUUUAUAAGGUGGGGAAGUAUGGUUAUGGUCGACGUUAAAUUCUUCUAUACAAUCAUAGGCAUUUCAUAAUUUCACCAAUAUGUAAUAUGUUAUUUAUUUUGUUUCAUUCUAUUUGGGUUUUGGGUUUAUAUUCGAGUUUAUGGUUUAUAUUUAUUUUUAGGGUUUACUGAUUAAAUUUUAGGGUUUAGUAUUUAGGGGUUGGGUGAGAUUGAGAUAAUGGUUAGUAUCUAGGAAUUGUGGUUAAGAUAUGUUUAGUAUUUAGGGAUUAUAAGUGGAGUUAUAAUCCUAUACUACUUAGGCGAUAUGGAACAGAACACUCGUGCAUAUAUAUGUAAGAUAUACGUGAAUGGUUCCUUUUUUUUUAUUUGGAAUAGUUUUUCAGGUGCUCUUGACCUUUUAUUUGGAAUAGUUUAAAUUGUAUUAAGGUCUACAUUUCAAUGUAUGAUUUAGUUCUUAUUUGAUAAGGUUCAGUUUAUUUCGUGAUAUAUACCAUUUUACCAUAUAUAAUAGUAAUUCAGGUAAUUUAUUUGUGACUUAAGUUAACAUAAGUUGUGUAACGCAUACAAUUAUUAUCCACUCAUGUCGCAUCAUUUUCUUACAUCAUAUGCGUUAAUUAUGUAUCACAAAAGACAACAACGUCGCUUACUUUAGAAAUUGCAACUGGCAACUUGUUACGUGAAGGAGCAGAACCGGAGAGAAUAUGACCAAAAAAUCUGAUAUUUAACCAUGUCAAAAUCACUGUUACCCACUUAAUUUAAUACUGAAAUAUGGUUACUCAGCCAAUAAACCCUAAGAUUUAUCUUAUGAUGGUAUGCUUGCUUAUACGUGGUUAUAUAUCUAAAUUAUUAAUAUUCUAUAAAUAGAUAAUACAACAAAUGCUUCAACAUCCUUUCAAGAAGAACAAGCAAUAAUAAAUUAAUGAUCUAUAUCGUAUAAUGAGGUAUUUUAAAUAUAUGGACCUAAUGUUUGGUCGUUAGCAUUGGUCGUUUAUAUUAUUUCACUCAAAUUAUUAGUAUUGAGCCACUCUAAUUCCAUCUACCAAAAAAAAAUAAUCAUUUGCCAAAUACAGUUGGAUUUUGUAAGCCAUAUAUAUUUGAUUAGGGAUUUGCAUAUUCAAUUAUAUUUUUUUCUUUUAAAGUAGCGGUUUUAUAUAUAUACACCAACUACCAAAUUAAUAAGUGUUCUAUAUUUAUGUUUAAGAAAUUAAAUACUCUAAACAUAUCUAUGGAUGAGGUUGGAGCUAGUGCUUUGUCUCACAUAGAUGCUCUUUACAAAAACUUGGCCAGCGAAAGAAAAUCUUUUCACACACUUUGAUUAUAUGUAUUGAAAUAAUUGUAAAAGGUAAAAAUGUACCGUGGCCUAUCAGCAUAUUAUAGUCUCCUACCAUUCUCUCAUACAUACAAUUUUUCACACAUUUUUACCUUUUACAUUUAUUUCAAUAUAUGGUGAUUAUAGUUGGUAUGGUGGCUUAAUAAUUUUCGUAGUGAAUUUCCCAAUAAGAAAUUUACUGAUCAUUCUUAUACAAUUCCAACAGUUAAAAACCAUAAGAUUUUCUAAAAGGAAAAAAUAUUAGUAUUAUAGUAAUUCAAUCAUGUUUUAUUUUUUCUAAACCAAUAAAAUAUUAAUUUUUUUGCAUGAUGAAAUGUGUCUUUUGAGUAUACUAGAAUUAAGCAGACUAUAGUUGACAAAAAAAAAGCAGACUAUAAGCUUAAUUAGUUUGCUUACAAGAAUAUUGUUUAUUAGUAGUGUUUUGUAUCUUCUUUUUGUUAAACAUGUAAUAAUCCUGUUACAGAUCAGCUUAAAUCGGUUAACCUGGUAAACCCCUCAAAAAGGUACAUCCCAGUAAAUAUUUGUUGAUAACCAUGAGUUGGUGUACCGAAGACCAUCGAUAGGGAUAUUUUGCAUAUGAAUAAAACAUUUCAAUUUGACACUAUGCUAGGUGAGUAGUAUCUAACAUUUUUUAAAAAUUUAAAUAAAGAAAAAAUAUGAAAUAAAAGCGUAUGAGGUUUCUCAAAGAAAAGCUUUAAGAUACUAAACUACCGCAUUUCUGUUUGUUAGCUUUUCUAGAAAAAUGAAAUAAGAAUAUUUAAUAAAACAGCAUUAAAACACUAAUUACUUAUAUAUGUAAUGUAUAUAAUUUUAUAUAAUAAAUAUAUUGCAUACAAAGAAAAUAAUAUGAAAUCAUCACUAUAUACAGUAUAUAGAAAAAAAAAAUAUAUAUAUAUAUAUGUAUGUGUUUGGGCACGACAACUACCCCGUCGCUACACUUGCCGUGAAAGAUUCACCUUGUGGAUCUUGUAAUAGCAAUAAAUCAGCAGGCGGUUUAGGAAGACUGAUUAACUCGUUUUGACUCCCAAGCAUCAAUAUAAUAGAAGCCAUGGGGGGCCUGUCCUCACGGUGGGCUUGAACACACAAGAGGCCAAUUUGAAUGCACCUGAGAGAGCUUCUUCUGGUUGAUACGAAGAUGAUGAUGAUGAUGAUGAUGUGAAAUAUGGGUCUACGAUAUCUAGCACUUUGCCUUGAAGCCAUAGGUUCCACAUCUGUAGAAUCUGAGAUGAUAAGAGAUCUCGCUGUUUUGUAAAAGUAAAUAAUUAUGGAUUUGGUUGCUAUAAAUAAAAAUCUUACGAAGCCUACGAAACUUUUAUAGUCAUUUUUCCAAUAGAACUCUCUUGCGUUUAUUCCGCUGACCAUUUCAAGAAGCAGCACUCCAAAGCUGAACACAUCAGCUUUAACGGAGCACACGCCAUCUAUUGCGUACUCUGGAGCCAUAUAGCCGCUGCUAUAUAUAAAUAAUAAUUAUUUAAAAAAAAAGGUAUAUAUAUAUAUAUAUAUGCAUGAAUGGAUUGAGGAUCUUUAUUGCUUACUAAGUUCCAGUCGCGCUACUGGCAACAACUUCAGUAUCUUCCCCAUCAAGGCGCUUAGCCGUUCCAAAAUCCGAGAUCCUAGGUAUCAUUUGGUCACAAAGCAAGACGUUGCUAAGUUUGAGGUCAAGGUGAAUGAUCCUAACCCUAGAGUCUUGGUGAAGAUAUAGUAGCCCUCGAGCAAUUCCCUUGGCGAUGUCCAUACGUUUGUUCCAAUCAAGCACAUCGCUCCGGGUUGUGUCUGUGCAUCACAAACCAAAAUUAGAUCAUUUCUUCUCUUUCUUUUUUUUGGUAUUGAAAAAAAAAGGGAAAAAAGGCCAGUACUGUAAAUGUAAGUGUUGAGGCUAGAUCUUGGCAGGUACUCGUAGACGAGAAUCUUGGUAUCGGGGUCAUCGACAAAACCAAUAAGUCGAACUAGGUUCGUAUGUUGCAGAACUGCUAUGAGGUUCACUUCGUUCCAGAACCCUUGGAUUGCGUGAGUUGUCAGUUUAUAAAGACGUUUCACCGCUAUGUCUCUCCCGUCAAGUAACCUCCCCUGUAUGUUGUUAAAUAUUAAAUGUAAGUUAAAGAAUGCUCACACAGAGUCAUGCGCUCUUUACCUUGUAAACUUUGGCGAAGCCACCAGAUCCGAUUUCAUCUGAAAAAUUGUUUGUGGCUUGGGCGAUGACGUCAAACUCCAUGAAUAAAGAUGUCAAACUACCAGUCGUCUCUUCCUCAGGAGCGGAUCUAGAAACAUUUUCUGUAGGGGUGACAGUGCUAAAAACAACAAUAAUUAAAUUAGAUUGGAGGCACCUUUUAAUUUUUUCCAUAAUUAUAAGAUUAUUAGUUUAGUGGAUAAACUAAGUUAUUUAAGCAAAAAAAAAAAAGAGUAGGGGGCACAGGACCCCAUACCCAUCCACCUCCGUCCGCCACUCCUCCUCCUCCUCCUCGUCGUCCUCCUCCUCCUCCUCCUCGUCCUCGUCCUCCUCCUCCUCCUCCUCCUCCUCCACAGGUAGGUUUUGGUUCGUUACCUCUGCAGGUGCUACAAUUGACAAAGAGAGAUCAGGACCAACUUUCUAAGUCGAAUUUGAACAACAAGUGGUAGUGUUUACCUAACAAAACUGCAUUAUUGUUUCUUAUUAUCUAUAUUGGUCAUUUGUAUAGAAAGAGUCCUUGUAUAGCAAGAUAUUUGAGUCUGUACAUAGUAUAAAUACCAACACUUGUACAUAGUCUGGUUACUGCAUUUUCAUUGGUACUUCUCUCAUUGCUUGGCGUUCCAAGAAACAGAAAGUGGUUGCGAAAAGUUCUGCUGAAGCAGAAUACCGGAGUCUCUCUGUUGUGUCUGAUGAGCUAUUCUGGUUACAUAACUUUCUCAUCGAGUUGCGUAUUCCUUUAGCCAAGAAGACUUUGCUGUUCUGCGAUAAUACUGCUGCUAUACACAUUGCUCACAACUCCGUGUUCCAUGAACGCACGAAGAACCUGGAAAUGGAUUGUCACAGCGUUCGGGAUAGAUUGGUUCAGGGUUUAUUCACGUUGUUACAUGUGCGAACAGAGCUACAGUUAGCUGAUCCGUUUACAAAACCUCUAUACCCUGCAUCGUUUAAGAAGUUGUUUGGCAAGAUGGGUCUCUUAAAUAUUUUCGUCCCAUCUUGAGGGGGACUAUUAUCUAUAUUGGUCAUUUGUAUAGAAAGAGUCCUUGUAUAGCAAGAUAUUUGAGUCUGUACAUAGUAUAAAUACCAACACUUGUACAUUGAAUUAAUUAAUGAGAAUGAGUUUAUUUUACUCAUAUUUCUCUUCCAGCAGCAGCAGAACGUGACGACGACAAUUAGAAGAAGCAAAACGAUUGCGCCAACGGUAAAUCCGAUGAUCCGUUUCUUUUUGUUUUGAUUACUCCUUUUUCUCUCUGAAGAAAACAAGAUUCGUAUUUAUUUAGUAAAAUAAAAACACAAUCAUAGACAAGAGCAUAAUAAAUUAAUUUUAGUACCCACCCAUGUCAAGAGCAGCCAGUUUGACGUAAAGAUUUUGACCCCGGUUACGUCGAGUAUCCUCCAAGCUUACUGUCCACAUCACACAACUCCGCACACCAGUUGGCAUGUCCGUGUUUGCAAACGCCGUACAGUUACAGGUCGUGAGACACCUCUCCUUACAUUCCUCCAAACCCACUCCCUCGUAAGAAAUUGUCCAAUUAUCAGUUUCUGGAAGUUUCAUAUUCUUCAGCAGCUGAAACCCAUCAUCAUCGGAGCAGGCCAGCGGCGAUUUCCUCACGCAAUGUCCAUGUAAAGCGUAGCUGUCUUGAUUCCUCUCCGAAUCAGUUUGAGGCCGAAACCCUGGGAAACAUUCACAAGACUUGAGCGGGUUCAUAGAGCAGUACGUAUUGGUUCCACUUCCACAUGUAGUGUAUUUAUCGCAAAUAUCAGAUGGUGCAAUCACCAAAUCCUUCCACUUUCUAUCUCUCCGAGUCCACUCGGACCAGAUCAAAAAGCCAGUAUCGCUCAUUUUCAAACUUGCGUAGUAGCUGGUUGUCGUGUUCCUACGCAAACUGUAAGUGUAACUACUGGUUGUUCUUGUCUGGAUCAUUGCCUUUGUAGUGUAUAUGGGGUCGAUACGGCAAAUUUUAGUACCACUACUCCCCCAUAUAUAAUGUUCAUACCCUGUUUCUGUUCCUCCCUCGUGGAAGAUGUCGUCAUAAGUUAUGGUUCGGAUGUAAUCCAAUCCAGGAUAAUACCCUAGCACCAUACCUGGAAUUAAGACAUUGCUUGGGUAGUCAAAGCUUCCCCACAAGAUGCCACCAGAGUAAUUACUCACAAUGAAGUUUCCAGUAUCCGACAGAUAAGCAGACAACGGCGCGUCGUCUUCAGCAGCAGGACUUGUGAGAUCUCUAUGCCACGUCAUGUAGCCAGACUCGUCGAAGAGUUGGAUCCCAGCUGAACUGCUUAUUUGAAGUUUUCCUUCUGAACUGUAGAGAGGACUGCCCCGAUUACCGGUCCAUACUACUCUUCCUGGGAACUGUCUGAACCAGAUUCCCAAAUACCAACCAGUACGAUCUUUGAAGAGACCGAGUUCAAAGAUUGAACUCGGGGACACAAUUCUCUCAUUUUCCGAAAACCACACUUCGAAGCUUAAAACAGACGUAAAAAUAAAAACUAAGAAAGAAAGACGUCUAAACAUUUUUCUUUUUGACAAAAUGACCAGAUAUGCUCUUCAGAAGAAGAAGAAGAAGAAGAAGAACCCCAUUACCUACAACAUGGUCAUUAAAUAAUAAACCCAUUCCUCUCUAUUAUAUGUUCCGGAUAUCAUUACCUACAACAUGGUCAUUAAAUAGUAAAACAGAAAAAAGAAAAUGAUAGCUUAGGUAGGGUUCCAUAUGUUCGACCUAGGCUUUGGACAUUUUAACCUAGACCCAAAAAUCCGAACCGGAACAGAUCCGAAAAAUACCCGACUCGAAACUGAACCGAAAACUUACAAGUACCUAUUAGGUUCAAAAUUCUUCUACCCAAAGAACCGAAACCGUAAGAAAACCGACAUGAAUAGACCCGGAUCCAAAAAGAACCGAACCCGAAUAGAUCUGACUCGAUACGAACCGAUUCAUACCCAACUUAAAAACAUGUAUAUUAUCCAAAACUAUGAUUUUUUGUGUUAUAUUUUAUGAUUUAGUUAAAAUAUUUUUUAUUAACAAUAUUUGUUAUUAUUUUUUGUAACAUUUUAAGUAAAAUCAAGUUUUAAAUUAAAAUUUAGAGUUAAAAAUAUUUUAUUUAAUUAUUAAUAAUUUAUUUUAAGUUAUUUUGUAAAAUUUUAGAUAUAUGUGACAAAUUUUGACUAAUUUGAUAGAAUUUGGGUUAUUUUUUUAUGAUCCUAAAUACCCGAACGCGACCCGACCUGAAAAUUACGGGUAUUUUAAAUGUAUUUUAAAUAUAGACCUGAACUGACCCGGAUCCGAGAAGAACUGAUGUGCCGCAGACCACGGAUCAUUACAUGGAACCAGCUCAGCAUGGAGUUCAGGACGUUCUGAACAUUUCAACCGAGGUUCAUGUUUUUCACCGUGCCAUACUUGACUUGGGUCGAGCCAGACUUAGCUUGGGUGGUGAAAAAACCAAAGACGGACAUGCAUUCUCAUCCGACGGACCAUCCGGACAGUUCCGCAAGCGUCCUUAUCUUUACCCCGUGCAUCCAUCUGGUUCGGAUGAAUCUAGACAUCUUGACUGGUCUUCUCCGUUUUCCGUGCCUUGACCAGAUCUAGUCUUCUCUAUUUUCCGUGCCUUGACUAGAUCUAGUCAAAUUUAUAUUUCCUAUGCAUUGUUUUCCCACAUUUUCUUUUAUUGUCUUUGACUACAAAACACUAUAAAUAUGUAGUCCCUUUGAUGAAUAAAAUCAGUUCAUUUUGGUUGNNNNNNNNNNNNNNNNNNNNNNNNNNNNNNNNNNNNNNNNNNNNNNNNNNNNNNNNNNNNNNNNNNNNNNNNNNNNNNNNNNNNNNNNNNNNNNNNNNNNUACUCAUUUUAUGUAGAUGCGUAAGGAAUGCGUGUGUCUCACUCCAUGAGAAAGUCAAGUUGCAUCCACUGGAGUUUCUUUUCAAAUAAAGUAAGAAUGUGUAACGUUCAUUGUUCAAGCUUAAACCCUGUACACAGUCAACUUCUUCUUGGAUUCUGUUGUAUGUCAACUUCGUUAUUUGAUCAGACAUGUCUAGUGUUUUAUAGCUGUGGUGGUUUCGAUAAAUGAUGCAUCUUGUAACAAAUUUUUUGAGGUUGCUAAGAUAAGAGUGGGAGUAGCUGAAAUGUCAAAGUCCAGUAGAGACAUACAAAAGCCCCAACCAGCCUACUAUCCACUGUUCAGAUGACUUUCCAUUAUGAUGAGAAACACAGUUUGCGGCAGCUUCUUUCUUCUCAGAGACGGCAAUGCAACCUUAAAAUAAUAAACAAAAAGAUACCAGUUCUCACUUCUCAGUAGUCGGUACUAGGCCCGGGACGGAUCGGAUAUCCGGAUAAUUUUAAGGUAUCCGGAUCCUUAUCCGGCGGAUCCAUAAUUUUAUUAUCUUUAUCCGGAUCCGGGGUUCUCGGAUAUCCGAGUGUCAGAUAUCCUUCUAAAAAUUGUAAUAUCCGGCGGAUAUCCGGAUCCAGAUUUGGAUCCUUAAAAUAAAUAAAAUAAUAAUAAUAAUAUAUAUAAAAUAUUAAAAAUAAUUUAAAAAUAAAAAAUAUAUAAUGUUUUUUAAUUAUUUCUAUGUAUAAUAUCACAAAAUUUACAUAUACUAUUAUAAAAAUGAAAAUAUAUUAAAUAAAGUUAGUUUAUAUAUAUAUAUAUAUAUAUCUAUUACUAUUUUUGAAAUAAUUAUUAAUAAAAAUUACGGAUCCGGAUAUCCGGACUAAAAAAUCAAGAUAUACGGAUACGGAUCCGGCUUUGACGGAUCCAACAUUUUAUUAUCCGGAUCUGGAUUCGGCCUCUCCGGAUAUCCAGAUUUUCGGAUCAGAUCUGGAUCGAAUCUCGGAUAAAAGUCUCAGACCUACUAAAUUUUCAGUAAAAACUCAAUAGGCACUGUGCAGUUAAAAUAGAAUGCAACAUAAAGAAUUAAACGAGGCUAUUAUUGCCACGUAGACAUCGCACGUCUCUGUACCCAAUCAGAAUGGGCUGUGACAACGUGCGCUGUGAGAAUAGCAAUUUUCGAUCCACAAAACCUUUUUUUUUUAGGUUUGUGAGGUAAAGUUGAAACGAGGACGACCAUACAUACCAACUCGAACGGAAAUCAAAAACAAUUAAAUCGAAAGAAAAAUUUCUUCGAGAUCGCGAUCUUCUUUCUCCCUGAUCCAUUCAAAUCUUCUCUUCUCCGGCGUAAUCAUGGUAUACUUCCUCUAAAGUCAACCCUCCUUUUUUGUUAAAUCUGCGUAGCUUCUUCUUCUUCUUCUUCUUCUUCUUCUUCUUCUUCUUCUCUUUGUUGCUCCGAUCUGCCAGAUCUGAUCCACGAGCUUAACUAUCAAUGUUUGAAAUCUGAAUCACGCGAAGAUUGUUUUCAAUUAGCUAAAUGGAGAUCCUAAUUUCGAAUCGGAUUAGCUGAAUUUCUUUUACUCUUUUUUUUUUUUUGUUGUGGUGUUAGGAUGUUCGAUCUCCUGCUCCCGUUCCCGUUGGAUCUCGGCGGCGUGAUAACAAGUGGACAUCUCGUUGGGGUCCUGACGAUAAAGAGAAAGAAACCAAGGAGAAGGAGGAGCCUGAAAGUCAAUCUGUGCUUGGCAGCAGCCUCCGUGCUACUGACUCUGACGCUCGUGAUAAAUGGAGGCCACGUCAUCGGAUGGAGCAGCUCCAUUCCGGUGGACCUAAUUCUUACCGUGCUGCGCCUGGGUUUGGACUCGAUAAAGGACGAAGUGAGAGUCCGAACAUAGGUUUCACCGUUGGUCGAGGAAGGGCGAGGGGUACUUGGUCUGCGUUCUUUGGCGCUGGAGGAUUCUUGAGAAAUGAAAGUGUUCCUGGUAAACCUGCCCCUACGUGUCGGUAUGUGAGGGGGAAGUUGCUUGACUUGUAUAGAAACCAGAAGCCUGAUAGGAUGCCUAUUGAUAUGGAGGAUGUUGACUCUGUAACUCAAGUGGCUUUGAUCGAACCUCUUGCUUUUAUCGCACCUGAUGUUGAAGAAGAGGUAUGGUUUUCACUGAGGACUUGCUUUGCUUCUUAUUUGUAACUAUUUUUCUAUUGUUGGUUGUUAUCUGUCUAUUAGGAAAGCCUUAAGGGUAUAUGGAAAGGAAGGAUCACUGGUAGCGAAGCUCACACUUCACCUGGGGACGAAUCAUUAGCUGAGAAGAGUCUGGGUAUACAAUCUUGUUUUUUUUUUGUUAAUUGGCUUCUAUCGUUCCUACUAGCGGAAUGUAACUAAUGCCUCUCUGACUUGACAGGUGAGACAAAAGUGGAUGGUGGUUUGCUAGGGGUUGUGAGUGGUGACAGUGUUUCCAUGCAUAAUAGUAAUUCAGGUAUGUGAAUAAUAGGUGCUAAACGGUUCUUCUAAUUCAUGUAUUUUUAGCUUUCUUUGGUGUCUGAUGGCAUUUAGUGUUCUAUAUAUUCUGACCCAAAUCCAAACAACUGUUGCUGUAGGAUUACUUGGUAGUCAUGGUGGAGGUCUGUGGGGUGCUUCUGAAAGUGAUAAAGUUUCUCAUGGAAGUCCUGAGGCAGUUAGAUCUGCAUUUACUAAAUCAUCUAUGUUGGAUGCGGGUGAACCCCUUGUUGAGCAAGGUUAUACGGGAAAGCUGCAGCAACCUGAUAUUGAAGUGAAUCACUCCGAAGGGACUCUGCCACCUGAGGAGUUUAUGUUCUCGUACAUUGAUCCUCAAGGAGUAAUACAGGGACCGUUCAUUGGAUCUGACAUUAUUUCAUGGUUUGAGCAAGGGUUUUUUGGGACUGAUCUACAGGUCCGCUUGGCAACUGCUCCAGAAGGGACUCCUUUUCAAGAUCUAGGUACUGUCAUGUCAUAUUUAAAGACGGAAAGUAUGCAAGCCCAUAUCAAUGAUCAGAUCAGCGAGCUAGAAGAGACUAGUCGAAAAGCAAAUUCGGGGAUUGGUUUAUCAUUUGCACCCGUAUCAGAAUCUAAUGGUUCAGCCUUAGGUCACGAUAAUGUUCAAAUGAACUCUAAAUCAGAAGCUUAUGUGAAACCACCACAUGUUGAUGACCGAAGUUUCUUGGACUAUUCUGCUCAAGAUGAAGGUUUGUUAUUCUACUGACCUUUUCUCACUUGUGUGCAUUUGUAUGGUAUAAGACAUUUCUUUCUUCGGUUUAAUAUGCUUGUGUAGCCGAAUACAUUUCCUUCUUUCAUAAUGAUAUUAAUUAACUUUCUGUUCAUGAUAACUAAACAUACUUUUUGUAUUUUUUUCUUAUUCAGAAAUCGUAUUCCCAGGAAGAGCUGGAGUUUCUGGUUAUGGAUCGGCAAAAUCCUCUACAAGUAUGCAUGAUGCUUUAAUGGGAGUUUCUGGCCACUCUGCUAUUCCUGUUGAAUCAGCGAAGGUUGCUACUCAAAAUCAGAAUGAGAACAAGCUGCAUCCGUUUGGUGUGUUGUGGUCUGAGCUAGAGAGCAGCAGUACACCAGUUGAUCUUUUGCCUAACAGGUCGUAUGAUACAGGACAUGACCAGAAGUAUCUUGAUCAAGCUCAGGAUUUGGAUCAUUUAUUAACUCUCAAAUUGCAGCAGCAGCAGCAGCAACAAAAGAUUCAUUUGCAGCAGCAGCAGAAGAUUCAGUUGCAACAACGUCAACUAGAGCAAGAGUAUCAAUUACAACAGAAGCUCUUACAGGAGCAACAACAGUCCCAUGCUCGGAAUUUACAUUUUCAACAGAUUCUUCAAGGACAGACUCCUGAUUCAAGGAUUGGGCAGUCACAUGAUUUCCCUCGAUUCAACAAUGUUGAUCAGAUGUUAUUAGAGCAGCAACUAAUGGAUGAAUUGCAGAGUUCUGGCCAUAGAUCACAAAAUUUUACACCGUACAUGGAGCAGCUUGCCGCUGGAAAUUUUGGGCAGUUACCACAUGAAGGUCAUCAAAACGAGCUACUACUUGAACAGCUACUUUCCGAACAAAUGCAAUCUCAAUACAGACAGAUGCGUUCUCAACAUGGACACAUGCAAUCUGAACCGAUACGGUCUUUGGAGUACCAGCUACUGCAGCAAGACCAGCUCAUGCGAUUGGCAAAUGGAGGGAGGCAAAAUACAGAAUUGGAGGAACUGAGACAUAUUGACCCUCAACAUGGACAAUUGCAGUCUGAACCAAUACGGUCUUUGGAGUACCAAAUGAUGCAGCAAGAGCAGCUCAUGCAAUUGGCAACUAGAGCGAGGCACAAUACGUUAUUGGAGGAACAUAGACAUAUUGAUCCUCUAUGGCCAUCCAACCGUAAUGAUCAGCUUCUAGGAGCUCAUCCGGGGAUCCACCGUUCACACUCUUCUGCAGGAUUUAGACCAGUAGACUUUCAUCAACAGCAGCAGAGGCCACCCUUUGAGGAUCACUUUAGUCAUCUUGAGCGGAACCUUUCAUAUCAGCAACAACUUAAUCAGGAAUUAUUCGAGCAAGGUCUACCCUUUGAGCGAUCUACAUCGUUACCCAGAAAUACAUCGGGGCUGAAUCUGGAUGCAGGAAGAGGUCUUAACCUCUCUGAGUUGCGGGAUGCCCAGAUGCAAUCUUCUGGUAGAUUAGGAAAUUCUACUCCGGGUUUCAGUCAUCAGAAUCCCCAUACACAAUUAGGUGAACCUCAUUUUUCAGAAAUGGAACCAAGGAAAGAACGCUGGCAUGGAGCAGAUACACAGCUAGCUGGUGGCUGGGCUGAAACUCAGUUUCAUAGACCAAAUACUGAAGCUGACCAUCAUAAAAUGAGGAGGCAGGGCGAAGAUUCCAACUCAUGGAUGGUAGAUGGACAUACAGAUGAAAAGUCAAAACAGCUUUUUAUGGAGUUGCUUCACCAGAGGCCUGGCCAUCAACCUCUCGAGUCACCAAGCAUGAAUCGUGGGGAACCCUAUGACAGGAUGGCUGCUUCAGGAUUCGGCUUUGCAGACCAUGGUGGUAGACAAAACGCUUCAUCUUCUUUUGGGUCGCACGCAU
rnacentral:lncRNA from 1 species